rnacentral:lncRNA from 1 species
GACUAUUUUAUAAUAAAAGUCAAGUACGAUCUAUACCGGAUUUGAGUUCGAAAGAUUCGAAAACGGAAAUACUUAAGUUUACUAUUACAUCACAAAAAACCAAAAUACUUUAGCUUAUAGGCCCUCGUAAAACUUCCAAAAAUCCCGGUUAAGACAUCGAUCCGCUACUCGUUCCAUUCCGGUGGAGGGUUACUAAUAUUACUACCUGCAAUUAAAAGGCAUAUAUAUGAGCUAUAAAGCUCAGUAAGAAAUUCGAUUAAAUAUCGAACUUUGAAAAUACGUUAUAUAAGAUAUAUAAUAUUAUAUAGUUAUCCUUACUCACAUUCCAAAAACCAUAAGGCAGAUGAUUAAUCACAUAAUUCAACACAUCAUUUACACAUAAACACUUACUAAAGCAAAAUGACUAAAAUGCUCUUUUUAUAUGAAAAUCGUGAAAAACACAUUUUUCGUUUUAUUGGAUCCGUGAAAAAUUAAUUUUUGUACCUGAAUAAUAAACCUAUUACGAGCCCGUUUUCACUAACAGAAUCCGACCACACAUUUCAUCCUAUUUGGAUACCGACCCUCUAUAUCCGAGUUGUUUGAUAUCCGACAUUCCAUUAAUCUUUCAAAUUUAAAAAUCGUGAAAUUCAUCUUUUUCAAAAUCAUGCUCACGACAAUUAUAUAAUCCACAAAUAACAUCAUAAAUAUCAAUCAAGUGCCAUAAAACCACACAAAUAUCACAACUUACCACAUAUUUAUAACUUAGACAAAAAUUCCCACAUUCACACAUAAACACACACAGCCACACACGGCACACACACACACAUACACAUUCAGCACACACACAUAUAUGCAGCAAACACAUUAAUAUACCACCAUUUAAUACCCAAAUCAUGCUUGAAAAGCAAGGGUCAUCUUUAUCUUUCAUUUAAUGAACUUAUUACCAAUUCUAGAUAACAAUUCCAUUCCAAAUAAAUUCCAGCAGCAAUUAACACAUCCAAGCAGUAAAUUAAGGUACACAGUCCCAAGUUUCAUAACUUAUAAUCAUUUAUUCAAAGACAUGGAAAUUAAAGCACAAAACAUAAUAAAUGGCAUGCAUAAUUUCCUAAUUUCGAAAUAAUACAAUUCUAAAAAUUCCCAAAUUAAAUUCUAGACUUCUUAACUGACCCAUGUUUUAGUUUCUGAAAUUAUUUUAAAAUUUCAUCAAGUUUCAAAUUUUCCUUGGAAUUAAAAACUAGAAAAAUCAUUUUUUCUUCUAAAAAUCCAAAACUCUAGUAUAACCUUAAUUAUAUUUGAAUCAUUCAUAAAGAAAACUUUCCCCUCAUUUAAUACUUGCUCGAAAACAGAUUCUCAAAUUUAGAAGUGCCUAUUUUUCGGAAAUUACAAUUUUGACCCAAAAGUUUCAAGAUUUACACAUGCAACCACACUAAAAGUUAAAAAAUCCGAUUUUUUAUGAAAAACUUCUACAAUCUGAAAUUUUAUUUUAAUAUAGGCAGAAAAAAAAGUUAAAAACUUAUUUGAGGCAGAAAUUUCAAUAAUUACAUAUUUUAUCCCAAAAUUUCUACAUCUAUACAUGCAAGACCACUAGAAGUUCAAAAAUGAAAUUUUCUUGCACAACCUUUUUAAAUCCGAAAUUUUUACUGAACAAAUGCAGAAAACAGAUUUGAAAACAUAUUUAGGACUGGCUUCUUGAAAAUUACAGAUUUAGCCCAAAAAUCUUUAGAUCUACACAUACAACCCCAUAAAAGUUCAAAAAUUCAUUUUUCUUGCAAUACCCUUUAGAAAUCCGAAAUUGUUUUUGCUUUUGGCCAAUAAACUUUUAUCUAUCCACUACCAACAUAAAUAAUGCAUGCAAGAAAAAGAAAUUAACAAUAAACACAACUUUUAUCAAAAAAUUUCCAAGUCUUUUAAGAAAUUUUGAAAACCUUUUUGAUACUAUUGACACCCUUUAAUUGCAGCAAGAAAUCAAGAUUUCUUACUUAUUAACCGAAUAAAAGAAAACAACCGGAGGAAGAAUGCUUCAAAUACCAAAGUCUAGCCAAGCAACCUUGAUGGUGAAAGACAGGGUGUGAGCUUCUAAGAGAGAUGUGUUGUUUUCUCUCGUGAGAAGACAAGAUGUUUUGAUGGUGUUUUUGGUGUACUCUAUGUUGGGUUAUUUUAAUAAAAUAAUAUAUUUUAUUAUAAAAUAUAAUAAUGACUUUGAUCACUUUUAUGAUGGUCAUUAAACCACUAUUUUGAAACAUUCAAAUCCAUUAUUCUCCUACAUAAAACACCAUAAAUUUUAUAUUAAAUUGAGGUUUUAUGGGGGUCAUAUUAUACAGGUUACACCGAGUGAUUUUUAAUCUAUGCUACACCCGGUGAAGGUUACACCGAGUGAUUUUUUACCGUUGAUCUACACACACCAAUGUGGGUGUGUGUGUGUUUGUGUGUAUAUGAAUGGUAAAGAUUUACCCAAUGUAUUUCACCCGGUGUAGCAUAGUAUAAACCUAUUAUACAUUAUAUAAAGGGGAUCUUGUGGCUUUGCAAGUAGAUGAGAGAAGAGAAUAAAAAAUAAAUUUCUAAAGAUCCUACAUAUUAUAUGUUGAGCACUUGUUGUGUGUCAGGUGUAAGUUUCUACUUCACUUGAACGUGCAAUUUCGGUGAAGUUACAGCAGAGAGAUAGGCUGGGUUGUUGUAUCCCAUAGGCGACACGAUCAGAACGUUUUUGCACCUCAUUAGAGAAGGGAUCGUGAAAUUCGUCUUAAGAGAACGACCUAGUCCGCGCCUCACCUUGUCUAUCUUCAUAUUAUUAUAAUUAUUUUUUCAACUAAUCGUCAACUAUGUAAAGAUGAAGCAAAUGGAGUACAAGCCUCAAUCCACAAGUUAAAUGAUCAAUCGUCAAACUGCGGUCGUGGUUCCAACACUCUAGGGCUAGGAACUUUCACUUUUUAUUUUUGGAUUUCUUUGAAAAAUGGAGUUGAGGUAGAAGAAAAAGAAAUCCAAUGGUGGAGAUGGAGGUGGUGGUUUGGGUGGAAAUGGGAGAUGAAGACAAGAGGAUUAUGUGGAAGAAGAAGGAAAAAGAAGAGUGUUUUCUGGGAUCUCUUGAGUGUGGGAUUAGUGAAAAUAAUUAGUAUUUGCCAAGUGAAAAGGCAUGCAAAUUAACACUAAUUUCUUUAAGAAAACGUUCCGAUCGUGUCGCCUAUGGAAUACACUCGAAUCGGAAUCAACAUGCAUACACCACUGUUGAGUGUAAAUUUUACGCUCAAUACGUUUACUUUACGUGGAUCUUUUGUUUAGAUUUAAUUAUAUUUGUGCUUUUAAUUGAUUGAUUUUGUGUUUUAUAGGUGAAAAGGAGAAUUUGGUGUCCAUGAAGGAAAAAAAGAUCAAAAAGAAAGGAAAAAGUUGCAAAUAAGGAAAUAAAUCGAAUUGGAAGAAGGAAUCCCGCCACAGCUUUGGCAGUGUCCACCAUUUCGAGCAUAUCUUUCUCAUACGAACUCCAAAUCAGCUGAUUUUGGCGGCAUUGGAAAGCUAAUUUCAAGGGCUACAACUCUUAUUUACGCAACAUUCCGAAAUUCGGACUCCAACAUGGCGAAAAUCGAAGAACAAAUCCUGGUGGAGAAAAGUGGCGGAAAUAGAUUCCUAUUAGGUUUCUACUACUUCCUUAUCAAUAAAAGCCUAUAAAAGCAACAAGUCCCUACACCAUAAGCACGAAAUUUUACACCACAAAAUACAAAGAACGAAGAUCAACGAAGACUCAAGCAUAGUUUUUCUUAUUUCUUUUAUUUUUAUUUUGUUUAUCAUAAGAAUUACGAGUAGCUAAGUUUUUAUUUCUAGGAUUUUAUUUGGAACCCUAUGUGGGAUUUAUGAACCCUUUUCUAUGAUUUUAUGCAAGUUUUAAUUCCAGAUUAUUUCUUCUACUUGUUUUAUUAAGUUCAUGAAACUGGCCACUUUAUGUGCUUUUAUGUUAUUGUUAAUCGCAUGAAUCGGAAGAUCGGGUUAAUAAUUAGAACUGUGGUAGAAGAGCCUUUGUGGUAUUAACGUAGGAAUAUAGUUAAUCUCUUAGGUAGCCAUUAUUGAGAUUUGUGCUUAAUGCUGUGUUCUAGAAUUAAUUGCAUAGGAAUAUAGUAAUUGAAUCUAGAGUAUUAGAAUCGUAAUACACGCGGAAGCGGGUUAUGAUUAUUUUAGCAUCUCAGGUUAAUAAUCCGGGUUAAUUGCUUGCAUAAUUGAAGGAAUUGGGGGAGUAAUAAUCACAUAGGGGGAAGAAUAAAAUCCUAGGCUCGCUUAUCUUGAUUAAAUCUUCGUUUUAUUUGCUUUCUUGUUUUUGCUUGCCUUUUAAUUUAGUUUAGUUUAAUUUAGUUAAUUUUCUCUCUAAAGUCGACUGUGUAGGGUGGGCUUGAUAAUAAUUGGUAGAACUUAGCGUCUAGGAUUAGAUAAUUAAAUAUUCCCUGUGGGUUCGAUAUCCGGACUUAAUUGUCCACUAUAUUACUUGUACGAUACGUGCACUUGCGUGUAGGUUUUCGACCAACAAGUUUUUGGCGCCGUUGCCGGGGAAUAUUUUAAUUAUUUAUUUUAUUCUAGCUCUAAAUUUGAACAAUUUUCACGAUUCACCCAAAUUAAUUUUUUUUUUUUUUUUUUUUUUUUUUUUUUUUUUUUUUUUUUUCUGUUUUCUUUGGUUACAUGUCAGGUUACAAUUUUCGCGCACCUCAAACGGGAUAUGAAUGGCUUCCGUCUGGCGAAUACCUCCAAAAUACCUAUGAUAUGCCGUUACUUUGUUCAAUAUGUGGUGGAGAUCAUUACAGUAACCAAUGUUGGUAUGCACCGAAGGCGAAUAAUUUCACAGAUAAUACCAACGGCGGUUAUUGGAACACAUACACCAACACGUACGAGCAGAGCGUUCCAAGCCAAGGUUUCCACAAUUUUCAACAUCAAGAGCCGCAAUUUGAUGAUUUUCAAACCUAUUAUGCAAGGCCACGAGAACCCACUAUUGAGGAGUGUUAUAGGAAAUCCAUCCUUGAAGAUUUUAUGAAAUCCACUCAAGCAUCUAUCCGAAGACUGGAAAUAAUGUUGGAAGAGAUGAAGCUCAAGAGGUCUCUUGAAAAUAUUUCAGACAAUAUCGAGAAUGGUUGCAACAAAGAAAAUCCGUCUACAACUUGUAGUGAGAAAAAUCCUUUAGACCUAGAAAAUAUUGUCGAUGAGAAGGAAAAGGAACUUACGAAGACGCUUAAGGAUGAUGAAUAUGAGAAUGCAAUCGAGCUCAACUCCAAAGAUGUCUCGGAACAAGAGAAGAAGGGGAUGGAUGUGGUUAGUGCAAAUAUUCAAAUUGAUGAUCUUAUUGUUAUUCCUGACGUGGCUUUGAAGGCAUCAAUAGAGGUUGAUGAGAAGACGAAUGUGUUUGAAGUGGAGGUUAUACGCGGACGUGAGGUUUUUGUGUACCGAUUUGAGGGAGCGGGUGAUGAAGAUCCCAUCUUGGCUUCGUACCGAUUGAUUACAACUAAGAAAGACUACAAGCUAAGGUGGACCCUGACAUAUUGCAAUCCUAUCCGUGUAUCGGUUGCAAUUGAAGUGAAAAAGCUCAUGGAUGGAUGCGCAAUCUACAAGGCUUUGGAUUGGACAUAGCGAUUUCAAGAAGCAAAGUCUGGCUGAAGACUUUAAACUUAGCGCUUCUCGGGAGGCAACCCGAGCUUUAUUGUUUUUCGUAGUUUUCGUUAAUUUUUUCGUUUCGUUUUUUUUUUAUUGUCACAAGCAUGCAUUCUAAUUCACUAUUUGAAUUUUACUUUUCAGGGUCGAAAACGUGAUCGAGGGUCGAGUCGGCCGUCCGUAAAAAAAAAAAAAAAAAAAAAAAAAAAAAAAAAAAAAAUUCGUUUUGCCUUCCCGCCAAUUCUCAUACCCCGAUGACGACGAUUCCGACUAAAUCAGGUGUUUUCUAUCCUUAAACUUUGUGCUAAUUUCGUUGAGGGCAACGAAAAUUUUAAGUUUGGGGGUGAAAAACAUGUUAUUUUGUGCUUAUUUGUUUUAGUUUGCAUGCAUUAGGUUUUAGUCGUUUUUAUUGUUUUUCUCGUUUUUUCGUUUUUAUUGUUUUUCUCGUUUUUCCGGAAUAUAAAAAAAAAAAAAAUUUGCUUGAGUCGAAUGCAUCGAUGAUUUGUGAUGAUGAGAGAUGAUCAAUGUUUGAUGAUUAGAUUGCUUGUUUUGUGUGAUAAGGAUUUGAUGUUUGUUUAGCUUUCGAUUCAACGGGACUUAGAAGCGAAUUAUUGCUAGGAAUCACAUUUUGUGCAUUGCUUUGGUUGAAUGUUUUGUAUUUUAAAUUUGGAAUUAAUUUGUGCUAGAUCAUGCUAUGUUCGGUUUUAAGACUCACCUUAGAAAAUUUAUGAUACGAAGUAUCGAGUAGUGAGUGAUUUGGGAUAUGAUUUGGGCCUUCUUUGAACCGUUUGAGCCUUUCAAGCCGACCUUUAUAUCGAAAUUAUCCUUAGAACCUUGAUUUGAGCCUCGGAGAAAAGGUGUUCUUUCUUUUAGCCAUAUGUAUAAGGUAGAAAAGUGGAGACUCUUGAAAAAUUAACCCUUGAAGUUCGGUCGAAAAAUUUUAUAAGGUCCUUCUUCUUCUUCGAAAAAAAAAAAAAAAGGAAAAAAAAAAAAAAGAAAAGAAAAAAAAAAAAGAGAGAUAAAUAUAUAUGCUUCUAAAGAAAAANNNNNNNNNNNNNNNNNNNNNNNNNNNNNNNNNNNNNNNNNNNNNNNNNNNNNNNNNNNNNNNNNNNNNNNNNNNNNNNNNNNNNNNNNNNNNNNNNNNNNNNNNNNNNNNNNNNNNNNNNNNNNNNNNNNNNNNUUAUUAAAAGUCCGUUAGAGGUGAAUUCAUUGUUUCAAACGCCUAUCUUUCAAAUUUUGGCGUAAUCACCUAAAUUCAAGAAGAAUAGCCACACAUACCCAUAUUUCCUACCUCGAACCAAAGAGCCUAACAAUUGAAAGCCACAAAGCCCCAAUGAUCCCAAUAGCUUAAUGUUCGAUAUUAGUAGAGUAGAAUAAUUUGGUGAGUAUUUGGAGUCAAGCAUAUGCAUGUAAGUAUAAAUUCUUUCAAUCUUUAAUUUGCGAAUAUUGGAUGCUUGAAGCAAUUGUAUGAAUUGUAAUUUUUGGUAAUGGUGAGUGACUAAGUGUUGUUGAAUUUUGAGCUUGCGAAUGCCUAAGAAUUGUCAUUAUAAUUCCAAGUUCUGAAAACGUGAAGUUGAUCAUUGAUCUAUGUGAUGAGAUGCAGUAGUUGAGUUAUUUGCUUACGAUUAGAUUUUGCUUGAGGACAAGCAAAAGUUCAAGUUUGGGGGUGUGUUGAGUGUAAAUUUUACGCUCAAUACGUUUACUUUACGUGGAUCUUUUGUUUAGAUUUAAUUAUAUUUGUGCUUUUAAUUGAUUGAUUUUGUGUUUUAUAGGUGAAAAGGAGAAUUUGGUGUCCAUGAAGGAAAAAAAGAUCAAAAAGAAAGGAAAAAGUUGCAAAUAAGGAAAUAAAUCGAAUUGGAAGAAGGAAUCCCGCCACAGCUUUGGCAGUGUCCACCAUUUCGAGCAUAUCUUUCUCACACGAACUCCAAAUCAGCUGAUUUUGGCGGCAUUGGAAAGCUAAUUUCAAGGGCUACAACUCUUAUUUACGCAACAUUCCGAAAUUCGGACUCCAACAUGGCGAAAAUCGAAGAACAAAUCCUGGUGGAGAAAAGUGGCGGAAAUAGAUUCCUAUUAGGUUUCUACUACUUCCUUAUCAAUAAAAGCCUAUAAAAGCAACAAGUCCCUACACCAUAAGCACGAAAUUUUACACCACAAAAUACAAAGAACGAAGAUCAACGAAGACUCAAGCAUAGUUUUUCUUAUUUCUUUUAUUUUUAUUUUGUUUAUCAUAAGAAUUACGAGUAGCUAAGUUUUUAUUUCUAGGAUUUUAUUUGGAACCCUAUGUGGGAUUUAUGAACCCUUUUCUAUGAUUUUAUGCAAGUUUUAAUUCCGGAUUAUUUCUUCUACUUGUUUUAUUAAGUUCAUGAAACUGGCCACUUUAUGUGCUUUUAUGUUAUUGUUAAUCGCAUGAAUCGAAGUUCGACACUGCUCNNNNNNNNNNNNNNNNNNNNNNNNNNNNNNNNNNNNNNNNNNNNNNNNNNNNNNNNNNNNNNNNNNNNNNNNNNNNNNNNNNNNNNNNNNNNNNNNNNNNACUCUUAUUUACGCAACAUUCCGAAAUUCGGACUCCAACAUGGCGAAAAUCGAAGAACAAAUCCUGGUGGAGAAAAGUGGCGGAAAUAGAUUCCUAUUAGGUUUCUACUACUUCCUUAUCAAUAAAAGCCUAUAAAAGCAACAAGUCCCUACACCAUAAGCACGAAAUUUUACACCACAAAAUACAAAGAACGAAGAUCAACGAAGACUCAAGCAUAGUUUUUCUUAUUUCUUUUAUUUUUAUUUUGUUUAUCAUAAGAAUUACGAGUAGCUAAGUUUUUAUUUCUAGGAUUUUAUUUGGAACCCUAUGUGGGAUUUAUGAACCCUUUUCUAUGAUUUUAUGCAAGUUUUAAUUCCGGAUUAUUUCUUCUACUUGUUUUAUUAAGUUCAUGAAACUGGCCACUUUAUGUGCUUUUAUGUUAUUGUUAAUCGCAUGAAUCGGAAGAUCGGGUUAAUAAUUAGAACUGUGGUAGAAGAGCCUUUGUGGUAUUAACAUAGGAAUAUAGUUAAUCUCUUAGGUAGCCAUUAUUGAGAUUUGUGCUUAAUGCUGUGUUCUAGAAUUAAUUGCAUAGGAAUAUAGUAAUUGAAUCUAGAGUAUUAGAAUCGUAAUACACGCGGAAGCGGGUUAUGAUUAUUUUAGCAUCUCAGGUUAAUAAUCCGGGUUAAUUGCUUGCAUAAUUGAAGGAAUUGGGGGAGUAAUAAUCACAUAGGGGGAAGAAUAAAAUCCUAGGCUCGCUUAUCUUGAUUAAAUCUUCGUUUUAUUUGCUUUCUUGUUUUUGCUUGCCUUUUAAUUUAGUUUAGUUUAAUUUAGUUAAUUUUCUCUCUAAAGUCGACUGUGUAGGGUGGGCUUGAUAAUAAUUGGUAGAACUUAGCGUCUAGGAUUAGAUAAUUAAAUAUUCCCUGUGGGUUCGAUAUCCGGACUUAAUUGUCCACUAUAUUACUUGUACGAUACGUGCACUUGCGUGUAGGUUUUCGACCAACAACCACACACAUAUACAUACGGUCACACACACACCUAUAUAUAUAUAUAUAUAUAUAUAUAUAUAUAUAUAUAUAUAUAUAUGCACAAAAUAUUACCUCACUAAGCAAGCCAUAUAUAUAUAAUAGUGCAUAUAUAUAAACAUAUAUAUAUAUAUAUAUAUAUAUAUAUAUAUAUAUAUAUAUAUAUAUAUAUAUAUAUAUAUAUAUAUAUAUAUAUAUAUAUAUAUAUAUAUAUAUUCAAUUUAAAGUAUUAUUUUAUUAGAUGGCAUCUAAAUUGUAGCACCCUGCUUCUAAUCGGGCGAUAAAUCGAAUCGGUUUAUCGGAUAUUUAUUAGUAUAGCAUAAGCAAACGAUCUCUUUGUAAUUUUUAAAACUUUGGAAUGGGACCGAAAUGCAAUGAUUAAAAAUCUCUUCUUUAGAACAAUUAAAACCUUUUGUGAUUUUCGAAAACUAUCCCAGGAGUGUUUUUAGUAGACUUAAUGUUUCGUUUGAAAACAAGUUUUGAGAGGAGGGUUUUUGUUCGAGUGCUACACUAUCAAACUAUCUAUCUUAUCUUUCUGGUACGAAAGGAAAUCGGAGUUUUGAAAGGUAUUUUGGUGAGUAUUUCGAAAUCUACUAGUUGAGACGUGAAAUAGCAAAAUUACUAAACAGACUAUUUGAUAAUAUAAGUUAAGUACGAUCCAUACCGGAUUUAAGUUCAAAAGAUACGAAAGGGAAAAUACGUAGGUUUAAUAUUACAUCACCAAAAGCAACCAAAAUGUUUGGCAUCGUUCAUAGGCCCUCGUACAACUUCCAAAAUCCCGGGCAAGACCUCGACCCGCUACUCGAUCCAUUCCGGUGGAGGGCUACUAACACUACUACCUGCAAUUAAAAGGCUUAGAUAUGAGCCAGGGGCGGACCGAGGGGGGUUUUCUUGGGGGGCGGAAAUAUAGGGGUAAUUUAAGAGAGAAUUUUUUUUUGUUUUUAAGGACUAAAGUGUACAAAAUUAAAAGUUUGGGGGGGGGCGAAAGUGUAUAAAUUAAUACAUAAAUACUCAAAAAAAAAAAAAAAAAACAGCUUAAAAAAAAAUCUUGGGGGGGCGGGGGCCACCCCAGCCUUAGGCGUGGGUACGCCCCUGAUAUAAGCUAUAAAGCUCAGUAAGAAAUCCGAUUAAAUAUCGAAGUUUGAAAAUACGUUUUAUAUAUAUAUAUAUAUAUAUAUAUAUAUAUAUAUAUAUAUAUAUAUAUAUAUAUAUAUAUAUAUAUAAUAUUGUAUAGAAAUCCUUACUCACAUUCCAAAAGACACAAGCCAAACGGUUAAUCACAUAGUUCACAAACUUAUUUAAAAAGACAAAAAUGCCCUUUUGUGAAAAUCGUGGAAUCAAACCACAACAUUUCAUCCUAGUUGGAUACCGGCACUCUAUAUCCGAGUUGUUUAUUAUCCGGUAUUCCAUUAAUCUUUCAAAGUUAAAAACCGUGAAAUGCAUCUUUUUUAAAAUCAUGCUCAGAAUAAUUAUAUAAUACACACAUAACAUCACAAAUAUAAAUCAAAUGCCACAAAACUACACAAAUAUCACAAAUUACCACAUACUUAUAAUUUGGGCAAAAUCCCCAAAUUCACACACAUAAACACACACAACCACACACGGCACACUCACACAUACACGUUCAGCACACACACACACACACACACACACACACACACACACACACACACACACACACACACACACACACGUAUUCAGCACACACCCGUGCAGCCAACACAUUAAUACACCACCAUUCAAUAUUCAAACCAUGUUUGUAAAGCAAGCACCCAUUUUCAUUCUUCAUUGAAUGAACUUAUUACCACUUCUUGGCAAUAAUUUCAUUCCAGUAGUAAUUAAACACAUCCAGCAGCAAAUUAAGGUACACAAUCCCAAAUUUCAUCACUCAUAAUUAUUAAUUCAAAGACAUGGAAAUUAAAGCACAAAACAUAAUAAAUGACAUGCAUAAUGUUCUAAUUUCGAAAUAAUAGCAAUCCAAUUCCAAAAAUUUCCAAAUUAAAUCCUAUAGCUCCUAACUGAUCCAAGUUUUAGUUCUGAAAUUAUUUAAAUUUUUAUAAAGUUUCGAAUUUUCUUGGAAUUAAAAACUAGAAAAAUCCCUUUUUCGUUUAAAAUCCAAAAUUAUAAUAUAACCUUAAUUACUUUGAUACCAUUGAAAAGAAAUAUUUUUCCCCAUUUAAUACUUGGUGGAAAACAGAUUCCAAAAUUUAGAAUUGACAGGAGGUGGUGGCUUCGGUGGAAAGAGGAGGAGAGGACAAAUAAGUGGCUAUGUGUUGAGAGAAAAAAGAUGAAGGGUGUCUCUUCAUCUAACUAAGUAAGGUGGAGUAUAGGAUUAAUGCUAAUCAUGGCUAGCUAAAUGUCAAGUGGAAAGGCAUGCAAAAUUCCUUAAUGUAUGUAUUUAAAAUAAAGCAGAACUUGCACUCACACACACACACACACACACACACACACACACACACACACACACACAUAUAUAUAUAUAUAUAGAUAUAUGUAUGUAUGCAUGAAAAUGUAUAUAUGUAUGCAUGUAUGUGUACAUAUGUACGUAUAUUUAUAUAAUCACACUUUAGUACUAUAUCAUAAAAUAUAAUUCACGUAAGUCAUCAAAUUUCGAACAUAUAAAAAGUAAUCUACCAAGUCUACCAAGUAAGACAUGUAAUUAUUCACAUAAGCCACAUAAUUAGAUUUACGUAAUUCACAUAAUUCACAUAUACUCACGAAUUUCACAAAUGAAUUUCAUGUAAUCACCAUAUUUCAAAUAAUUAAAUAAUGCAUAUAAUUAUAUACGUAAGUCAUAUAAUUAAUAUCACGUAAUAAUAUCACCUAAGGAUUCUCGAGUUAGGAAUAUUAAUUUCGGGUUUUAGGGUUUUGGGAAGGUGGGGUUUUUCAAUCUUCCCCCUUCAAGAAAUUUUGUCCCCAAAACUGUUACGUGAACAACUUGGGGUAACGUUCGCACAUUUCUUCUUCUCGUUCCCACAUGGCUUAUUCAGGUGUAUGGUUUUCCCAAAGGAUUUUAACGAAUUUUAGGGUUCGGUUUCGAAGGGUUUUGGUUUUGGAAUCAAGUAUUUGGGAAGGUUUCUCUUCGUAGGAAAGAUUAUGGUUUAGUUUGAUCGGUUCGGUUUACAAUACGUGGUCUGGACUGCGAAUGUAUUUCCGAAGCAUGGAAACGUGAAAGACAUUGUGAAAGUUGGAUGAAUGGGGUGGUAAGGCUAGUCAGUAGGCUCGAGUACCAAUUUUGUCGAAAAUUUCAAAUGGACCAAUAAAUCGCGGUGCUAAUUUUCCUCUUUUUCCCAAAUUGCAUAAUUCCUUUGAAAGGCGCCACUUUUAAGAAUACGGAGUCUCCGACAUCGAAUUCGAGAUCUCUCCUUCGAGUGUUGGCAUAGCUUUGUUGCUGAUCUUGGGCAAUUCGCAUUUUCUCUCGAAUAUUUUUGAUUAUUUCGACGGUUUGUUGGACUAGGUCGGGACCAAGGAAUUUUCUUUCGCCAAUUUCGUCUCAAUGAAGCGGGGACCUACACUUGCGGCCGUAAAGAGCUUCGUAGGGUGCCAAUCCAAUUGAUGUGAAAGCUAUUGUUGUACGCGAAUUCGAUUAGUGGGAGGCGGGAUUCCCAAUUUCUUCCAAAGUCGAGAAUACAAGCGCGGAGAAGUUCUUCUAGGGUUUUGAUAGUUCGUUCGGAUUGGCCAUCAGUUUGGGGGUGAUAGGCGGCGCUAAAGUUUAACCGCGUUCUGAGGGUUUCGUGUAAACUUUUCGAGAACUUUGACGUAAAUCGAGGGUCUCGGUCGGAGAUAAUGGAGACGGGGACGCCGUGGAGUCGGACUAUUUCACGGACGUAUAGUUCGGUCAGCUUCUCUAAACUGAAGGUCAUUCGGACCGGAAGGAAGUGAGCCAUUUUGGUCAGUCGGUCAACGAUCACCCAAAUGGUGUCAGAUCCCCUUUGGGUCUUUUGAAAUCCUUGCACGAAGUCCAUCGUAACAGCUUCCCAUUCCAGGAUUUCCGCCAAGGGCGGAUUUGAUUGAUUCUCCCAAGUUAGGUUGGACUAUGAGGGCGUUGAUCGCUUUGCGGCUAAGUGCGUCGGCGUCCACAUUUGCUUUGCCGGAGUGGUAGAGUAUCUCGCAGUCGUAAUCUUUGACUAGUUCGAGCCAUCUACGUUGCCUCAUGUUCAAAUCCUUAUGAGUGAAGAAGUAUUUCAGACUCUUGUGAUCGGUGUAGAUGGUACACUUUUCACCAUAGAGAUAGUGUCGCCAGAUCUUGAGUGCGAAAACGACGGCGGCUAAUUCGAGGUCGUGCGUUGGAUAAUUGCAUUCGUACUCUUUGUGUUGUCGUGAGGCGUAGGUAAUGACUUUCCCAUUUUGCAUGAGUACGGCGCCCAAUCCUAUUUUCGAGGUGUCGCUGUAGACUAUGAAUUCUCCGACUUUCUCUGGUAGUGCGAGAAUUGGUGCUACCGAGGUGAGUCCAGUCUUUAAUUCGGUGAAACUGGCAUCGCAUGUCCAUUGGUACUUGACGUCUAUUUGAGUUAAUAGGGUGAGUGGAGAGGCAAGCUUCGAGAAAUCUCUAACAAAUUUGCGGUAGUAACCGGCUAGUCCAAGGAAGCUUUGGAUUUCCUUUGUAUUCUUCGGAAUUGGCCAAUUUGACACCGCUUCUAUCUUGCUAGGAUCGACGGAGAUUCAUUUUUCUGAAACAAUGUGACCAAGGAAAACCAAACAAUGUGACCAAGGAAAACCACACUCGAUAGACAGAAUUCGCAUUUGCUGAAUUUGGCUUAUAGUUGAUGCGAUCGGAGAGUUUGGAGUACGGUGCGAAGGUGUGCCAUAUGUUGUUCUUGGGUUUUGGAGUAGAUGAGAAUGUCAUCGAUGAAGACAAUAUAAUUACGAACUUGUCCAAGUAUUGAUGAAAGACUCGGUUCAUAAGGUCCAUGAAAGUUGCGGGUGCGUUGGUUAGACCGAAGGGCAUGACAUCGAUUCGAGGAAGAGGGUAUUUAUUCUUGAUUGUGAUUUCGUUGAGUUCACGGUAAUCGAUGCAAAGACGAAGGGAUCCAUCUUUAAUUUUGACAAAGAGAACUGGUGCGCCCAACGGGGAAUGGCUGGGUCGAUCAUCGAUUCGAGGAAGAUGUAGUGUAUUUAUUCUUGAUUGUGAUUUUGUUGAGUUCACGGUAACCGAUGCAAAGGCUUUGGAAAUUCGCGUAGCUCCGGGGAUGAGGUUGAUUUCGAACUCAAUUUCUCGAUCGGGUGGAAGUCCAGGAAUGUCAUUGGGAAAUACAUCGGGGAAUUCUUGGACAGCUCGAAUGUCGGAAAUUUGGGUUUUGGGAUCGGAUUCAGAUUUCAGAAUAUCCACUAAGUAGCCGAAUGACCCUUGUGAAUAAGUUUGACUACUUUGAUCGCGAAGAUGAUUGGAAUCGAGGUUUUGGGUUGACUUCGGAAUUUUAGGGUUUCGCCGUUCGGAAGGGGAAAGGUAACCGUUUUUGAGGCACAAUCGAUUUGGUUUUUGAAUUUGGUUAACCAGUCCAUGCCUAGUACAACUUUGAUGUUUUGGAUUGGUAGGAGGAUUAAAUCGAAAUUCAUGGGUUGGGUGUGAACUUUGAUCGAGCAAUUGAUUAUGACUAGAUUGGAGCACAUUUCUUUGCCAGAGGGAAUGAGAAUUAGGUAUUCGUAAUUUAGUCGAUUCGGUUCGAGAUUUAAGUGCGCAAUUAUGUCAUUUGAUAUAAAGGAUUGAGUAGAGCCGGAAUCGAUUAGAGCAUAUAUUGGUUCUUCGAGUAUAAAUAUGGUACCUGCUAUCAUAGACCGGUCUUAUUUGAUUUGUUCUUGAGUCAUGGCGAACACUCGAUCGGGGACGUCAGGUGGAGGUUUUGGACAGUCUUUUACCAUGUGUCCGGGCUGAUGGCAUCGGAAGCAAUUCCUCGUUCCUUGUAUGCAUUCUCCGAAGUGACUCUUUGGGCAGGUUGGCCUUGGCGGCGGUGGCGGUGGUCCGGUUGAUUGGCGAAGGGGCUGCGUUCCUUUCCCUCGGAAUGGGCGGUUGCCAAAGUUGUUCUUUUUCCAUGGGCGUUGGAAAUUUGGUGGCGGUCGGCGUUUGUUUGAAUUUCUCCCUCGUCUUGGGAAGCUAUGAGCGCUUUGUCUACAAGUUGGCGGAAAGUCGAGGCGUCGGAAUACAAAUGUCUCUACGGAUUUCGGGUUGGAGGCCACGAAUGAAUUGGUUCUUCUUCUCCUCGGCAUCUCAAGCGAUGAAUGGGGCGUACAAACAGUCUCUGAAAUAAUGGUUUUUGAGGUUUCAAAAUAGUGGUCCAAAUGACCUCAUAAAAGUGGUCAAGCCAUUAUUAUAAAAUAUAUUAUGUUUGCCCAACAAUACAUAACAUGGAAAUAUUAAUUGUAGCCUUCUAAACACAUAGUAGAAUAUGUUUGUUAGAGCUUUUUAUUAAUGUUGUAGAAUAAUUUUGGAAAUUACAUUACAAAAUCUAGUUAUUUAUUUUAUAUUUGUUACACUCGACCAAUCAAUAUAUAUAUAUAUAUAUAUAUAUAUAUAUAUAUAUAUAUAUAUUCAAUUUAAAGUAUUAUUUUAUUAGAAGACAUCUAAAUAACUUCAACUAUACCAGUAUUUCAAAACAAGAAAUGUAUAGUUUUUUGAAUAUUUGAUAAGACUUUAGAAUAUAUUAUAACAUUAUUGUUAUCAUUUUUAAUGACAUAAAUUCAACGCUUCGAUUAUCUCUUUCUAAUAAAACUUUAGAACAAUAUUAUUUUUGGGGGUCUCACACUAAAACUUUAUUAUUCAUGACAAGUGAAACUCCAUACUCAUGUGAAUUUUAUUAAACUGCAUUUUUACUAUUUACUAUUCUCCUCUCUCUCGCUCUCUUUUUCACAAUGUCGAAAAAUUUCGGCUUUCGAGCUUUGUCAAAAGCAUUAAGAUCAGUUGGUAAAUUAUUUUAUAGUAUAAGAACCUAUUUUUCGUAUUAUUUUUUUCUUAAAAAAAAAGGAAAAGAAAGUAAAAAAGCCAACGAAUUAAUUAAUGAGUUCUUUAUUUAUUUAUUUUAUAUAUAUAUAUAUAUAUAUAUAUAUAUAUAUAUAUAUUUUUUUUUUUUUUGGGGUUUCGAAAUUUGCCAAAUAUUCCUUUUUGGUAUUAAUUAUUUUCCAAAAAAAAAAAAAGUAAUUUUUUUUAAUAUAAAUAAGUUCUUUAUUUUUAUUUUAUUUUAAUUCUUUUUCGGGUUACGAGCUUUGACAAAACCCCCCCUUUUCGCUAUUAAUUUUUUUCAUAUAUAUAAAAGUUGUCUAUAUUUCUACUUAAUUUUUAUUUGAUGCGUUCUAGGUAGUAGCAGCAGCAGGAGCCGCACCCUUUCGGCUUCCUCUGAUCCGGUUCCGCCCGGGUCCGACCCGAAGCCGGCGGAUGAGGAGACGACACAGGAGGAGGAGGAGGAGCCGACUGAGGGGGAUUCGUCCCCAGGUAAUCUCUUAUCUUCUUUAACGUAAUUCAGAUUGUUGCCAAUUUAGGUUGUAUAAAAUUUAAAGGGCAUUUAUGGAUUUUUCAGAAAAUACUUGUUGCUAAUAAUUACUGUAUACCGAGAUGCAUGCUUAGCUAUUUGUUCAGAUUGUUGACUAUUUUGGGUUUUUAAAAUUUAAAGGGCAUUUUUGCAUUUUUUUUCAGAAAAUAAUUGUUUCCUAUUAAUUUUACUGUAUACCGUUCAGAUUGUUGACUAUUUAGGGUUUUUAUAAUUUAAAGGGCAUUUUUGCAUUUUUCAGAAAAUACUUGCUGCUAUUAAUUUUACUAUAUACCGUGAUGCAUGCUAGCUAAUUUGUUCGAUAGAAAAUUCUGUUUACGGAUAUUUUUAUUCAUUGAUUUUUUUUCUUAAUUCUAAUUACUAAUAUUUUGAUUUUGUAGGCUAUUUUUUUUGCCACGUGUGCAACGAAACUUUCGAGAAUAAACAUAAUCUAACGAACCAUGAAAACACCCGCCACGAUGACCAUUACGACUCCGACGGGUACUUGGGAGACGGGGCAUCUUUUACGGUGUCUAAAGAGGAGGAUAAGUACGGAAGAGACUCAAGCCCCCAAUCCGCCCAAUCCAUAAAGGCGAAAAUGGCCAAGUCAAAGCGCUCAGCAAAGUUCGCUAAUCGGGACUCGGAUUCGGUUUCGGAUUCAGAUUCGUAUAAGGAUGAGUAUGAGCAUGAGGAGGAGUAUGAGGAGGAGGAGGAGGAGGAUGAGGUGGAAGAUCGUCGAGGAUGAGGAUGAUGAGGAUGAUGCCUAGACUUUUAUUUUAAUUUCUAAAACUAUUGUCUUAUUUUAAUUUACUAAUUGUUCUUUAUUGUUAUUUUAAGUUAUUUGUAGACUCUUUUAAUUUGUGAAACUUUAUUUAUUUUAAGUUAUUUGUAGACUCUUGUUUUAAUUUGAAACUGUUUUCUUAAUUUUAUUUUAAUAGUUGUUUAUUGUUGUUUGAAUGUUAAAAGUUCAGAGUAUAGAAAAAAUUUCAGAACAUAGUUGGUAGAAAUAAUUGAAUAAAAUCACAUAAUCAAUUACAUUAUAGAAAUUAAAAUUCUUGCUCGUCUUGGGCAGCAAUGAGGGCCUUGUCCACUAAUUGUCGGAAAACACUAAUUGUCGGAAAGUUGAAGCGUCGGACAUACGGAUAUCUUUACGGAUCUCGGGUUGUAAACCACGGAUGAAAUGAUUCUUCUUUUCCUCGGCGUCUCGAGCAAUGAAUGGGGCCUAAAGGCAGCAACGUUCGAAACGACGGAUGUAUUCGAUCAUUGGUAAGUCUCCUUGACGGAGUUCGAGGAAUUCUUUGAGUUUGUGAGCUCGUAAAUCUUUCGAGAAAUAUUUUUCGAAGAAUUGGACUUUGAAUUCAGACCAUUGAAGAUUUUCGAGAUUUGUCCAUUUUUUGAUUCCUUCCCACCAAUGACGAGCCUCGUUCCGGAGUAGGAAUAUGGCGCAAUGCACUCAAUCACGGUCGGCCAUUUGCAUAUAGUCGUAAAUUACUUCGAGAGACUUGAUCCAUUCUUCGGCUACGGCUGGAUCGAUACCACCAUCGACUUCAGUGGGAUUCAUUCUAAGGAAUCGUUCAUAUAUAGCUUGAGGUGCGUUAAUUUGAGGUUGGUUACGUUGGAGAAGUUGUUCGAUUCGACGUUGGUGGUUUUGGGCUUGUUCUCGGAUAAGGUGUGAAAGAUUAAGAAUGGUUUGGCUGUGGUCUUGGGGUUCAUUGGGAGAAGCGCCUUGGUCGCCUCGGGUUAUACGUCUUGCCAUUACUUAUAUAUUAAUUUAAUUAAUAAGUAAAGCACAUAAACACAUAAGGUAUUAAAUUCACAUAAUUACCGAAUGGGUCGAGUUUCACGUCUCGAAUAGUCUUUAUCAUACGAGUUUCUAUAAACCAUGCUCUUAUACUACCCUGUAGCACCCCCUCUCAUAUAGGCAAUAAAUCGAACCGGUUUAUCGGAAUUACACUUAUUUAGCGAAAGCAUUUUGGAUUUCGUAGUGAAUUUAAAACUUAGCGAAACAGUUGCCAUUUAAAUUCCAUAUUUUUAAGUGCAAAACCAUUAUCAUUUUCGAAAAACUUGUCUUGAAGGAUUCUAGUCGGUUUAAAUUCUUGUUUUGAAAUAACUUUUUAAAGAAGGAAUUUAUUGAGUGCUACACUAUUCAAAAUCUUUUUAUUAUCAGUUCGAACUAGAAAUUAGAGUUUUAGAAAUAUUUUUGGUGAGAAUUAAAGACAUAAAUAAAACUAGCUAUUUUUAUUAUUAUAAACGGAUCUAGAAUAAGGUUCAAAAUAAAAUCCGUACCCAAAGAGUUCAUUCAUCUAGUGAGGAAUACGGUAACAAAAAUAAACGAGAAGGAAAUUGUUUUUAUAAUUAUACAUCACCAAAAUGUAUAUAAUUAUGCAUCGUUUAUAAAACCCCCCUUACGAACUUUCAAAGAAACCCAGGCAAGACGUGCAAGACGUCGACACGCUACUCGAUCCAUUCCUACGGAUCGGAGGAUUGCUACUACUAUUACCUACAGUCAAAAGUUAUCUAUAUGAGCUAUAAAGCCCAAUAAGAAAUUUGAGUAGUUAUCGAACUUUAGAAAUAGAUCAUAUAUAUAUAUAUAUAUAUAUAUAUAUAUAUAUAUAUAUAUAUAUAUAUAUAUAUAUAUAUAUAUAUAUAUAUAUAUAUAUAUAUAUAUAUAUAUAUAUAUAUAUAUAUAUAUAUAUAUAUAUAUAUAUAUAUAUAUAUAUAUAUAUAUCAAUAUUCGAAUAAGCACACAAGUCACAGACCACAUUAUUUUCACGUAAAACACAUUGUUAUGCAAAAAUGCCUAAAAUGCCCUUGCAUGAAAAUUGUGUAAGAAAAUCUUUUUCGUUUUAUCGGAUUCGUGAAAAAUUAAUUUUCAUACUCGGACAAUAAACCGUUACGAGCCCGUUCUUGGUGGAUUCAAACCACUCUUCUUAACCUAGUUGGAUACCGGUCCACCGUAUCCGUUGUUUAUUCAGCCAAGUAUUUCGUUAAUUUUUCAAACUUUCAAAAGCUCGCGAAGUACAUGAAUGCUAGACUUCCUAAAUGGACACCUCGUGCAAUUAACACUUAAACAUCACAAUUAUCGCAUAACUACAUAAGCAUCUAUAAUUCACCUAUCAUCAUACAAACUAAUUAAAUAACCAUUCAUGUAUCUCAAUUACACACACACAAUGCACACACGUGGUGCACGUACCUACACACACCAUACACACACACAUACUAUGCAACCAUCAUCAUCAACACAUAUAUUAAUUAGUCAAAUCAUGCUUGUAAAGCAAAGGCACUUCUUUUCAAACUUUUAAUGAGUUUCUUGUCACUUUUAGAAAUUUAACUCACCUCAAUAAAUUCCAACAACAUAUUAAUCAUGUUCAUGUUGUAAAUGUAAGUAUAUAAUCCCAUGAUUCAUCAUUAUAGCACACCAUGCCAAGAAGUAACAAUUAAAUCACAAGAACAUCAUAAAUAGCACAUAAACAUUAAAUUUUGAAAUAAUAGUAAAGGACUUCCUAAAAUUCUAAAAUUAAAUUAUAAGACUCUUAACCGAUCAAGUUUCAAGAUUCAGAAAUUAUUUUACAGUUUUAAAAUUUUGUGAGUUUUUUGAUAAAUAAAAAUCUAAAAAAUGUUUUUCUUGACUAAAAAGUUGAUUUCUUUCAUAGAUUCAAAUAAAUCAUGAAUCUUUCCCAAAUAAAAUUAUUUACCACUUAAUACUUCCUGGAAGAAACAAUGUUUAUAACUAACUUGGACCUGAACUUUUAAAAAAAUACAGAUUUGACCCAAUAGUUUCUAGAUUAUAUUUACACAUGCAACCCACUAAAAGUUCAAAAAUUCAUUUUUUUUAAGAAACCCUUUUGAAAACCCGAAAUCCUUACUUAGUAAUUAAUGUAAAACAGAGUCAAAAACUUAACUAGAGCUGAUCUUUUGAAAAAUUACAGAUUUGGCCCCAAAGUUUCUAGAUUUAUACAUGCAACCCACUAGAAGUUCAAAAAUCCAUUUUUCUUGCAAAAACCUUGACAAAUCCGAAAUCUUCAAGAACUUAACCAAAUAAAACUUUUAUCUACUUAUUAUAAACAUAAACAAGACAUGCAAGAACAAGAAAUCAAAGAUCAGCACAACUUUUUCAUUUUUCCCCAAAAAACCCUAAUUUUCGAAAAUCUUUUGAGUCUUUUAGAUAACCUUGAAAAUCUUUUUUUACUAAUAUUGAUACAUUUUAAUUGCAGAAAGAAAUCAAAAUUUAUUACCUUUAUGGAAUAGAAAAUAAAAAGACUGAAGAAGGCUUCAAGAAAUUCCACUAUUAUGGAGAUGUGGAUUUUUAUGGAGUUCUUGGAGGAACUCUAGAGAUGUGGCUAUGGAGAAGAUUUGAAGAUGAAAAUAGAACUUGAAAUAAUUGUAGUGGAAAUAUGGAUAAUAUUUCUUGGUUGAUUAUGGUGGUGUUUGUUUUGGCCGAGAGAAUAAGAGGAGAGAGAGAGGAGCACUUUUCAUAUGCUUGGAUAUGAAUGGUGGUAGGGAUGCUAUUGUGGUGGUAAUAAAAGGAGAGAGAAAGACAUUAGUCAUUACUAAUAGGAGAUGGUUGAUACAAUCGAGCCAAUUACACGAGGUAGUGCCGAGCUGGAUGAAGGAGUUGAUGAUUUGGACGAGCUGCAUGUGCCAAAAUGACCGAUUACGCGAGCUCGGGCAAAGCGCAUUGAAGCCAUGCUUAGCUUAGUAGACCACGAGCUCCAAAAGGAAGAAUUGACGAUGUCUAGUUCAAUCCCAGCUGAGCUUAAUUGGAGCGAAUUAUCGGGUCAGAUUGUGAAGCAAGCCGAGCUCAAGGACUUGAGCCCGUCUAGUCAUCCAGCCGAGAAGACGUGACUUGGAAAAGAUGAUUAAUAUUUAUUUUCGUAUUUUAUUAUUGAACAAUUUAUUUCUUGCUAUUUAGAGUCCGAUUUGGACUAAAUUUAGUUUAUUUGGUUAUUUGCUUAGAAUAUAUAAGUUAAGAUUUAUUUUCCUUGUCAGAUUAGGUCUCUUUGACACUUAUAAAUAGGUUGUUUUAUGGUCAUUAUUAUUUGGAUGUUUUUUAAGUAUUAUUUUGAGAGAUUAAAAGCCUCCUUCGUUGUUCUUCAACAACUCUUCUGGAUAUUUUGCGAGUGGAUUCUUGUGAAUUAUUCUUAACAAUAUAGUAUUGGUUUCUGAUUCAUUAUAAUCAUGGGGUCUGUUAAGAUAUAUUAGUACCAUAAUUAUAGGAUUGAUUAGAUACUAAUAUAUAUGGGUACCAUAAUUAUGAGAUUUGAUUAGAAUGUAAUUUUGGAAUUGAUUUAAUUAGGUUUCCUUGUUUAGCUUAUUAUUUUGUGUAUAAAUACUCAUACCUCUAUUGAGAAGAACACACACAGAAAAUAUUCUACUAUGUUCGUUAUUCAUUAGCUUUAACAUGGUAUCAGAGCCGGGAUAAAAUCCUAGCCUUUUUCUUCUUCUGUCCAAGACCUCCUCUCGAAAAUGCAUUAUCAUCCGCCUCUCUUCUCAACGCCCUUUCCAUUCACUUCGUCGGCCGACGAUUUGCGCAAUCCGUCUUUUUUUGCUGCCGAAAAUCGUGCGUGUGAGCUCCAUGGGCCACUACCUUCCGCCGCCGUUAACCCACCACCACCUUCCGCCGCCGUUAACCACGCGCCACCUUCUGCCGCCGUUAAGCCACGCGCCAUCGCCUAAGCCCCCUCCAACCUUCGUUUCUUUCGGUGUCUUUUUCUCCGUCAGUUCGCCGGCCUCUCACAAAUCUUCUUGUGGUUGGUAAUCUUCUAUUUCGCUUAGAUUGAUAUUCUUUGUAGAUGUUAUCCCACUUUUUCUCUUUACAAAGUGUUUUUUUGCUGGAUAUGCUACUGCAAAUCCGCCUCUGCCAUUGUUGGCAGUCUUUUCCUCUGCCAUUGUUGGCAGCCUUGUCAUCUGCCUCGUUGGCAGCCUCUGCCGUUGUUGGCAGCCUAGUCAUCUGCCUCGUUGGCAGCCUUUUUCUCUGCCCUUGGUGGCAGCCUUUUCCUCUACCUUUGUUGGCAGCCUUUUCCUCUGCCCUUUGUGGCAGCCUUAUCCUUUGUUCGAGAAGAGAAUGAUGAAAAUUUCCAUUUGUGAUCGUGAUUAUUCGAGUUGUCUACUGCAUACUUCUCUAAUUUGAGAGGAGUUCUAUCAAGGAAAUUUUGUUUGUGAAAGUUUUGCUGCCCAGACUGCUAAUCUUUUUACUAAAGUGCAUUCACCAGUCGGUUCAACACCCUUGUUACCAAACUCAAUUUGGUCUUGACCCAACUUGAGUUUGAGGGGGGAUGUUAAGAUAUAUUAGUACCAUAAUUAUAGGAUAUGAUUAGAUACUAAUAUAUAUGGGUACCAUAAUUAUGAGAUUUGAUUAGAAUGUAAUUUUGGAAUUGAUUUAAUUAGGUUUCCUUGUUUAGCUUAUUAUUUUGUGUAUAAAUACUCAUACCUCUAUUGAGAAGAACACACACAGAAAAUAUUCUACUAUGUUCGUUAUUCAUUAGUUUUAACAAGGUCAAUACUUCCACCUUAAUAAUAUUGGUUUCUAGUUCUCAAUAGCUACGGGGUCAAUAUUCCGAAUUCCGCCAAUUGAAUCCUUUAUUUUUUGGAAGUUCUGUUCUUGCUUCCGCAUAAGAUUAUUGGGUCCCGUAACAAGUUCUACGGGGUUCGUAUCAGUUGGUAACCAGAGCCAAUUUAAAAAAAAAAGGUUUCACCUAUCAUUUUUUUUUCGUGUCUUUGUUUUGUUUUGUUUUCGUUCUUCGAUUUUUCGUGUUUUCUCUAUCUCAUCUUUUCAUGAAUUGUGUUGUCUAGAGUCUUCGUAAAAAAGAAAAAAAAAAUCAAAUUUUGCUUUUCUUUAAAGUUACUUCCCGCCCACGUUAGGGUUUGUUAGUUAAAAAAAAUUAAAAAAAAAUAAAAAAAACAAUAUGAAAUAUCUUAGAAAAACCGGAUAAAAAAAAAAAAAAAUCUUUUUUUCUUUAGCAAUAUUUUGCACUUCGAACAGCAUGUCAAGGAAUGGUAGUGGUGAUGAAAAGGACGGAGCCACGGAGCAGCACUUCCAACGUCUGCAUAUAAGCCUUCAAAGGAUGCAAAAUCAAAUCAAUGAGUUGAGUAGGGUAAGACCUGCACCAGCGCCAGAACUGCGGCAACCGAUUCGUCAACCUGUUGUACGCCAAAGCGACGAAUUAGAGUUGGAUGAACAAGUCUUCGAUGAAGAAUCUGAGGCAGAGUCUGUCAAAAUCAGGUUCCAAAUCAAAACGACAUUAGUAAAACUGAAACGACAUUUAACAUUUCAGAAAUAAAUAAAAUAAGUCAUCUUCUUCAAUAACACCACCGUGCAUCGGGAUGUGAUAAAUGUCGUUCGAGCUUUAAUAAUACUGUUACGACUUCAAACGUGAUUUUGAUCAUUUUUUAUUCCAAAUUUUGCAAAAUCCGAAAAAUAGAAUUUGUAGUAUUCUGAGUUAGUUUUCUAAUCCAACUUGAAUCACCAAAAUUGGAUGUCGGACAAAGAAAGUUACACAUGAAUCAAUGGAUACUGCAACCACCUGCACAUCCUUCUCCUCUACAAUCCACCAUCUUCGUUGUCUCUGCCCUAUGCUCCGCAACGGUUUGAUUCGGUUCCUCUCCAAGCCACAUCAAUUUCCUCCAUCUCUCUCUCCCUGACCAAGAAUUGAAGUCUGGAGAUGGAAUUAGAGACGAUACCUUUGUCGGCGGCUACGGCUUCGGAGAUGUCCUCACGACAUCCACCUCAAAACCAAUGCUACAUUAAAUCAAAAAUCUACCCAAAUCGGCAGCCUAUUGUCGGUGUUAGGGGCACCAUCUCCUCCCCACCCAAUCCGGCACCUCUUACAGUCGUAUAAGGUGGCGGCGGCAGCCCCACCUCGAAUGAAUGGCCGAUGAGAAGAAAACAAUCUUGAAACCCAAAGACCUGAUGGGAUUCUCCUUCUCAAUCUCACAGGCUCGCCGGAAAUGAGAAGAAAAGAUGAUUUGUGGUAACAAAUGGUUGAUUUGGAGAAGAGGGCUUUUUUAAAAUGUUAAGGACUAAAUUGAAAGAUGGGUCUUUUAUGGGCUGACUCUGUAAAGAACUAAUAUACUGAUAUUAAUACUAAUACUAAUAACAAUACAAAUAUUAAUAUUAAUACUAAUACUAAUACUGAUACUAAUACUAAUACUAAUAAUAAUAUUAAUAUUAAUACUAAUACUAAUAAUAAUACUAGCAUUAAUGUUAAUACUAAUACGAAUAUUAAUAUCAAUAUUUAUGCUAAUGUCAAUGUUAAUGCUAAUUCUAACGUUAAUUAUAAUCCUAACAUGCAAAAGAAUAUGGUCUUAGCUUUUGUUAAUUGUCGCGACAAAUGAAACAAUCAACAAAAUUGCCUUCUCUAAAAUAUUUCUCUAUAUUUUCACAAAUAAAAUGUUAGUUCAUAAAUGUUUUAUAGUUUUCUAAUCACAACUAAUAAUUCAAAUAAAUUUUGAAAUGUUUUAUAAUUUUUUAACCACUCAGAAAGUUCUAACAUUUAGUCAUACUAAAUGUUCUAGGAAUGUACUUAUAUGUUAUAAUGAUUAUAAAAGCAUUUAAAAGUUAGAAUAAUAACUUAUUUUAUAUUUUAUAAAUAGGGCAUAUUACAAAUAAGCCCAUCAGUAGGAACUUAUUCAUAAAGAGAUCCAGACAAUAUUCUCCUUUACCAAUAAGUCCACACAUGGUCCAGAUUUAUGUAAAUGACUAAAAUAACCCCUCUUACUUUAAUAUGCUCCAACUUCAUCCUUAACUUACUUUAACUUCAAUUUGACCCCAACUUUCACAAAUUAUUCAAUUUUGACCCAAAACUUUUUUUUUUUCACAAAUUUUUUUUUUUUCAAAAACUUUUUUUUCCCGCCGGAUUCCGGCGUUGACCGGCGGUCAACGCCGGUCUCCGGCGUUGACUUUUUAAUUUUUUUUUUUUUUUUUUUUUUUUUUUUUCCUUCCGGAUUUUUUUUCCGGAUUCCGGCGUUGACCGGCGGUCAACGCCGGGCUCCGGCGUUGACUUUUUAAUUUANNNNNNNNNNNNNNNNNNNNNNNNNNNNNNNNNNNNNNNNNNNNNNNNNNNNNNNNNNNNNNNNNNNNNNNNNNNNNNNNNNNNNNNNNNNNNNNNNNNNNNNNNNNNNNNNNNNNNNNNNNNNNNNNNNNNNNNNNNNNNNNNNNNNNNNNNNNNNNNNNNNNNNNNNNNNNNNNNNNNNNNNNNNNNNNNNNNNNNNNNNNNNNNNNNNNNNNNNNNNNNNNNNNNNNNNNNNNNNNNNNNNNNNNNNNNNNNNNNNNNNNNNNNNNNNNNNNNNNNNNNNNNNNNNNNNNNNNNNNNNNNNNNNNNNNNNNNNNNNNNNNNNNNNNNNNNNNNNNNNNNNNNNNNNNNNNNNNNNNNNNNNNNNNNNNNNNNNNNNNNNNNNNNNNNNNNNNNNNNNNNNNNNNNNNNNNNNNNNNNNNNNNNNNNNNNNNNNNNNNNNNNNNNNNNNNNNNNNNNNNNNNNNNNNNNNNNNNNNNNNNNNNNNNNNNNNNNNNNNNNNNNNNNNNNNNNNNNNNNNNNNNNNNNNNNNNNNNNNNNNNNNNNNNNNNNNNNNNNNNNNNNNNNNNNNNNNNNNNNNNNNNNNNNNNNNNNNNNNNNNNNNNNNNNNNNNNNNNNNNNNNNNNNNNNNNNNNNNNNNNNNNNNNNNNNNNNNNNNNNNNNNNNNNNNNNNNNNNNNNNNNNNNNNNNNNNNNNNNNNNNNNNNNNNNNNNNNNNNNNNNNNNNNNNNNNNNNNNNNNNNNNNNNNNNNNNNNNNNNNNNNNNNNNNNNNNNNNNNNNNNNNNNNNNNNNNNNNNNNNUAAAAAAACACUAAAGAAAGAGACCGCCGGAAACCAUAAAGACAGAUAAGGCAUAUUCCGAGCAUAUAAAAGAAAGGAUAACUCUGCCCCUACACUCCCGAAUUUAACCUCCGGUAUACUUAAAAAAAUUCCGGAAGGAAAAAAAAAAAAAAAAAAAAAAAAAAGUUUAAAAAGUCAACGCCGGAGACCGGCGUUGACCGCCGGUCAACGCCGGAAUCCGGCGGCAAAAAAAAGUUUUUGAAAAAAAAAAAAUUUUUGAAAAAAAAAAAAAUUUUGGGUCAAAAUUUAAUAAUUUGUGAAAUUUGGGGUCAAAUUGAGAUUAAAUUAAGUUAAGGAUGAAAUUGGAGCAUAUUAAAUUAUACUCCAAAAAAAAGUCAAAAUUGAAUUUUUGUGGUCAAAAUUGAACUUUUAUGGACAAAAUUGAUUAAUUUGGAUUACAAUUAAGAAUUGGGUAUAAAUGAUUGAGGGUAAUAUUGGGAUAUACAUGAAUGUUUCCUUUAGUUAUAAUAAAUAUUAAAGGGAUGGGCUUAUUGGUGAAAGAGAUAUGUCCCCUAUACCUAGAAUAAUAAACAUGCUUGGUUGGGGACUUUUGCAUAAAAAUCCCUUAUAAAUAAAUGUACAUGCAUAUCGAAUUAGUUUUUACAUAUUCUGUAUGUUGUUAUUGUAAGAAUUAGUCGCACAUUGUCAUAAAAUAUAUCCAAGUUAAUAUUUAAUGUGUAAAAUUGAAUAUAUUUAAAAAAUUAUUCAUAUGUCUUGAGUUUUUAUUUCUUAAUUUUCAUAAGUAAUUAUUGUCCAAGUAGAUCACCAAAAUGAACAUUGUGUUCAUUACGUAAAAGAUAUUUUACAUGGUAGCUUUUAAAUACCUUUUUAUUUAAACUAUGUUAUAUUAAUACAAAAAUCAUGUAUAUAUACUAAUGCUAUUACUAAUAUUCCAGUAUAUUUUAAUAUAAUCAAGUUUAACAUAACAAUAAUUAAACUAUUUUCAUUUUUUUAGGACAACCUAUUGAUAUUUUGUAUCUAUACAUGUAGAAGUAGUAAUUACAAAAAUACUUUUCAUAAUUUUCAGACAUUUUGGGUCCUACAAAAAAAGAAAUCAAAUAUUUUACCAGAUGCACAGUUCUAAAAUCCCGUAUACACACUAAAAAUUAAUAAAACAUAUUAAAAUGUUUAUGGGCAAAUGGCAAACAUGUUCAAGACAACAACAUUUAAUUAAAAAAAUGACAUUUGACUUUUUUGUCUUUCAAAUAAAUCCAGUCAUUCAAACUUAUUUGCAAAUAAGGAAAACCAUUUUAUAUAUCUCAAAAUUACCUCCCAACUCCUUGAAACCCUAAUUCAACUCCAAUUUCAUGAUUUACACCCCAAUUUAAUUAAAUUUUAUUAAUUAACCAAUUUUGACCGUCACCGCCGGUCAGCCGUUGUUGACCUUUUUUUUUUCUCUUUUUCUGAAAACCUUUUUGUUUCUUAAAAAAAAAUAUUUUAAUAAAUAUUACUGUCUUGGCCUGCUAUUUUUUAGUCUCUGACAGUAAUAUUACAUUAGGAGACAAUAAUUUUACUGUAUUAAUUAAUUUUAUCGUCUUGGCCUACAAUUUUGCAGUCUUCGACCGUAAUAUCACUGUCUCGUGCAAUAAUAUUAUUGGUUGGGAUAGUAAUAUUAGUAAUAUUAAUGUUCGGGAAUGUAAUAUUCAUAAUAUUACUGUUCGGGACAUUAAUAUUAGUGUUCGGGACAGUAAUAUUAAUGUUUGGGAGAGUAAUAUUACUGUUUGAGACAAUGCUAUUAGUAUAUUACUGUUUUGGUAUUCAAUAUUACUAUCUCAGAGAAUAAUUUUGUUGCAAACACAAUAAUUAGAGAAAAGAAAAAGUUUCAAAAAAAAAGUCAACGCAUGAGACCGGCGGUCAACAGAGGUUGACCGACCGGAAAAAAAUUACAGAUGAAAAAGUUAUUUUCCGGAAAAAAAAAAUUUAAAAAAAAAUGAAAAUGGAGGUUUAUGUGAUAUAUUUGUUCAAAUUCAGGGUCAGUGUACAAUAUCGAUGAAGUUAGAAUAUAAUGGAUGAAAUUGAUAAAAAUUAUGUUAUGAAAGAUAUUUUAGACAAAAGACAUGAGAUAGUUUAUUUGCAAUACUGUUUUUUUGUCUAUACCUAUGUGUAUUUAAGUUCAUUGUUAUUUGCCUAUUCAUUCACGCUUUGCCCUACAAUGUUAUGGUAACCAAAUUAAAGUAAUUUUUUUUCAGGGCGAAUUGCAUAUUGAGAGAGUUUGAGAAACCACUACACUUUGUGGUGAGUUGAUUUCAUAUAUUUAUAUAGAAUUACAAUUUGACAUAUGGUAGUUACAAGUAUGGAAAGAAUCAAUUAAUUAAAACUAGAAGCUGUAAUUGAGGAUCAAAUCAAAUACAAUUGGAAAAGUCUUGAGUUGAGGCUGAGAAUAUGGAGAGUAAAUUACGCCAUGACUUUAGCCUGGGGAAUCACUAGCAUGAUUCUCGACACCCCCCCCCCCCCCCCCCCGCCCGCAAGCUGAGCGUCGGAUUUGAACGUACGUGAAGCUUGGAUCGAAAGAGUUGAAAGAGUGGUUUAGACACACUUUUGGUGAAGAUGUCGGCAACUUGCAAAUGAGAAGGAACGUAGCGAGUGUUAAGUUUGCCAGCAAGGACAAGUUCACGAAGAAAAUGGUAGUCAAGCUCAACAUGCUUAGCGCGUUUAUGCGAAACUGGAUUAGAGCUCAAGAAGAUAGCGCUUUUGUUGUCACAUAAGAGUAAGGGCUGCUGCAGAAUUGAAACUUUCAGGUCACUGAGAAGAUGCAUUAGCCAAAGAACUUCAGCGGCAGUAAGCGCCAAAGCACGAUAUUCAGAUUCACAACUUGAGCGAGAAACGGUCGGUUGCUUCUUAGCACUUCAAAAAACCAAGUUUCCACCUAUAUAAAUUGAAUAACCAGAGGUAGAACGUCGAGUAUCAGGGCACACUGCCCAAUCAGCAUCUGAAUAAGCAACUAAGGCACCAGGAGUAGUAGAUGGAUGGAAACUAAGCCCAAAAUGUAGCGUCCCUUUGACAUAGCGAAGAAUCCGUUUAACAGCAAGAAAGUGGUCUUCAGUUGGGGAAUGGAGAAAUUGACUGACAGAGUUAACAGCAUGAGCAAUAUCCGGCCGUGUGAUUGUUAGAUACUGUAGAGCGCCAACAAGAGAUCUAUAAAGUGUCGGAUCUGAGAACAAUGGACCAUCAACAGACAAAUGUUGGGCGACAACCAUAGAAGUAUGAACAGGUUUGCUAUCAAGUAGUUGAGCUCGUGUCAGAAUAUCUCGCGCAUAUUUUAAUUGGCUGAGAAAGAGUCCAUCAGAUGUCCUUGUUGCUUCAAGACCAAGAAAAUAGCUAAGGGAACCCAAAUCCUUAGUGGCAAAUUCAGAAUUGAGUUUAGAAGUAAAACGACCAAGAAUAGUUGAGUUGUUUCCUGUAAUAAUAAUAUCAUCAACAUAAAGAUGCAAAUAUAUGAUAUUAGAGUGUUUAUGAUAAACGAACAGUGAUGUGUCAGCUCGGCUACAGGUAAAACCAAGACGAACAAGAAAUGUGCUAAGGCGGUCGAACCAUGCCCGUGGAGCUUGCUUUAGACCAUAAAGAGCUUUCUUCAAUUCACAUACAUGAUCAGGAAAUCGAGGGUCAAUAUAGCCAGGGGGCUGCUCCAUGUAAACAUGUUCGGUGAGAAAGCCAUUCAAAAAUGCAUUUUUAACAUCAAGUUGACGAAGGGGCCAUUAGAGAGAGGACAACACGAACAGUUGUUGCCUUAAUGACGUGGCUGAAAGUAUAUGUAUAAUCAAAACCAUGAACCUGUGUGUAACCCUUCGCAACGAGACGGGCUUUGAGACGCUCGAUUGAUCCGUCGGGCAAAUACUUGGUCCGGAAAACCCAUUUUGAACCCACAAUAUUAGUGUUGGCUGGUCGAGGAACCAACAUCCAAGUAUGAUUGCUUUGCAGAGCUUGAAUUUCUUCAUCCAUUGCACCAAGCCAAGCACGACUUUUAGCAGCAGAUUUGAAACCCUUAGGCUCAGUGGAUGUAAGUAGUGCACAAAGAAGUCCGGAAGAGCCCACAAAUCCGAGAUAAGCAGGGUGGAGUUUUUUGAAAAUACCUGUUUUGGCACGAGUGAUCAUAGGAUGAGAAGCCGUUGGGGCAUUAGUAUGAGUGGCACGAUCAACCACAGGCUCUUGAGAAGCCGAUCCCAUGUUCGAGUUAGUAUCAGAUUGACAUGUAUGAGAAUUAGGUGUCUGCAAAGACUCAUGACCUGGAUGAGAAUUAGGUGCCUGCAAAGACUCAAUAAUUGGAUCAGUACAAAUAAUACACGGGGUGGAUCCGGAUUGUGAAAUAUGUCGAGAUUGUGUUGCAGGGAUAGGUAAGGGAUUGUUUGUGGGAGGUUCUAGAAAACUUGAGAUUUGGAGAGAAGGUAUGAGUUGGGGUUGGGAUGUAUUUUUAAAGGGAAAGUGGUUUUCGUCAAAUUGGGCAUGGCGGGUAAUAUAUAUUUUGGAGGUGGUGGGGUCAAGGCAACGAAAACCUUUAUAAGACGAAUGAUAACCCAUAAAAAUACAAGGAAUACUACGAGGAGAGAACUUAUUAGUCAUGUAAUAACGUAAACAAGGAUAAACACGACAACCAAAUGGAUGAAAAUUUUCAUAAUUUGGAGAUGAACCAUAUAGAAUUUCAAAAGGCGACUUACCUCCGAGAAGUGGUGUUGGCAACCGAUUGAUGACAUAAGCCGCAGUGCUAAACGCAUCAACCCAAAAAUGAGAGGGAAUAUGAGAAUGGAAAAGAAGGACAAGUCCCGUUUCGGUAACAUGGCGAUGUUUUCUUUCAGCCCGACCAUUUUGUGCUGGUGUGUAUGGACAAGAGAGUUGAUGAUGAAUGCCAAAGCUACUAAGGUGUGCUUUAAAGCGGUUGUUAGUGAACUCUACACCACCAUCACUUUGAAAAAUCUUUAUACGAGCCGAAUGCUGAUUUUCAACGAAUUUUUGAAAUUGAGUAAAUAUAUUAAAGAAGUCAGAUUUCAAUUUCAAUGGAUAAAGCCAAGUGAAACGAGAAUAAUCGUCAAUAAAUAAAGCAUAAUAUGUGAAGCCCAAGUUUGAUUUAACGGGAGACGGGCCCCAUAAAUCGCAAUGAAUAAGAUCUAACAUCUUUGAGGAUCGAUAUUCAGUACGAUUAUAGGGCAAACGAUGACUUUUUGCAAGUUGACAUGUAUUACAUAACCCAGAAGAUGGUAACAAUGAGGUAAGAGAAAGCUGUCCUUUUUUAUUUAGAAAAGAAAUAACAGAAUGAUUCACAUGUCGUAGACGAGCAUGCCAUAGGUCAUAUGAAGCAAGAAGAUAUUUAUUUUUGAGGACAGAAACAAAAGCUGAAUUUCCACGUUCUAGCACAUAUAGGCCUCCAUCUCGUUUACCGGUUGCCACCACUCUUCCCGUUUGGCGAUUCUGAAUAGUAAAGAGAUUAUUAGUAAGUGUAACAGAUAACGGAAAGUCAUUUGUUAAUUUACUAAUUGAGAGAAGAUUUUUAGUGAUGUGAGGAACAACCAAAACGUCUAAAAGUUGAACGUCAGGGGAAUGGGAAAGUUUACCGGUAUGAGUAAUGGGUAUGGACGCACCAUUCCCGACAAUUACACAAUCCUUACCCGUAUAAGAAGAGGACUGGUCCAAGAGGGAUUGAGUUGGAGUCAUGUGGGCCGAGGCUCCUGAGUCGAGAAACCAAUCUGAAGCUUCAUUACCAGAAAUGGAGCAUGAUGCAUUGAAGGCUUCAGCAAGUUGAGCUUCAGGGUUAUGACCUUGGCGUUCAUACCGUUGUCGGCAUCGGUCUGCAUAGUGACCCUCCACGCGGCAGAUUUGGCAGCGUGGUGGUCGUUUGCCAAAAGAGCGUCCAUGUCCUCGUCCAUUGCCGCCAUUUCUAGUUGGUUGGUUGCGUGAAAAAGAGCUUCGGUGGAUCGCUUUGCAAGGUGACGAUUGGUGGCUGUAAAUGCGGCAGGGGAUGGUGUAGCGGGCUCCAAUGAUUUUUGAAAGAUCUCAAAAUUUUCUGCUUUUGGUACAAGAUCAGCAAAAUCGGGCAUAGGGGUGAGAGCCAUUUGAGCCGUGGAGAAGGUCGAGAACUCCGAGCCAAGUCCUCGGAGGAACCAGUGCACUUUAUCAGUGCCAUCAACAGGUCGGCCGAUUGCAUGGAGUUGAUCACAAAGGGACUUGAAGGCACGAGCAUACUCCGAAACAGAUCUGGUGCCACGUUUCAUUAGUUGUAAAUCAUCUUUAAGAUGGAGUUCACGAGCUUUCGAGCGAUGACUAAAGGUGUUUUCUAAGGCAAGCCACACUUCACGCGAAGAUGAGAGGCCUACAACUGCAGCCAUGGCUUCCUCAGUAAGAGAGGACAACAAAAGACUGAGGAGGCGAUGAUCAGUUUGUUUCCAUGUGACAUAUGUCGUGGUGAGAGUCGUCGGAUUUUCAGCGGUGAAACGAGGUGGGGCUGACUUGGUGCCAUCAACAUAACCGAUUAAUUCUUGACUCUCUAAGAGGGGAAGUAAUUGACUUUUCCAUAGGAGAUAGUUGGAAGAUGAUAGUUUGAUUGUAAUCCUGUGCACCAGGGUAUUGAAGGGGAGAAGAGUGGUAGAUGGUUGGGCAGCCAUUGGAAAAAAAAAAGGCAAAACGAAGGAAUAAUAUUAUUCAACCUAGUCUCUUGAUACCAUGAGAGAGUUUGAGAAACCACUACACUUUGUGGUGAGUUGAUUUCAUAUAUUUAUAUAGAAUUACAAUUUGACAUAUGCUAGUCACAAGUAUGGAAAGAAUCAAUUAAUUAAAACUAAAAGCUGUAAUUGAGGAUCAAAUUAAAUACAAUUGGAAAAGUCUUGAGUUGAGGCUGAGAAUAUGGAGAGUAAAUUACGCCAUGACUUUAGCCUGGGAAAUCACUAGCAUGAUUCUCGACACAUAUAAUUUGAGGGGAAGACUUAUUGGCACUUGCACGUCUAUCUAGACCAAAAUAAUUGCUACAAAAUAUUCCACCAUUUAUCUCUUACCCAGAAUGCCCAUCACCAUAUUAUUUACAUCAAUUUCAUUCAUAAUAUCCCAACUUAACAAAUAUUGCACAUUGACCCUAGAUUUUAACAAAUAUAUCACAUUAACGUCCAUUUCACAAUUUAGAUUGUUUUUUCUUCUUUUCAAAAAAUAUUUUAUUUUAAUUCACAAUAUAAUAUUUUGUCAAAAAAAUACCAAAAAUAGAUUACUUCAUUAAGUAAUAAAUUAUUUUAAUGAUAUGUUUUUAAUAAAUUAUUUCCACCAAUAAAAUGUCCAUAUGGGAUUAAAUUGAUCACAUGUCACUUAAUAAAAUUGUCGAAUAUUAAGCAAUUUAAGAUGAAAUUCAAAUUUUAUAUAUAAUAUAGAUAUAUAUAAAGACGGUGGUGGUGGGGGAGGCGGCAACCAGAAGGCCGAAGGUGGUGGUGGUGGUGGUGGUGGUGGCGGUGGCGGUGGUGGUGGAGGUACGAGAGAGAGAGACCAAAUGCACACAAAAAACAAAAUGGAAAGGGAUGCAAAGGAAAUUUUGUGGUCAAUUAAAUAAUAUUUAAUUAAGAGUAGUCAUGAAAUAGUUAGUUUUGUAUUUAAAAGACAAAACACUUUUUUUGUCACAUAAAGAAAAAAAAUGGCAUUCAAAAUUAAAAAAUGGGAGGGAUUUUUUUAAAUUGAAAAGAACUUUAUCUAAUGACGAAAUUAAUUUUGUCAGGAAAGAUAAUGAAUGUGACGAAACUAUUUUGUCAUAAAACAAAUGCAAAUUGUCACAAAAAAUGCAGCAAUUGUUAGAACUAGCCGGCCUUUCCUCUCGUGACGAUUUUUUAAUGUCGUCGCAUAAAAUGAACUUUAUGUUACAAAAUAUGAUUUUCUCUCAUAAAAAUUCAAUUUAUGCGACGACUUGAAAUUUCGUCAUAAGAUCCAUCACUAAUGUGACGAAUUUAGAAUUUGUCACAAAAGAUCAUCACAACAAAAAAAAGCUAGUGAUUUAAGUUUUUCAUAUAAAACUACAUCUACUCCACAUUUUUAUUUAAGAUCUUCUAAUGUGUAUAAAUAGCUUAUAAGCUCAUUAUCCAAAUACUUAUAAAAUAAUUAUAAAAAUAAGACGUAACAUCUUACCUGUUCUUAAAAUAUUUUUAUUUAAGAUCUUCUAAUGAGUAUAAAUAGCUUAUAAGCUCAUUAUCCAAACACUUAUAAAAUUAAUUAUAAAAAUAAGACGGAGCAUCUUACCAAUCUUACCACCUCUUAAAACAUCUUAUCAGACGUAUCAGUUUACCAGAUGUUUAAUAUAAGGUUAGCAAAAGGAGCUCUAAAUGAAACUUGUUUGAGGAGUAUCUCAAAUUCCCCCAAAAAAUAUACGUAGAGGAACUUGAAAUAUGUUGGUUUAAUUAAUAUAUUAGCUUCUAGAACAAAGUUUUUUUAUGUAAAUAUAAUUAAGCAAUACAAAGUAGAAAGCUCAAAAAAUCGAAAUAGAGCUAAUGUUUAUGUAGUGAAACAAAAACUCUUUGUGUUUGUAUAUGGAAAAAAUCUUUGAUUAACUGGAGAGACAUAAUUGAAUGAAAAAUUAGCACAAUGAACAACGGAAACCUUCAUUAAUUCCAAUAUUAGUUUACAUAAGUAAAGUAGAAUCCCUCAAGAGUGAGAUAUCCAAAAUUUGUGAGGUGAAAGAGAUCAAGAGUUUCUAAUCCCCUCGGGUUUAAUUACCGGUUAGAUUCGAUUCAACCGAGUUUUCACAUAUAGAUUCAGAUGGUGCCAAGCCUUUGAUCUCUUUUUGACAAGUGAUAAAACCAAAAGUAUAAAUAAAUAAUACAAAAGAAAAUGAUGCAAGUGACAGAUAAUAAACAAAAGAGUAGUUAUAUUAAUAAACAUAAAAGCAACAUAAAAAAACCUAAGAGGAGGAACGUAUAUAAGUAAGAAAAAAAAAAAGAAAAAAAAGGAAAUGGAGUACGCUAGUUAAUAUUGUUAAACGCGCCAAUCAGUUAAUUAGUUAAUAUUGUUAGCAGCAGCUGGAGUGAACCAGAUAGGUGGCGGUGUAAUCUUUUUGAGAGAUUUGACGUCACAAGGAUAAUAGCAAGGCGAGAUCGUCCCGUCUUGAUAAUCGUAAAUGCCAAUAUCAUGGACACCAUAUGGCUCUUUAGUAUCUGUAUUGAAAUAUUGAAGUCCAAGUGAAUCUGUAAAGUAUAUGGAGUUAGGCUUCAGUUCCGGGUAGUCACCGGCCGCCGGCAAGGCAAAAGAAUGGUUGCCACCGACAAAUAGUGAAAGACCGUCCAAAGAACCGUCCAUGUACAUAACCGAAUUAGCGUCCACGUCGUACUUGUGAACGUCAAAAGCAAUAGUCAUGUAGGGAUAUUUAGUUCCGUUAUCACGUGGUUCAUGGUUGUCGACGUAUGAACCGUCAGGCCUUACUUGUAUCAUUACAUAACGAUUCAAACCAAGGAGGACUUGUUCUUCGCCGCCGCCAGAGUAAUUUGGUUGGGGGGCCAUGACUAGAUGUUGUAGGGGCUCGCACAUCAUUUUGAGGUGUAACUCUUUGUCCGAUUUACACACGUAAUUCCUCUCGUACACACGAUUGUUUCCUUCCUUGUUAAGGAGAGUCAUUUUUGGAGAGAGAGGGUCGCGGAGAUCCCAAGCCUCGAAAUCGCCGGCUUUAGUGACGCCGAAGAACAAAUGUUUCGUGAUGGAGUAAACAACGUCCUCGUAUUCCCUUUCGAUAUUAUGUCGUGUUGUGACCUGGCACGCAGAAAGCCAGUCUAUUCGACGGACCGAAAAUCAUCACCGCGCGGCAGUUUUGAUAAUCGGGAGAGCAAUUGAUGAUGACCUUGGUGACGCAACCCAAGCAUUGUCUCAAGUCCGAUAUGGGAAUGGGCAGGCUUUGGAUUGGAGGAAGCUUUAUGUGACGAUUAGAAACGGGGUUCGAGAGAAGCAAAUCGCAGUUUCGUUUGCUAAGCAAAACUAGCCAGCCAUGGGAUCCUCCCAUGGCCACUGAAUAAUCAUUAUAAUCGGAUUCUUCUACUUUGCUCAAACUUACAACUUUUUUAUGCGCAAGGCUAUAGAAGUUAUAACUUUCAGUGGAUGGUGGUAGCAUCAGGCAUGGUGAUAUUUUUGGAGAUAUGAGUUGGUCGGCCUAAGUGCUGAACCGGUUCAGAAAUCUAAUUGAUGCCACUCUCCCAGAAAUACCAUGAUUUUGUGAUUUGGAUGUUACUUUUCUUGAUAUCAAUCGGAGCACGGAAGUCAUCUUUUACCGCUCGGCCGAUCUUCUUCCUCGUCUGUCCUACUUAGGUUUUAUAGUUGUACUGGUUAUUAAGUGUUUAGUAUUUAAUCAGGAGCCGGCAGUAUUUAAUGAUUGCACCUUACAAAUAAUUCCAUCAAUGGCUAUAUACUUAUUUAUAAAGAGGUUCAUACUUCAUAUAAUAAUUUUUUUUACAAAAAAAUUCACACAUGGUUUAGAAGUUUGUUAAAAACUAAAAUAGCCCCUCAUAUUUAAUAUGCUCUAAUUUUAUAAUCUAAUCUCAAUUUGACUCAAAAUUUCACAAAUUAUUUAAUUUUGACCCAAUAAUAAUAAUAUUUGUGUAGUUGACAGUAAUAUUAUUGUCAGUAAUAUAAUUAUGUCCACUUGUCAACAAAUCAAACAAAAUUAAAAAAAUAAUAAAAAAAAUAAUAAUAAUAUUGUUGUUGACCCUAAUUGUACUGUCAACGGCAGUACAAUUACAUAAAUAUAUUGUCAACGACAGUACGAUUAUGUUAAUGUACUGUCAUUGACAGUAUAAUUACCGUUAAUGACAGCACAAUUACGGUCAAUAUUUAGCGGCGGACAUUAAAAAAAAAUCACUUAAAAAAAUCAACGCCGGAAUCCGGAGAAAAAUACUACUUAAUACUUAUACUAAUAUACUAAUCUUAUUAAUAAAAAUAAGAUUGUUCUGGUAAGCCUAGGGCAAUUUUUUCCGGCUCACUUUAGAGGUACAACUGUCAUUUAUUUAAUACAUUAUUUUUUUGGGGUUUAUUUAGCUUAUUCAAUUCAAUUAUACUUGAUUUUUGGCCGUGGCUUCAUUAUUAGCAUAUUUUCCUCUUACUUCUAAAGAUUAUGUGUCAUCUUCAGCCCUAAAUUGAUCGAAUUAAAUUCGAUCUCAAAUAAUACGGCCCUAGAUUAACGAAUUCUCCAAAACAAGGCUGAAAAUCGUAUCUUUUUGAAAAAAGGCGGUGACUGCUUCUCCAAAAACCCUAGAUAUUAUUUGUUGAACCGUAUUUUUUUCGAAAAACGCAGGAUUAGAUGGCUGCUUCCACAGAAAAACUAGAUAUCAUUUGUUGAGCUUUAUAUUGAUCUCCAUCAAAAAAUCAACCAUCUCCAACCGUAUAUAUUAUGUGUUCUUGAUGGGCCCAUAUCUACAAGCCCAUAGAGGCACACAAACCAAGUCCAAAUCGACUAAAGAUAAUAGUACAAGCCCAAGUCGGCUAAGGCCUAAAAUGGCAUGAUCUAAACAGUUAGGCCCAAGUUGACCCAUAUUAAGUGGCUUAGGCCCAUGAGAAUAUAUAUCUCCAUAUAAAUACUCGGAAACCUCACAAUUAAAGUGUGAGGGAAGAAUUGCAAAACGUGACGUGGAAUCAUACCACAUCAGUUCUGAUAUUUUCCAACCGUAUAUAUUAUGUGUUCUGAUAUUUUCUGCUUUUGAUAUUAUUAACAUAGUUAAAAACGUCUACCUAUUUUAUUUAAUUUGUUUCUUUGUUUUUGUUUAAUAUUCAUCUGCAUAAUUCGAGAUUUCUUCUUUUGCAGAGACUGAGGUGAAUCCUUGGCCGUAUUUUUUCAAGUUUUACCAGAGUACUUUUACGUAUUAUAUAUGGUAAGUUUUUUAUGUUCAGUCAUGGAUUGCUUUUUGAAAAAUAGUUUACAUUUAGAUUUUCGAUGUUUUUUCCUUACAUGUUUCACAAACAUGAAGCAAAGUUAUAUAACUAUCGUUUUUUUCAGAAAAAAAAAAAAAUCGAUAUUUUCUUUAAGAAUUACUAUCGAGUUUCGUUGUAUUUUCUCCCUCGGAAAUCUGUUCACAUCUUUAAAUUUUCCAUAUUACAUUUCUUUCUCCGUAACAGUGAUGCUGACAUUUUUUUACGGAGGUGGAAAUGGGGUAGUUGAUAAUUCACUUAAUGUUGGGUUUGAUCUUGUUCUUAGCUUCCAUCUCGUGAGUUUAAUUUUCGAUGGAUCUGUUGGAAAAUGAAUUCUCUUUUCGUUGUUCCUUUGAUUUUUUCUGUUAUAUAUAUCCAAGAAAUUUUGUAUUAUUUUCAUUAUGUAUGACCUGAAUAAUUAAUCUAAGUUAUCCAUUACUGAAACAAAAUCUUUUGAUACACUAUUUAUGUGCCUGAGCAGCAUAUUAGAGUUAUCAAAUCAGUAGUUGCAUAUCAUACAUUAACUUUCUCUAACGAAUUUUUAGCCUGAUGUGUAUUAUUUUUCCUGCUUAAUUUGUGAGACAUUUUUUAUUUUCAAUUAUUCUGUAAUUUUGUCAACAAUGAUAUUCCAGUAUCUUUUUAUUCUGUCCUUGAGCAUAUAGUGAUUUGAUCCUGUAAAUGUGACGAUACUUUUUCUAGAAAAUAUUUAAAAUGCUCAUGUUUGACCUGAACUGAUGUGUGAGAAAUAAAUAUUGUCAAACAAACGCAAAUCAGUGUAGUAUAUAAUGUCGAUGGAGGGGUUGAAAUGGCGGCAUAUAGUAUAUCUAUGUUGAAAGAAUCGAUCGAUCACAAGAAACUUGAAGUCGCUAAAUGUGCUUUAUCAGGUUUUGUGGUCAGUUUCUGUUUUGUGGAUAUAAAUUAAUAUGCAUGAAUCUUUACCAACAAUUUUUAUGGCGUGUGUAGAUGCAUCUGUUUUGGUUUAAAUUUGACCAAAUUCCCGAUUUCAUCUAUAUAAUAUAUAAAGGGAGAAUACACAAUUGAAGUUUUCACAUCUUCAAUUUUGAUCCUACUUUUAUUUAUUUUCUUUCAUUUUGGUUUACUUGCCUUUUAUAUUACACAUUCCAUUGAAUUUAAUUAUCAUCUCCAUAAAAUCCGAUUCUUAUUUGUUCUUUCCAUAUAUUUUAGUGCCCAAUAUAUUACACAUUUUAUUACAUAAUUUAUAUAGAUACUUCCACCAAAUUUGAUUAACUUUUCAUUUUUAACAAAAUUCUGAUUUUAUGUUAUUUUUAUAAUUUUAUUUCAAUAAAUUUGUAUUAUAUUAAUUUAUUUAUUUUCACUAUUCUGUAAAUAAAACUAGAUUUGCCAAUCUUUUGUAUUUGAUUUUAUUUUCAUUUUUUAUUUCCAUUUUGCCCCACAUUUUUCUAAUAUAUAUCUAUAUAAUAUAUAAAAAAAUGAAUUCCACCAUCAAUUUAAUUUUUAUUAUGUGAUACAUCCCUAAUUUCAUCUCAUUUGUCAAUUUGAUUGGUGAAAAAAAUAGCAAAAAACAUGUCAUCAAUUCAUUUCAUUUACAUUCCACAUCAUGUUUACAAAAGGUAGUAUUACCAUUAAUCGAGCUCUGCUUAAUUAUACAAAUGAUCAUACAAAUCUUACCAAAAAGGAAGCCAUAUAUCCAUUUCGCUUUUUUUUUCUUCAAGUAAAUAUGGUCAUUUCUCAUUUUCAUUUAUUUUAAAUUACCAGCCAAGAUUUCAAACAAUUAUGUCCAUUUAUAUUGGUAUAGUUAAGAAAAAUCUUUGACUUUUAUUUACCAUUAACCGCAUAAUACGAGGGAUAACAUAACAAAUAAAUUUAUGUAUUUUUAAAAUUCAAAUUCCUUCCUUCCUUACAGCAAUCUUGCAUUAAUUAUAAUAUUUUUUUUCCUUAUAUAAUUUCCACUCGAGCUAUAAAAUGAGCAUCCGACGCCUUCACUUUCAUCAUUGUUCGUAUCCGUUUCGUUUUUAUAUUUGUUUAUUCGUGUAAUGUGCUUUUUUUCUUUAUUCUACAUUCGUUACUUUGUUAUUUCCUGUAUUAUGUAUUUACAUGACCAUUUACUUCAAAAAGUUGUUAUUUUGAUCAAGGUUUGAUCAUGUUUCACCCUUGCAGAUAAUUGAUCAAGGUCGAGAAACUAAUAGGAUUGUCUCACAUUUGGAGAAUUUUAAUUCAAUGUAUGGUAUGAAAAAUGAAAAUUUAUUUUUUAUUUCGCCUUGACUUAUUUUUUCGUACUCCUUUGCCUUCAUUACUUCUUAAUUAUUGUUUCAUUAUUUCUUUUUACAAGUUUGCAGAUACGGAGAUGAGAUUUGAAUUUUUUUUCCAUCAUCAUCACAUUACUAUGGUGGUUGAUUCACCUUUGCCAUUAUCCUUAAUAUAUGUUUUAAAAAAAAUUAAUUUAAUUUAUUUUUUCAAUUGUCUUUGUAGCCUUUGAGUAACUUUUUCGUUAAAACUGCUGAAUAGUAAUUCUUUGUAGCACUUUUUUCAAUGUAUGUUUAAAUUAAGUUUUAGUUUUUUUUUCUUUUUUUUCUUUUUUAUUUUCAUAUCGAUUACUAUACAAAUCAAUUUACGGUUUGAAUUUUUAUUUAGUUGUUUUAUGCACACAUAAUAAUUCAAUUUUUGCAUACAUAUCAUUCUAAUUUGGUUUUGUUUAUGUUUUACAGAUAUGAGUGACAGUAAGUGUAAAAGAGAUUACGAAUCGGAUGAUAAACCAAAUGGUACACGCCAUUCUAUGAUUUCAUUAUUUUAUUUUGAUUUUCAUUAAUUUAUUAUGUAUAUUUUUUUACUUUUCUAAUCAUACAGUAUAAAAUUUGAUUGUACAUGAUUAUAACAAUUGUUGUCUUUAAUACAGAUGUUUAUAUGUUAUCAUUGAAUAUUGAUUUUUAUUUAUUUUAAUUAAUUCGAUCUCUUAUAUCUUUUAUGUAUGUUAACAUAUAACUCCAUCUUAGUAUAUGAUUACAUCAAAUAAUUUUCUUUGUUAAAUUUUACUGGAAGAUUCGGUGUCAUAAACCACGGGGAUUGUUACCAAAAUUAUAUCUGAUCCCUUCUUUGGCUAAGCUUAUUUUAAACAGCUGAUAAGCUCUAACGUCUGAAAAGAUGUUUUAAGAGCUGAUAAGUUGUUACAUCUUAUUUUUAAGAUUAAUUUUUAGAGUGUUUGGAUAAUGAGUUUAUUUAUCAUUUUUACUCAUUAUAAGAUCUUAAAUAAAAAAGUGGGGUAGAGGUACUUCUUAUUUUCUCUCCAACAACUUAUUUAAAAAAAAAUUAAGAUCUUUUUAAAAAAAAAUAUCAAACACUUUGGAAUAACUUAUAAGCUCUAAAACAUCUUAUAAGCUCAUUUUAACAUCUUAUAAGCUUAGCCAAACACCCUCUAAGUUAUAGAAGAAAAUUAAUCAAGAAAAAGAAGAUAAUCGAUUUUCUUGAUUUCAUUCAUUCUUCAUGAUUUAACUUUAAUUUUAGUAAUUCUUUUGGCUAUGUUGUUUUUCUGUAACUUUAAUUUUAGUAUUUCUUUUGGAUUCAAAAUUAUGUUAUACCAUACUCAAUGGAUUCUCAAAUUCUCUAUUCUACCCCUUAUAGGAACUAAUUUAUUCAAACAAAAUCUCAUUCCAUGCAAUUCUCAUUUCUCUUUACUAAACUAAAUUAUUUAUCUUCUGUCGCUAUUCUUCCAUAUUUCUUCACUCUUUUCUAUAUUCUCUAUUGUUUUGAUUUUAUAGAUGCUACAUUCGCUGAAAUAUACCGGGUGAUCUUAACCAUUAUUCUACACAUAUGAUAACACACCCAUGUGUACGUGUACUUAAAUCUUAAUGAUUGGUUAUUUAUAUAGAUCAAUAUUUUAAAACUACCGGAUGUGUUACACCAGGUGUAACAUCUUAUAUACUAUUUUCCCCUAUGUUUCUAUUUUUUCAUUGCCAUAUCUUCUCUCUAAUUUCUUCUAUUUUUUCUCAUUCUCUUUUUUCAGUUCCGUUCUCUCAAGCCCCCUUUCUCCUAUUUUUUAAUUAGUUUCUCUUUAUCUUCUCGAAAAAAGAAAAGGGAAAAGAAUUUUUUUUAAUAAUAAUAAUAAUAAUAAUAAAUUUAAUUUUUUUUUAGUUUUUAUUAUUAACAUACAAUUGUUUUCUUAUUUUAGCACCAUAUGCUUGAGUACAAUAUAAUUACGCUUAUUUGUUUUUUUCAUUUAUUAUUAUUCAUUUGCUAUAUUGUAACGAUUUUCCUAUUUACUUUAUUGUUUCCUUCAUUUUUUCAGUCGUUGAAUUAAAGACUUAUUUAAAAUACUAGGAAUGUUAUGUUCGGUUAUUUCUAUUUUGUAAAAAGAACCCAAAUAAUUUUUUUUACUGUAAAAUACUAUAGAUGUCUUCUUUAUCUAAAAAGAGUAACAAAACUAAAAUUAUUUAUAUUAUAAUAUACUUAAUCUAUUUUAUUUAUUUGCUUUUAUUUAUUUGUAUGAACAUUUUAUAUUAUGACAAUUAAAAUAAGAGAUUAUUAGUGAAAAUCAUUGGGUGUAAUAAGGGUGGAUCCACCUCCCUUUUCCAAUAUUUGAAAUCCCUCUUAUUUGUUUAAUUAAUUAAAUAUUUAAUAAGUUACUAUUUAAUAUACCUAAUAUUAAUUGCUUAUUUACGAAGUAUAUGAUUAAUGCGUGCCAUAUUUUGGUGAUUAAUUUUCUGAUUUCUUGCCAAAUUUUAGAAAUCAAAUUAUCUAAUUUAUAAUAAAUGUUAUAUGGUAUCCUUUAGAGAAAAUAAAUUAAGCAAAUAAGAAUAAUUGUUAAUUGAUGAAUUGGUUGGUAUGUAUUUUCGGAAAAAAAAAGAAAUAAUAUGGCAAUGAAUAAAUGAAAAUAUUGAUGAAAUGUGGCCAUAUGAAUGAACCAAUGUAAAAUGCAUAUUUUUUCCAAGUAUGCAAUAAAAAAUGAACCAAUGUAUCUUAGUCUUAGUAUUAUUAUUAUAUCAGUAUUAGUAUUAGUAUUAGUAUUAGUAUUAGUAUUAGUAUUAGUAUUAGUAUUAGUAUUAGUAUUAGUAUUAGUAUUAGUAUUAAUAUUAGUAUUAGUAUUAAUAUUAAUAUUAGUACUAUAGUAUUAGUAUUAGUAACAAUAUUAGUAUUUUUAUUAGUAUUAGUAUUAGUAUUAGUAUUAAUAUUAGUAUGAUUUAUUUAUUUUAGAAAAGUCUGUGUAUUAGUAUCACGUAAUGAUCAACAUUAAUAUUAUAAUUAGUAUUAAGUUUAGUAUUAUAAAUAUCAUUAGCAUUAGGUUUUGGAUUAGGGUUAGUAUUAGGAUGUGAUUACCAGGAUUAACAUUAGCAUUAGCAUUAUAUAAUUAAGAGUAGGCUUAGUAUUACGAUUAUGAUUAUGAUAAGCGUCACAUAAGAAUUAUGAUUAGGAUUAUAUUUAGCAUCAACAUUAGCAUAUUAGCAUUAGCAUUAGCAUUUCGCAUUAGGAUAUUUGAAUUACUAUUACAAUUAGGAUUAUAAUUACUAUUACAAUUAGGAUUAGCAAUUAGCAUUAGGAUAUUUGAAUUACUAUUACAAUUAGAUUAGCAUUAGCAUAAGCAUGAGCGUUAGCACUAGAAUUGGCAUAUUAGGGUCAUCAUUAGCAAAUUAGAAUUAACAUUACCAUUGGCAUUAGCAUUAGCAUCUAAGUAUUUGUAUUAGUUUUACUAUUGGUUUUGGUAUAAGCAUUAGCAUUAUCAUUAAUAUAUUAUAAUCAAUAUUAAUAUAAGUAUUAGUAUUAUGAUUAGUAUUAGUAUUAACAUUAAAGAUUAGCUAGCAUUAGCAUAUUAAGACUUCUAAAAGGAUUAUAAUUAGGUUUAAUAUUAGUAUUAGUAAUAGGAUUAGGACUGUGAUGAUAAUUAAUAAUGAUAAUGGUAAUGGCAAUGGCAGUGGUAUUGGAAUUGGUAGUGGUAGUUGUAUUGUUCAUGAUAUUGGCAAUGGCAACAGUAUUGGUAUUGAGAUUGGUAUUGGUAUUGGUAUUGGUAUUGGUAUUGGUAUUGAUAUUGGUAUUGGUAUUGGUAUUGGUAUUGGUAUUGGUAUUGGUAUUGGUAUUGGUAUUGGUAUUGGUAUUGGUAUUGGUAUUGGUAUUGGUAUUGGUAUUGGUAUUGGUAUUGGUAUUAUUGGUAUUGGUAUUGGUAUUGGUAUUGGUAUUGGUAUUGGUAUUGGUAUAUGUAUAUUGGUAUUUGUAUUGAUAUUGGUAUUGGUAUUGGUAUUGAUAUUGGUAUUGGUAUUGGUAUUGGUAUUGGUAUUGGUAUUGAUAUUGGUAUUGCUAACGGUAUAUGUAUAUUGGUAUUUGUAUUGAUAUUGGUAUUGGUAUUGGUAUUGAUAUUGGUAUUGGUAUUGGUAUUGGUAUUGGUAUUGGUAUUGGUAUUGGUAUUGGUAUUGGUAUUGAUAUUGGUAUUGGUAUUGAUACUGAUAUUGAUUUUGUAUUGGUAUUGGUAUUGGUGUUGGUGUUAGUAUUAGUAAAUUAAUUUUAAUAUUAGUAUUGGUAUUAGUAUAUUAAUAUUAGCAGUAGCAUAUUAGUAAUGAUAAUAGUAUUAGUAUUAGUAUUAAUUAGUAGGAUUAGUAUAAGAAUUAUAAUUAGGAUUAAUACUAAUAAAACAUAAUUAUAAUAUUUUUCUACUACUUUGUAUUGCAUGUCAACAAUUCAUCUUACCAGUCCGAGAACGUUUUUAUUACCGAAUAUCAGUUAGAACGCUCAAUGCCCCGUGCAUCGCACGGGUGAAGUACUAGUUAAUUAGUAAAUAAUAAUAAUUAUUAUUAUUAUGGUUGUUGUUGUUGUUGUUGUUGUUGUUGUUGUUGUUGUUGUAAUUUAUUAUUAUUGUUAGUAAUUUAAUAUGCAUCAAUGCAUGCCUCAACAAAUUUUUCUUUAUUAAAAUGUUGGAAAUAUAUAUUAUGUAUAUUACACGGCUCAAGAAGCAAAGGUUGUGGUACAAGAUGGAUGUAGUGGUUUUUAUUGGUUUUAUUUUGAGUGGAGAAUGUACAUUUGAAUUUAUUGAGUCGUGUUUUACAUUAUACCAGACCAUUUAUGGAACCGAAUAUCUUGAUAAUAAAGAACUUGCCGAGAAAAUUAAGCAGCUAAUGAUGAGUGGAGAAACGUCGAACGGCUUGAGGAAGCGAGAUCAAUAAAAUCGGAACUAUUAUGCAUGAGGCAUUGAAAUUUCUUCCUUCUCAUUUAGCUCUAUUUUGUUUUUUUUUGAUAAAUAUUGCGAACUAUAUUUGUAUUGUUCUACGUAUCUUUUAUUGAAUAUGUAGUGUUGAUAUUUAGUUCAUGGACGUGUUUAUGUUUACAUUUCAUAUUUUGUUUUCUUAUGGUCGGUUUUGUUUCGUAGGAUCGGUUUUUACCCUACUCCGUAUGUUGAUAUGUUUUAUGUUAAUUAAUGUUGAAAUGUUCAAUCUGUUUUCAAAGAUCUAAUUAAGUUGAUUUAAAGAUAUUUGUAUUUCUAUUCGACCAGAAAGUAUAAUUCUCUGCUUUGUGAACUUGAUGUUGGUUUACUUUAUAAGUUCUGUGAUGUUGUUGAACCGGUGCACACUUAAUUACUCUUAUCAUAUUGUGGGCAUAUCGUGAAAGACUUUUAUUUAUUUUAUGCGGAAAAAACCUUAAUCACAGAAUCUUGAAAUCAAAUUCAUCUUAAGAAUAUAAUUACGUAAUAGAGAUUAUCGACAUACCGUUCGCCAUGGAUUCCGAUGGAGAUGAUGAACGAUAGCAAUCUACAAGCCGAGCCUAGCCAGGCCUCCUUCGAAUCUCCUUGAGAACUUUAUUCGUAGCACACAUUCUUCUCUCUAUCUCUCUAAAUAUCACAACUCACUAAGUAUUUCUGUAAUUGAUGGAAUUCUCAAUUGUGUCUGAUGGUUGAGGAGAAGAGCUGUGGAUUUCUUUUAUAGACGAGAGAAGAGGGCCACGAUUGAUUUGUAACGGCAGAAGACAAAUCCCACCCAUCGUGGUCUUUUAUUGCCUUCAACGUUACAAAUCAAUUACCAUAAAAUCACCUUAAUACCAUGAUUUGAAUUACCCACAAUUUAAUUAAAUAAAAUAAAGAUUAGUGGACCAAAAAUUAAAAGGUUCUAAAACGUAAACUAACAUUCUCCCACUUGGUCCACUGAAUCGAUUAAGAAAAAUAAGUUUAAAAACAAUUUGACUCGGUGGGUUCUUCAUACAAAACAUUUGACACGUGAUCACGAUUUUAAAAGAAAAUUAAGGUGAUUACCAUAAUAGGUAAAUAGAGUACUUUAAUACUAGAACUAGUUUGAGUUAUUAAUGUGAAUCAUAGCGGUUAUAUGAUUCAUUCAUCAUAUUCCCUUCUAUGUAUCACGCCACUAAUAACCCUUACUAUUCUAAUCCAUAAUAGCCCCUUUAAUUUUGUCUUGUUAGGACAAAUCCUGUUACAUUAACUCCAAAUAUAAUAUGUGCACACAUAAUUGGAAACAGGAAAACAGAAAUAUUUCAUUAAAUAAAUUAAGUGUCAAUUACAUAAUCAUAACUUAUCAAAUCAUGGAUUGCUCAAAAGACCCAUUCUAAUAACAUGUUCCUCAUAUGUCUUUAUAGGCAAUCCCUUGGUUAAUGGAUCAGCAACCAUAAGAGUUGUACUUAAAUUUUCUAUUGACACUUGUUGUUUCUGGACUCUUUCUUUAACAACCAAGUAUUUAAGAUCCAUGUGCUUGGAUCCACUUGAAUACUUUCCAUUCUUAGAGAAGAAAACGGCUGCGGUGUUAUCACAAUAUAUCUUCAAAGGCUUAGCAAUUGAGUCAACAGCCUUAAGCCCUAAGAUAAAAUUUCGCAACCAUAGUGCAUGACUCGAGGCCUCAAAACAUGCUACAAACUCAGCCUCCAUUGUGGAAGAAGCAAUAAUACUUUGCUUUACACUCUUCCACGAGAUUGCUCCACCAGCUAGUAGAAAUACAAAGCCCGAUGUGGACUUUCUACUAUCUACACAACCGGCAAAAUCAGAGUCUGAAUAACCAAUAACCUCUAAUUGGUCCGAUCUCCUAUAAGUAAGCAUGCAAUCCUUUGUUCCUUGAAGAUACCUCAUAACCUUCUUUGCUGCUUUCCAAUGAUCUAUUCCCGGAUUACUUUGAUAUCUACCAUGUACUCCCACUGCAUAACUAAUAUCUGAUCUAGUACACGUCUGUGCAUACAUCAGACUUCCAACUGCUGAUGGAAUCAAUUUCAUUUUCUCCUUUUCCAAAUCAUUCUUUGGACAUUGCUUUUCAUUUAAUUUAUCACCUUUCGUGAUAGGAGCAUUAAUGGCUGAACAAAACUGCAUAUUAAAUCUUUCAAGAACUCGAUUGAUAUAUCCUUUCUGAGACAAGCCUAACAAUCCUCGAGAUCGAUCUCUAAAGAUCUCUAUCCCAAUGACAUAAUUUGCCUCACCCAUAUCAACCAUCUUAAAAUUCUUGGAAAGAUAAUUCUUAGUUUCGUGAAGCAAACCAAGAUCACUACUUGCUAGUAAAAUAUCAUCCACAUACAAGACUAAAAAGAUAAACUUGCUCCCACUGACCUUUAGAUAUAUACACUGGUCAACAGUGUUUUCCUUAAAUCCAAAGGAAGUAAUGGUAUCAUUGAAUUUUAUAUACCAUUGUCUAGAAGCUUGUUUAAGUCCAUAUAUGGAUUUCUUUAAUUUACAAGCCAAGUGUUCCUUUCCUUGUUUUGCAAAUCCUUCAGGCUGGUCCAUAUAGAUAUCUUCAUCUAAAUCCCCAUUCAGAAAAGCAGUUUUCAGGUCCAUUUGGUGCAACUCCAAAUCAUAAUGAGCUACAAGAGCCAUAACAAUUCUAAGAGAGUCUUUCUUAGAUACUGGAGAGAAAGUUUCUCUAUAAUCAAUGCCUUCCUUUUGAGUGAAACCUUUGGCUACUAGUCUAGCUUUAAAUCUUUCGAUAUUGCCUUUAGAGUCACGUUUGGUCUUGAAGACCCAUCUACAACCGACUUUCUUACUGUUAUUAGGCAAUUCGACAAGAUCCCAGACACCAUUAUAGUCCAUUGAUUUCAACUCUUCAUUCAUAGCAUCAAUCCAUUUACUAGAAUCUUUACUUUUCAUGGCUUGUGAAUAUGAAACUGGAUCAUUUUGAAUACCAAUAUCAAAAUCAGAUUCUUGUAGAUACACCACAUAAUCAUCGGAUAUGGCAGAUUUCCUUUCCCUUUGAGAUUUCCUCAAAGCUACCGGUUGUGGUGGUUCUACAAUAUUGCUAAUGAUGACAUCUUCAUGAAGUGGUGAAUGGAGUGGUGAAUCAUUUGUUUCAACCUGCUGUAUAGGUUGAAGAGUAACUAUAUCUUGAGGGAAAUAAGAUGGUAAAAUAUCCACCCCAAUUUCCUCAAGUUCUACCUUUCUUGAUUCAACACUCCCACUAACUUCACCAUUCUCUAAGAAUUUGGCGUUUCCAGUUUCAACUAUCCUCGUAGUAUGGUUAGGACAAUAAAAUCUGUACCAUUUUGACUUUAGUGGAUAACCAAUAAAAUAUCCAGAAAUUGUUCUAGGAUCCAAUUUAUUUUCAUUUGGAUUGUAUAUUCUAGCCUCUGCUGGACAACCCCAAACAUGUAAAUGCCUUAAACUAGGUUUUCUACCAGUCCACAACUCGUAAGGAGUUGUUGGGACUGCCUUACUGGGAACCCGGUUUAAGAUAUACAUAGCGGUUUUCAAGGCUUCAUUCCAAAGUGAAAUGGGUACAGUUGAAUUACUUAACAUACUCCUAACCAUAUCCAUGAGAGUACGAUUACGACGUUCAGCAACUCCAUUCUGCUGUGGUGUUCCAGGCAUUGUGUAUUGAGCACAAAUACCACGCUUUUCUAAGAAUUUAGCAAAUGGGCCAGGAUUUUGUCCCGACUCAUCAUAUCUACCAUAGUAUUCUCCACCCCGAUCUGAUCGUAUAACUUUAAUUUUUCUAUCUAAUUGUCUUUCGACUUCCGUAACAAACACCUCAAGCAUGUCAACGGCUUGAGAUUUUUCAUGAAUUAGAUAGAGAUAACCAUAACGAGAUUAAUCAUCAAUGAAGGUGAUAAAAUACUUUUCUCCACUAAAAUAUGGAAUAGGUAGUGAGCAGAUAUCUGUAUGGAUUAACUCAAGAAGCUCUUUACUUCUUGUGGCACCCCGUUUAUUGUGUUUGGUUUGCUUACCCUUAAUGCAAUCCACACACACUUGAAAAUCAGUAAAAUCUAGAUUUUCCAAAAUUCCAGUUUUUUACCAAUCUUUCGAUUCUUUCCUUGGAGAUAUGCCCCAAUCGUUUAUGCCACAAGAUAGAAGAAUUUUCGUUAUUUAGGCUUCGCUUUACGCCAACUUCCGAAUGAGUGGUUAAUAAUGAUUGUUCAAACUCAUGAUUCAAUGAUAUUUUAUAUAAACUAUCACAUAAAAUACCGGAACCAAUUAUUAUUGAAUUAAACAUAAAACUGAGUUUUCCACAACCAAUUAAAGCUGAAUAACCACAAACAUCCAGUUUUGACAAAGAAACCAAAUUCCUAGAAAACGAAGGUACAUAAAAAGUAUUUUCAAGAUCCAUCUUGUGACCCGUCUCUAAUAUGAGGCGAUAAGUGCCAACAAACGCCACUUUAGAUUUGAGACGGUUCCCCAUAUAGAUGUACUUUUCACUUUUCUCCGGUUUCCGAGUUGUAAGGAAUCCCUGUAAUGAAUUUGUGAUAUGAGUUGUAGCACCAGAAUCAAGCCACCAAGUGUAAGAAGGAACUUCAAUAAGAUUUGAUUCAUAACAUACAAAAGAAAGAUGAAUACCUUUCUUUUCGAACCAAACCUUUCGUUUCUCACAAUCCUUCUUUACGUGUCCCUUCUUGUUACAAAAGUAACAGGUGACAACAAAAGCCUUUCCAUGACUCUGACUACUUUCACCAGGUUCAUAUCUUUUGUUUGGUGUGAAUUUCUUUCCACUCUUCACAAAUUUCCCUUUCUUCUUCAUACUUCCAUGAGUUACAGCCAAUGCAAAGUGAUUUCCUUCUUGCUUUAAUCUCACUUCCUCUUGAAUACACAUACUAGUCAGCUCAUUCAAAUUCCACUUAUCUUUUUGAGUAUUAUAGUGGAUUUUGAAUGGGCCGAACUUUGAUGGAAGUGAGUUAAGGAUAAAUUGCACAAGGAAGGACUCUUCCACUUUCAUGCCAAGAGCUCCAAGUUUGGCAGCCUUAUCAGUCAUAUUCAGGAUAUGUUCCUGAAUUCCCUUAUCACCACCAUAUUUCAUGGUAGUCAAUUCAGCCAUGAGUGUCCCUGCUAACGACUUGUCCGCUGAUUUAAAGCGUUCUUUAAUAGCCGUUAACAGUUCCAUAGCAUUGUCAACCUCGGGAAGGGAAGUCUUAAUGUUAUUAGCAACAGUCAUUCUAAUAAGCAUAAGACUAAGCCUAUUGGACUUGGUCCAGGCUUCAAUUAGGCUAACUUCUUCCUCACUGUUAGCAUCUGUUAUUUCCCCAGAUUUUUCAGUAAGCAAUGCUAGGUCCAAAUCCAUAACACCCAAGGUGAAUUGAAUUUGUUCAUACCAUUCGGAGAAAUUUGACCCACUGAGAGUCUUAAUACCAGAAGCAUGCGAGUACAACGAAGUGGGAAUAGCAACUGAAAUAUAUAUAGCAAAUAUAUAAGGUAAAGAUAAAAGGAUGCUCACAUAAGACCAUGAGUCAAAUAAGAUGAACUAUCGAUAUCACUACAAGUUCGCCUUUGGGUGAAAUACAGCAUACCUAUUGUUCACUCUAUGUUGGUGUAAAUGAUUUUUUAUAACACCUAAGUAGGGUCUAACAUAAUUUGUCUCACUCGUCAAUUAUUCAUAUUACCUUUAGGUAAACAAUUCUAAUUGCUAAGCAAUACAAAUUAUGAUACCCUACCCAGUUCAUAAUUAAUUAAAAUCGACUAUCCUUUGAGCUAGUCUCAAUUUCUUAAUUAUGACUGCAAUUUGAGAAUAUUAUAAUCUUUAAUAUCAUAUAAAUGAUUAAACUUUCAUAUAGUUCUUAUAUUUAUUAGAUUUACUAAUCUAGGUCACUUUAGCAACUACAAGAGUAGUAAAUUUCAUAAAUAUAAAACUAAUAAUAUUCUCGUUAUUUUAUUUGAAUGGCGUUUAAUAGUGAACGAAUUGUACGAAAUAUGUACCGUCAUAUGGAUCAUAUAAUUCAUCACAUACAACUUCAUAUACUAAAAUUAUAAAACAAUUUUCCAUUCACAGAAUACAGACAAUUCAAGCACUAAAAGGUUGCACAUAAUUAACACACACAGAAUACAUGCUCUUGGCCAUGCUCUCAGCAUAUGUAUGUAAAUCAUAUAUGAUACAUAUACUGACAUAAUAAUAAAAAGCUGUCAAAUCCCACUAUCACAUUCAAUUAAUUAGUAUUAAUAUCUUGUUGGCAUAAUGGAUCAGUUUCGAUAUGCAGGAUUAAACUUCCUUCGUGUUUUUUUUUUUUUUUUUUUUUUUUUUUUGAGAAUGUUACGUGUGUACACAUAUCACACACACAUCACGCCAUCACGCAGUACUAUAUAUUUAUAUAAUAAAUAUAAAUUCAAUCAACAGCCAUAUACAUAUAUAAUACUGGGCGAGUACAGCUUUGAUAGUCACGAAAUUGUGAUUUUUCGGAUUUAUAGAAACAGAGACGAAUCGAUAAACAAGAUAUUCACAUAACAAUUAAUUUAAAUUCUAAGAUGAAUCGAUUUCAACACUCUGCUCUGAUACUAAUUGAAAGACUUUUAUUUAUCUUAUGCGGAAAAAACCUUAAUCACAGAAUCUUGAAAUCAAAUUCAUCUUAAGAAUAUAAUUACGUAAUAGAGAUUAUCGACAUACCGUUCGCCAUGGAUUCCGAUGGAGAUGAUGAACGAUAGCAAUCUACAAGCCGAGCCUAGCCAGGCCUCCUUCGAAUCUCCUUGAGAACUUUAUUCGUAGCACACAUUCUUCUCUCUAUCUCUCUAAAUAUCACAACUCACUAAGUAUUUCUGUAAUUGAUGGAAUUCUCAAUUGUGUCUGAUGGUUGAGGAGAAGAGCUGUGGAUUUCUUUUAUAGACGAGAGAAGAGGGCCACGAUUGAUUUGUAACGGCAGAAGACAAAUCCCACCCAUCGUGGUCUUUUAUUGCCUUCAACGUUACAAAUCAAUUACCAUAAAAUCACCUUAAUACCAUGAUUUGAAUUACCCACAAUUUAAUUAAAUAAAAUAAAGAUUAGUGGACCAAAAAUUAAAAGGUUCUAAAACGUAAACUAACAUAUCGAUUAUGCUUAGUGAAAGAUAAUAGAAUAAAAGCAUAUGUUACUUACAAUACUGCUUGAUGAUAGGCUAAUGCAAAGCGAUGAGAGGAUUUAUAUACAAGAAUUGUGGGAUGUGUCCCAGUGACUUCCAUUGAUGACUUAAAUUCCAACAUGAUUAAGGUCACACUACGUGAUUCUUUGUUUUAUUUUAUUUUAUUUUUGUUGUAAAAUGACCUAUUUAUCUAGCUCUUUGGUUUGUGUUUGUGGAAAUACAUAAGAACAUAAUAACGAUAAUGGAGAGCGAAUGAGAGAAUGCAAAGAACAAGAAUCCGUAGAGAGAAAAUUGUGGGGUAUCCAUGGGGAGGGAGUUUUUCUCAUUAAUAUAGGUGUAAGCCACCGGAAGUUACAAGGAGGAGUUACAAAUGGAAGUUCCAUGGAAGUUAUUUCCUGCACACAUCAUGGGACUAAGGUGUGGGAAGUUUACACUAGUGGGAGGUUGAAAACCAUCAAGUGGUUAUGUUAGGAAACCACACAUUCCAUACUAUUUACAACACUCCCCCUUGGGUUCCUAUCAAACCACUAUUGUGCUUUUUGUGUUGCCUCGUUAAAACCUUCCGAGUCAUAAAACCCAUUGGGAAAAAAACAAUCUCGGUUAGGGAAAAGAGUACAACGCACAAUCUUUUCAAUCAACAAAUGUUGCCUCAUUAAAACCUUGUCGAAUAACUAAAACCCUGUGGGAAAAAUAAACCUCGCACGAAGGAAAAAGAGUACAACAGGGCACUCGGGUAUCUUCUGGAUACUGAGUACCUACAGGGUACUCCCCCUCAAGUUAACUCCCCCUGAUGUCUACAAGGGAGCGAGCUUGUAUAAUCUACGCAAGUCAAAAGCCUUAACAUGAAUUUUCAUAGUGACUUUAGGCGAAGACUUAGUAAAUAAGUUUGCGUAGUUAACUUAAAUCAUGACCUGCUGGAUCAUUUCAGCUCUUAUUGUUGUUGAUUGAAGAAAACUUCAAAGCUAUGUACAUGGAGUUAUCACUUUAAUGAAGCCCGUCUUCAUUUGCUCAAUGCAUACUGUAUUACAGUAAAAUACAAUAUCGUAGGAUCUUUUGUGUUAGUCGAUUCACAGGAAUCUCGAACAUGCAUAAUCAUGGCUUCAGGCCAUGUGCAUUCACUCAUUACCUCGUGAAGCAAACAUCAUGCAUGAUUUGACCUAGUAACAACUAAGAUACAUUUCAUAGAACCCCAAGACAUAGCUAUUUUCCCAAUACUAAACCAUAGAUUGGGAAUGAGCUUUGUAUGGAUAUGACUUCUAGUCAAUGCCAAUAUAAACCACAAGUUUCGCCUCAUUCAUUCAUGCAUAGGGCAUGUCGGUAAGGUGAGAUAAGUCUAUCUAAUAAAUUUACCGAAAACGCUAAAUCAUAUCGAGUACAUGGAGUUAAGCAUAAUAAUGCAUAUAUUGCAUUUACAUAUGGCACUUCUGGUGCUAACACUUCUUUGUCCUCCUCCAUCGGACAGAAUAAAUCAUUGGGCCUAUUUCACUGUCCAACUCCCAUAGGUAUUACUCGAUAAUUUCUCUUUAUCCAUAACAUCUUCUCGAUGUAAUUCGAUUAAUGGACAUAAAUAUAAUUGACAUGAUAAAUUUUAAGUUGGUAGAGACAACAAAUUAGUCUCAUUUAGAUCUUUGAUCUUGAACUCAAAUUUUCAACAAUUGAGUUUUUCUUACUUGACUUCUAGUCUAAAUCAAGUUUAUGUCCUUUAUAUAAAUUGUAGUAAUAGGAACAAUCAAAACCAAUUAUUGUUCACAUAUUCUCUUCCGAGCAAUUGUUCACUUAGGCAAUUGUCUUAUAUUCUUCUAGAAUAUUUCUAGUCAUAAUUAAAGUGAACAUCUCAGCCCAACUGAGUUUAUGUUCCGUGAUCUGGAACUAAUUGCUUCGGGAAAUCGAAGUCCUUCUGGAACUUUCAUAUAAAUACUUGUAUCUAGAUUCUCAUUAGAUACUUUGUGACCACGUAUUUAAUAACAUUCACCAUGAAAGAGUAUACCUCUUUAAAAUCAAUCUCAGUAUUCUGAGGAAUCUUUGAAUUAUGAGAUGAGUCUUCGAGCUCCCAAUCUCAUUUGCCCAUAAAUCAUUGUACUGUGAGAUGAGUCUUAUGGCUCCAAAUCUCGUUCGAGCUAUGAGAUGAGUCUUCUGGCUCCCAAUCUCGUUUAAGCUAUGAGAUGAAUCUUCAGGUUCUCAAUCUCAUUUGAGCUAUGAGAUGAAUCUUCUGGUUCCCAAUCUCAUUUCAUUGAUUGAGCUAUGAGAUGAGUCUCCCGGCUCCCAAUCUCGUUUAAGCUAUGAGAUGAAUCUUCUAGUUCCCAAUCUCAUUUGAGCUAUGAGAUGAAUCUUCUGGUUCACAAUCUCAUUUCAUUGAUUGAGCUAUGAGAUGAGUCUCCCGGCUCCCAAUCUCGUUUAAGCUAUGAGAUGAAUCUUCUAGUUCCCAAUCUCAUUUGAGCUAUGAGAUGAAUCUUCUGGUUCACAAUCUCAUUUCAUUCCUUGAGCUAUGAGAUGAGCUUAAUGGCUCCCAAUCUCCUUUGAGGUAUGAGAUGAGCUUUUUGGCUCCCAAUCUCGUUUCUUUUCUUUGUGAGUACUCACUUAUAUCUCAUGGGUGAAAUUCAAGGAGUUGUAGGAACUACUGGUCUCUACACUCUCCAUUUUAUCAAGGAAUCAAAUUCAGCUUGGAUUGAUUUCGGCCAUCAUCCAUUUGUUUACACUUAUCAAUUGAUCGAGGUUUUUAUCAAUCACUCGUUAAAACAUUCAGUAGCUACUGUGUAGGGAAGUUUAUCAUCGAUGAUCAUUUCAUCCCAAUACCACAUCUCGUUCAUGCAUGAAUAACUAACCGAGUUUUUACUAUUCACGGAAUGGAUAUUAAUGUCGAGGCGUCCCCCGACUUCGUCUGCAGGACGAAUCCAUAGUCCGGAAUUAUUUUAUGAGAUGGAUCAAGUGGGAUCCCAUUUAUACUAGUGCUAACCGGAUUCAAUUGUUGGACAUUCAUCCACUUCCGGGGGUGAGAAAUCAUUUGGUCCCAUUGCGCUCCCCCUAUCCUAGGAAGGGAGGCAAGACUAGUUAGCAUGGAUUGAUGGCCUACCCGUAAUUGUCCUUCUAGGACAUCUGCCAUUGCUGGCUUACUUGAGAUCUCGUCACUUUUUCAAAUCAGAGAAUGAGUCUGACAUUAUUCGUUCUACACGACUUCAUAUUGUUCUUUAGAAACAUUAGUAUGGACGUUCUUUUCAGAUUUCUAAGUCGUCCCAUACGACUUGACGCCGUUCUUCGGGAACGUUACGAUGCACAUUACUUGCAAAUCUAUAUUUUCAUCCCGCACGACUUCACGUCGUUCUUCAGGAACAUUAGUAUGGAUGAUCUAUUAAUCUAUGUAUCAAUUCUCUGAUGUAGGGGAUCUUGAUGAGACACUGUGGGGUCGUCUCACACGACUUCACGCCGUUCUUCAGGAACGGUAGUGUGAACGUUCUUUCCUCCCCCUAACGCGGGAAGACAGUCUCAUCAAAGUGACAGUCCGCAAUUUGAGCGGGUAAGAGAUCGCCUAUAUUAGGUUUUAAAUUUUAGUUAAAGAUGGUGAUACAUAGUCCACAUAUAUCUCCUUGGAUUACCUCCAAGAAAUGAAUUGAAUCAUUAUAUGUAUGUGCGUAUGCUGACAUAUAAUCAAAUUACUUGAUUUCGAGCAAUCGACAACUUAUGCUUCUGGCAUACAAAUUGUGGUUCUAUAUAACCGUGUCGAAAAAUUCCUCUAAUUUUCCCAAUGUACGGUUCUGGUCGUACAUGUUAGAGAUGAUGCACAUAUAUUCGAUUUCUUGGCUUCAAUGAUUUCAACAUAAUAACCAUUAGCUCAAAUAUCUUUAAAGUUUAACAACGUUCUACUGGAACGUGGAGAAAAAAAUUGAGCUACUUCAAUGGGCAAAACUGUGCCAUAAAAUAACAUAAUGUAGACAUUACCAUAACCAUCUAUCAAAACUACAUGUGCCUCAUUUAGUUAUCAAAGAGGUCUUCCUACAAAUAGACAUGAAAUUAAUAAAAAUACGACUUAUCUCUAAGGAUAGUAUGUGUAGUCGCACUAUCUGCCAGACAUUUAUCCCCACAUGUCAUGUCUACAGAGUUAUAUAAAUUUAAUCAUAUAUAUUCAGUACUUCCGGUACUAAAUAAAUUCAACAAGCAAACACCACUGAAUAACAUAAUAAUUAACUUAGAACACAUAGUGACAUAAACAUAUGGUCCAGAGCAUAAACUAAACAUGAUCCACAUACGAAUACAGUUCAUAACAUGAGCAUAUGAAAUGCGAUGAUUGAAAUUCUAUACACUAAUAGCUAGAGCAUAAAUGACCAUAAUGCAUAUUUCAUGAAAUCAACACUUCAAUCAUAUCCCAACCUGGAUCAUUUGGUCAGAUGUGCCCAAGUAUGGGAGUUGAGUAACGGCCUCCACGAGAUAUUAACAUCUACCAAAUCAGUCGAUGUUGGUGCAUUAUUAUUUGCAUACCCAACCCCAAUGUUCCUCGCACUUUAGGUGCGCGACCAAUUCUUAGAUCCACUAUAUAUAAAACAUAUAUUUAUGUUCUGAUUUUGAGCUCUAUUCGGAUUUUAAAGGUCAUAUACAAAUCGUUUAUGAACAUUUGCUCCUUGCUUCAGGCAAGCGUAUUGUCUUUUGGUAAUCAAAACGACUAGUCAGGGUAUCCCAUUCUUUAUGAGGACCCUCGUUCGAUGAAUAUUCCAAACGAAGGAUUUCAUCUAAUUAUCUCGUAAUCAGAAACAUAGUCUCAGCCUUCUGGGCUUUAUUUACCUAAUAAAUUAUACUCGAAAACAACCAUUCUCAAUUGCUCACUAAGCUUAUGGAUCUUAACAUCCAUUCUCCAACCAAAAAAAACUUUCACCAAGUACAUUAAGUUGGGUAAACUCGAGUUUGCUCAUGUGUUUCAUCUCAAAUCAAAUAGAAUAAUGAGUAUUAUUGUUUUAUGGGAAUGUAACCUCCAUAAAAAAUUUCAUGAAUAUUUUGCACAUAUUAGAACUUCCGGUCUAAUAAUUCAUACACCACAUGUUCAUACACAUUCAUGGAUUUCAUACGAUAAACCAUAACGACAAACAAAAUAUUGUUUACCAUUUUCAUAUCACAAAAUUACAUAUGGCAAAUAUGGAUCAAUUGAAUAAAAUUCUCCACUAGAGAUGGACCAAAAUCUUCAUGCAAUUAAGACUUUGUAAAUUGUCAAAUAUACAAAAUAUAACAUGCUAAAUAAUAUAAACAAUAUAUAGCAUGUAAAAUCUCAUAUAAAUUCAAGGAACUAAUUCUGAAAUUAUUCCGGUAGAUAAUCAUGAAUUAACUAAACAGAUCCAUAAUGUUAUCAAGUAUCAGCAGUGCAUUAGAUCAUCUUAAAAUCAAAUGACCAAGUAAUUGUAGCAAAAUUUUCUAACAAUUCAUGCAAUACAAAUUCAACCAAGAAAACAAAAUAUUAAUAUGCCUACAAUCACGUUCAGUAAAAAACAUAAACAAUUUCACAUUCAUCAUCAAAUAUAUUCACCCCUCAUUCUACAGUGCAUAUUUAUUCAUAAGCUUCUUAGUGCACUGUGUUCUAAAAUAUUAUGAUAAAACAUUCAUAAUACAAUUUCAUAUCAAAUCCUCGAAACAUGAAAUAAACCAGCAAGGUACUAUAAUCAUUUGACAAUAUACAAUCACACCUUUAUCGUCGCUAUUCAUUGAAUCCGGAAUGAAUGCAAAUGAUAAAAUAAUUUGCUACACCACAUACCAAAAACAAUCAUUGUGAUAUUUAUACCAUACUGUAACAUAAUUAAGCAUGCUUCCAAUAAUUACGAAUCACAUCAUAUUUUGAAAUUAUCCACAGUAUAGAUGAAGUAAUGACUUGAAGAUAAAUAUGUACUUCAUGCAUUUCAUGCCAUUAAAUAGAUCUAGUGCAUCUCUUAUGAAAUCGAAAUUGCAAGGGAUUACGGCUUACUUGAAACGCUUAAACCCAAAUGUUGAAGAAUAUAUUGUAUUCAUCGAACAAGAUUACCAUUUCACGAACGAACUCGAAUCACAAGUUCUUCAAGCAUCCACGUGCCAAAAAUGGUUCAUUUUUCACGAGCACCUGAAUCACAAAUUCUUCAAGUAUCCUAGUCCCACGAACGAUUGUCUUUCCACAAUCACAACGAGCAUUUCGUGCUGAUAACGUGUUGUAAAAUGACCUAUUUAUCUAGCUCUUUGGUUUGUGUUUGUGGAAAUACAUAAGAACAUAAUAACGAUAAUGGAGAGCGAAUGAGAGAAUGCAAAGAACAAGAAUCCGUAGAGAGAAAAUUGUGGGGUAUCCAUGGGGAGGGAGUUUUUCUCAUUAAUAUAGAUGUAAGCCACCGGAAGUUACAAGGAGGAGUUACAAAUGGAAGUUCCAUGGAAGUUAUUUCCUGCACACAUCAUGGGACUAAGGUGUGGGAAGUUUACACUAGUGGGAGGUUGAAAACCAUCAAGUGGUUAUGUUAGGAAACCACACAUUCCAUACUAUUUACAACAAUUUUCUAUUUUUUUUUUCUUGUUAGAGUUAUUUUUAUUUUUAAUUUAAUAGUAGAAAAAGACAUUGAAAUUUGAUUUUUUAUUCUACAUUAUUUUUUUCAAAUCUCGUGCAUUACAUGGAUUACUAGUACUAUUAUAAUAAUGCUAAUGUUAAUGCUAAUAUAUUAAUACUAAUAUGUUAUGUUAAUACUAAUACUAACACUAAUACUUAUACUAUACUAAUCUACUAGUAUUAAUGUUAAUACUAAUACUAAUAGUAACACUAAUAAAUAUAUAAUAAUGCAAGUACUAAUACUAAUAUAUAUACUUAUACUAAUAUUAAUACUAAUAUGUAUUUUGGUAGUGGGCGUCACAAGUGGUAUCAGAGCUUGGGUUGGGUGCCCGAGCGACGCCGGAAAAAGAUCCUUGAAAAUUGUAGAACUUAGUCUUUAAAUGCUUGAUAUAGAUUCUUGGAUGUUAGAGAGCUUUGGAUAUAAUUUUGAAAUUGAGGUUAUUGACUGUAUACUUUUUGAUAUUAAGUCAACAUUGAGUAUGUAUAGAGAAAGUGCUUUGACGUUUAUUAUCGAGAUAGUUUCGAAGUAUUCCAUAAUUAUUCUCCAUCUCUUAAUCCUCGGCCUCGACAUUUGAUUUUAGAAUUGGCUUAUUGUGUUUGUUCGGGAUUUAGUUGGGCACUAAGAGCUAGAAUGUUAAUUCGAAAGAGAACGGUCCAUUCAAGAAUGGCAAGUUGUUCGUGCCUCUGUUUUCAACGCAAAUAGUUACGAAAUCCAAAAGAUUUCUGAAGAAAGUCUAGUGACUCUGGUGUGUUUGCUCAAUAAAUCUAAGGAUAAGAUAGACAGCAAGAGAUAUCCAUAGUACGUGCUUCUCCAUAAAUGAAUUAAUCCUGAAUUUAUUAUAUUUAAAUUAUCUAAACAGAGACUCUGUCUAUUUCUAUUUGAUGUUCUUGGUUCUUUUGGCCACAUCACAUUGCUAUUAUUGAUCACAAAUGAGGUUUCUUAACUCGUUUGAAUAUUCUAUGGUUUGUCUAGUCCAUUUUCCGAAACUCUAUGUUAUUCUUCUACUAUCCACUUUUGUUUACCUAUUUUUUGAGGUUCAUAUUUCGUUCGAAAUUGAUUCAACUAUUAUGAGAUUUCUAAUCUCGUUAUAAUUCGUAUAUACCUUUCGUCAGACUUAUCAUUCCUUUGAGUGCUAUUUCACUUGAUUUGGUACCAAUUGCCCUAAAUACAUGCAACAAAUUCAAUAUGUUAUACAAUGAUAAACACGUUAAUAACCUUUUCCAAGCAAAACGGCCCGACAUACAAAACUCAUGAGCUUUGCUCAAGAAUCACGUCAGAUUUCAGUGAUCCGAUUUCGUUUCAACUCAUAUAAAUCAAAUUUUGCUAUUUUAGGAAACUUUUAGAAAAUUCAUAUCAAUUCAUAUAAACAUCUAAUGAUGAUUCUGUGAGUUGGGUUUUUUCUAAUAUUACGAAAUCUAACAAAAUUUUGGUUCAACUCAUUUACACAUUUUCCCAACAAAAUGGUUGUUUUUCCCAACUAUUAAGGUUUGCUUAGUUUUAAAUGCACGUUAACCACUCUAACCCAAGAAAAUGGCCCGACCAACAAAACUCAUGACCGUAGCUCAUGAAUCGCGUAAGAUUUAGGGGAUUUGACAUCUUUGCAACUCACAAAAAUUAAAUUUUACUAUUUUAGGAAUUUUUUGGAAAACUCAUAUCAAUUCAUAGAAACAUCAGAUAAGGAUUCCGUCAGUUGUGUUACUUCUAAAAUGCUGAGAUACAUUUCAAUUAUGUUUUCACUCAUUUUCUCAUUUUCUGCAAAAUGGCCGUUAUCUCGAUUUGUUAGGGUUUUUUGAGUAUUAAUAGCACGUUAACAAUCCUUUCCCAAGCAAAACGGCAUGACGAACAAAACUCGGGAGCUCUGCUCAUAAAUCGCGUUAGAUUUCGGUGAUCCGACUACGUUUCAACUCAUAUAAAUAAAAUUUUGCUAUUUUAGGAAACUUUUAGAAAAUUCAUAUCAAUUCAUAUAGACAUCCGAUGAUGAUUCUCUCGGUUGGGUUGUAUCUAAUAUUGCGAAAUCUAAUAGAAUUUUAGUUCAACUCAUUUUUGCAUUUUUCAAGCAAAAUGGUUGCUUUUCCCAAAUAAUUAAUGUUUGUUUAGUUUUAAUUGCACGUUAACAACCCUAUCCCAAGCAAACGGCCCGACCAACAAAACUCGUGACCGCAACUCAUGAAUCACGUAACAUUUCGGUGAUCCGACGUCUUUUCGACUAACAAAUAUCAAAUUUUACUAUUUCAGGAAAUUCAUAGAAAAUUCAUAUCAAUUCAUAGAAACUUCAGAUAAGGAUUCCGUCAUUUGUGUUACUUUUAAAAUUUCGAGAUACAUUAGAAUUAGGUUUUAACUCAUUUUCGCAUUUUUAUGCAAAAUGGUAGUUAUCCCGGUUUAUUAGGUUUUUUGUUAUAAUUAAUAUCACGUUAAUAACCCUUUCCCCAGCAAAACGGCCAGACAAACAAAACUCAGGAGCAUAUAGCUCAUAAAUCGCGUCAGAUUUCGGUGAUCCGACUUCGUUUCGACUCAUAGAAAUCAAAUGUUGCUAUUUUAGGAAAGUUUUAGAAAUUUUAUAUCAAUUCAUAUAAACACCUGUUGAUGAUUGUGUCAGUUGGGUUGUUUCUUAUACUGCGAUAUCUAAUAGAAUUUUAGUUCAACUCAUUUACGCAUUUUUCCAGCAACAUUGUCGUUUUUCCCAACUCAUUAAGUUUUGUUUAUUUUUAAAUGCACGUUAACCACUCUAUCCCAAGCAAAUGGCCAGACCAACAAAACUCAUGAGCGUUGAAUCGCGUAAGACUUCGGUGAUCCGACAUCUUUGCAACACACAAAAAUCAAAUAUUACUAUUUUAGGAUUUUUGUAGAAAAUUCAUAUCAAUUCAUAGAAACGUCAUAUAAGGUUUCUGUCAGUUGUAUUACUUCUAAAAUUCCGAGAUGCGUUGGAAUUAGGUUUUAACUCAUUUUAGGAUUUUUAUGCAAAAUGGGUUAUUAGGCUUUUUUUGUGUAUUAAUAGAACGUUAACAACCCCUUCCAAAGAAAAACGGCCGGAAGAUCAAAACUCAUGAGCUAAGCUCAUGAAUCGCGUCAGAUUUCGAUUAUCCGGCUUCGUUUGGACUCAUAGAAAUCAAAUUUUGCUAUUUUAGGAGAGUUUUAGAAAAAUCAUAUCAAUUCAUAUAGCAUUCGAUGAUGAUUCUCUCAAUUGGGUUGUUUCUAAUAUUGCAAAAUCUAAUAGAAUUUUCGUUCAACUCAUUUUUGCAUUUUUCAAGCAAAAAGUGUCAUUUGUCUGAACUAAUUAAUGUUUGUUUAGUAUUAAUUGCACGUUAACAACCCUAUCCCAAGCAAAUGGCCCGACCAACAAAACUCAUGAACAUAGGUCAUGAAUCGCGUAAGAUUUCAAUGAUCCGACGUCUUUUCGACUCACAAUAUCAAAUUUUACUGUUUUAGGAAAUUCUUAGAAAAUUCAUUUCAAUUCAUAGAUACAUCAGAUGAGGAUUCCGAAAGUUGUGUUACUUCUAAAAUUCCGUAAUAUAUUAGAAUUAGGUUUUAACUCAUUUUCGCAUUUAUCUUCUAAAUGGAAGUUAUGCCGAUUUAUUAGGGUUUUGAGUAUUAAUAGCACGUUAACAACCCUUUCCCAAGAAAAUGGCCCGACCAGCAAAACUCAUGACCGUAGCUCAUGAUUGCGUAAGAUUUCGGUAAUCGGACUUCUUUUCGGCUCACGGUUGGGUUGUUUCUAAUAUUUCGAAAUCUAAUAGAAUUUUAGUUCAACUCAUUUUCGCAUUUUUCAAGAAAAAUGGUUGUUUCUCCCAAAUAAUUAAUGUUUGUUUGGUUUUAAUUGCACAUUAACAGUUUUUUCCUAAGCAAAAUGGCCCAAAGAACAAAACUCAAAUGCUUUGCUCAUGAACCGCGUAAGAUUUCGGUGAUCCAGCGUCUUUUCGACUCACAAAUAUCAAAUUUUACUAUUUUAGAAAAUUCUUAGAAAAUUCAUAUCAAUUCAUAGAAACUUCAGAUGAAGAUUCCGUCAGUUGUGUUACUUCUAAAAUUUCGAGAUUUAUUAGAAUUAGGUUUUAACUCAUUUUCGCAUUUUUCAGCAAAAUGGCCGUUAUCCGUGUUUAUUAGGUUUUUUCGAGUAUUAAUAACACGUUAACAACACUUUCCCCAGUAAAACGGCCUGACGAACAUAUAUCAUGAGCAUUGCUCAUGACUCGCGUCAGAUUUCGGUGAUCCGACUUCAUUUCGACUCAUAUAAAUCAAAAAUUUUGCUAUUUUAGGAAAGUUUUAGGAAAAUCAUAUCAAUUCAUAUAGACAUCCAAUGAUGAUUCUCUCGGUUGGGUUGUUUCUAAUAAUGCGAAAUCUAAUAGAAUUUUAGUUCAACUCAUUUUCGCAUUUUUCAAGCAAGAUGGUUGUUUUUCCCAAAUAAUUAAUGUUUGUUUAGUUUUAAUUGCACGUUAACAACCCUAUCCCAAGCUAACGCCCGACCAACAAAACUCAUGACCUUAUCUCAUGAAUCGCGUAAGAUUUCGGUGAUCCGACGUCUUUUGGACUCACAAAUAUCAAAUUUUACUAUUUCAGGAAAUUCUUUGAAAAUUCAUAUCAAUUCAUAGAAAUUUAAGAUGAGGAUUUCGUCAUAUGUGUUACUUCUAAAUCUACGAGAUACAUUAUAAUUAUGUUUUAACUCAUUUUCGCAUUUUUCUGCAAAAUGGUAGUAAUCCUGAUUUAUUUGGUUUUUUUCUAAUAAUUAAUAGCACGUUAACAACCCUUUCCCCCGCAAAACGGCCCGACGAACAAACAUCAGGAGCAUUGAUCAUAAGUCGCUUCAGAUUUCGGUGAUCCGACUUCGUUUGAACUCAUAGAAAUCAAAUGUUGCUAUUUUAGGAAAGUUUUACAAAUUUCAUAUCAAUUCAUAUAAACAGCUGGUGAUGAUCGUGUCAAUUGGAUUGUCUCUUAUACUGCAAAAUCUAAUAGAAUUUUGGUUCAACCCAUUUACGUAUUUUUCCAGCAAAAUGGUCGUUUUUCCCAACUUAUUAAGCUUUGUUUAGUUUUAAAUGCAUGUUAACAACUCUAUCCCAAGCAAAUGGCCCGACCAACAAAACUCUUGAUCGUUCAAUCGCGUAAGAUUUCGGUGAUCCGACGUCUUUGCAACUCACAAAAAUCAAAUUUUACUAUUUUAGGAUUUUUUCCGAAAAUUCAUAUCAAUUCAUAGAAACAUCGGAUAAGGAUUCCAUCAUUUGUGUUACUUCUAAAACUCCGAGAUACAUAAGAAUUACGUUUGAACUCAUUUUCGCAUUUUUCUGCAAAAUGGCCGUUCUCUAGGUUUAUUAGAGUUUUUUGAGUAUUAAUAUCAUGUUAACAACCCUAUCUCAAGCAAAACGACCCGACUAACAAAACCAUGAGCUAUGCUUAUGAAUCGCAUCACAUUUCGGUGAUCCGACUUCGUUUCGACUCAUAGAAAUCAAAUUUUGCUAUUUUAGGAAAGUUUUAGAAAAUCCAUAUCAAUUCUAUUAAACAUCUGAUGAUGAUGAUUCUGUUAGUUGGGUUGUUUUUCUAAUAUAACAAAACCUAAUCGAAUUUUGGUUCAACCCAGUUUCACAUUUUUCCAGCAAAAUGUUCGUUUUUCCAAACUUAUUAAGGUUUUUUUAGUUUUAAUUGCACGUUAACAACCUUAUCCCAAGCAAACGGCCCAACCAACAAAACUCAUGACUGUUGCUCAUGAAUUGUGUAAGACUUCGGUGAUCCGACGCCUUUUCUACUCACAAAAAUCAAAUUUUACUAUUUUAGGAAAUUUUUAGAAAAUUCAUAUCAAUUCAUACAAACAUAAGACGGGGCGUCAGUUUUUGUUACUUCUAAUAUUCCGAGACACAUUUCAAUUAUGUUUUCACCCAUUUUCACAUUUUUCAGCAAAAUGGCCGUUAUCCAGGUUUAUUAGGGUUUUUUUUAGUAUUAAUAGCACGUUAACAAUCCUUUCCCAAGCAAAAUGGCCCAAAGAACAAAACUCAUGAGCUUUGCUCAUGAAUCGCGUAAGAUUUCGCUGAUCCAACAUCUUUUCGACUCACAAAUAUCAAAUUUACUAUUUUAGUAAAUUCUUAGAAAAUUCAUAUCAAUCCAUAGAAACUUCAGAUGAGGAUUCCGUCAUUUGUGUUACUUUUAAAACCCCGAGAUACAUUAGAAUUAGGUUUUAACUCAUUUUCGCAUUUUUCUGCAAAAUGGUCUUUAUCCUAGUUUAUUAAGUUUCUUUGAGUAUUAUUAAUAGCACGUUAACAACCCUUUCCCAAGCAAAACGGCCGGACAAUCAAAACUCCUGAGCUAAGCUCAUGAAUUGCGUCAGAUUUCGGUUAUCCGGCUUCAUUUGGACUCAUAGAAAUCAACUUUUGCUAUUUUAGGAGAGUUUUAGAAAAAUCGUAUCAAUUCAUAUAGACAUAUGAUGAUGAUUCUCUCCGUUGGGUUGUUUCUAAUAUUGCGAAAUCUAAUAGAUUUUAGUUGAACUCAUUUUUGCUUUUUUCGAGAGUGUCGUUUGUCCCAACCAAUUAAUGUUUGUUUAGUAUUAAUUGCACGUUAUUAACAACCCUACCCUAAGCAAAUGGCCCGACAACCAAAAAUCAUGACCAUAGGUCAUGAAUCGCGUAAGAUUUCUGUGGUCCGACGUCUUUUCAACUCACAAAAUGAAAUUUUAUUGUUUUAGGAAAUUUUUAGAAAAUUCAUAUCAAUUCAUAGGUACAUGAGAUGAAGAUUCCAACAAUUGUGGUACUUCUACACUUCCGUGACAUGUUAGAAUUAGGUUUUUGCUCAUUUUUGCAUUUAUCUUCUAAAUGGAAGUUAUCCCGGUUUAUUAGGGUUUUUUUUUUAGUAUAAUAGCACGUUAACAGCCCUUUCCCAAGCAAACGGCCCCACCAACAAAACUCAUGACCGUAGCUCAUGCUUGCGUAAGAUAUCGGUGAUCCAACUUCGUAUCGGCUCAUAAAAAUCAAAUUUUACUAUUUUAGGAAACUUUUAGAAAAUUCAUAUCAAUUCAUAUAGAUAUCCGAUGAUGAUUCUCUCGAUUGGGUUGUUUCUAUUAUUGCAAAAUCGAAUAGAAUUUUAGUUCAACUAAUUUUCGCGUUUUUCAUGCAAAUUGGUUGUUUUUUCCCAAAUAAAUAAUGUUUGUUUAGUUUUAAUUGCAUCGUAAACAAUCUUUUCCUAAGCAAAACGGCCCAAAGAACAAAACUCAAGAGCUUUGCUCAUGAAUCGCGUAAGAUUUCGGUGAUCCGACGUCUUUUUGACUCACAAAUAUCAAAUUUUACUGUUUUAGGGAAUUCUUAAAGAAAUCAUAUCAAUUCAUAGAAAGUUCAAAUGAGGAUUCCGUCAGUUGUGUAACUUCUAAAAUUUCGAAAUAUAUUAGAAUUAUGUUCUUAGUCAUUUUCACAUUUUUCUGCGAAAUGGCCGUUAUCCCGGUUUAUAAGGUUUUUUCGAGUAUUAAUAACACAUUAACAACCCUUUCCCCAACAAAACGGCCCGACGAACAUAAAUCAUGAGCACUCAUUAAUUGCGUCAGAUUUCGUUGAUCCGACUUCAUUUCGACUCAUGUAAAUCAAAUUAGGAGAGUUUUUGAAAAUUUAUAUUAGUUCUAUUAAACAUCUAUUGAUGAUUAUGUCAGUUGGGUUGUUUUUCUAAUAUUGAGAAAUCUAAUAGAAUUUUGGUUCAACCCAGUUUCACAUUUUUCCAGCAAAAUGGUCGUUUUCCCAAACUUAUUAAGGUGUUUUUAGUUUUAAUUGCACGUUAACAACCCUAUCCCAAGCAAACGGCCCGACCAACAAAACUCAUGACCGUAGCUCAUGAAUUGCGUAAUAUUUCGGUGAUCCUACGCCUUUUCUACUCCCAAUAUCAAAUUUUACUAUUUUAGGAAAUUCUAAGAAAAUUCAUUUCAAUUUAUAGAAACUUCAGAUGAGGAUACUGUCAUUUUUCUUACUUCUCCGAGACACAUUAGAAUUAGGUUUUAAAUCAUUUUCGUAUUUCUAAUGCAAAAUGGUUGUUAUCCCAGUUUAUUAGGGUUUUUUUUUAAAUUAAUAGCAUGUUAACAAUCCUUUCCCCAAAAAAAUCAUCUUCAUAUUCUUCUGCAUCACUCAACUCAAGCUCACUUUUGUUAUCAUCCUCAUCAAUGUGUGCUAUAAAAUCAUCAUCUGAAUCAUUAAUGGCAUCCUCCCUACCAUCAUUCUCUUCUACUGGCACAUCCACAUUUGGCUCAUCUUGUUGAGCUUCAUCAGCAAUCUCAUUCUCUAUGAACUGAACAAUUUAUUCAAUGCAUGCAGCAAGAUCACCCUCAUCCACGUUUGCAGCCUCCUCAUUUUCUUCAAUGCUCACCUCAGCAGCCAUACUAACACCAUUGUCCACAAAUAAAUCAAACCAAUCAUUCACGGUAUUUCUUUUAAACAUAUCCAUCACAUCAUUAUCAUUUUUAAUCUUCAUCACCUUACCACCAUCAACAGUACAUGAAUAUCUUAACCCGGAUACUCCAAUACUAGGGAAUGACUCCACAACAUUUAAACCCAAAUCAGUAUAGCUAUACACAUGUGGAUCAACACCACUAAGCUUCAUUUUGGAGCCCAAAUAAUUCAGAAUAAUGCAAUACAACUUAUCUUCCAUGUCUGCAAUUAAAUAAAAUGUUUCAGACAUAAGCAAAUUGGGGAAUAUAAGGAGAAAAAUUGAAAAAAAUAAAAUCUGGGUAAAUUCUCAAAAUUGAUAAAAUGAAACAACAAUUAAAAAUACCUAAAUCAAUAAGUCUGGGUAAUUUUCAAAAAAAAAACAUGGGGAAAUCAGAAAAGAUUUACAAAACCAGAAAUCUGGGAAAAAACCCUAAAUGCUAAACACAAGAAAAUUGAAAAUUUUAACCCAUACAUAAAGGGGAAAGAGACGAGAAACCUAAUCCAUUAACCACAUCAUAACAAACCAAAUCUCAUAAAAAAUGGGUAAAAACUCACCGUUCUGUUUGCGUAUGAACAAGCUGGAAGCCUUCUUCGUGCACCCCACGAACUUCCAGCGUUCAACGUAUUUCACCCUCAACGCAGUCAACGAAAGUGUGAGAAUUUCAACAAAAGAACUCAAAUCGCCGUGAGAGGCGAAGGAAAAUGAGAGAGAUAUUCAAGAAAUUAAAACCCUAAAAGUGAAACGUUUUCAGAUAUCUGAAAACGGACUUACAGGUAAAGUGGAAUUUUUCAUUAUUUACAUUUUUCAUUUUUUUCCACACAUUAUUAUUUAGAGGGUAAUUCGGUAGAGUUAUUGACGGUCGGUCAGCUUCAGGGGGGUGAUUGUAAUUUCGAAAACAACAUGGGUACGUGAGUUAUUUGAUGAUACCUCAGGGGGCUCCCUGUAAUUUACCCUAUUUUAAAAUUUCAUGAAGUUUCGAAUUUCCUUGUAAUUAAAAACUAGAAAAAACCCUUUCUCUUUUAAAAAUCCAAAACUCUAGUAUAACCUUAAUCAACUUUGAAUCCCUUAUAAAAAAACUUUCUCCCCAUUUAAUACUUGCUGGAAAAUAGAUUCCCAUAUUUAGAAAUGACUGAUUUUUCGGAAAUUACAGUUCUGACCCCAAAUUUUCAAGAUUUACACAUGCAACCACACUAAAAGUUCAUAAUCCGAUUUUUCAUGAAAAACCUCUAACAAUAUGAAACUUUACUUUAAUAUAUGCAGAAAACAAUGUUAAGUUACUUGUGGCAGAAAUUUCAAAAAUGACAUAUUUUACCCUAAAAUUUCUAGAUCUAUACAUGCAAGACCACUAAAAGUUCAAAAAUCAUAUAUUCUUGCACAACCUUUUUAAAUCCGAAUUUUUUUUUCUCAAUAAUUUCUGAAAACAGAUUUGAAAACAUUUUUAGGACUGACUUCUAGAAAAUUACGGAUUUGGCCCAAAAAACUUUAGAUCUACACAUGCAACCCCAUAAAAGUUCAAAAAUUCAUUUCCCUUGCAACACCCUUUAGAAAUCCGAAAUUCUUUAUGCUUUUGACCAAUAAAAGUUGUAUCUACCCACUACAAACAUAAAUAUUGCAUGCAAGAACAAAAAAUCAAUAAUCAACACAACUUUUCCAUUUUUCCCCAAAAAGUCCUGAUUUUCUGGAAAUCUCUUCAAAUCUUUUAAGAAAUUUUGAAAAUAUUUUUGAUACUAAUGACACCCUUUAAUUGCAGCAAAAAAUAGAGAUUUCUUACCUAUUAACCGAAGAAAGAAAACAACCAAAGGAAGAGUGCUUUCAAAUACCGAAAUCUAGCCAAGCAACCUUGAUGGUGAAAGAGAGGGUGUGAGCUUCUAAGAGGAUGUGUUGUUUACUCCCGUGAGAAGACCAGAUGUUAUGAUGGUGUUUUUGGUGUACUCUAAGGAAGAGUUAAAUAGGGAACUUUCAUUUUUUAUUUUAGAAUUUCUUUGAAAAUUGGAGUUAAAGUGGAAGAAGAAGAAGCCGAUGGUGGAGGUGGUGGUUUCGGUGGAAAUGGAGAAUGAAGACAAGUAGGGGAUUAUGAUGGAGAAUGAAGACAAGUAGGGAAUUAUGUGGAAGAAGAAGGAAUUCCGAACAUAUAAUCUACCGAUUAAAUAGGACAUGUAAUUAUUCGGUCACAUAAUUAGAUUCACGUAAUUCACAUAAUUAAUUUCACGUAAUAAUAUGACCUAGGGAUUCUUGAGUUAGAAAGAAUAAUUUCAGGUUUUAGGGUUUUGAAAAGGUGGGGUGUUACAUCUGAUGCACCACAAUCUGUUAUUAACAAGCCAAUAGACACAUUUUAUGAUCAUCUGGAGCUCGAUUGGGGUAAAACGGGUACAAACUGAAGAAUAUUUCACACAAUCAAGAAGAUUUCACUAAAUUUAACACUGUAAGAGUGGACGUGGAAGAAGAUUCAUAGUUGAAGGAGGGUGAUUGUAAUUACCCAAACAUGAGGGUUUUUUCGUAAAUUGACCUUACCUCAGGGGGUGGCCGUAAUUUACCCAAAUUAUUACUCACCUUAACGACAACACUACCAUGGAUUAAAAUAGUAAUACGACCAAUAUUAAUUUUGGAAAAAAAAAAAUUAGUGCUCUAAUUAUUUAAAUUCCGACACUAUUUUAUACGACCAAUAUUAAUUUUGGAAAAAAAAUUUAGUGCUCUAAUUAUUUAAAUUCCGACACAGGAUUGGAUAAACCGAACAAUUAUCCGAAUCACAUUCUUUAUCCCAAAUACCCUAUAAAAGAUCGACCCCAACAUUCUUAAUCAAUAUUUAACGUUCUUCGAGUUUAACGGAUCAAUCAAAAUGCACAAUUCACGGGAAAUAUUAAGGUCCAUUGUCAAGGACAUAUUAGUAAAUCAAAAGCACUUGAAAGGGUAAAAACAUCUUUUAAGUACCUGGAAAUGCAUAAUGUUCAAGCUACAAGAAAUCUGCUGAAACAAAGGCACCAUGAACCGUUGAAACUAAGGGUGUGAAAGAGCCGAGCUCGACUCUUUUGGCAGGCUCGAGCUCCGCGAGUUCCUACUUUUUUGGCUCGAGCUCAAGCUCAUUUGGUUUUGUUUUUUUUGUUUUUUGUUUUUUUUUAUAAAUAUUUUUUUAAUUAUUAUUUUAUUAUUGUUAAAAAUUAUUUUAAAAAAUUACAAAAUAAACAAUAAAUUGAAAUUAUAUAUAUAUUUUUUAAUAUUUAUAUUUUAUUUUUAUUUAUUUUAUAAUAUGUUAUAUUAUUGUACAUUAUUUAAAAAAUAUAUAUAUUAAAUAGUAAAUAAAUAAAAAUAAAUAAAAAAUAAGGCUCGCGAGCCGGCUCGUGAGCUCAUGAACAACUGAAAACUGGCUCGAGCUCGAAAAAUUCGAGUCCGAGUUUGAAAUUUUUUCGAGUCAGCUCGGAUAGUUUACCACCCCUAGUUGAAACUCCGAUCCCUGUGUGACUUUCAAGUCUUCCUCGAGCUCGUUAAGAAAAAUAAUUUUUUUUCGAACUGUUCGUAACAGACCAAUACUUAAUGAAUCCCCUAUAGUAAUAUUCUUCAAUUUGCAAGGGGAUAAGAUAUGGAUAAAGCAUGUGCGACUGUUAGACGGCGUCAACAGUCUGCCAGAGGAAGUUAAGGAAAUUUUGAUGCAACAACAUGUGAUUGCGAGUUCAAUUUACGUGUUUGGAUACUUUGAAAAUCACACAUGACAAGUAAAUUCAUGAUUAUUAUUUUUAGAAUGAUUACAAUUAAUAUAUUAUUCAUGUAUACAUAUUCUUUAUCAUUUUUGUAGGGCGGUUACACUAUGUUGGGGUCAUAGGUAUUGGGUACGACAAUAGGGAUUUGUACAUCGAAAUCGGAAAUUCUUUUGGAAGCGACUGGUGUGAUGGAGGAUAUGAAAAAAAAUUGGUCGAAUAUGUCUCCUUUCAUGCUCACAUUGAGGGAGUAUUCAUUCAGUUGGUUUCUCCUCUUUAUAGUGUCAACACUUCUCCUGAAUGAACUUUUCACAUUUUAUGGGAUGUUUUAAAUUGAAAGUUCUAUUUUCACAUCAGGUGUAUAGUAUUUAGUAGUGUCUAUAACAUUCAAAUGUACAAGGGUUAACAUGUGUCGUGAACCUAGUUAGUAGAGAGCUAUGUAAAGUGUAGUUGUGUUGUGUAUGAAUGUGAACAUCAUCACUUUGUGAACACAUUUGCUCAUAUAUAUGAAUUUUGGGGUAUGGAUUUUUUUUUAAGACUCUUGUCAAAAAACUUAACUAUUGAUUGUCAAGAUUUUAGUUUGACAAGACAAUAUUUAUUUUAUAUUUCACUUGUGUGUUUUUUGGUGGUUGAAGAUAUUGAAGUGCCUAAUUUAUUUGUUCAAAUAUUAAAUUUGGUUGUACACAUAUUUAUAUCCUUUUAAGUUAUAUUUUUUUUACGGCACUCAACAUUUCUUAAAUUUUUAUUCCAUAUUUUUAAUUUUUUUGAAAUAUUAAAUUUGUGCCCCGAAAAGAGUCAUUGAUGUUUGUUUUUUUUCAAUUAUUUCUAUCAACUAUCUUUAGAUAUUUUUAUUACUAUUAUCGAACUUUUUAGCAAUAUCAUUCUAACAACAAUAAACAAUAACUAAUAAAUUAAAUUAAGACAACAAUUUCACAAAUUAAAAUAACAAUAAACAACAACUUGUAAAUUAAAUUAAGACAAGAGUUUCACAAAUUAAAUAAGAGUCUACAAAUAAGAGUUUAAACAAAUAGUACUGUAGUUGUUGGCACACACAUAAACUACGCUGAAUCCGCAUCCGAAUCUGACACCACAUCCGCAUCCGCAUUUGAAUCUGGCUCUGCAUCCGCAUUCACAUCUCCGAAACCGGCUCCGCAUCCCCAUCCAAAUCCAAAUUCAAAUCCGAAUCCGAAUCCUGAUUCGCCAAUUGACUUUGGAAUUCAUUAAGUUUCAGUUUUAGACUAUAAAUUAUUCUGAAUCGAUAAAGGGCGGGUUGUCAAAAUGCAUUGACCCCUAAAAGAGAUCGGAGCCACUCCAUGCGUCGCUUGAUUUCCUUUCCUAUUAAUAUGAUGAGCAAUGAAGAAAUCGAGUCGACUUCUAACAGCAAGAAUAUCUGCAAUAAUCGUCUCAUGCAUUGAUAGAUCCUCUUUGUCACCAUUUAUCGUUGAUAUUACAGUACUAGAGUCGCUUUCAAUAAUGAUGUUACGCCAACCUUCCUAACGAGCAAAAAUUAUAGCCACAUAUGCAACUUUAGCUUCAGCUGAUGUAAGAUCUAGACUCUCUUUUAGGCAACUCGAUGACCAAUCUACACAUUCUCCUAUAUGACUCCUUGCAAUUAUUCUGAUACCGCUCACACUUCACAAGGCGUCGCUAACCAUUGCAUCAACAUUCAACUUCACAACUUCUAGCUUUGAGCGGUCUCCAUCAGCGACCACAUUAACUCUUGCAACAUGAAUGAUUCCUGUUGUAUGAUUAUUAACCAUUUCCAAAUAGCUCAGUACAAAAGUUACGACUUCCAUAGCUUCCAUUACCAUUCAUAUAAUUGUUUAUUGCGAAAAAACCAAAGAUCCCAGCAAAUCAAAAUACACUUGUGGAAUUGAACGUCAUGUGCCGGUCUCGUCAUAUAUUUAAACUAUUCCAUCACUUUUGUUCCCGUCCAUUUAUAUUUCUUCAUCGAGAUAUUACUAACAGCCCAAACUUGUCGCGAAAGAGCAAAGGGCUAAACAAUGGGAUACAUUUUCAUCACCUAUCGCACACGCUGCACACUUAUAUUCUAACAACAUUUUUCAUUUUUUGUAAAGUAUCCUUACUUUGGAGCAGGUUGAAACAUACACGGUAGGGGCGGAACCGGGAUGAAAAUGUAGAGGGGCUAGUUAAAAAAAAUUUAGGUUCGACAUUGCAAAAAUAAGUUUGUAUUGAUAUGUUUUAAUUAAAAUGUCAUAUAUAUAAUAAUUUUAUCGUAUUUUAAGCAUGAUAAAAAAACUUAAAUUAAUUCAAAUUAUUUUAAUAAUGUAUCGUACUUAAUAUUUUGGGGAUUCAUGGCAUCGUCUCAUAUUAAUUUUUAGAGUUAUUGAUAAAAAAAAAUUCAAUAAUAUGUAAAUAUUCAUAAAUUUUAUUUCAAAUUAUACAAGUUUUCACCAUUUUAUUUUAUAUUUUUAUAUAAAAUGUGAUAUAUAUAUAUAUAUAUAUAUAUAUAUAUAUAUAUAUAUAUAUAUAUAUAUAUGGAGAAGAAACAAAAAAAUUAAGGAUUAAGAUACAUAUUUGCAAAAACUUUAGGGGGCUAAAAGUAAUAUUCAAAAAAUACAGUACCAAAAUACCUAACAAAAAUAUUUUUUUUUAAUCUUGGGUGGUCAACAGCCCCCAAGCCCCUUCUAUGUUCCGCCAAUGAUACACGCCAUGUGAAAAUUUUGAUUUUAGCUGGAAGUUGCAUUGCCCAAAUCAUUGCCUAGAAAAUUGGUAGAUGUUGGCAUCACCUCUUCACGAUAAGCAAUAUGGUAUACACUGCAUUUUUUUCUGACGCUCAUGCCUCAAUGGAUUCGCACUUCGUUUUUCUUUUUUCUUUUUUUUUUUUUUUUUUUUGCUAAAGACAAUUCUUGAUUUAUGAUAAUUAAUCAUCUAGCCGAGGCACCAUCAUAUGAACGAAGAAUAUUCCAAAUACUCAGGGCAGAAUAUGCAUUGGCGUUGUAAAAGAUAAUAGUAUCAUAUGCAGUUAAGUUUUUUAGCCAAUUUGAGAUAAUAGUGAGUUAUAACAUCAUUUCAGUUUUUUUCUAAAAUACCCGCAAUUAUCAACCUCUAAUUUUUCAAAGCUUCCCCAUUAAUAACUAAAAUGUAUUUUGCUUCAAUUAAUUCGAAAAGUUUCUGUUUAGUGGUAAAUUCGAGUGCUAUAAAAAAACAUUUACUUACAAACAUUCGAGCAUUCCCCGUUUCCGAUACUAUUAUUCUGGAACGACCGAUAAUGCUAGAGCAUACUCUCGGUUCUUGUAAUAGUACAAACACUGUGAAUGACACUCAUCCCUUGUAAUCAAGAAUCCCAAUAUAUCAUUUCUUUUUACGUAUAGACGCCUUCUUACUUAAAACUAUUCAUUUAUUUUAUGCAGCAUCGAAAUAUUCAAGCACAACAAAGAAGAAAAAAUUGCGAGAACGUGGGACACCACAGCUCCAGGAUUGGCAUACGUCGAUGAGGUCAUCGCUCAAGCUGGAAAUUGGCUCAUAGGUGGAGUUAGAAGUGAUAAACCCUAUCAAAUACAACGAUGGUCUCGAUAACUACAGGCUAUCUCCUAAAAAACUUCGUGAGGAAUUCGACAAACGCUAAGCGGACGCAGUGUUUGCUUUUCAGCUGAGGAAUCCAGUGCACAACGGCCACACUUUGCUCAUGAACGACACUCGUAAGAGACUUUUGGAUAUGGGUUUUAAGAAUCCGAUUCUCUUGCUCCAUCCUUUGGGAGGUUUCACUAAGGCCGAUGAUGUGCCGCUCGAUGUUCGCAUGGAACAACACAGCAAGGUUUUUAAUAACUAAAAAUUUGCUUUAUUGUGAAAAUGUCAACUUUCUUUUUUUAAUGAUAUGGCAUUGUUAUAUAUGCUCGAUAAAAGAAAUUUGUCUCGUAAUAUAGAAGAUUCUUGUGAAAGAAAUACAAUAAAAAAAAUGAAAUCAAGAAAAGUAUCUGCCAACUGAGUAGUUUCCUCUAGAAAUACUAUAAACGUAACAUAUGCUUGAGCGCACGUGCUUUUCAGUGCGAUUUUUCUCGUAUUUGCUGAUUUGGAUGAUAAAAUAGUUGAUUCUGUGGAGAUUCUUGAAAUUACUUUGUUUUAUGCACUAUUUUUCAAGUUUCUUGAUUCUCAAAAAAAGGUAUUUGAAGAUGGGAUGCUUGAUCCUGAAACUACAAUGGUGUUAUUUUCCCUUCACCAAUGCUUUAUGCGGGACCCACAGAAGUGCAGUGGCAUGCAAAGGUGCGAUUAAAUGCCGGAGCAAAUUUCUACAUCGUGGGCCGUGAUCCAGCUGGCAUGGCCCAACCGACAGAGAAACGGGACUUGUAUGAUCCGGAUCAUGGUAAAGAAGGUUCUAAGCAUGGCACCUAGUCUCGAAAAGCUGAAUAUUCUGCCAUUUAGGGUAAGUGUGGCAACAAUAAUAUUAACCCUAAGCUUAACGUACCAUUUUUGAACUAUACAAACAUGCUCGAUUUAUUUACAAUAACACGUGCAUAAAUGGUUUAGAGCGUUUAUAGAUCAAAAAAACUUUCUUUUUAUUUUUUUCUUGAUAAUAAUAUAGGUGGCUGCCUACGAUACUGUGGCAAAGAAGAUGGCGUUUCUUGAUAAUAAUAUAGGUGGCUACCGCCUCAGACCUGAUAACCGUUUUUUAGAACAUUGAUUUUGACACCACACAUUUCUAACAUCACAAACUAAAGCUCGAAAGAGCCAUCAGCCGACCACAAUUAUUGCACUAACUGAGCGAGUUUAACUACACCAUAGAGACAAAAUGAUAUGUAGGCUACUGCUAACCCAUGUUUCAAUGUCAAGAAGCUCGGGAAACUAGCAAAAAAUUGACCAUAUAUGCUAAGAUUUGAAAGCACGAACACUUUCGAGAAGAUGGUUGAAAGAAUUUAUGGUCCCGAAUUCGUUUAAUACAGAGGUGUUAUCUUAAGUGUUAUGACACUUGAACAAACAUGCAGCGGAAAUAUAAAGAUAAAAGAACAAUACUCAGAAUUAAAAAUGUUCACAAGUAAAGACUUGUGAACUUGCCCUUUACAGGACGGAAAAAUAUAUUAAAAUCAGUAUUCCAAGAAUACAAACAGAAGAGGUGCGAAAACUUCUUCCUUAUGAAUGAAUCUUUUUCAAGAUCAUUCUUACAAUCAAAUCUAGAUACUAAAAGAAAAAUAUUAAAAAUUCUAGAUUUCAAAGAUGUACUCGUGAGGAGUACGUAAAGAACUUAUGAAUGAAUCACUAUCUUGAUCAUUCUUACAACCAAGUCUAGAAACAUGUAUACUGUACAAUCUAGACUACAAAGAAUGUACUUAUGAGAAGUACGUAAAGAAUGUACUCAUAAGGAGUACGUAAAGAUUAUACUCAUGAAGAGUACAAACGACCGAUUCUAAAACCACUCUAAAACACUCAUGUAUUCUUUUCAGCUCUCGGUUUUUUAUUUCGUGGAAUCGAUAAAUUUCAUUGAGUAUUGAAUUCGGUAUUUAUAAGCAUUCCAAGCAUCCACUACUCAGCCCAUGAUCUGCAAGAAAACCAACCACAAGAGCACUCAAGAAAAUGGGUUAGUGGGUUAGUUAGGAAGUUAGAAUAAAAUCCACAAUUAAAUCCACUAAGCACUACUUAGCCCACUAAGCACUAUACUUAACCCACUAAGCACUAUACUUAACCCACUAAGCACUACUUAUUCCAUAACUAAAAUUUAGUUUAAAAAAUAAGAAAGUUUAAAAACAUAAUGUGGAAAUAAUCCACGUGUUUCAAACUCCCCCUUUUUAACUUUCUGAUCAAAACUAAAUUUUAGCUUAACUCCCCCUGAGUCAUUGCUUGAACUCCCGCUGAAUAUGAUAACCAAUAUAGCAAUUAACAAUAAUAGAGCAAUCCUAGCAUAAAAGAUCAGAGGGAAAAUAACAAACUGAACAAAAACAAAUAUUGUUCAUAAAAAUAACUUUAGAGCAGAAUAUCCAAAGUGUCCUUAGUAUCAGCUGCUGCUGCUUUCCUCUGCUCCUUCAGCUUCACCCUCAUUCUUUUCUUCUUCUUCAUUAACUCCAUGUUCUCUGCCUCUGGCUCUGGCAUCCAAAUGAUGAGAAGUCCCUGCUUCAACUUCAUGACUAGCUUUUUCUCCCCCUUUUUGAUCAGAAAGAGUUUUUCGGAGCAUUUCCACCAUGGACUGAUGAUAGGUAAUCUGAGCUAGAGAGUGAGUAAGCUGUUGUAACAAAAGAUCUCGAGGAACAGAACUAAGAUUGUCAGGGGUGUUGUCAACAUGAGGAGCAACACCUUCAGUACCAAGAUUAUUUUGACCUGAUUCAGUUGAGAGAAAAUUAUCUCCAUUCCAGGGAAGAUCUUGGACAUGAGGAGCUUUGAGAGAAUUUUGAGAAACAGGUAUCAUGCCAAGUGGAGUGUGGAGAUAUUAUGAUUCAUCUUGGCCCAAAUUUUGAGAAAACAAAAUGGAGUAGAUGAGAAAGAUGAGUGGAGGAUGAAAUUUUCUGGGCAAGAUGACCUAAAUUAUUAAAGAAAAUUUUGCCAAAAUCAACUUGUAAUCCCAUCCCCAAUUUGUACAUGAGUACUGCAUGAGGUUUAGUAACCACAGAGACAUUUUUGGAUGGAAUCCAAUUCAUCACUGUGAGUCUGAACAAGACAGAAUAAAAUGCAGAGAGUUGAGAAACUUUGAAUUUUCUGAGGUGAGCAGGCCAACAUUUUAAACGAUUGCCAGAAAGAGUCUUACAAACCUCAGUAAAAUCACCAUAAUUAUCCUCAUCAAUCACAGUAGGAGUUUGUAAAUGAGAGAUGAUAAUUUUGGGAGAAAAAGGAGAAAAUGGAAUUUCGCACAAAAACUUUGCCAAAGUUUGGAGAAUUUUUUUUUUUUUUUUUUUAAAAGGAGGUUUGUAAAUUGGCAUAAAAUUCCUUCACAACAGAGGGAUCAUAAGGACAGGAAAUCUCAACUAGACUAAGGAUUUUUCUUUGAUCAAGAAAUAGUAAUCCUAUGUCUAUCAAACUCAUCCUUGGAAAUUUUCUUCUCCUCAAUGAAUUGGCAAUUCAUGAUUUGAGGACUCAAAAUUGAAUCAGAUUCAAAAUAAAAGGUUGUACUGAAAGCAUUGUUUACCUCAAAAGAAGUUGACAGAUCAUUCCCAUCCAAUUUCAGCUCUUCUUCCUCAGAAGAUUCCUCUUCUUCUGAGUCUUCAAGUUCAUCUGGGAUGUAUGCUGGCUCAGGUGAUGCAACACGUGGGGCAGCAUUUUCCUGCAUCUGAGAGAAUUCCUCAGACGAGUCACUGUCUGACUCUGAAGGUGGCAAAUUUUUGCGAAAUGAGGCAAGGAGAACUUCCCAGCUAUCAUCACUUUUCUCUUCUUCUUCAGCCUGGAAAGGUGGUGCAUCCACUUGAACAACUGCCUCUGCCAGAGUUUCCAGAGGAUCUUCAUUUGGAGCUGAGGGUGUAGGAAGUGAGGAUUCUUCUGUGGUGGCAAAGUCCUCGGCAUCAGCAGUGGUGAUAUCUACAUGCUCAGCAAAGAACAUCCCAGAAAAGUCUGGCAUUUCCUCAUCUUGAUAAGGAGCAGCAUCCUCAGCAACAUUUUGAGAAGCAUUGUCUGAGACAGUAGGUGCAGCAGCAUUUUCAGGAACAUGUGCAGCAACAUCUUCGGAAACAGGAUGUUGAGAUGGAGUUGCUGCCAUGUUGGACUGAAAUGUCUCCCCCUGAGUUGAUGCUAGUGGAGGUGAGUCUUUGGAAGAUGACUCAGUGGAGCUUGAGGAGAGAGCUUGGGCUUGGUUCUGCAAAAGUAGGAUCUCCUUCUUCAUCAUCAGUUUCUUCAUCAACCAAAUGAAGGCCUCUUGGUGGGUUUGGCCUAACUGGAGUGCGACCGACUCUGUUGCCUCUUCUUCUACCUCUGCCGCCUCUGCUGGGAGAAUGUCUUCCCCUUCGGCAUUGUGAUCCAGUAGUAUUCAGAUCUNNNNNNNNNNNNNNNNNNNNNNNNNNNNNNNNNNNNNNNNNNNNNNNNNNNNNNNNNNNNNNNNNNNNNNNNNNNNNNNNNNNNNNNNNNNNNNNNNNNNNNNNNNNNNNNNNNNNNNNNNNNNNNNNNNNNNNNNNNNNNNNNNNNNNNNNNNNNNNNNNNNNNNNNNNNNNNNNNNNNNNNNNNNNNNNNNNNNNNNNNNNNNNNNNNNNNNNNNNNNNNNNNNNNNNNNNNNNNNNNNNNNNNNNNNNNNNNNNNNNNNNNNNNNNNNNNNNNNNNNNNNNNNNNNNNNNNNNNNNNNNNNNNNNNNNNNNNNNNNNNNNNNNNNNNNNNNNNNNNNNNNNNNNNNNNNNNNNNNNNNNNNNNNNNNNNNNNNNNNNNNNNNNNNNNNNNNNNNNNNNNNNNNNNNNNNNNNNNNNNNNNUUUCUUUGGCAGUUUAAUUUUUCCAAAAAAUUUUUAUAAAAAAAAAAAAAAAAAAUAUAUAUAUAUUUAUUUAUAUAUAUAUAUAUAUAUAUAUAUAUAUAUAUAUAUAUAUAUAUAUAUAUAUAUAUAUAUAUAUAUAUAUAUAUAUAUAUAUAUAUAUAUAUAUAUAUAUAUAUAUAUAUAUAUAUAUAUAUUUUUAUUAUUAUUAUUAUUAUUAUUUUUUUUUUAUUUUUUUUUUUUUUUUUAUUUUUUUUUUUUUAAUUAUAUAUAUAAACUCUUAUUUUCAAGUCAAACAAUUCACAUGGAACAUGAUCAAGUGUUCAGUUUGAAGGUUCCUCAGUUACUAAGAUAUGACUAUCAAAAUAGAGGAGUUUGACUUAUGUGAGUGUAAUUAUUCCCUAAAUGUUUACAUGAAGCAUGAUCACGUUUCAAGGUGAAAGACUUCCAGUUACUUAUUUAGAAAAAUAAUUCAUCACAGUGAAGUCAUUAUUUAAAGAAGCUAAGCUUCAAUAAAUUAUGUUGCAGCUUAAGAUAUUUGAUGAGGUGCUGCAACAUUUUUCAGGACAUGUUUAUUGAGUACACAUCCCGAGAGAUUUUCUGAGUUUAGAAAACCUCUCAUAAUCUAAUGCCUUUGUAAAGAUAUCAGCCAGCUGAUCUUCUGUAGGAAUGUACUUUAAGCACACUAUAUUUUUCUCAACUAUAUCACGAAUAAAAUGAUGUUUAAUAUCUAUGUGUUUAGUUCGUGAGUGUUGAACAGGAUUUUUUGAAAUGUCAAUAGCACUUGAAUUAUCACAAUAUAUGGUCAGGGUAUCACUGGUCAACCCGUAAUCUCCCAACAUUUGUUUCAUCCAAAUUAGUUGACCACAACACCCUCCAGCAGCUACAUAUUCUGAUUCAGCUGUUGAUAGAGAUACACAAUUUUGCUUUCUACUAAACCAAGAAACCAGAUUAUUCCCCAAAAAGAAACAUGCACCUGAAGUGCUUUUUCUGUCACUAAUAUCCCCAGCCCAAUCAGAAUCACUAAAACCUAUCAAGUUUGUGUUUGUGUCUUUGAAAAAGUGAAUCCCUAAAUCUACUGUACCUGCAACAUACCUAAUAAUCCUCUUCACAGCUUUAAGAUGAGUGACUUUGGGAUUAGCUUGAUACCUGGCACACACACAAACACUAAACAUAAUGUCAGGCCUGCUUGCUGUUAGAUACAGAAGGCUUCCAAUCAUGCUUCUGUAUAGAGUGCUGUCAACAUCUUCUGCAACAUCAUUCUUGGACAGCUUUUGACUGGAACCUAUUGGAGUUUUCAUGUGCUUGGCUGACUCCAACUCAAAUCUUUUGACCAGAUUGAGAGCAUACUUCUUUUGAUUUACAAACAUUCCUUCACCUGUUUGUUUGAUUUGGAGUCCUAAGAAGUAAUUCAACUCCCCUACCAUGCUCAUUUCAAAAGUGUGAGACAUAGAAUCUACAAAAGACUGUAAAAGAUUAGCACAAGUAGAACAAAAAACAAUAUCAUCAACAUAUAUCUGAACAAUAAUGAUAUGGUUAUUAGUUCUUCUAACAAAUAGAGUUAUGUCUGCCUCUCCUCUGUUGAAAUGUAUUUCAAGUAAGAAGUCAGUGAGUCUUUGAUACCAAGCUCUAGGAGCUUGUUCAAGACCAUACAGUGCCUUCUUAAGCUUGAAAACAUGAUUAGGCUUGGCAGAAUCUUCAAAGCCCUUGGGCUGCUCUACAUAUGCUUCUUCAUUUAAAACACCAUUUAGACGUGCACUUUUGAUAUCCAUCUGAUACAAUUUGAUUUUAAGAAAACAGGCUAUAGAAAGAAGUAACCUAAUAGAUUCAAUUCUAGCUACUGGAGCAAAAGUUUCAUCAAAGUCUAUACCCUCAAUUUGAGUAUAACCUUGUGCGACUAACCUAGCCUUAUUUCUAACAACUGUACCUUUUUCAUCAGUUUUAUUUUUGAAGAUCCACUUAGUUCCUAUCACAUUUACAUGACUUGGUCUGGGAACUAAGUACCAAACAUCAUUCCUGAUGAACUGAUUCAGCUCUUCAUGCAUUGCAUUAAUCCAAAACUCAUCCUUCAGUGCUUCUGCAAUAUUCCUUGGUUCGACUGAAGAUACAAAGCAACUAGUUCCAGUUAGUACACAUUCAGAAGAUAAAUUUGCAAAUCUUACCAUGUCUCUGUAAUUCACCCUCUCUUUUCUUCUGGUCCUUAUCCCAUCAAAGAUAUCUCCCACAACUUGAGUAGAGGGGUGAUUUUUCUGGAUUCUACUUGAUGGUUCCUUUCUGCAGACAUCAUGAGUUGGCUGCACUUCAGCUUCUGUGCUCUCUGUAGGAAGUAUUGAGUCAGAUGUGGUAACACUCGGCUCAACACCUUCUUCUCUUGACACUGGACUGUUUAUAUCUGGAGCAUCUGUGGCAGUAGUGUCUCCUCCGGUUGUUUCUCCUCCAGCAAUCAGGUCAUCAACUUCAUCGUCAGCUGUUUUACUGCGGAGAUCAACAAAAUCAUCAAAUACCACAUUUACAGAUUCAAUAAUGGUUCGAGUUCUUAAGUUAUGUACUCUAGAUACAUGACUGUUAUUAGAGUAUCCCACAAAUAAACUCAAAUCACUUUUUGAAUCAAAUUUAGCUAGAUGAUCUCUAUCAUUUAGGACAUAGCAAACACAUCCAAACACACGCAUGUAUUCUAGAUCUGAUUUUUCUCUUAAAAAAUACACCCAAGUAUAUCUCGAAAAAUCAUCAACACACACAAAUGAAAAUUUCUUACCACCUAGGCUUUCUACCUCUAUAGGACCCAUAGGAUCCAUAUGUACAAGUUCAAAACAAAUGGUGGUACCAACGUGUUGUAACACUUUGUGUGGUACUCUAGUUUGCUUUCGGUUCAGGCACUUUCCGCAUAUAGGAAUGUCCUUGAUCUUGAGAUCUGGAAUUCCUCUUAUGUCAUUGUACUUGUUGAGCAGCUUCAGAUUUUUGAAGUUUGUGUGCCCUAGUUCUUGGUGCCAUAGCUCUACUUCACUUACUCUUGAGCUCUUGCAUGAGAUGGUGUCACCUGUUUGAUAACAAUUAUCCAUUGACAUGGAACCUUUAGGAGUCCAUAUUCUCCACUCCUUUUUGGUAAAUUCUACAUUUUUCUUUAAGGUGUUGCCUGGAGUGAUGUGACUCAUUCUGUACAACAUUUUAUCACUACUGUGUUUUUCACAAAAUGGACGAAUAUGUCCUGGUGAGAAACAGUAAUGACAAAUGUAUUCUCUUAUUCUGGACUCUGGAGUGGUGAUUGUGGAAUUCCUGCAUUCUUUUCCAUUUGAACCCUUCUCUUUUACAAAGACAAUUUCUUUCUUCUUUACUGGCUUGUGUUUCUUCACUUGUUUGUUGAACCCUAGACCUUCAUUCUUGUUGUACUUCUCCAGUGACACAAUCUCUUCGAGUUUAGUUGUGCCGGUAUUCAUCCUCUUGAUUGCUAGAGUUGCUUCUUUGAGUUCAUCUUUCACCUUUGCCAGUUCAAGAUCCUUCUUGGUGAUACCAACCUCCAAAUGUGUGAUUGUUUCUUUAAGGGAAGAAUUUUCCUUGUUGGCUGCAUCUAGAGCUUGAGUCUUCUUCUCCAAGUCACUGAACAAUCUCUUACACAUUUCUUCCUCAUCUCUAACUGCUUCUUUGCUGGAUUCUACUGCAUUCAAAGAAAUAGAGUUUAAACAUGUAUAAUGAUUAUCAUCUAACUCAGAAAUUUCAGUUACUGGAAGUAUUUCAGAAAGUGUUGCAGCAUCUGGAGAAACCCCUUGUGAUUCUGUUUCAGAAGCACUUUCAGUGAUAUAGCUGAUAGAAAGAGCUUGUUUAGUGGAUUGAUGCUCCUCUGUCUGUUCAGGUUGCUCUUCCUCCUCAUUACUGACAGCACAAAUCAAACUCAUUCCUCUUUUUCUCAAGCUAUUUGCACAUUCAUUAUCAUAAUGUCCAAAUCCUGAACAGGCCCUGCAUUUAAUAUGAUCCAAGUUAGGUGGUUCAGAAUUUGAACGAAUAAAUGAAGAAUUUUUUAAAGUGUUUUGAGAAGAUGUUUGAGGAAAUGUUCUCUGUGGAAUAGAUCUGUUCUGGGGCUGAGUUUGUCGAUUUUGUGGAGAGCCAUCUGGAAAUAAUUGUCUGGGCUUGAUUCCACUUCGCCUGUAUGCCCUAUUGAAUUUUAGAAUCUGAAAUGUCACAUUGUUGAGACAUUCAUCUGCAUCAUCAUCAUAUUCCGUAGCAACUUCUUCCUUUUCUAGUUCUGCCUGGAGUGCAUUUGAUAGAUCGUCUGCUAUCCACCGUAAUUCUGGUGUUGGAAAUACAUCCACAUCCGCAUCUGUGAUAGUUGGUGGCUUCCAUCCAGUAAGAAUAGAUCUCCAGGCUUUCUCAUCAGUGGCUUUGAUGUACGCCCUCAUCUCUACUUUCCAGUAGGUGUAGUUUGUGCCAUCAAGUACAGGAGGUCGCAUAGAAGCAGUCAUCUGAGUAUCCAUCACGAAUUCGUUUCUGUAAAAAAAAGGAACAAACACUUAGUAUACGUCAAGUGUUGGCUCUUGAUGCCAAUUGAAAGAAUUUAUGGUCCCGAAUUCGUUUAAUACAGAGGUGUUAUCUUAAGUGUUAUGACACUUGAACAAACAUGCAGCGGAAAUAUAAAGAUAAAAGAACAAUACUCAGAAUUAAAAAUGUUCACAAGUAAAGACUUGUGAACUUGCCCUUUACAGGACGGAAAAAUAUAUUAAAAUCAGUAUUCCAAGAAUACAAACAGAAGAGGUGCGAAAACUUCUUCCUUAUGAAUGAAUCUUUUUCAAGAUCAUUCUUACAAUCAAAUCUAGAUACUAAAAGAAAAAUAUUAAAAAUUCUAGAUUUCAAAGAUGUACUCGUGAGGAGUACGUAAAGAACUUAUGAAUGAAUCACUAUCUUGAUCAUUCUUACAACCAAGUCUAGAAACAUGUAUACUGUACAAUCUAGACUACAAAGAAUGUACUUAUGAGAAGUACGUAAAGAAUGUACUCAUAAGGAGUACGUAAAGAUUAUACUCAUGAAGAGUACAAACGACCGAUUCUAAAACCACUCUAAAACACUCAUGUAUUCUUUUCAGCUCUCGGUUUUUUAUUUCGUGGAAUCGAUAAAUUUCAUUGAGUAUUGAAUUCGGUAUUUAUAAGCAUUCCAAGCAUCCACUACUCAGCCCAUGAUCUGCAAGAAAACCAACCACAAGAGCACUCAAGAAAAUGGGUUAGUGGGUUAGUUAGGAAGUUAGAAUAAAAUCCACAAUUAAAUCCACUAAGCACUACUUAGCCCACUAAGCACUAUACUUAACCCACUAAGCACUAUACUUAACCCACUAAGCACUACUUAUUCCAUAACUAAAAUUUAGUUUAAAAAAUAAGAAAGUUUAAAAACAUAAUGUGGAAAUAAUCCACGUGUUUCAAUGGUCAUGAACAUGUUAAUAGAUUAUAUUAUGGAACUCUUGUAAUAUUACGAUUUUAUUAUUAUUAUGUUAUCUAAAUUAGUAUGAUUCAAUUAACUAGAUUAGUUAUGAUUCAAUUAUUUAGAUUAAUAUAUUACCUUGUAAUAUUUCUCUUAUAUACAAUCAAUGCAAAUCAACCCAUAUAUUAUAGAAGUUAUCCAUUACUUCUCAAUUCUAAUAAAACAAAAUUUUAAAGGGAAAAUUAGCAGAACACCCUAAUCUAAGAAAUAUAGUUAAGGAAACACCCCUUUAAAAAAUAAUUAGAGAAAACAUCCUUAGCUAAUAUUCCACCCAAAUGAUAUUUUUAUAAUUCCAAAAGUAUCCUUAUUUGAUUAUAACUAUUUUAACCCUAAUUAUAUAUCAUCUUUCCCAAACCAGUUUUUUUCCCCUGCCAUUUCUAUCGUUACUCUUCUCAAUAUUCAAAUCUCAGAUCUCUCUCUCCUCCUCGCCACCAUCAUGACCUAAAUUAGGAGCAACUUCUGAAAAUCCACGGCGAAGACUAUGGCGACGACGCGGCGGAGGAUCUUGCACUCGCGAAUAUCCCAAGUAGCAUUCCCUUACCCACAGUUUCUCGAUUUUGCGAAAAUUUCUUCUUCGUCGCCGGAGGUUAUGGAUUUAUAAUUUGAUUUUGCUGCCUCAUUUUGGAUAUGACAGUGGUCAUGAAGAAAAUUGGGUUUCAGUGGCUUUAAUUUGUUUUGGUGGUUUUGAUGGUGGUGGUUUGGUUUGGGUUGGUGGUGCCGGUUGUAAUUUACUUUAUUUGUCAUUAAAAACCGUCAUAAUAUGGAAGUGUGGUGGUGAUGGUGUGGUGUAGCGGCGGCGUGGUGACGACAAGGAGCAGAUCUAGGGUUUUUGGUAGAUCAGGCGGAAGACGGCGCGGGUAAAGAAAUUCGCACAGGCUGAACCCUUAAUCGACUAUGCUCUAGUAGUCGAUUAAAGUGUUAAUCGACUGUUUUGGUAGUAGAUUAAGGUUAUUUGCUUUCAUUUUUUUUUUUUUUUUUUUUGGAUUCCUGUUUGUAUAAAUCAAUGACAAUUUAUGUAUAUUAUUUGUUAUGUACAAAAUAGUGUCGAUUUUUAUUUUUACAUAAUUGUGUUUUUUUUUUUAGUAGUCAGUUUCUUAAUUGACUGUGUUUAUAUCUCAUAGUCGAUUAAUAUAACUGAUAGAGAGAAAAACGUUAAGAACAAACAAAAAAAAAUUAAAGAAAAAAAAGAAAGAAAGAAAAACGGCUAAUGAGGUGGCAGGGUACAUAAUUGGUGAUAAUGUUGAUAAAGUGGCAAGGGCAUAAUUGGGUAAAUGGGUGACUGGAAUUAGAAAAGAGCUUUUCUCAAAUUGUACAAAAUAUUUUGGGCAUCUCCCUAUUAAAAAAAAUAUUGAUGGUUUAUAUCAAAUAGCUCAAUUUUAAAAACUUAAAUAACAACCUAAUUUGAAAUUUUCAAUCACCCCAUAAAAAAUAAAAUGUAAAAUUCCAAUCAACCAAAGUAAACGUAUUUACUAUUUACCACGAAAAAUGUUAUUUAAAAAUUAAUGAAUUAAAGCUUUUAGAAUAUUAAAACUUCAUUUUUUGUAUAUUGCCAUGAAUCCCGCUCCAAAUAAUGCUCCCGCCGCAAAUAAAAAAAACGUCACUUAUUUUUUUACUUUUGUUUUUAAAAAGUAAAUACCAAAAAAAUUUCCUUCGCAACCAUGGGACUAGGGUGGUAAACGAGCCGAGCCGAUUCGUGAACUUAAUGAGCCGGCUCGAAAAAAAUUCGAACUCGAACGCGAGUUUUUCGAGUUCGAGCUUUCUGACAAGCCGAGCUCGAGCCAAUUUUUAGUUGUUUGUGAGCUCACGGGCCGACUUGCGAGUCUUAUUUAUUAUUAUUAUUAUUUUAUUAUUUUUUAUAUAUUAUUUUUUAUUUAAAUAAUGUAAAAUAAUAUAAAAUAUUAUAGAAAUAAAUAAAAAUAAAAUAAAAAUAAAAUAAAAAUAUUAAAAAAAUAUAUAAUUACAAUUUCUGGUUAUGUUGCAAUUUUUUUUAAAUAAUUUUUAAUAAUAAUAAAAUACUAAUUAAAAAAUAUUAAAAAAAAAAAAACAAAAUGAGUUUGAACUCGAGCUCGACAAAAUGGACACGAGCUCGAGUUCGAGCCAAAAAGAAGGAACUCGACGAGCUCAAGCUGGAGCCUGUCAAAAUAGGCGAGCUCGGCUCAUUCACACCCCUACGUGGGACCCGCGAGUUUCACUAACAACUCCACUAGUCCAGAUUACUACCCUUGUACUUUCGACAACAUUGUUCCUUAGGUCAAAAGUUGUCCAUCAAUGUCUUACCGGCCUCUUCCAGCAUCACCAGGGUUGGGACAUUGGGGGGUAAAAAAAAAGGUUUUUUUUAGUAAUUUUUUAGUAAUAGUUUUAAGAUAUAGGUUUUGACCCCUAAUCUUGUGCAAAUAUUAGUUUUGACCUUUCAAUUUUUUAAUUUUUCUCUAUUCUAUGUAAAUUUAUAUAUUUUUUCGUAUUUAUUAUUACAAUAAAAUCAUUGUUAAAAUCAAACCAUUUUAUAUAAAAUAUUACUUUUUCUUGCUUCAUUUUUUUAUGAAUUACUCUGUAUAAAUUCGGGGCGAUGCCCCGAAACUCCUAAAACGCCCCCCUAAUCAAAUUUCCUGGUUCCGCACUGACCACCACUCCAUCUCCGGCCCACUAGUGGCCCCCACCACCGCCACUCCUCCACCAUCAUCGGCUCCUUCACCGUCCUCGAUUGGACAUGAGCUCAACACCACGUCCGGCCAGCUCUGCUAUAAUCAGGGCCGGUCCUGGGCCAGGUCAAAAGGGGUGACUGCCCAGGGCCCAAAAUAAAGAGGGCUCAUUUUUUCAAUAUAAUAUAAUAUAUUGAGGCCCAAUAAAAUCUUCUAAAUGCUUUUUACUCCUACUUAUUUCAUAAUUAAUGCCGAAUUUCCGUAAUCAAGGCAAAUCAUCAGCUUUUAUGUUUUGGAAAAGAAGCACAGAUAUUAUUAGACAUGAGCCAAUUCCAAAAGGGAGAACAACACCUUCACUACAAGCUGAAGUUGUUUUCGUAGCAAUAAUAUGCAAUCUUUUCAUAACCGGACCGGACCGGCCGGUUCAACCGGUUCAACCGCGAACCGGCUAUGAAACCCGGUUUUGGCAAAAAUAAUAAUCAGCGGAAAUUUGUGUUCUGCUCUCUGAAGUUGGUUUGUAAGAAGAUGUUUGAGUUGAAUGAUUUAAGGAAGAAAGUAGAGUAAAAGGAGAAAAAAAAUCAAAAUAAAAAAUGUUUUUUUUCUUCUUUUUGCAAUGUGUUAGGGUUUGAUGAUAUCUUUAGUAAUUUAUAUGAAAACAAUACUGCGUUAUUUAUUAAUUUAGUUAAUUUUUAUUAUUAUUGCUUUUCUUUUUUAAACUUAUUUUUGAUGUGCUAACAAAUUUAUUAUUUAAAAUGUAUUUACACAGUAGAAUAAAUUUUCAAUAAUUGAGAAUUUAUUUCUUUAUUUUUUUUCAUACAUUUAUUUUGAUAGUUGUAAUUUUUAAAAUUUAUGUUAUGAUCUUAUAAAAUUUAAUUUAAUUUUCUCUUUAUAUUCAAAUUUAUUAUGGAUACUUAUUGAAUUGAAUUUCAGAUUGAUAUUUAGUGAUAGAUGUAGUUUUUUAAUGUAUAAAUUAUAUGUCACUAUAAUUAUAUAUAAAUAAUUAUAAAAAAAAAUAUGAAAACCCGGUUGAACCGGUUCAACCUUGACUCAGUUGCUUGUCCGGUUCUAUCUCCAGUCCGGUUUUAAAAACAUUGAUAAUAUGGGCUAGGUGAUUCCCACUUCCCUUAACAAAAUGAAAAUUAAAAACAUUGAUAAUAUGGGCUAGGUGAUUCCCACUUCCCUUAACAAAAUGAAAAUUACAAAAUGAAAAAAGUCUUUGAAAUGGACAGAGUGUCUUCUAUAAAAGCUCUGUAAGAUGACGGUGAGAGACUUCCGACUUUUAACGCUUCAAUUACCUACAAACAGUCUCCCUCCAAGAUAAUGGAGCUCCACCCUUGAGUUCUGGCUUUGGUGAUAGCUUCAAAGGCUGCAUGACGCAGGACGGAAGCACGGUAAAGAAUUAAUUUCUACGAAUUAAUCCUAUAGAACAAAAUAACAUUCGGAAUUCACCGAAAACUCUGGAAUCCACCAGAAAAAUAGAGAAAACUCUAAAUAUUUUAUUAAAAUUCGAAAUUCUUCUAAAAAUAAAGUCCUAAGGCAGCUAUUUAUACUAAAAAAAACUGAAAAUCCUAAUUAGACUAAGAAAAUACUAAAAAUUACCAAAAACGGCAAAAACGAGUUAAAUCCUAAUUCUAGUAGAUCUCGUAAUUUUGGGAACAACCCAAUUUACGGAAUCCUAAUGCGAUUUUUCUAUGAUUUGAUAUUAAUUUUCUAAAACUUACCUAAAAUAGCAAUAACGAACUUUUAGGAGUCUAAACGACGUUGGAUUGCUAAAAUAUGACGUGAUUCAUGAGCUUUUCUCAUGAGUUUUGUUCCUUGCGCCGUUUUACUUGAGAUAGAGUUCGUUUCGUACUCAAAUACAAUUUGAGUUCGUUGAAAACCCUUAUUUUUCCAUAAUUUCUUUCGAUAUCUCCACCGAUGCCCAUUAAUAACUCUUCUCCGAAUUAAAUAGUUAUUUUGCAAUUUGAAUCCAAUUUGACGUUCCUUAUCAAUCUCCUCUUCUUCAAAAGAGCUCGACCUCGAGCUAUGAUCAAAAUAUAGCGAUGCAUAUUUCUUUGCAAACAACUUCAAGUGCUCCACCAAUAUUCCCGGCACAAAAAACUCGCUUACGCAAUCUUCAUCGAAACGAGGCGUUGGAAAAAUUGGCUUCUUAAUCGAAAAUUUCAAUGGCUCCACCAAUUUCUCCGAUACAAGAACUUCACAGCAAACACUAUCUACAAUUAUAUCACAUACCUCAACGCAAUCCACUUGUACCUUCUCUUCUCGUGCACCUUUCUCUUCUUGAACAAAUUCUACAACUUCAAACUCUUCCUCAAAUUUCCUUUUAACACCCUCAUUAAACUCAUCGACUUCUUCUUCAAGCUUGCUAACAUUGUCUUCUACCCCAUUGUCACUCUCUUCAACUUUGUUGAUGCUCGCUUCAAACUCGUUGUCUGUCCCUUCAACUUCGUCGAUGUUCACUUUGAUUUCGUUAAUGUCAUCGUUAAUAAUAGCUACGCUACUUUUAACUUUUACGACAAUUUCCUCUUCAACUUCGUCAAAUCCUACGUCAUGAUCCUCCACCAAAUUUGGAGGUUGAAUAACGAACGAAGUAUCUUGUGCCUCCUUAACUUUGACAACAGGUGGAACAUCUUCGGUUUUUCUACAAGCACUAUUUCGCUCAUAAUAUUCCGCACUACAUGCUAACUCUUGAGCCUCUUCAAGGGUGUAGAAUAUACGCCGCCACCCUAUCCUAAGACGUAUUAAAAUAUUCAAACCUGCCAAGUACCGUGAAAUUUCCGUACUUUCGGAUUCUUGCAGGUUAUUUAAGUUUGCUAGUCUCUCAAACUCAGCAGUAUACUUGUUAACAGAUCUACUCCCUUGCGAACAAUUACGAUAUAGUUGAAAUAAAUGUUGCUCAUAACCUAAGGGUAAAAAACGAUCCAUCAACAUUUUUCUCAUCCUCCUCCAUGAUUGGAUUGGAAAUUUUUCCUGUCUAGCUCUCUUCCUCUGUAUUUCAUCCCACCAUGCGGCUGCAUAACCCUUCAACUCACACCUAACCAAUUUUACCAUCUUAUUCGGCAAAAUAUCCAUCAAUUCAAAAUAGUUUUCGACUUCUGACACCCAAUCGAUAAAAUCCUCAACUUCAAGAAAAUCUCCACUAAAAGAAGGAAUUUCAGCUCUUACCCGAUAUUUAUCACGAUCUUUUUGCCUCCUUCUAGGCGGGUUUUCUUCAAAAUCAGAGUUGCCGCUCACCUUUGAAUAGUCGUCAUACCUUGAUUGAAGUUGAACAGGUCCAUGAUAAUUAUGUCUAACAUAUGCACCUCGGGCUACACCGUCGGCAGUACCCAUGCUAGAUCCAGUUCUUCUGUUGUUGUUGUCAAGGGCAAAUCCCUCGCGCACCAACCGCAGAUUUUGCAGUUUCUCAACCCCGCGGUCAUCGCCAACGUAGUUGUUGUCUCCAUGUCUCGCACCUUUCGCCAUCUAACCAGGAAAAACCUCGCUACUGAUGCCAACUGACGCAGGACGGAAGCACGGUAAAGAAUUAAUUUCUACGAAUUAAUCCUAUAGAACAAAAUAACAUUCGGAAUCCACCGAAAACUCUGGAAUCCACCAGAAAAAUAGAGAAAACUCUAAAUAUUUUAUUAAAAUUCGAAAUUCUUCUCAAAAUAAAGUCCUAAGGCAGCUAUUUAUACUAAAAAAAAACUGAAAACCCUAAUUAGACUAAGAAAAUACUAAAAAUUACCAAAAAUGGCAAAAACGAGUUAAAUCCUAAUUCUAGUAGACCUCGUAAUUUUGGGAACAACCCAAUUUACGGAAUCCUAAUGCGAUUUUUCUAUGAUUUGAUAUUAAUUUUCUAAAACUUACCUAAAAUAGCAAAAACGAACUUUUAGGAGUCUAAACGACGUUGGAUUGCUAAAAUAUGACGUGAUUCAUGAGCUUUUCUCAUGAGUUUUGUUCCUUGCGCCGUUUUACUUGAGAUAGAGUUCGUUUCGUACUCAAAUACAAUUUGAGUUCGUUGAAAACCCUUAUUUUUCCAUAAUUUCUUUCGAUAUCUCCACCGAUGCCCAUUAAUAACUCUUCUCCGAAUUAAAUAGUUAUUUUGCAAUUUGAAUCCAAUUUGACGUUCCUUAUCACUGCACGUGCCUCACAUUCGACCGCUUUCAGGUGACUUGAAAAUCUACGAACCACCCAUGAAAGACACCCGUUCUUUCCAACCUCGGGCUAUCAACGACACUGUAUAAUAAUUCACCCCAUUGGGCACAGCUGCAUCAAAGUGUAUAUUAAUGAAACCCUCAGGAGGAGAUUUCCACUCGAUGGAAAAUUAUCUCUCGGGGUCGAAAGUUCGACAUUUGUGCUUGUUGGAAUUCAUGGAGAAAAGAAUCACACCAAUUGACAAUCUCAGCUGUCUUGAUCGCCCUUUCACCAUGCAACUCUUUAUUUCUCGCUUCCCAAGUCUACCAUGCAAUUAUCGUGGCUAAUAAGAAGAGAUCCUCAGAAAGUUUGCGUCGCAUAAAAUCAAUCCAUUCCCACAUGGAGCUACUGGGAAUGAAGCUCCUAAUAUUGAAAGGUGAGGAGCUCCAUAUUGUCCCCAUUCCAUUACAAUAUUGGAGCACAUGUGAUACUGACUCCCCUUCAGCUCUACAACGUCGACAAAUGGGGGAUGCAGCCACUUUGCGUCUGUAAUAACUCAGCACUGGUAGGGAGGAUUUCAGAGCACACCCUCCAAAGAAAGUUCCGUAACUUUGGCGGUAGAUACAAUCCUUAUAUCAUAUUCCAUCUCAGGGAUGAUUCUCCACUACUCGAUUCGCCGCCCCCAUCACGUGAGUAAAUUGCAAAAACUACCCCUAUGUAAUCCUCAAUUGCUAUAAAAGUCCCUGUGCUAUAAAAGUUAGCAAAAACCCCCCUAUAUAAUUUUUUUAUUAGCUCACGGCACCUAUUAUUAUUUUAGUUAUUGACCAGAGAUGAAAAGACAAAUAUACCCUUUAAUUAAUAACAUAAAAUUAUAAUUAAUAUAUAAUAGAGGCCAAAUUGUAAUUUUACUAAAUUUCUGAAACUUAAUUAGGUGACUGAAUUGUAAUUUUCCAAAAUACUAUUAAACCUAGAUUGAAACACUCACUACGCACAAAAUUCAUUGCACAGCCCCCUGCCUCCUCUGCGGCGGCGCCGUCGACCAGAACCAUCGUCGGAGAAGACGGUAAAAAACAGAAAAACAAUGGGGAGGUUUGGAUCUGGAGGCAUCAUAUACCUUGCUCUUCUCCUCCACUGUUUCGUGAGGCUGCCGGCUUCGGCAGAGCUACCGGAUUUGAGAGAAUUAGGGGCGGCUCCGGCGGCGGUAGUGACCGUGGUUGUUGCCUUUGCUGUUUUGAGUUCCAGAAAUUUUGGGGAAGAAGAGAAUUAGGUGCUGGAUUUUUUUUUCCCAAGUGGGGGCGUUGAGACUUGAGAGGGUGAUAGGGAGAACGAAGAUGAUUAGGAUUUAAGAUUUUAAAAAUUGUUAUUUGGUCCUUUGAAUUUAAUUUAUUUAUAAUUACAUCAAAUUUAACAUACAUUUUUUAUUGGGAUUAUUUGAGAAAACCCCCUCAUAUGUAUUUUAUCAUUAGACUAGAUCCUUUUUUUAUAUUCCCUUUUUAGAUAAAUCCAAUUGUAUUUUAUUAAACAAAUUAUAUUAUUAAUAACCUAUUUUACCCUUUCUCAAUUUAUUUAACCUAGCAAUAAAAGUUUCUCGUAUAAUAUAAUCGUUUCUCUUCUCUUCCCCUUCUGUAUACAACUCGCGCCCACACCUCGCCGCCCCACCAGACACCACACGAUCUCCACCCUCCUCCUCCUCGGAGGGAUCUCCCACCGGGCUGCUCCUCUAUUUGUUUCUCUCUUACAUUCGGUUACCGCAAAUUGCAAAAACCCCCAAAUUUCUGAAACCCUAGUUUUGCCAUUGGUAUCUUCCACCAUCCUUCUCCUUCUUGACCAUUCCCCCUGUUCAUUCAAUACCAAAUGUAUACAUAUGAAUUCUUUUUUUAUGGUGAUAAGCCCUUUCACUGAUAAAGAAUUGUUCAACCUAGAUUUUUUUUUCACCGAUGCUUCGCCGAAAUUCCAGAAGUCGGACCUCCUCUCUGUGCCGCACCUGCAAUCGCCGCCGCCGCGGUGGAGCACGACGGACUUCACUUCUGUCAGUUCAUGGUCGUCGGCUCGAGCGCCGGCAUGGUGGAGCACGUCCAUGUGCCUCGUUGACACAAUCAAAACCCAAAUGAAAGCCCUAGGUUCCUGCCCGAUUAAAUCCGACAGCGUCAACCAAGCCGUCCGUUCUAUUCUGAAAUCCGACGGCACGAAGGGAUUCUACCUCGGGAUUGGAGCCAUGGCCCUCGGCGCGGGGCCCGCACGCGCCGUCUAGUUCUCUGUUUACGAGUUCUGUAAGAAGAGAUUCUCCAGCGGCAAUCUGGACAAUCACGCGGCGCAUAGGGGGUUUGUGCUACUGUUGCCAGCGAUCCGGUAAUCUGGAUAAUCAAGGUUUUCAACUAAAAAUAAUAAUUUGAUUGUAAUUAGAUUGUAAUUCUUAUUUUGAAAUGGAUUUUCUCUUUGAAAAGGUGAUUUAAUUUGAUUGUAAUUAGAUUGUAAUUCUUAUUUUGAAUUGGAUUUUCUCUUUGAAAAGGUGAUUUGUUGUGGUGGAUUAGGUUAAUUCCGUAGUGGACUACGUUACUAUUUUAGGGGAUUUGUCGUAGUGAAUUAGUUUAUUUUCGUAGUGAAUUAGUUUAUUUUCGUAGUGGAUUAGUUUAAUUUCAUAGUGGACUACGUUAAUAUUUUUGUAAUUGUUUGUAGUGGAUUAGUUUAAUUUCAUAGUGGAUUAUGUUAUAUUUUUGUAAUUGUUUGUAGUGGAUUAGUUUAAUUUCAUAGUGGAUUAUGUUAAUAUUUUGGUGGAUUUCGAUAUUUUUUGUAGUGGUUUUGGAUCAGAUUGUAGUAGAUUUAAAAUUUUUGCUUGGUAGACCGAUUUUAUUUUGAAUGAUUAAAUUUACGCGUUGUUGUUGUCUUUUUCUUUGGUUCAGAUUCUUGAAAAGGAGUGAUGGCAACAAGUGGGACGAGGUUGGGUAAUGCACGGGGACUCUACUAUUGUAUGCGAUGACAAUUUUUAUUAAAGGGGACUUAUGUAGUGGAUAUAGGCAAGUUUUUAGUGGAUUUUCUCUUUAUAAAUGGGAUCUUUUGUAGUGAAUUUCUAUAUUUUUGUAGUGGUUUUUGAUGAACUUAUAGUGGAUUUGAGACAAUACCUGAUGCAGGCGCGAGGAGGGGUGUCGAUGCGCUUACAGUAAAUAGUGGUUUUUGAAUUCUGAUGUGACAUUAAAUAGUGGAUUAUGUUUUACAGUAAAUAGUGGAUUUCAAGCAGUGAAUAGUGGGUUUCAAUUUCAGACAAAGAAUAGUGGAUUUCAAACAGUGAAUAGUGGAUUUCAAAUUCAAGCAGUAAAAUAGUGGAUUAUGUUAUUUUAUAGUGGAAUACGAUUAAUUUUUUUUAGAUAGUGAAUGUUCAUAAAUUUUGACGUGUAGCGGAUUUCAUUUUUUGAUAAACCUAGUGGAUACAAAAUGGUUUUCAGUUAAUUUCGAAAUAUUUAUAGUGAAAUUCGAUUUGGUAAAGUGAGAAAAAAACCAAUAAAAAAUAUUAAUUAAAAGAAUAAACUGGAAAAAAAUUAAUAUUUCAAAAAAAAUGAAAAAUUAAAAAUAAUAAACAAAAAAAAAAAUUGAAAAAACAAAAAAUAAUAAAUAAAUAACUAUUUUUUUGAAGUAUAAAUAAAAAAAAAAACAAUUUUUUUUAAAGGAAAUCAAAAAAAAAAUGAACGUUGGCGUUUUUUGCAUACGUACAGAUUUUUAAAUUUAUAUUCCAUAUUAAUAUAAUUGAUGAUUGAUUAAUGAAUAUAAUAGGGGUAAAUGGGGUAUUAUGUUAAUUGAGGGGUUAUCCCUAAUAGUAAAUAUAAAAAUGGAUUUAAACCUCUAAGGAAAUUGUAUGAGGGGGUUAUCUCAUAUAACCCCUUUUUUAUUUAUAUGUAUAAAAGGGUGUUUAUGUCAUUUUACCCCCAAAUUUUCAAAAAGAACCGCACAACCCGCGCGUGAUUACCACGAGCAGCUUUAAUGGGCUUUUUCGCCUUUGACUUUUAAUCAUAGGGGGGUUUUGCUAAUUUUUAUAACACAAGGACUUUUUUAGCAAUUAAGGAUUACACAAGGGUGGUAUUUACAAUUUACUCCCCAUCACGGUCUCUGUUGAAGUAUGUUCAUUCGUAAGAAUGUUGUGAUAGCACCAACGAACUGUAAAUUGUCCCGUAUUGGUAUAGUGCCAAAUCCAUCUAUCACUCGCAACAUGACAAUCAAUUGGGACACCCAAAAUCCUUUCCCUGUCUACCGACCAAAAUAACUCAUCAAUAAACUCCGUCUUCUACGUUCGAGUCUCCUGGUCAAUUAAAUCUGAAACUUUGUCUGGGUGGCCAGUCGCGAUGGGUCUUCUUGUCAAGACUUUGAAGUUUCCAUCCUCACAAAGCCAAGGAUCAGACCAGAUUGCAGUGUUUUCUCCAUCUCCUAUUCGUCGCCGAAUUCCCGAAAUGAGGAAGGGUCGAGCUUUGAGCAGACUUCUCAAUGUGGCUGAUGGUCGUGUCCCUGGUCCAGCCCUAAGUAUGUCACAGUUUGGAAAAUACCGAGCCUUCAUUACAUCAGCCAAGAGAGUGUUCGGUUGCGUUAAAAUUCUCCAUAAUUGUUUAGCUAGUAAUGCUAAGUUGAAGCUCUUCAAAUCUCUAAAGCCCAUACCCCCUUUCGAUUUAGGAAUGCAAAGUUUCUUCCACGCCAUCCAAGCCAUCUUCCGUCCCGAGACUCCACUCGACCAAAAUUGUUGGAUAGCCGACUCCAACUCCCCAAGUAAUCCGCAUGGCAAAGAAAUGAAUGGAGAUAAUGGGGGCGGUUGGGGCAAUCUGAACACCGUGUCGCUCAUUUCUAUGUACCGCUCGUUGGAUCAUAGCAAUAAGGGCCUCUGCACAACAAAUAAACAAGUAUGGAGAGAGGGGGUCGCCUUGUCGGAAACCUCUAGACGGAUUCAGAGAACCAAUCUGUGUACCAUUGAACAAAAAAGCGUUAGAGACGGAUGAGAUACAAAGCAUAAUGAGUUCAACAAAAUCAAUUGAGAAACCAAGACGGCAAAAAGCUUUUUUCUCAAAAAGACCCAUUCAAUCCGAUCAUACGCUUUGCUAAUAUCAAGUUUAACUGCCAUAUAAUUUAAUUUACUACUAGCAUGAGUUCUAAUGAAAUGGUUCACUUCAAAAUUUCAAAUGCAACUAGGACAGUAUCUGUAAUAAGGUGUUUGGACACGAAAGCAGAUUGGGUAGGGAAGAUGAUCUCAUUCAAGAAACGUUUAAGGCAACUACUUAGACCCGAUUUUGUAUAUAACAUUACAAAGGCUUAUAGGUCUAUAAUCAAUGAUUUUUUCUGGCUGGUUUACCUUGGGAAUUAGGACAAUAAACGUGAAAUUCAUGGACCGGGGGAGGUUCUUAUUAUUUAGAAAAUCCAGCACACAAUUCGUGACACUAGACCCUAGAAUAUGCCAAUAUUUAGUAAAAAAUAUAACAGGAAGGCCAAUAAUACGAUUCCAAUUCCCUCCAUCUUCCUUUCAAUGCCGUCAUGGAGGAUGGCGGCAUGACGGUGUUCCCGGUGUUUUUCCACCACGGCGAGAAGCUGAACAGGAUCGGAGGUCUCAAAAUUCAUCCAGCCAUGGAAUUCAGGACUUUUCAGUUGACGAUAAUGAAAAGAAUUGGGGUCUCGCCGGGUCAAAUUUUGACAUUAGUCGUCCCGCUGGAUGAGGACGGUAACUCGACGAUCUCGGAGGAUCGCCCUGCAUUUCUGGUUACCCCAAGGAUCGACUUCCGCGUAGUAUGUAGCCUGAAGGAACAUUCCUUUUUUAUCAUCUUGAAAAGGUCUCGGAAGUCGAGAAAUCGCCCGGAGAUGGUGUCGAACGGCGCUGAGCUCGCCGAUUUGUCGACCGGAAACACGUGCUCUUCUAGUACUAGUACUUCGGCGGCGGAGAAUCUGACUAUGCUACAGAGGAAUCAACCUGCGCCGGUUCCCCACCAAAAUACGCAAGCGCAGCUGGCUGAUUUAAACGCUCGGAUGAAGCUUGAUGAAUUGAACGGUUGCGAAGGGCGAGCCUUCAAACUCAGAGGGAGAAUUAUCAAAGGGCAAUGGCGACCAGAUAUUCGGAUCGGCCAAACUUGGGGCCGGGCCAUGUUUCGGAUCGGGCUGAUUUGAACCCUCAGAUGAAGCUUGAUGAACUUCAAGGUCAGUCGCAAAGGGCGAGCGUUCAAAAUCAGAGGGCAAAUUAUCAAACGGCAACGGCGACCGGAUAUUCGAAUCGGCCGAACUUGAGGCGGGGGCAUGUUUCGGAUCCGAAUCUGAAUUUAGAUUCGUUUCCGUCGCUUGAUUAUAGUGUUAAUUCAAGAUUGCUAAUGAUGAAGGCUGUCCUAAAGAAGUUUUACUGCGAGAGGUGCUGGUAGGGCAGAAAAAUGGCGGUCACAACGCCGUUCCAUCACUGCAUUAAUGACCCGGUAGUUAGUGCGUUCAGAACUCGGGCUGGGCCGAUCACUAGAAACCCGCAGAAAAAUGACGUCACGACGCCGUUCCAUUGCUCUCUAUUUACAACACCGCCACCGGCCGCCGCGAUCCAUUCGAUUCCCGCCAUUUCUGUGCCUUAGGGCUUAAGGGUCGAUGAAAUUAUCAAGUGGUGAUUCUGAAAACGACGUAAUCUUGAAGGAACUUCAGAUUCGCUCGGACACUUAUUCCUUCUCCCAUAGUUCUCGCAGUCAGAUUAUAUUACACACUCCAAGACAUACACAAGCUUUGUCCUUGAACUUUUGAUUUUCUUGAUGAAUCUCGUAUAAUUAAUUUCAAAAAAACACAUUUAAUAUCCAUUUCGGAUGAUGGGAUUUCAGGUUUCCAAUUUAAAUUUUCUUUUGUAUUUGUUUCUCUGUUGGUGAUGUCAGGCAGGGUAUAUUGAUCACAUUUGCUAACUAUGUAAAUUAGGGAUCUUGGACUCUAGCUUAGGUGGAUAAAGGAGGAGUAAUAUAAGUAGCCCAUUCAUGUUUACAUUCUUUUCAAUUAUUUCUACCAUUCUAUACUCCAACUUACCAUUCUAACAACAAUAAACAAAACUAUUAAAAUAAAAUUAAGACUUACAAAUAACUUGAAAUAACAAUAAACAACAACCUACUAUAUCAAAUUAAGCUAAGAGUUUCAGAAAUUAAAAUAAUUUCAGAAAUUGAAAUAAAAGUCUACACAUCAUCCUCGAUGAUCCUCAUCCUCAAUGAUCAUCCCCAUCCUCCUCCUCAUCCUCCUCGUACUCGUACUCGUACUCGUACUCAUCCUCAUCCUCGUCCUCAUCCUCAUCCUCAUCCUCACCGUGGCGGCUUAUUUCAUGGUUCGUUAGAUUAUGUCUAUUCUCGAAAGUUUCGUUGCACACGAGGCAAGAAAAAUAGCCUACAAAAUCAAAAUAUUAGUAAUUAGAAUUAAGAAAAAAAUCAAUGAAUAAAAAUAUCGGUAAACAGAAUUUUCUAUCGAACAAAUUAGCUAGCAUGCAUCUCGGUAUAUAGUAAAAUAAAUAGCAGCAAGUAUUUUCUGAAAAAUGCAAAAAUGCCCUUUAAAUUAUAAAAACCCUAAAUAGUCAACAAUCUGAAUUACGUUUAAGAGAUUACCUGGGCACGAAUCCUCCUCAGUCGGCUCCUCCUCAGUCGUCGGCUCCUCCUCCUGUGUCGUCUCCUCAUCCGCCGGCUUCGGGUCGGACCCGGGCGGAACCGGAUCAGAGGAAGCCGAAAGGGUGCGGCUCCCGCUGCUGCUACUACCUAGAACGCAUCAAAUAAAAAUAAUAAUUAAGUAGAAAUAUAAAAAACUUUUUUAUAGAUAUUACUUUCUUACUUUUUUUGGGAAAACAAUUAAUAGCAAAAAGGGGGGUUUUGUCAAAGCUCCUAACCCGAAAAAGAAUUAAAAUAAAAUAAAAUAAAAAUAAAUAACUUAUUUAUAUUAAAAAAAAUUACUCUUUUUUUUGGAAUAGAAUUAAUACCAAAAAGGAAUAUUUGGCAAAUUUCGAAACCCGAAAAAAAAAAUAUAUAAAAUAAAUAAAGAACUCAUUAAUUAAUUAGUUGGCCUUUUACUUUCUUUUCCUUUUUUUUUAGAAAAAAAAAUAAUACCAAAAGAAGUUCUUAUACUAUUAAAUAAUUUACCAACUGAUCUUAAUGCUUUUGUCAAAGCUCGAAUCCCGAAAAUUUUCGACAUAGUGAAAAGAGAGCGAGAGAGAGGAGAAUAGCAAAUAGUAAAAAUGCAGUUUAAUAAAAUUCACAUGAGUAUGGAGUUUCACUUGUCAUGAAUAAUAAAGUUUUUAGUGUGAGACCCCCAAAAAUAAUAUUGUUCUAAAGUUUUAUUAGAAAGAGAUAAUCAGAGCGUUGAAUUUAUGUCAUUUAAAAUGAUAACAAUAACGUUAUAAAAUAUUCUAAAGUCUUAUCAAAUAUUCAAAAAACUAUACAUUUCUUAACCCAGUUUUAAAAUAGUAGAAUAGUUGAGGUUAUUUAGAUGUCUUCUAGUAAAAUAAUACUUUAAAUUAAAAAUAUAUAUAUUAAUUUUGGUUGAGUAUAACAAAUAUAAAAUAAAUAAUUAUAUUUUGCAAUAUAAUUUCCAAAAAUAUUCUACAACAUUAAUAAAAAGUUCUAAUAAAUAUAUUCUACUGUAUGUUUAGAAGGCUACAAUUAAUAUUUCCAUGUUAUGUAAAAGUGUGGGAAGCUAGAAAAUACAAGAUCAAUGUUAGCUCAUGGAUAAAUUAGUGUCGGCUUAUGAUAAAAUGUAUUAAAUGUAUCAAUGUUAGCUCAUGGAUAAAUUAGUGUAGGUGUUUGAUGCUUUUUUUUUUCUUUUUUUUUUCGUUUUAUUAAUUAUUCAAUUAAAAAAUAAUUACUUUUUUUUAAUAGUUUUAAAUAUUUUUUUUAAAUAUAUUUUCUUUCAAUUUUUUCCGUCUUUUUUUUUUCAAAAUCAACUCUAGCACCCCCCUAUUAGUCGGGCGAUAAAUCGAACCGGUUUCUCGGAACUCUAUAUACUUAGCGGAAGCAAAAGGAUCUAUGUGCAAUUUUAAAACUUUGGACUGGGGCGAAAAUGCAAUUAUCAAAAUAUCUUCGUUUGGUUAUUCACAACUUUGCACUUUCAAAAAGAAAAACUUUUUUAGGUUGUUCUUAGCCGAAUAGAGGUUUUAUUUCAAAAUAAGUUUCAAGAGGAGGUUUUUUUUUUUUUUUUAUUCGAGUGCUACAAUAUCACUAUUGGGUUUUCGGUUCGAGGAUAAAUCAGAGUUUGGAAAGGUUAUUUUGGUGAUUAAUUCGGAAAUCACAAAUGGAGGCUUAAGAAGAUAGCAAAUUACGAAACUUACUAUAUCAUAAUAGGGUUCAAGUACGAUUCAUAAUAAAAAUGAGUUCAAAGGUACGAAAAGAGAAAUGUUACGGUUUAAGGUUACACCACCAAAAGAAAAUAACCAAAAGCUUCUAGCAUCAUUCAUAGGUCCUCGUACGUCUUCCAAAAAUCCCGGGCAAGACCUCGAUCCACUACUCGAUCCAUCCCGGUUGAGGAUUGCUAGCACUACUACCUGCAAUUAAAAGACAUCUAUAUGAGCUAUAAAGCUCAGUAAGAAAUUCGAGUAAUAUCGAACUUUGGAAAUACGUUAUACAUAAUAUAUAAUAUUAUACACCCGUUCUUACCCACAUUCCGUACAACAACACAAGACAAUCGGUCAAAGUCACAUAAUGCACGAAAACACGUCAUUUACCAAAAUCAGGUAAUUAUGCAAAAUGACUAAAAUGCCCUUUUUAUGAAAAUCAUGAAAGCACGUUUUUCGUUUAUCGGAUCCGUGAAAGAUUAAUUUCUGUACCCGAGUAAUAAACCUGUUACGAGCCCGUUUUCACUAAGUGGAAUCAAGCCACUACACACAUCAUCCUAAUUGGAUACCGGCCCACUAUAUCCGAGGUGUUUAUUACCCGAUAUUCCAUUAAUCUUUCAAAUAAAAUCAUUUAAUGCAACUUUUCGAAAUAAUGCUAUAGCCCACACAUGACAUCACAAAUAUCAAUCAAGUGCCACAAAAUAACACAAAUCUUACAAUUUACCACAUAAUUGUAAAUUGGGCAAAAUUCCCAUAUUUACACACAUAAACACACAUUCGCACACGGCACACACACCAUACACAAUCAGCACACACACCCACACAUUUUCAGCACACACACAUGUAACCAACAUAUUAAACUUCACUAUUUAAUCAUCAAGGCAUGCUUAAAAUAAAUAUCCCUUUUCUCACAUCUCAUUUAAUGAACUUAUUACAAUUUCUAUGUAAUAAUUCAUUCCCACAACUUCUCACAGCCAUUAAACCACACCCAUAGUACCAAAAAUAACAAAACUCAUCACUCAUAACCAUUAAAUCAAAACAUAGACAUUAAAACACAAAUAAUAUAUCAAUGCAAUGCAAAUGAUCCAAAUUUCGAAAUGAUAGCAAACUAAUUCCAAAAAUCUUCAAAUUAAAUCCUAGAACUCCUAACUGACCCAAAUUUCAGUUUCCGAAAUUAUUUUAAAUUUUUACAAAGUUUCGAAUUUCCUUAAAAUUAAAAACUAGAAAAUCCUCUUUUUCCUUUAAAAAAAUCAAAACUCUAAUAUAACCUUAAUUACUUUGAAAUCUUUGUAAAUAAAACUUUUUCCCCAUUUAAUACUUACUGGAAAAACAGAUCCAGACUUUAAAAAUGAGAGAUCUUUCAGAAAUUGCAGAUUUGACCCAAAAGUUUCAAGAUUUACACAAGCAACCAUACUAAAAGUUCAAAAUCUACUUUUUGAUGAAAAAAAAACUUUUAAAAAUCUGAAAUUCUAUUUUAUUGGAUGCAGAAAUCGAAGUUGAAAAGCCACUUCAUGCAGAAAUUCCAAAAAUUACAUAAUUUACCCCAAAAUCUCUAGAUCUUCACAUGCAAUGCCACUAAAAGUUCAAAAACAACUUUUCUUACAAAAAUCCAUUAAAUCCGAAAUUGUUGGUUCAAUAAAUGCUGGAAAACAGUUUAGAAAGCACUUUUAGGACUGACUUUACCAAAAUUACAGAAUUGACCCAAAACUUUCGAAGAUCUACACAUGCAACCACAUAAAAGUUCAAAAUUUCAUUUUUCUUGAAACCCGUUUUUGAAAUCCGAAAAUUUUAAUGCUUUUGGCCAAUAAAAGUUGUAUCUACCCACUAUCAACAUAGAUGAUGCAUGCAAGGACAUAAAAUCAACAAGAAACACCCAUUUUCCAUUUUUUUCCAAAAAGCCCUAAAUUUUCGAAAACAUUCCCAAUCUUGUAAAAUUUUAUGAAAACCAUUUUCAAUACUAUUAAUGCCAUUUAAUUUCAGCAAGAAAUCGAAAUUUCUUACCUUAAAUUUCGAAGAAAGAAAUAACCGAAAGAAGAGGGAGGCUUUCAAGCACCGAAGUCCAACCAAGCCACCUUGAUUGUAAAGGAAAUGGUGUGAGCUUCAAGGAGGGAGGAGUUGUGAUCUCCCGAAAGAAGGCAAGUGGUCUUGAUUGUGUUCUUGGAGUAGUCCAAGGCAAGAGUUAAAUAAGGAACUCUCAUUUUAAUUUGGGAAUUUCUUUGUAAAUAGAAGGUGAGGUGGAGGGAGUAGAGGCCGAUGGUGGUGGUGAUUGCUUCGGUGGAGGGGGGAAUGGAGGACAAGUAAUUUGGCUAGGUGUUGGAAGAAGAAAGAGGAAGAGUGGCUUUUCAUCUUACUUAGUAGGGUGGAGUGUAGGAUUAGAGAAAUGAUUAGUAUUUGACAAGUGUAAUGCAUGCCUAAUUAGUCACAAUUUAUUUAUUUAAAUUAAACCUCCACUUGCAUCACAACACACACACACAUUUCGGACAUACACACACACACAUAUAUAAAUAUAUCAUAUAUAUGUAAAUAUAUUUUAAUGUAUAAUGCAAGUAUUAGCAUAUAUGUAUGUAUACGCAUGCAUGCAUAUAUGUACGUAUAUAUAGAUAUAUAUACAAUUCACAUAAUUUACCAAGUUUCAAAUAAUUUAUCAAAUAAAUAAAAUACGCAAUUAUUCACAUAAACCACGUAAUUCACGAAAUUUCAUAGUAUUUAAAUUUACGGGAAUUUAAAUCAUAUAAAUCACAUAUAUCAUGGCGAACGUAAUUAUUCACGUAAGUAACAUAAUUAAAUUCACGUAAUGCAUAUAAUUAAUAUCACGUAAUAAUAUUCCCUAAGAAUUCUUGAGUUAGAAUUAUUAGUCUCGGGUUUUAGGGUUUUCGGGGUUUGGAAAGGUGGGGUGUUACAAUCUCCCCCCCUUAAAGAAAUUUUGUCCCCAAAAUUGUUACCUGAACAACUCGGGGUAAUGUUCGCGCAUUUCUUCUUCCCGUUCCCAUGUGGCUUCUUCGGGUGUGUGAUUUUGCCAAAGGAUUUUAACGAAUUUUAGGUCUCGGUUUCGAAGGGUUUUGGUUUUUUAGUCAAGUAUUUGGGAAGGUUUCUCUUCGUAGGAUAGGUUAGGGUUUAGUUCGACUGGUUCGGUUUUCAAUACGUGGUCGGGGCUGCGAAUGUAUUUUCGAAGCAUUGAAACGUGGAAGACGUUGUGAAAGUUGGAUAAGUUGGGUGGUAAGGCUAGUCGGUAGGCGCGAGUACCAAUUUUGUCGAGAAUUUCGAAUGGACCAAUAAAUCGCGGUGCUAAUUUGCCCUUUUUCCCAAAUCGUAUAAUUCCUUUGAAAGGCGCCACUUUCAAGAAUACGGAGUCUCCGACUUCGAAUUCGAGAUCUCUCCUUCGUGUGUUGGCAUAGCUUUGUUGUCGAUCUUGGGCAAUUCGCAUUUUCUCCCGAAUGUUUUUGACGAUAUCGACGGUUUGUUGGACUAGGUCGGGACCAAGGAAUUUCCUUUCGCCAAUUUCGUCCCAAUGGAGCGGGGACCUACACUUGCGGCCGUAUAGAGCUUCGUAAGGUGCCAUUCCAAUUGACGAGUGAAAGCUAUUAUUGUAUGCGAAUUCGAUUAGUGGGAGGCGGGAUUCUCAGUUUCCUCCAAAGUCGAGAAUACAAGCGCGGAGAAGAUCUUCUAGGGUUUUGAUAGUUCCUUCGGAUUGGCCGUCGGUUUGGGGGUGAUAGGCGGUGCUGAAUUUUAAUCGCGUUCCGAGGGUUUCGUGUAAGCUUUUCCAGAAUUUUGACGUAAAUCGAGGGUCACGGUCGGUAAUAAUCGAGACGGGAACACCGUGGAGUCGGAUUAUUUCUCGGACGUAUAGUUCGGUCAGCUUCUCUAAACUAAGCGUCAUUCGGAUCGGAAGAAAGUGAGCCGUUUUGGUCAGUCAGUCAACGAUCACCCAAAUAGCGUCGGAUCCCCUUUGGGUCUUCGGAAAUCCUUGUACGAAGUCCAUCGUGACGGCUUCCCAUUUCCAUUCCGGAAUUAGGUUCGAUUGAAGUAGACCUCCGGGCAUUUGAUGUUCCGCUUUGACUUGUUGGCACACUAGGCAUUCGGCGACGAAUCGGGCCACGUCUUUCUUCAUUCCAGGCCACCAGUACAACUUUUUGAGAUCUUGGUACAUUUUGGUUUCUCCGGGAUGGCAAGUGUACGUGGUUUGGUGAGCUUCGGUUAAGACCAGUCGGCGAACAUUUGGAUCGUCGGGGACGUAAAUGCGAUUUUGGAAUCGGACGAGGCCUUCUUUGGUGAUUCGGAAGUUGGGAUUGGAUUCGAGGUUAUUGCGGAUUUUGAGAAUUUGCGGAUCGUUUUGUUGGGCUGAUUUGAUUGAUUCUCCCAAGUUAGGUUGGACUAUGAGGGCGUUGAUCGAUUUACGGCUAAGUGCGUCCGCGACCACAUUUGCUUUGCCGGGGUGGUAGAGUAUCUCGCAGUCGUAGUCUUUGACUAGUUCGAGCCAUCUUCGUUGCCGCAUGUUCAAGUCUUUUUGGGUAAAGAAGUAUUUCAGGCUCUUGUGAUCGGUGUAGAUGGUACACUUUUCGCCAUAGAGAUAGUGUCGCCAGAUUUUGAGUGCAAAAACGACGGCGGCUAAUUCGAGAUCGUGCGUUGGAUAAUUGCGUUCGUACUCUUUGAGUUGACGUGAGGCGUAGGCAAUGACUUUUCCAUUUUGCAUAAGGACGGCGCCUAGACCUAAUUUCGAGGCAUCACUGUAGACUAUGAAUUCUCCAACUUUCUCUGGUAGUGCGAGAAUUGGUGCCGAUGUGAGUCGAUUCUUUAAUUCGGUAAAGCUGGCGUCGCAUUCGGGUGUCCACUGGUAUUUGACGUCUUUUCGAUUCAAUCGGGUGAGCGGAGAGGCAAGCUUCGAGAAAUCCUUCACGAAUUUGCGGUAGUAGCCGGCUAAUCCAAGGAAACUUCGGAUUUCCUUUGCGUUCUUCGGAAUUGACCAAUUUGAGACGGCUUCUAUCUUGCUGGGGUCGACGGAGAUUCCUUGUUCUGAAACGAUGUGACCAAGGAAAGCCACACUCGGAAGCCAGAACUCGCAUUUACUGAAUUUGGCGUAAUGGAUGCGAUUGGAGGGUUUGGAGUACGGUGCGAAGGUGUGACAUAUGAUCUUCUUGGGUCUUUGAGUAGAUGAGAAUAUCGUCGAUGAAAACAAUCACGAACUGGUCCAAGUAUCGAUGAAAGACUCUGUUCAUAAGGUCAAUGAAAGCUGCGGGUGCAUUGGUUAGACCGAAGGGCAUGACCACGAAUUCGUAGUGACCGUAUCGGGUUCUGAAAGCUGUUUUGGGGAUAUCGGAUUCUUUGAUCUUGAGUUGGUGAUAACCGGAUCGGAGGUCGAUUUUAGAGAAGACCGAUGAGCCUUGAAGUUGGUCGAAGAGAUCAUCAAUUCGAGGAAGAGGGUAUUUAUUCUUGAUUGUGAUUUUGUUGAGCUCACGGUAGUCGAUGCAAAGGUGGAGGGAUCCGUCUUUCUUCUUGACAAAGAGAACUAGUGCGCCCCACGGGGAAUGGCUGGGUCGAACGUAGCCUUUGUCGAGCAAUUCUUGCACUUGGUCUUUUAGCUCCUUCAAUUCCAUUGGGGCCAUACGGUACGGGGCUUUGGAAAUUGGCGCGGCUCCGGGAAUGAGAUUAAUUUCGAACUCGAUUUCUCGAUCGGGCGGAAGUCCGGGGAUGUCAUCGGGAAACACGUCGGGAAAUUCUUGGACAGCUCGAAUAUCGGAUAUUUGGGUUUUGGGAUCGGACUCAGACUUCAGAAUAUCCACUAAGUAACCGGAAUGGCCUUUGUGAAUGAGUUUGACUGCUUUGAUCGCGGAUAUGAUUAGAACCGAGGUUUUGGGUUGACUUCGGAAUUUUAGGGUUUCGCCAUUCGGAAGGGGAAAAAUGACCUUUUUGAGGCACAGUCGAUUUUGGCUUUGAAUUUGGUUAGCCAAUCCAUGCCUAGUAUAACUUUGAAGUUUUGGAUCGGUAGGAGGAUUAGGUCGAAAUUCAUGGUUUGAGUAUGAACUCGGAUUGGACAAUUGAUUAUGACUAGGUUAGAGCACAUUUCUUCGCCAGAGGGAAUGAGAAUUCGGUAUUCAUAAUUUAGUCGAUUUGGUUCGAGGCUUAAGUGUGCAAUUAUGUCGUUCGAUAUAAAGGAAUGAGUAGAGCCGGAAUCAAUUAGAGCAUAUAUGGGUUCUUCGAGGAUAAAUAUGGUACCUGCUAUCAUAGAUGGGUCUUGUUCGAUCUGUUCUUGUGUCAUGGCGAACACUCGGCCGGGAAUGUUCGGUGGAGGUUUCGGGCAGUCCUUCACCAUGUGUCCGGGCUGAUGGCAUCGAAAGCAACUUCUCGUUCCUUGUAUGCAUUCUCCGGAGUGACUUUUUCCACAUCUUGGGCAGGUUGGCCUUGGCGGCGGUGGCGGUGGUCCGGUAGAUUGACGAAUGGGUUGCGUUCCUUUUCCUCGGAAUGGGCGGUUGCCAAAAUUGUUCUUUUUCCACGGACGUUGAGUAACUCCUUGCGGUCAGCGGCUGAUUUGAAUAUCUCGCUAGUCCUGGGCAGCCAUGAGUGAUUUGUCUACGAGUUGGCGGAAAGUUGAGGCGUCGGACAUACGAAUGUCUCGGCGGAUUUCUGGUUGGAGGCCGCGGAUAAAAUGAUUCUUCUUUUCCUCGGCGUCUCGGGCAAUGAAUGGGGCGUAGAGGCAGCCACGUUCAAAACGGCGGAUGUACUCGAUCAUUGGUAAGUCGCCUUGUCGAAGUUCAAGAAAUUCUUUGAGUUUGUGGGCUCGCACGUCUUUCGAGAAAUAUUUUUCGAAGAAUUGGACUUUGAAAUCGGUCCAUGGUAGAGUCUCGAGGUUCGUUCCUUCCUUGAUUCCUUCCCACCAGUGACGAGCUUCGUUUCGGAGUAGGAAUAUGGCGCAGUGCACGCGGUCGCGGUCGGUCAUUUGCAUGUAGUCGUAUAUGACUUCGAGAGAUUUGAUCCUCUCUUCGGCUAUAGCGGGGUCGGUUCCACCGUGGAAUUCGGAUGGGUUCAUUCGAAGAAAUCGUUCGUAUAUAGCUUGAGGCGCAUUAUUUUGAGGCGGGGUUUGGUUACGUUGGAGGAGUUGUUCGAUUUGACGUUGGUGAUUUUGGGCUUGUUCACGGAUUAAGUUCGAGAGGUUAUUAAUGGUUUGAUUGGGGUCUUGUGGUUCAUCGGCGGGAUUGCUAGUGUUUGCUCGGGUUAUACGUCUCGCCAUUAUUUCUAUAUUAAUUAUCAUCAAUAAGUAAAGCAAAUAAAACACAUAAAGAAAAUAAUACACAUACUUUACCGGAUGGUUCGAGUUUCGCGUUUCGAGUAGUCUCUAAGCCCGUGAAGUUCGUACGAGUAUCUAUGAACCAUGCUCUGAUACCACUCACUGUAGCACCCCCCUAUUAGUCGGGCGAUAAAUCGAACCGGUUUAUCGGAACUCUAUAUACUUAGCGGAAGCAAAAGGAUCUAUGUGCAAUUUUAAAACUUUGGACUGGGGCGAAAAUGCAAUUAUCAAAAUAUCUUCCUUUGGUUAUUGAAAACUUUGCACUUUCAAAAAGAAAAACUUUCUUAGGUUGUUCUUAGCCGAAUAGAGGUUUUAUUUCAAAAUAAGUUUCAAGAGGAGGUUUUUUUUUUUUUUUUUUAUUCGAGUGCUACAAUAUCACUAUCGGUUUUCGGUUCGAGAAUAAAUCAGAGUUUGGAAAGGUUAUUUUGGUGAUUAAUUCGGAAAUCACAAAUGGAGGCUUAAGAAGAUAGCAAAUUACGAAACUUACUAUAUCAUAAUAGGGUUCAAGUACGAUUCAUAAUAAAAAUGAGUUCAAAGGUACGAAAAGAGAAAUGUUACGGUUUAAGGUUACACCACCAAAAGAAAAUAACCAAAAGCUUCUAGCAUCAUUCAUAGGUCCUCGUACGUCUUCCAAAAAUCCCGGGCAAGACCUCGAUCCACUACUCGAUCCAUCCCGGUUGAGGAUUGCUAGCACUACUACCUGCAAUUAAAAGACAUCUAUAUGAGCUAUAAAGCUCAGUAAGAAAUCCGAGUAAUAUCGAACUUUGGAAAUACGUUAUACAUAAUAUAUAAUAUUAUACACCCGUUCUUACCCACAUUCCGUACAACAACACAAGACAAUCGGUCAAAGUCACAUAAUGCACGAAAACACGUCAUUUACCAAAAUCAGGUAAUUAUGCAAAAUGACUAAAAUGCCCUUUUUAUGAAAAUCAUGAAAGCACGUUUUUCGUUUAUCGGAUCCGUGAAAGAUUAAUUUCUGUACCCGAGUAAUAAACGUGUUACAAGCCCGUUUUCACUAAGUGGUAUCAAACCACUACAAACAUCAUCCUAAUUGGAUACCGGCCCACUAUAUCCGAGGUGUUUAUUACCCGAUAUUCCAUUAAUCUUUCAAAUAAAAUCAUUUAAUGCAACUUUUCGAAAUAAUGCUAUAGCCCACACAUGACAUCACAAAUAUCAAUCAAGUGCCACAAAAUAACACAAAUCUUACAAUUUACCACAUAAUUGUAAAUUGGGCAAAAUUCCCAUAUUUACACACAUAAACACACAUUCGCACACGGCACACACACACCAUACACAAUCAGCACACACACCCACACAUUUUCAGCACACACACAUGUAACCAACAUAUUAAACUUCACUAUUUAAUCAUCAAGGCAUGCUUAAAACAAAUAUCCCUUUUCUCACAUCUCAUUUAAUGAACUUAUUACAAUUUCUAUGUAAUAAUUCAUUCCCACAACUUCUCACAGCCAUUAAACCACAUCCAUAGUACCAAAAAUAACAAAACUCAUCACUCAUAACCAUUAAAUCAAAACAUAGACAUUAAAACACAAAUAAUAUAUCAAUGCAAUGCAAAUGAUCCAAAUUUCGAAAUGAUAGCAAACUAAUUCCAAAAAUAUUCAAAUUAAAUCCUAGAACUCCUAACUGACCCAAAUUUCAGUUUCCGAAAUUAUUUUAAAUUUUUACAAAGUUUCGAAUUUCCUUAAAAUUAAAAACUAGAAAAUCCUCUUUUUCCUUUAAAAAAAUCAAAACUCUAAUAUAACCUUAAUCACUUUGAAAUCUUUGUAAAUAAAACUUUUUCCCCAUUUAAUACUUACUGGAAAAACAGAUCCAGACUUUAGAAAUGAGAGAUCUUUCAGAAAUUGCAGAUUUGAUCCAAAAGUUUCAAGAUUUACACAUGCAACCAUACUAAAAGUUCAAAAUCUACUUUUUGAUGAAAAAAAAACUUUUAAAAAUCUGAAAUUCUAUUUUAUUGGAUGCAGAAGUCGAAGUUGAAAAGCCACUUCAUGCAGAAAUUCCAAAAAUUACAUAAUUUACCCCAAAAUCUCUAGAUCUUCACAUGCAAUGCCACUAAAAGUUCAAAAACAACUUUUCUUACAAAAAUCCAUUAAAUCCGAAAUUGUUGGUUCAAUAAAUGCUGGAAAACAGUUUAGAAAGCACUUUUAGGACUGACUUUACCAAAAUUACAGAAUUGACCCAAAACUUUCGAAGAUCUACACAUGCAACCACAUAAAAGUUCAAAAUUUCAUUUUUCUUGAAACCCCUUUUUGAAAUCCGAAAAUUUUAAUGCUUUUGGCCAAUGAAAGUUGUAUCUACCCACUAUCAACAUAGAUGAUGCAUGCAAGGACAUAAAAUCAACAAGAAACACCCAUUUUCCAUUUUUUUCCAAAAAGCCCUAAAUUUUCGAAAACAUUCCCAAUCUUUUAAAAUUUUAUGAAAACAAUUUUCAAUACUAUUAAUGCCAUUUAAUUGCAGCAAGAAAUCGAAAUUUCUUACCUUAAAUUUCGAAGAAAGAAAUAACCGAAAGAGGAGGGAGGCUUUCAAGCACCGAAGUCCAACCAAGCCACCUUAAUUGUAAAGGAAAUGGUGUGAGCUUCAAGGAGGGAGGAGUUGUGAUCUCCCGAAAGAAGGCAAGUGGUCUUGAUUGUGUUCUUGGAGUAGUCCAAGGCAAGAGUUAAAUAAGGAACUCUCAUUUUAAUUUGGGAAUUUCUUUGUAAAUAGAAGGUGAGGUGGAGGGAGUAGAGGCCGAUGGUGGUGGUGAUUGCUUCGGUGGAGGGGGGAAUGGAGGACAAGUAAUUUGGCUAGGUGUUGGAAGAAGAAAGAGGAAGAGUGGCUUUUCAUCUUACUUAGUAGGGUGGAGUGUAGGAUUAGAGAAAUGAUUAGUAUUUGACAAGUGUAAUGCAUGCCUAAUUAGUCACAAUUUAUUUAUUUAAAUUAAACCUCCACUUGCAUCACAACACACACACACAUUUCGGACAUACACACACACAUAUAUAAAUAUAUCAUAUAUAUGUAAAUAUAUUUUAAUGUAUAAUGCAAGUAUUAGCAUAUAUGUAUGUAUACGCAUGCAUGCAUGUAUGUACGUAUAUAUAGAUACACUACAACAAAAUAUAAAUAUUGCGACAUUUAUUUGGAGACAUUUUUUUAUAAAUGCCUCAAUUUUAAUUUAUUGGGACAUUUGAUUGAUUUAUUUUAUUUUUAAGACAUAUAGGGGCGUUUAUAAUUUAGCGGCAUAUUUUGAUAAAUGCCUGAAGCAUAAAUUAUAAGGGCACUUAAAAUUUUCACUUAUUUUUAUAACCUAAAGGGACACUAAUCCACGAAGCGCGAAACUUUUAGAUUGGAGGUUUCUCUUAUUUUUGUGGGCCCAAUUAAUAAUUCCCCAAAUUAACGCCACUUCAAUUAUACGAGAAAACCUAAUAGACUUUUUUCUUCAAAAAACGCCAGGGAGAGAAGAGCUGCAUCAUCGCAAAUUUUUUUCUGCAACAACGAGAAGGAGAAGAGGGGCGCGUUCGAAGGAAUCCAGCUUGUCAAUUCAUGUUUCUCUACGGUAAGUGAUUGAAACUAAAGAACCCAUCCAUCCUUGUGAUUUAUUUUAAUCCUAGUAAUUAAACUCCAGGCCCUAGGUAGUUUGUAGAUUUUUUUCACUCAAUAUUUAUGCAUGUAUAAAUUGAUUGCCGAAAAAAUCAUAUAGAUGAUGAAUAUAACUUCAUAUAUCCGUUUUGAAUAAUCUAUUUGCUAUGGGUCAAUUCUUGAAACUAUGGGUCUACUAAAGUUGGAGUUUUAGAGAUUUUAGAUUAACCACUGUAGAGUUUUUUUUUCUCUGCAAAUUCAUUGAAAUUUUGAAAAAUAUAGCCAAAUCGAAAGAGGAAGUUUGGGAGGAUAUGCAUAUAAGUUUAGUUGGGUAGAUGGAAAUUGUAUUCUGCACACCUACUGUUUGAUAAAAAUAGGCAAAGGGAAAUAAUUGCAAAAUUGAAAUUAGAUGGUGAAUUGGCCUCAUGUUUAGUGAGCAUGCUAGCAAUUGAUUCUGUGACCAAUCUUUGUCCUUGUUUGAAAAGGGGAUAGUGGAAUUGUGGAACAAAAAUACUAGUUUAAGGAUAUAAUCCAUGAUCAAUAUAGUUUAUUUUUAAUAUAGAAUUGCUUCAAAAAAAUUCUUUUAACAAAUGGAUUUUUCUAGUUGCAUAAUAUCUCAUUUUUUCUAUUACAAUUGCACAAACACGUUACUUAUUGUACUUAUAGAAGAAUUUUGAUCUUAUAGUUAGUAAUUUUUGUAUACCUCGUUUUUUCAUGGUAAAUAGCACUUAACCCCCUUGUGGUUAGUCUAUUUGGCACAUAACCCCUUUAUAGUUUGAAAAUAAGCAUGUAACCCCCAUUAGUUAUGAAGUGGUAGCUGCCAUCCAAUUCGUAACAGAAAACCAUAAAUAUCUUUUUGACCCUUGUAUUUUUAUCCUAUUAGCACCCAGUCCAUGCCAUGCGAUUGAUAUUACUCCAUAUCUGCAUAUUGUUUCCAAUUAAGAUAUAGAGCCUAAGAAAUCAGAGCUUUAAAAUAUGAUCUAACAAAUUCAACAAUGGAAUGCUACUUAGGAGUUCGGACAGAAAAAACAAAGGAUUAAAAUGGCUUCGUGUAAUUUAACCGUAGAGCACCACUUCAAAUAGAAAUUUGGUAUGCCAGGUCCGAGGAAAAUUCUCCAAGCCAAAUUGGAGUAUUUAAAAGUCAUUCUAAAGGAAGUGUUUUGUCCUUAUCAGUAGCUUUUUUUAUUCAAAAACUUAAAUUGCAUGUUCUAUAUGUAGCUUUUUUUAUCAGUAGCUUUUUUUUAAAAUUGGAGUAUUUAAAAGUCAUUCUAAAGGAAGUGUAUUGUAUUUUGGUUAUUGCUCUGUUCUAUAUCGAACUGUGAAUUGCAUGUUCGUUAUUCAGAUGAUCCUUCGGUUGUUUUAGCUCUUUUCAUUGUUCAAAUGGUUCAUGUUUUCUACUUCUUUCUUGAGAUUCAUUAUCUGAGUGCUAUCUUUUUAGUUGUGAAUAAGUAGUUGAUAGUUGUGAAUGAGUAUUCAUUCAUAAGGGUAGUACUGAUUCAUAAUUCAUAUAUUUUUUUUUUUUGCUUACAUGUUGUCUUAUUAUAUAUGUAAUUAUAAAUAAUUUGUGAAUGAUUAUUUUAGUAGGAUUAUAAUGGAUAAGAGUUGGUUGCAUAAACCAAGGUCAACAAAAGAAUAUAGAAAUGGAUUAAAUCAAUUCCUAGACAUGGCUUUUGCUCAAGUAUCUCUCAAUGGAAAGAUUAUAUGUUCGUGCAAAUACUGUAAAAACGCAAAAUGGACAAAUAGAGAGACAACAAAAGAGCAUCUUCUUGUUGAUGGAUAUAUUAAAGGUUAUACGCAUUGGGUUAUACACGGAGAAGAUACAUCAUCUAGUCAAACUGCAUUUGAAAACUCGAACCAAUUUGAUAUGUUAGAUGAUAUGGAUUGUUUGGUCCAUGAUGCUUUUGGGGUUGAAGGUUCAGACGCAAGCACGAGAGAAGUACCUAAUGAACAAGCUACGACAUUUUACGAGUUAUUAGGUGAUGCUCAGCAAGAACUAUACCCUGGGUGCAAGAAGUUUUCAAAACUUGCAUUUAUUAUACGAUUGUUUCAUUUGAAAUGCAUGGGUAAAUGGUCCAACAAAACAUUUACGAUGCUACUUGAGUUGUUAAAAGAGGCUUUUCCUGACGUGACUAAGUCUUUGCCGAAGUCUUUUAUUAUAAAAUAGUCCGUUUAGUAAAUUUGUUAUUUCAUGUCUUACUAGUAGUUUUCGAGAUAUUCACAAAAAUACCUUUCAAAACUCUGAUUUCUUUUCGAACCAAAAGUAAAAUAGAUAGUUUGAUAGUGUUGCACUCGAAAGAAAAUCCUCCUCUCGAAACUUGUUAUCAAAUGAAAUAUUUAGUCGAAUAAAAUACUCCUAAGAAAGUUUUCGAAAAUCACAAAGGUUUUGAAUAUCCUAAGGAAGAGAUUUUUAAUAAUUUUAUUUUAGUCCCAUUCCAAAGUCUUAAAAAUUAAAAAGAGAUCAUUUUGCUUCCGCUAUAUAAACGAGUAUUCCGAUAAAUCGGUUCGACUUAUCGCCCGAUAAGAAGAUGGGUGCUACAUACGAUCUCCACGAUCCGUACAUCUGACUUGAGCGUCGGAGGGGUUUCCGCCGGAUCAACCCCGGCUUAGUGUUAGAGUAGGUGACCAACAAGCCAACAUGUGGCUGUGGUCUUUCCAUUUAUUCUUGUAAUAAAUAAACCUUUUUUGUAUUAAUGAUAAAAACACCUUGGCAUUCUAUAUAUUUGUCCCUUUGUCACAAACAUAGAUAUAAUGAUAAAGACUUCUUGCCUACUCACGGGAGAUAAUAACACAUCCCUCUUAGAAGCUCACACCAUCUCCUUCACAAUCAAAGUUGCUUGGCUAAACUUCGGUAUUUGAAAGCUCUCCCCUUCGGUUGUUUUUCCUUUCUUCGGUGAUAAGGUAAGAAAAUUUGAUUUCUUGCUGCAAUUAAAGGGUGUCAAUAGUAUCUAAAUGGUUUUCAAAAUUUCUUAUAAGAUUUGGAGAGAUUUCGAGAAAAUUAGGGCUUUUCCAGGAAAAAUGGAAAAGAUAUGUUGAGUGUUGAUUUCUUGUUCUUGCAUGCAUCAUUUGUGUCGGUAGUGGGUAGAUAUAAGUUUUAUUGGCCGAAAGCAUUGUAAAUUUCGGAUUUCAAAAAGGGGUUGCAAGAAAAAUGAAUUUUUGAACUUUUAUGGCGUUGCAUGUGUAGAUCUAAAGAUUUUUGGGUCAAAUCCGUAACUUUUAAGAAGUCAGUCCUAAAUGUGUUUUCAAAUAUUUUUUUCAGCAUUUAUUGAACAAAAAUUUCGGAUUUAAAGAGGUUGUGCAAUAAAGAUUGAUUUUUGAACUUCUAUAGGUCUUGCAUGUGUAGAUCUAGAGAUUUUGGGCUAAAAUAUGUAAUUUUCGAAAUUUCUGCCUAUAGUAACUUUUUAACUUUGUCUUCUGCAUUUAUUGAAUUAACAUCUCAGAUUGUUAGGGUUGUUUCAUGAAAAAGUGGAUGUUGAACUUUUCGUGUGGUUGCUUGCAUGUGUAAAUCUUGAAACUUUGGGGUCAAAACUGUAAUUUCUGAAAAAUCUGUCAUUUCUAAAUUUUGAAAUCUAUUUUCCUGCAAGUAUUAAAUGGGGAAAAAAUUUUCUUUUCAAAUGUAUCAAAGUAAUUAAGGUUAUAUUAGAGUUUUGGAUUUUUAAAAGAAAAGGGAUUUUUCUAGUUUUUAAUUCCAAGAAAAUUCGAAACAUUAUGAAACUUUAAAAUAAUUUCAGAACUAAAACUUAGAUCAGUUAGGAGCUAUAGGAUUUAAUUUGGGAGUUUUUGGGAUUGGUCUGCUAUUAUUUCGAAACUAGAACAUUAUGCAUGUCAUUUAUUAUGUUUUGUGCUUUAAUUUCCAUGUCUUUGAAUUAAUAAUCAUGAGUGAUGAAAUUUGGGAUUGUGUACCUUAAUUUGCUGCAUGGGUGUGUUUAAUUACUUAUGGAAUGAAAUUAUUUCCUUGAAGUUGUAAUAAGUUCAUUAAAUGAAGGAUGAAAAUGGGUGCUUGCUUUACAGGCAUGGUUUGAAUAUUGAAUGGGUGUGUGUGUUGAAUACUUGUGUGUGUGUAUGCUGAAUGUGUAUGUGUGUGUGUGCGCCGUGUGUGGUUGUGUGUGUUUAUGUGUGUGAAUUUGGGGAUUUUGCCCAAAUUAUAAAUAUUUGUGUGGUUUUGUGGCACUUGAUUGAUAUUUGUGAUGUUUAUGUGUGUGUUAUAUAAUUAUUGUGAGCAUGAUUUUAAAAAAGAUGCAUUUCACCUCCAAGUUUCAAUUUUAAACACUUUUGGUCCCCGCCGUUACAUAUCUGUUGGCAAGUAACGGAAAAUACUAUUUUGGGGUGAAAAUUGAAAUUUUAAAAUCUUUUGGGGCUGAAAAUAAUUAUAAAUUUAAAAUAGACUACUUAUAAAUUUUAAUAAUAAAAAAAAAUAAAGAAACAAAUUAUUUUUUAAUAUACUUAAUAUUAUUAUAUUUAUACUACUUAUUAUCAAUUUUUUAAACAUAAAAAAAUUAACUAAACAAAUCAUUUUAAUCAUACUUAAUAUUAUUUUUAAUUAUACUACUUAUGAUAAAACAAUUAAUAACAAAAAAAUAAAUUAACUAAACAAUUAUUGUUAAUUAUACUUAAUAUUAUUAUAAUUGUAGUACUUAUAAUAAAAUAAAAUAAUAAAAAAAAGGAAAUUAGUUGAACAAGUCAUGUAUAAUUAUACUUAAUAUUAUUAUAAUUAUACUACUUGUAAUUAAUUUUUUAAUAAUAAAAAAAAUAACUAAAUAAAUUAUUGUGCAUUAUACUUAAUAUUAGUUUUCAUUAUACUACUUGUGAUUAUUUUUUAAUACUAAAAAGAAAUUAAUUAAAUAAAUUUCAUUAUACUUAAUAUUAUUAAAAGUUUAAUUAUAAGUAGUCUAUUUUAAAUUUCUAAUUAUUUUUCAGCCCCCAAAAAAAUAAAAAAAUUAAUUUUCGCCCCAAAAUAGUGUUUUCCGUUACUUGCUAACGGACAUGUAACGGCGGGGACCAAAAGUGUUCAAAAUUGAAACUUGGAGGUGAACUUUGUUCACUUUGAAACAAGGGGGACCAAAAGUGAAACCGGACCAAACAUGAGGGACCAAAAGUGUAAUUAUCCCUAACUUUUUAACUUUGUCUUCUGCGUUUAUUGAAUUAACAUCUCAGAUUGUUAGGGGUUUUUCAUGAAAAAGUGGAUUUUGAUCUUUUAGUGUGGUUGCAUGUGUAAAUCUUGAAACUUUGAGGUCAAAACUGUAAUUUCUAAAACAUCUGUCAUUUCUAAAUUUUGGAAUCUGUUUACCAGCAAGUAUUAAAUGGGGAAAAAGUUUCCUUUUCAACGGUAUCAAAUAAUUAAGGUUAUAUUAGAGUUUUGGAUUUUCAAAAGAAAAAGGGAUUUUUCUAGUUUUUAAUUCCAAGAAAAUUCGAAACUUUAUGAAAAUUUAAAUAAUUUCAGAACUAAAACUUGGAUCAGUUAGGAGCUAUAUGAUUUAAUUUGGGAACUUUUGGAAUUGGUUUGCUAUUAUUUCGAAAUUAGAACAUUAUGGAUGUCAUUUAUUAUGUUUUGUGCUUUAAUUUCCAUUUCUUUGAAUUAAUAAUUAUGAGUGAUGAAAUUUGGGAUUGUGUACCUUAAUUUGCUGCUGGAUGUGUUUAAUUACUGCUGGAAUGAAAUUAUUGCCUCGAAGUGGUAAUAAGUUCAUUAAAUGAUGGAUUAAAAGGGGUGCUUGCUUUACAAGCAUGAUUUGAAUAUUGAAUGGUGGUGUGUCAAUGUGUUGGCCGCAUGGGUGUGUGCUGAAUACGUGUGUCUGUGUGUGUAGGCUGAACGUGUAUGUGUGUGUCUGCCGUGUGUGGUUGUGUGUGUUUAUGUUUGUGAAUUUGGGGAUUUUGCCCAAAUUAUAAAUAUGUGGUAAUUUGUGAUAUUUGUGUGGUUUUGUGGCACUUGAUUGAUAUUUGUGAUGUUAUGUGUGUGUUAUAUAAUUAUUGUGAGCAUGAUUUUAAAAAAGAUGCAUUUAUAAAACGUAUUUUCAAAGUUCGAUAUUUAAUCGGAUUUCUUACUAAGCUUUAUAGCUCAUAUAGAUGUCUUUUAUUGCAGGUAGUAGUGUUGUUAGUAACCCUCCACCGGAAUGGAUCGAGUAGCGGAUCGAGGUCUUGCCCGGGAUUUUGGAAGUUGUACGAGUGCCUAUGAACGAUGCUAAACAUUUUUGUUUCUUUUGGUGAUGUAAUAUUAAACCUACGUAUUUCCCUUUUUCGUAUCUUUUGAACUUAAAUCCGGUAUGGAUCGUACCUAACUUUUAUUAUCAAAUAGUCCGUUUAGUAAUUUUGCUAUUUUCACGUCUCAACUAGUAGAUUUUGAAGUACUCACCAAAAUACCUUGCAAAACUCUGAUUUCCUUUCGAACCAGAAAGAUAAGAUAGUUUUAUAGUGUAGCACUCGAACAAAAAUCCUUCUCUCGAAACUUGUUUUCAAACGAAACAUUUAUUCUACUAAAACACUCCUGGGAUAGUUUUCGAAAAUCACAAAAGUUGGUUUUAAUUGUUCUAAAGAAGAGAUUUUUAAUAAUUUCAUUUCGGUCCCUCUCCAAAGUUUUAAAAAUUACAAAGAGAUCUUUUACUUCCGCUAGACUAAUAAAUAUCCCAUAAACCGGUUCGAUUUAUCGCCCGAUUAGAAGGAGGGUGCUACAAUUUAGAUGUCUUCUAAUAAAAUAAUACUUUAAAUUGAAUAUAUAUAUAUAUAUAUAUAUAUAUAUAUAUAUAUAUAUAUAUAUAUAUAUAUAUAUAUUAAUUUUGGUUGAGUGUAACAAAUAUAAAAUAAAUAAUUAGAUUUUGCAAUGUAAUUUCCAAAAAUAUUCUACAAGAAGCUAAAUUAGCAUAAAAACAGGAAAAGAAAAUAGUUUCAGAAAUUAAAAUAAAAAACAAUAAACAACAACUAUUAAAAUAAAAUUAAGACAAGAGUUUCAAAUAAAAAAAGAGUCUACAAAUAACUAAAAUAACAAUAAACUACAGCUAAUAAACUAAUUAACGCAAUAGUUUCAAAAAUUAAAAUAAAAGUCUACAUCUUGAUCACCUUCUUCUUCUUCUUCUUCUUCUCCUUCUCCUCCUCCUCCUCCUUCUUCUUCUUCUCCUCCUCCUCCUUCUUCUUCUUCUCAUACUCAUCAUCAUCCUCAUACUCAGACUCAUCAUCAUCCUCAUACUCAGACUCAUCAUCAUCCUCAUACUCCUCCUCCUCCUCUGUCAUCUGCUCCUCCUCCUCCUGUGUCGUCUCCUCAUCCGCCGGCUUUGGGUCGGACCCUGUCGGAAUCGGAGCCGAGGAAGCCGAAAGGGUGCGGCUCCUAGAAAGGCUCCCGCUGCUGCUACCUAUAAAGCAAAUAAAAAUAAAGAAUUUAUAUAUAUAAUAUUGUUUUUACUUUUUUUUUGGAAAAGCAUUAAUACCAGAAAUGACGUUUUGGGCAAAGCUCGUAACCCAAAAAAGAAUUAAAUGAAAUAAAAAUAAAUAACUUAUUUAUAUUUAUUUUUUACUUUUUCUUUUUUGGAAAAUUAAUUAAUACCAAAAAGGGGUUUUUGGCAAAACUCGAAAUCUGAAAAAGUUGUAAAAUAAAAUAAAAAUAAAGAACUUAUUUAUAUCAAUUUCUUUUACUUUUUUUUGAAAAUAAUUAAUACAAAAAAAAGAGGAUAUUUGGCAAAGCUCGAAACCCGAAAAAAAUAAAACUAAAAAUAAAGAUAUCAUUAAUUAAUUAAUUCAUUAGCUUUUAACUUUUUUUUUUUGGAAAAAAAUAAUACCAAAAAGAGGUCAUUAUAUUAUAAAAUAAUUUACCAACUGAUCUAAAGGCUUUUGUCAAAGAUCGAAUUCCUAAAUGCUUCGACAUAGUGAAAAGAGAGAGAGAGAGAAUAGUAAAUAGUAAAAAUGUAGUUUAAUAAAAUUGAAAAUUCACACAAGUAUGGAGUUUCACUUGUCAUGCAUAAAUAGAAGUUUAAGUGUGUAACCCGCAAAAAUAAUAUUGUUCUCAAGUUUUAUUAGAAUGAGAGAAUCGGAGCGUUAAAUUUAUGUCAUUAAAAAUGAUAACAAUAAUGUUAUAAUAUAUUCUAAAGUCUUAUCAAAUAUUCAAAAAACUAUACAUUUCUUAACCCAGUUUUGAAAGGGAAAUAUGCAAUUUCCCCCUCAAAUGGAAAAUAUUAUGAGUAAAAUCCAAUUGACUUUUAAGACUUUUGCACAAACUCACAUCCCAAACUUAAUUAGUGAAACCCCCUCAAUUAAACAUAAUAAGACAUAAAUACCCUUAUUAACAGUUUAUUAUAAUAAAUCAAAUAUUUAAUCACCAUAUCUUCCCAUAACCGUUUCCCUUUAUUAUAGGCGGACGUGAUUUUCCUUCAUAUACAGACGUGAGUUCAACCGAGAUUAAGUGAGAAUAGAGAUUUCGUCGCCGUUCAACCCUUCUGUGUUCGUUGCCGAAGUUAAACUGUGUUUGAAGGUCAGAUGUUCUGCUUUAAUUUUGUUGGUUUCAUAAAUGGGGCUGAGUUGUAGUGUGUGUAUUCAGAUAUGUGUGUAUGUAGAACCGAAUUUUCAUUGUUUCUUUUUGGGUCUUCUUAAUUGGUGUAAAGGAUCGUUACUAAUUGAAAAUUUUAUUCCGUUUUACACAGAGUCGGAAUUGUUUUUUUCUUAAUGAGCAGAGAUUGUUCGUAUUCGUAUGCUCUGAACAAUUUCUAAUGAUCUCAGAUUGUAAUUAUUUCGUCUGGUGCUAAAUUAAAAAUAAGUUGACAAUAUUAUAAGAAGAUUUGUGGGGCAUUAAUUAAUUAAUUAAUUACUGAUUAGUAUUACAUUAAAUCUCAAAUGACGAAUUUGACCGUUCAAUUAGCUGUUGGAUGUGUUUGACAGGUGCAUUUCCUACCUAGCCAAAGGUCAGAAAUUGUUCAGAGCAAAAUGUAUGAGUUUGUGUCGUCGAGUUGUAUCUGAUUUUAUUUUAUCUCGAUUUACAGUGUAGUCACAUAAUAGUCAUAUUCUCAGUGUUUUGUUAAUAAUUAUGACUAUUGUUGAUUCACUCGAUUAGUGAUUUAUGAAUUUCUUGUUUGUUCCCCACUCUCUCUUUCAUUCACCGUCGUUGUCGUCGCCUCCACCUCUUUCCCUUUCGUUAUUUUCGAUUUUUUUGUUUUUUUUGCUCUCCAGAUCUGAAGCAGAAGCAUUAACGUGACUAUAGUCUGGUUCGAAUAUGACUAUUGUUGAUUCACUCGAUUAGCGAUUUAUUAAUUUUCUCGUGUUCGUUGCCUCUGUCGAUUUCUCUCUCUUUACACUACCAUCGUCUCCACAUAAAUUUGUACACCACCACCACCGUCGCCGCUCGUUGCUGCCGCCUCCUCCUUUGUUUCCACGUAAGGCUCUUUCUCUAUUUUUCGUUAUCUUUCUCGUUUUCUCAGUUUUUUUUUCCAGAUGCCACACCACCACUACCGUCGCCGCCUCUUUCACUCUCUUUCCUUCACCACCGCCACCACCGCCGUUGUCGUCGACUCCCAUCCCUCUCUCUAGUAAUUUUUCUAUCUUUAUUUAUGUAUUUUUCAAAUUUUUUCUCAGAUCUGAACAGCAGCAGUAACAUGACUAUAGUCAUAUCCGAAUAUGACUAUAGUCAUAUUUACGUAUUUUUCGAAUAUGACUAUUGUUGAAUAUGUUCUUCUAUCUUCUCGUUUUCAAGUUGACUUCUAGUUCGUAGAUUCAAAUUGUGAUUUUUUGUGUGGAUGUGAUUGGAUUGUUUUCAUAAACAAUAGGGAAUCUUCGUUGUUUUAUAUGAUUUGGUAAACAUGACUAUGCCAUAUAAUCAAAAAAAAAAAAAAAAAGAGUAUGACUACAGUUAAUAUAGUCACAUAUAGUCAUAUUCAACUAUAGUCAUAUUCGGCGUUGCAAACCUGUGGAGAGAAAAUUGCAAUUUUUUGUUUAAAAAAAAUUAAAAAAAUAUAUUUUUAUUAAAAAAUAUUCAAAAUGAAAAUAAAUAAAAAAGGCUAAAUAAAGUCCGAAAAUAAUAUAAAAAAAAAAAAAAAAAAAGUUCGAAAAUAGUUUUUUUUUUUUUGGUUUGGUAGCAAUUUUUUAGGAAUUCGCAGAUUUUUAGGAAUUAAAUUAUUGUUAUGGAAAGAGAGAAAAAAAAAGAAUAAUUGAGAUAAUUAUACUAAUUAAUCCUAAUUAGCGAGAUUUAGGUGUCUCAUUAAUAGGAAUAUGUAAAUACUAGAUAAUUAUAAAAAAAAAAAAAACGUGAUAAGUAGUAAAGGGUAAGAUUGAAAACAAAUAUUUUAGGGGGUUUUCACAAUGAAAGAAUUAUGGUAUAGACAUAUCACCAUUUUUAGUCUAUAGGAGGGGUGUAUUGCUAAUGACCCCGUUUUGAAAUAGUGGAAUAGUUGAGGUUAUUAGAUGUCUUCUAAUAAAAUAAUACUUUAAGUUUAAAAUAUAUAUAUUAAUUCCGGUUGAGUGUAACAAAUAUAAAAUAAAUAAUUAGAUUUUGCAAUGUAAUUUCCAAAAAUAUUCCACAACAUUAAUAAAAAAUUCUAAUAAACAUAUUCUACUAUGUGUUUAGAAGGCUACAAUUAAUAUUUCCAUGUUAUGUACAAGUGUGGGCUUAUGAUAAAAUGUAUUAGAUAUAUCAGUAAAUAUUCUAGUAGGUGUUUGAUGCUUUUUCUUUUUCUUUUUUUCGUUUUAUUAUUUAUUCAAUUAAAAAAUAACAAUUAUUUUUUUGAAUAGUUCUAAAUAUUUUUCUUAAAUGUUUUUUUUUUUCCAAUUUUUUCCGCUUUUCUUUUUCAAAAUCAACUACAAAAUUUCUGAAGUCAACAAAUAUUUUUCUUUCAAUUUUUUAUUUCGUUUUUAUUUUCCAUAAUCAACUAUAAAGUUAUCGUAAACAACUACAAAAUUGUGAACAUAAGAUUCAUCAAAUCAACUACAAAUUAUCUAAAUCAACUAUAAAAUUGAGAAAAUUAUUCAAAAAGAAAAAAGAAAAUUUGAAUAAACAUGGUAGAAGACGAACAAGCGGUUAAAAAUUAAAAUUGAAGAUAAACCAAAUGGCGUGAAAUUGAAUUGUUGAUUAUUCAAUUUCUGCAAAGACCCGCCACCGGUGGUAGAAGCGUGGCGGCACCGCUCUACGAUUUCUUGGUCAAGAUUGAUUAAAUUGGGGUUACAAUUAAGAAUUGAGUGUUAAGGAUUGGAGAUAAUUUUUUCUUAUAUACAUUACUUUUUCAUUCACACAUAAAUUAAUUUAUUUUUAUAAAUAUAGAUGUCGUGAAUUAUGACUGUUUACCGUAGCGUUUCUUUCUUUUAUAUAUAAGAUAUUACAAGGGAUGAGUUUGUUGCGAAAAAGGUAUAACCCCUGAACCUAGAAUAAUAAAAUGGUUGGUCAUGGACGAUAUGCAUAAUUGGACGGAUUCAAUGGGCCCACGAUUUAUUUAUCCACUGGGUCACGAGCCCAAUUUAAAACACCACUACAGUGAAAGUCCCAAACAUCUUUAAAUGGGCUUGGGACCAACAAAGUAAAUACAACUCAAUCAAAGACAUAUAAAUAAAGGUUUUUACUAAUUUGUUAAGGUACGUUCCAAUUUACACAACAAUUCUACGAUGUAACACCCCACCUUUCCAAAACUCUAGAACCCGAAAUCAAUCUUCUUAACUCGAGAAUCCCUAGGUGAUAUCAUUACGUGAAAUUAAUUAUGUGAAUUACGUGAGCAGAUAUACAUGUGCUUCUACCUAACUAUGUGAAUUAAUUUACGUAAAUUAGUAUUUUAGGAUCAUUUCUAUUUCCGUAAGUUGAAUUACUAAUUAAUAAUAAUAUACAUACAUACAUGUAUAAAUAUACUACAUGCAUACAUAAUUACGUGCAUGCACAUACAUAAUCAUUCUAUACGUGUAUAUAUAUAUACAUAUAUAUAUAUAUAUAUAUGGAAAAUUAUAGUUUAUGUCCCUAAAUUUUACCAUUAAAAUGAUUUAUGUCCUCAAACAUUUCAAUCCACAAAAUAUGUCCUCAAACUUGCCACUUUUGGUCACUUUAUGUUCUGUCGUUAAUUCGGCAGCUAACUUAGACGAAAAUAGCACGCGUGGCUCACGUGACGUCUAUAUGGCCGUUAAAUGUGACGUGGAAUAUUAUAUUGAAUAUUAAAUGUUGACGUGGCACAAGAAUAUACUAAUUUCCUCUAACUCACUCUCCCGAAUCCCAAAUCCCAAAUCACGUUUCAUUCCCAUUCUCAAAUUUUCAAUCCAAUCUGCAUUCUCACAUUUGAAGAGUUUUUCUGUUCUCAAAGAACAACAGAUUCACGUGCAAACACAUGCCUGCAAUCGAGAGGAAGAAGGUAAACGCGACUCCUCUUCUGGUUCUGAAAAAAAUUUUAGAGGAAGCUUUAAUUCUUCUCCCAACUCCGUCUUAGAACGUUGGGGUCGUAUGAUUCUUCGCCUGCUGAUGCUUGUACCCCUUGUGGUCUCGAUGAAGCGAGCACAAGGAUGGUGAAGAUGGCACAAAUUCUACCUAACUCAACAGUUUCAGAACCUGCCCAGAAGGUGUUCGACAAAAUGUCUGAACCAAUUCCGGAAAAAAAAAAAAAAACAUGCAGCACCUGUCAAAGAUGCAUAUAAUUCUUUUUUCGCCAAGAAUAGAGUGCCCAAGAACGGAUUCCAGCUCCCCGACUUCCCCAACGAAGUGGAAGAAGACAAGAUAUUUCAACUCGAAGAUGAAAGUGAAUCGAGGAAACAUUCCGCAUUUGUUUAUUGGGCUAUUUUGCUGGUAAAACACCAUGAAAAAUGGCCAUGGAUUCAUAGAUGAUUCUGCUAUUUUCUAAUUUCACCUCAAUUGAAGGAUUCGAAAUGGGGUUUUAGGGAUUGGAUUUACGGGUUCAUUGGGGAUAUGGAGAAUUAGGGAUUUUAGAAUAGAAAUAGGGGAGGAGAAUGACGUGUCGCUCCACAUCAUGUUUCGUCGACCAAGUAGGCACUGGGUGUUGUACAGCUCGACAUUUAACGGCCACAUAGAUGUCACGUGAGCCACGCGUGCUAUUUCCGUCGAAGUUAGCUGCCGACGUUAACGGCAGAACAUAAAGUGAUCAAAAGUGGCAAGUUUGAGGACAUAUUUCGUGGAUUGAAAUGUUUGAGGACAUAAAUCGUUUUAGUGGUAAAGUUUAGGGACAUAAACUGUUAUUUUCCAUAUAUAUAUAUAUAUAUAUACAUAUAUAUAUAUACAUAUAUAUAUAUAUAUAUAUAUAUAUAUAUAUAUAUAUAUAUAUAUAUAUAUAUAUAUAUAUAUAUAUAUAUCUGUGUGUGUGUGUGUGUGUGUGUGUUUGUGUGUUUUUGUAUGACCGUAUGUAUAUGUGUGUGGUGUAUGCAUGUUGUCUUUUUUUUCUUAAAGAAAUUAGUGUUAAAUUUUCAUGCCUUUCCACUUGGCAAAUGCUAAUCAUUUUCACUAAUCCCACACUCAAGAGAUCCCAAAAAAAAUCUUCUUUCUCCUUCUUCUUCUACAUAAUCCUCUUACUUGUCUUCAUCUCCCAUUUCCAACCAAACCACCACCUCCAUUUCCACCAUCGGCUUUCUUCUUCUUCCACCUCAACUCCAUUUUUCAAAGAAAUCCAAAAAUAAAAAAUGAAAGUUCCUAGCCCUAGAGUGUUGGAACCACGACUGCAGUUUGACGAUUGAUCAUAAAACUUGUGGAUUGAGGCUUGUACUCCAUUUGCUUCAUCUUUACAUAGUUGACGAUUAGUUGGAAAAAAAAAUUAUAAUAAUAUGAAGAUAGGCAAGGUGAGACGCGGACUAGGUCGUUCUCUUAAGACGAAUUUCACGAUCCCUUCUCUAAUGAGGUGCAAAAACGUUCCGAUCGUGUCGCCUAUAUAUGGGAUACAACAACCCAGCCUAUCUCUCAGUAACUUCACCGAAAUUGCACGUUCAAGUAAAGUAGAAACUUACACCCAACACACAAGAAGUGCUCAACAUAUAAUAUGUAGGAUCUUUAGAAAUUUAUUUUUUAUUCUCUUCUCUCAUCUACUUGCAAAGCCACAAUAUCCCCUUUAUAAAAUGUAUAAUGGGUUUAUACUAUGCUACACCGGGUGAAAUACAGUGGGGAAAUCUUUACUAUUCAUAUACACACAAACACCCACACCCACAUUGGUGUGUGUAGAUCAACAGUAAAAAUCACUCGGUGUAACCUUCACCGGGUGUAGCAUAGAAAUAACCUGUAUAAUAUGACCCCAUAAAACCUCAAUUUAAUAUAGAAAUUAUGGUGUUUUAUGCAGGAGAAUAAUGGAUUUGAAUGUUUCAAAAUAGUGGUUUAAUGACCAUCAUAAAAGUGGUCAAAGUCAUUAUUAUAUUUUAUAAUAAAAUAUAUUAUUUUAUUAAAAUAACCCAACAUAGAGUACACCAAAAACACCAUCAAAACAUCUUGUCAUCUCACGAGUGAAAACAUCACAUCUCUCUUAGAAGCUCACACCCUCUCUUUCACCAUCAAGGUUGCUUGGCUAGACUUUGGUAUUUGAUGCACUCUUCCUUCGGUUGUUUUCUUUUCUUCGGUUAAUAAGUAAAAAAUCUUGAUUUCUUGCUGCAAUUAAAAGGUGUCAAUAGUAUCAAAAGGGUUUUCAAAUUUUCUUGAAAGACUUAGAAAGUUUUUGAGAAAAGUUGUGUUGAUUGUUAAUUUCUUUUUCUUGCGUGCAUUAUUUAUGUUGGUAGUGGAUAGAUACAAGUUUAUUGGCCAAAAGCAAAAAUAAUUUCAGAUUUCUAAAGGGUAUUGCAUUAAAAAUGAAUUUUUGAACUUUUAUGGGGUUGCAUGUGUAGAUCUAAAGAUUUUUGGGCUAAAUCUGUAAUUUUCAAGAAGCCAAUCCUAAAUAUGUUUUCAAAUCUGUUUUUCUGCAUUUGUUGAGUAAAAAUUUCGGAUUUAAAAAGGUUGUGCAAGAAAAUUUGAUUUUUGAACUUGUAGUGGUCUUGCAUGUAUAGAUGUAGAAAUUUUGGGGUAAAAUAUGUAAUUAUUGAAAUUUCUGCCUCAAGUAAGUUUUUAACUUUGUUUUCUGCCUAUAUUAAAAUAAAAUUUCAGAUUGUAGAAGUUUUUCAUGAAAAAUCGGAUUUUUUACUUUUAGUGUGGUUGCAUGUGUAAAUCUUGAAACUUUUGGGUCAAAAUUGUAAUUUCCAAAAAAUCAGUCACUUCUAAAUUUGGGAAUUUGUUUUCCAGCAAGUAUUAAAUGAGGGGAAAGUUUUCUUUUUGAAGGAUUCAAAUUUAAUUAAGGUUAUACUAGAGUUUUGGACUUUAAGAAGAAAAAAGGAUUUUUCUAGUUUUUAAUUCCAAGGGAAAUUUUUGAAACUUGAUGAAACCCUAAAAUAAUUUCAUAAACUAAAACUUGGGUCAGUUAAGAAAUCUAGGAUUUAAUUUGGGAAUUUUUAGAAUUGUUUGCUAUUAUUUCGAAAGAUAAUGCUAAAUUGCUAAAUGGCCAGAUUCUGGCCGGCCAGAAUCUGAUUUUUUUUUAAUUUUUUUAUAAUUUUUUAUUUAAUACCGUUUUUACCCUUAAUAAUGUUGUGGUUCCAAAUCUACUGCCGGGUUCGAGUCAUGCUGGGUUCGAACCGGGUCUCGGGCCAAACUAGAAUUUUAAUCCGAAAAAUGUGCAGUGGUUGAGAUUUGAAAUCGGGUUGAUAAAAAACGAAGCAAAUACCUAACCACUGAGAAUAGACCAACUUGCAGGAACAUCUAGCAAAAAGUAUUUAUAAAUUUAUCUGAAAGUGUAACAUGAUUAUAACAAAUAAUAAAUAGAUUGUUAAUUAGCACAUUCAUUAUUAAUAAAUAAUGUUAAUUAAAUCAUUGAAAAAUGCAAUAUAAUAAAAAAAUAAUUAAUUUUUUUAAAUGACUUUAGUUUAAUCCAUUUAAAUCUUACGAUUCAAUUUAAAUAUUUGAAUAAAAUGUAAAUGUCAAAAAAUGAUUAAAUUUUAUUAUUUUUAUACAAAAAAAUUCAAUAAAAAAGAUAUUACUUAGUAAAUUUGAUUAAUACGUCAUUGUCAAUAGUUGAGGUUUAUCAAUUCAAAUCAUUGAAUAAAUCUUAUGAAUUGAAAGAACUUGAUCUUAACCGAUUUAUCUUACGAUUAACAGAUUUAUACUUUAAUUAUAAAUAGUAAAUUCGAUUAAUAUCUCCUUUAAGAAACAAAUAAACCAAGUAUUAAAAGAAAAUCACAACAUAAUAUUUUUAUUUUACUCUCUAUGGUGUUAUUUUAAAAUAGAAAUAUUAAUUGAAAUGAGUUAUAAUUUAUUUUUUUAUUAAAAUAAACAUCAUCUACAUUUUUUUUAUAAUUACGUUCUUGUCAAUAAUUGUCCUAUAAUAAAAUAAUCAAUAAUUUAAUAUGCUCUUGUCAAUAAUUGGAAUUAGUUAUAAUCUAUUUUAUUUAAAAUAAAUAUCAUUUACAUUUUGUUAUAAUUAAAUUAUUUACAAUGAUUUUCCUAUAUAAAAUAAUCAACAAUUUCAAUACGUUUUUGUCAAUAAUUGAUAUCAAUCGAUUCAAAAUUAUGAAUAAAAUUUAAGAAUUAAAAGGACUUGAGCAUAAUCACUCUAAAUCUUACUAUUUGAUCAACUAAGUAUUAAGUUAUGCAUUUAUAUAUAUUAUAAAUAUAUAUUAAUAAUAUCGAAUACAGUAAGUAAUGAAUAAUUAUACAUGUUUGGGAGAGUUGAACCGUGGCUCUUUAAAUUUUUUAAAAUUUAAUAUAUUAAAUUUCUUGAUAUUAAUUAAAAUUAUUGAAUAAUAAUGAAUACGAUAAUUUAACAUUGUUUAUAUAAUAAUUAUAAUUUAUAAUAAUUUUACACUAUAAUUUACUAGACAUAUUUAUUCGUAAUACUGUCACAAGUAAGCAGUCCGCCUAAUGGUUUGUAGACGUUGUAAGCAUGCUGCCGACCCAGGUUCGAUACUCAUUCAAACUAUUUUUGGGCCAAAUCUCAGCAUUAAAAGGCAUUAAAAGUUUGAUACUCAUUCAAACUAUUUUUGGGCCAAAUCUCAGCAUUAAAAGGCAUUAAAAGUUUGUGGGUCCCUGGAAGACCCACAAGACUCAAGUUGGAACUUGAACAACAAAAAGCAUCAUCCCGGGUUGACCCAGGUCUGGAAAUUGUAAGUGAGAAAGAAAAAUAUUUAAAGUUUAAUAUUUAAUAUUGUAGGGGCAUAAUAGUAAUUACACUUUGUGACAUUUUCCAAUAUUACAAUAUUGCCAUUUUCUGGCUGGCCAGAAUCUGGCCAUGUAGCUAUUGUAUUUCGAAAUUAGGAAAUUACUAGUAAUCGAUACCCGUGCGAUGCACGGGUUUUCAUUUGUUGUAACAUAUGGUAAAAGGAAAAUUCGAAAAAAAAAAUCGUUGAUUACAUAUCUUAAGUAGAAUCAGUGUAGUUAAAUUCGUGAUAUAUCGCGAUACAGUUUAGGUUCAAUCAAAACGAUAUAACAGCAAAUGCAAUAUUCAUCUUUUAAAAAACGGAUUUAAGGCAAAUCUCUUCAAUUUUCUUGAAUAAUUCAAAUGCAAGUAAUGUGUCUCAUCACAAAACAAUACACCCUAAUUCAAAAUAUAAAUUUUUCCCUUCAAUUUCUUCAAAAAAUCUCCCAAUAAUGCAACCAUAAUUCAAUUUUUAUAGAGUUUUUGCAAUUGGAACUGACUUGUGAUUUUGACUGUGAUUCACGCAAUUGGAACUUGCUUGCGAUUUAGAGCCCUAUAUCUUCCUUUUCCGCGCAUUCAGGGUUGGGUUUGUUUGAUUUUGUGAUGGGUUCAUUUAAUUUGAGGUGGGUUCGCUGAUUGUGGUGAUUAAUUUGAUUUUUAUCUUAGUUGGGGUGUUUGUGCGGUUUUCUGCAUUGAUUGGCAUCGUUUGUGCAAUUUUCAGCAUUGUUGGGGGUUGGUUGUGCGAUGUUAAGCAGUGUUGUGGGGUUUGUGUGAUUUUCAGCAUUGUUGGGUGGUUUGACUUUAAUUAUAUUAUACACACACGAUAAGAAAAGAGAAAAGAUAAACGAUAUCAUAGGUUGUGGAGAAAAACGAUUUGCGAAAUUUUUCCAAUUCGAUAGUUAACUUGGCCUUAAUUGUGUGAAAUACAACUACAAAAGAAAAUAAACUAUUGGAAUUAGUACCCUCCUGUUAGCUCGAAUACCAAAACCUACUCUAUAUUAUUUUAUUGACAAAACCUCCAUUAUGAUCUAUGUUUUUUUAGCAAUUAAUACCCCUGGCUAGGGGGUUGUGUGCUAAAAUAAAAUUGAAUAAGGGUGUUUUUGCUAUAAUAUGGAAUAGUUUUUCAGCCAUUUGAACACUCCAUAAGCAAGUUAUAAACCUACACAAAAACAUAAGCAUGGGUAUCAUAUCAAGUUUCAAAUCAGAUAUUUGCAUGCCAGCUUUUCCAUUAAAUGACAAUUCACUGAGCGAGCGAAACGAUAGUUACCAUUUUGAAGUUGCAAAUAACUAUUUUUUCCAAACAACAUACAAAAGGUGGAAAUUCAGAAAAUAAUGAUGAGGAGGAACCAUCACAAAUGAACUAUUUUUUGAAAAACGAACGACAAAAAAGGUACAGUAGGAGAAAAAUAUGAUGAGGAUCCCGGUGAUUUAAAAAUAGUCAGAGAACUAAUUAUUUAGUAAUCUCUUUUCUCCAGCACACCAAAAAUUCCACGAAAUUUGGCUUCUGCAACUCUCCCAAAAUCAUACCGCAAAGCCACUGCCACAACAUCUCAUCCAAUUUCUUCAAAUUCAACCCGUGUAAUCUCAUGUCUAAUGAGCCAAUUCGCUUGGUUCAUUCAAAAUGGUCUAUGGCAAAAAGAUUCUUACCUUCAAUCAAGCGGAAACGUCAAUUUUGGCCAAUCCUCUUCUAUUUCUAUUGUUGGUAAAAUCAAAUUCGGCAUCUCAAUAAAAAAAUCAAACCUAUAUGCAAAGCACCAAUCAUGAAAAAGAAUGAGAAGCUCAUUGCCUAAAUUUAUAAACAAAAAAAAAAAAGAUGGAAGAAUUACAAUAAAGAAAUUUUUUUACGUAAGUGUUGAUAUGUUUUCAGCGUAAAGAUAUGCGUAGAAAUCAAAGAUAUGAAAUUUAUAAAAGAUACCAACCUUCGAAUAUUUUUCGAAGGCGAAAACCCAGAGUCAUAUAUGAUUCCACCUCAUUUUUUUCUCAGCAACCAAACAAACAGUUAAAUAAUCCAAAAACUCCUGCAUAAUCCAAAAAAAAUGUCACAAUAAAACAAAAUUGUAGAAAAUUAAAUGAGCGAGGGAAUAUAAACAUACCAUGUUAGAAUCAUCAUAUCCAUUCACCUGGAUUUCGGAUUUCCCCGUGCGCCAUACUUAACUUUGGAAAAUUUGAGUCCAAAUUCAUACAAAGACUGGAAUCAUUAGAAAUACCAACAAUAUCACUAAGAUGAAAGAUAGUAUCAAAAGAUUUAUAAAAAUAGCGUGCCGCAACGAUAGAAUAUUUUUCCCGUCAAUUGGGGUAAAAAUCAAAACUUAACAAAGUGUGCCAUCGUGAAAAAAAAAAAAAUUCAUAAAUCAUACGCCGUGCCGCUGCUGUCAAUUGUCGGCGUGAAGAAAACAGGAAGAAAGAAGACUUUUCAAUUGUUCAAUUUCUCAACGACUGCAACACAAAACAUAGAGAAAACAAUUAUUAGAUAAAUAAUCAAAUAACUGCUUCGGCUUCUAUCUCUAUUAAUAUAUUUCUUGCCUAUCAAAUAAAAAUAAAUAAAUAAAUAAAAGCCUGCAUAGCUACAAAUCCAAAUUCCAAGGAUCCCAUGUAAGUCGCAAACAAAAAUCCAUUUUACACCCCCAAAUCCAACAAUUAUUAUAAAUGUUUACAGCAAUUAUAUAAAUGUUUACAGCGAGUCAGCGAAAAGGGAAGCAAUGAGUUGAAUAUGUUCAUUUUUUCGAUAGUUUGUGAGAGUGAUAUUUGCUAGACCAUCAAUAUGUGAAAUGAGGUUAAAAAGGAAUUAAAAAAGAAACAUCAACUGCUGGCUGCUGCAAUUACUGAUCGUGUAUUCAGUUUUUUUAAAGAGGUCGUGUAUUCAGUUUUUUUUAAAAGUGAACAGUUAAUUGUUAUUGGAUAAUGGUAAACAUUUGAAAAAAAUCAGAUCAUGUAUUUAGUGUUUUAAGUAGUGGACAGGUAAUUAAAUUAUUAACUUACGUGUCUAAAAUAUUAAAAAUUAAAAGGAAAAAAAAAUGUCAAAAUAGGAAAUGACUUAAAUGUCCCUAAAUUUAGGUUUAGGGUUAUAGGUCAAAAUAUCUUCCUUUUAUAUAUAAGAUGCAUGCCAUUUAUUAUGUUUUGUGCUUUAAUUUCCAUGUCUUUGAAUAAAUGAUUAUGAGUUAUGAAACUUGGGAUUGUGUACCUUAAUUUACUGCAUGGGUGUGUUAAUUGCUGCUGGAAUUUAUUUGGAAUGGAAUUAUUACCUAGAAUUGGUAAUAAGUUCAUUAAAUGAAAGAUAAAGAUGAUCCUUGCUUUUCAAGCAUGAUUUGGGUAUUAAAUGGUGGUAUAUUAAUGUGUUUGCUGCAUAUAUGUGUGUGUGCUGAAUGUGUAUGUGUGUGUGUGUGCCGUGUGUGGUUGUGUGUGUUUAUGUGUGAAUGUGGGAAUUUUUGCCUAAGUUAUAAAUAUGUGCUAAGUUGUGAUAUGUGUGUAGUUAUAUGGCCCUCGAUUGAUAUUUAUGAUGUUAUAUGUGGAUUAUAUAUUGUGAGUUAACUGCAAAAAAUCCCCUAAACUUUGGACGUUUUUGUAUUUUACCCCCUGAAAGAAAAAAUGGUUGCACGGGCAUACCUGGACUUGUUAAAUUAUUGCACCGACGAUUAAAAAUUCAAUUUAUAGCAAAAUUUCUGCCUGAAUUGCACACGUGCAACUCACACAUGAAAAUGAAAGGGCAAUUUCGUCGUUCACAAGAUUUUCAGAUAAAAGAAAAAAAAAAGAAAAAAGAAAAAGAAAAAAAAAGGCCACCCUCACCCAUCUUCUUCGUCUCCCUCCUGCUGCAAAACAGGGGAUGGAAGAUUUUCACACCACCGCCACCACCUUCUCUCUCCACCGUCGCACCACCACCUGAAAUUAUCAUAUCAAAUUACUGCUCCGUCUUCUUUCUCUUUCCGGCGCCGCAUCACCACCACCACCACCAAAUCUGCCACCAACAUCGCCACCUAUACUAACGCCUAAGCCUCCACCGACUCCACCUUCAAUUCCUCCACUGUCAUCUCCAACUUCACCACCAAUUCCUCCGCCAACACCUCGUCCAAAUGUGCAAUUUCUCCGCCUAUACCCAACAACCCCUCGCGACGCCGCCGCAGCCAAUUUCUUUUCUAAAACAACCACCACCACCAAAUUUGCCGCCGGGCAGAUUUAAGAGUACAAAUCCCCUCACAUUCAAUUAGAGAAUUUGGAAAAAAAUCACCGCCGGAUUAUGUGAGGCUAGGCAUCACCGCCAAUCAACGACGAUGUGAGAGGUUUAUGUCCUCUACUUCAGGUGGGCCGCGAAGCACAGGCGGCGGAGGGCUGCGAAGCAGAGUUAGCAGGAAGGUCGCGAAACAGGCAACCGGCGAAUUACAGGCGGCGGGCGGCGGACGACGGUGGGCUGAGGAAGGAUUUUUUAAAAAUUUCUUUUUCUGUUGGUAUAAUAUGAUGCAGCAGGGGAUUUUUUAAUAUUUCUUUUUCUUUUUCUUUUUUGUUUCUUUUUUUAAAUUUAUUAUAUUUAUUAAAAAAAAAAGCAAGAAAAUAGGUGUAUGAGGAAAAGACCAAUUUAUCCCGGCUCAAAUCAUGUGCUUCUCACGUGCUGUGGAUUCCGGUCUCUUUUUGCUAAAAAUGGACAAUUUCUGCUCCGGUGCUACAAAUUAGUAAGUUCAGGUAUGCUCGUGCAACUUUUUUCCGGUCAGGGGGUAAACCGCAAAAACGUCCAAAGUUUAGGAGAUUUUUUUGCAGUUAACCCUAUAAUUGUUGUGAGCAUGAUGUUGAAAAAUAUGCAUUUCACGAUUUUUAAAUUUGAAAGAUUAAUGGAAUGCCGGAUAUCAAACAACUCGGAUAUAGAGGGCUGGUAUCCAAAUAGGAUGAAAUAUGUGGUAUGAUUCCAUUAGUGAAAACGGGCUCGUAAUAGGUUUAUUAUUCAGAUACAAAACGGAUCCGAGAAAACGAAAAAUGUGUUUUUCACGAUUUUCAUAAAAAGAACAUCUUAGUCAUUUUGCUUAAGUAAGUGUUUAUGUGCAAAUGAUGUGUUGAAUUAUGUGAUUAAUCGUUUGCCUUAUGGUUUUUGGAAUGUGAGUAAGGAUAACUAUAUAAUAUUAUAUAUCUUAUAUAAUGUAUUUUCAAAGUUCGAUAUUUAAUCGAAUUUCUUACUGAGCUUUUAAUUGCAGGUAGUAAUAUUAGUAACCCUCCACCGGAAUGGAUCGAGUAGCGGAUCGAGGUCUUAACCGGAAUUUUUGGAAGUUUUACGAGGGCCUAUAAACGAUGCUAGAGUAUUUUGUUUUUUUGUGAUGUAAUAGUAAACUUAAGUAUUUCCGUUUUCGAAUCUUUCGAACUCAAAUCUAGUAUUGAUCGUACUUGACUUUUAUUAUAAAAUAGUCCGUUUAGUAGAUUUGUUAUUUUCAUGUCUUACUAGUAGUUUUCGAGAUAUUCACCAAAAUACCUUUCAAAACUCGGAUUUCUUUUCAAACCAAAAAUAAAAUAGAUAGUUUGAUAGUGUGCACUCGAACGAAAAUCCUCCUCUCGAAACUUGUUAUCAAAUGAAACAUUUAGUCGACUAAAAUACUGCUAAGAAUUUUUUCGAAAAUCACAAAGGUUUUGAAUAUCCUAAAGAAGAGAUUUUUAAUAAUUUCAUUUUAGUUCCAUUCCAAAGUUUUAAAAAUUACAAAGAGAUCCUUUUGCUUCUGCUAUAUAAAUGAGUACUCCGAUAAACCGGUUCGAUUUAUCGCCCGAUAAGAAGAGAGGUGCUACAUACGAUCUCCACGAUCCGUACUUCUGACUUGACCGUCGGAGGGGUUUCUGCCGGAUCAACCCCGACGUAGUUCAUGUGUGUUACUUUCGCAGGAACCUCAGAAUCAUCCAGCUCGUGAGCUAGUGAUCCAUUUUGCUCUCCCAACUCGUUUUACUACACUACCCAAGGUAAUUUAAGUAUUUAGCAUCAUCAUAUUGGCGCCAUCUAUGGGAAUGCAUACCAGAUCACGUAGUGCGCAUGAUGCUCCUGAGUCAUCAACUUGGAGAGAAAAUAAUACAGCUAACAACCUCCGAAUUAACGGAGGCUCUGGCUUGCCACUUCCUCCCCGUGCUCCGGAUCCACCUCGCGAUGUCUAAGUGAAUCCCCCUUGGGAUCCACCACUCGCCGAUCCAACGCUAGCCGAUCCACCGCUCCCUGCUCCUCGAAUGGUUCAGAUAACCGAGGAAGCACUCCAGUGUAUGAUAGCAGAAUCCUCUACUCGCGCAGCCGCUAAACCUGUGGCCCAUUACAUCGCCACGGUGGGAUUAAAUGUUUCGCCUGCGAUGCCACCCGUGGCACAACUACCGGUCCAAAACGACGACCAAGUGUGUCAUCAACAUCCAUCUCGGACCAACGGUUCUGGAUGCAGCAAUCCACCAAUCAUAUGGGGGCGCAACCCAGACAACAACACCAGCGUUCACCUUCGAGGGGUAAUGCAUCUCCGUGGAGAGCUCUUCCACUUAAUGAAGGAGAGGAUGAGACAAAUAGUAGAGUAUCUCACCUAAACUCUUUCCCCCAAAUAAACAACCCUAUUGGCGGAAGUGCGCCAGCACCAACAAGACGCAGUCCAUUCACCAUGGACAUACUCAAUGAGGUAUAGCUUCAAGGAGUGAAAAUAUCAGGCUUACCUCAAUUCAAAGGAACCACUGACCCGCAUGAACACAUAGAGAAGUUCCACGCCAUGUGGCCCGACAUAUGCACCAAUGUGCAAGAUGUUCCGCACCACUCUUUCCAAAAGGGCUAUGAAUUGGUUCAACUCUUUACCUACAUGAUCAAUCGGAACUUUCUCUCGAUUGUCGGAACGCUCACCCUAGCCAGCAGGUGCGACACAUCUUCUUCUCCCUCACCAGCCGAGCCGCUCGCGCCCCGAGACGAGCUCAACACGCCGACAGUGCGCCUGACACGGACUCCGAGCCCAGCCCUUCCUGUACCUAUCUCGCUCUCCGCGUCAAUUUCACCAGCCAUCUCCCCCUCUUCCCGUAACUUGAUACGCAAUUGUUUGGUUUUUCCCACGUUGUUCAUGACACGUAAACUAUAUUCACCAAGAGAAAUAUUCUCCUAUACUACAAAUUAUACCAAAUAAAAUAAAUAAUAAAGUACUUACCCAUACUUAUUCCACGCGAGAGUUAAGAAUUACUCUUCUUCAACUUAGAAAGCUCAUAUCUUCGCCAAGGAUUUUAUAUUUAAGACCCUUAAAUAUAUAUUCUCCUACUAAAUAAAAAUAAUAUUAAUAUUUUUAUUACUAUUAUUCCACGACAACGACUAACGACUGCUUACAACACUUAUCUACUCUCGAAACAAUUCGGUACCCCUUUCGACAUCACUCACAAAUCGAAUUGAGAGUGUGAGACUUAAUGAUAUGCCUAAUUGGUCCGAUCCAAUGGUCCCACGAUUUAUUUAUUCACUGGGCCACGAGCCCAAUUUAAAAAAUCACUACAACGACAGCCCAAACACCUUCAAAGAGGGUUUGGGCCCAACAAAGUAAAUCCAACCCAAUCAAAGACAUAUAAAUAAAGGUUUUUACUCAUUUGUUAAGGUACGUUCCAUUAUACACAACAAUUCUAGUGCUUAUAUUCUCUCUGCGAUCUCCACGAUCCGUACAUCUGACUUGAGCGUCGGAGGGGUUUUCGCCGGAUCAAUCCCCGACUUAGUUCACGUGUAUUACUUUCGCAGGAACCUCAGAACCAUCCAGCUCGUGAAAACUAGUGAUCCACUUUGCUCUCCCAACUCGUUUUACUACACUACCCAAGGUGAACUAAGUAUGUAGCAUCAUCAAUGAACUUACGCACAAAAACCCCAUAUAUAUAUAUAUAUAUAUAUAUAUAUAUAUAUAUAUAUAUAUAUAUAUAUAUAUAUAUAUAUAUAUAUAUAUAUUUCGGUAGAAUCUAACAAAUAUAAUAUUCAUAAUUACAUUUUGCAAUAGAAGUUCUAUAUAUAUUCUACAACAUUAAUCAAAAUAUCUAAACAUAUUGUACUAGGUGCUUAGAAGGCUACUAUGAAUAUUUCCAUGUAAUGUGCAAGUAGGGGAAGCUACAAAAUACAAUUCUAGAGAUAACAUAUAUAAUGAAUUGUUGGCUUGAUUCCACUUUGCAUACAUGGAAAACAAAUAAAUCACUUUGUCAAAAUUGGUUAAUUUGUAGAAUUGAGCUAAAUUAGGGUGUAAAUCAUGAAAUUAGAGUUCGAAUUAAGGUUUGAAUGAGUCUAGGGUAAUCUUGGAAUAUAUGAAAUAAUUUUCCUUAUUAACAAAUAAAUUUGAAUAAUAUGGAUAUAUUUGCAAGACAAAAAAAAUAUAAUCUCCAUUUUUUUAUAAUUAAAUAUCUUUGUCAUGGGCAUAUUUGUCAUUUGGCGUAAAAAAAAAUUACUAGAAUAAUAAGGACCAAUUCCUGAGUAGUUUAGACAUGACAUUCAUUCCUUAAUAAGUAGUCAAAAUUUCUGCAGCAAAAUGUUGUGAUCUAUUUAUUUAGUUUAUUUGUUUUUUAUGAAAAACACGAGGGACUAAAUAUGUUUUCAUGAACAAGGGGACUAAAUUUAAUAUCCAUGCAAAGUUGAGGGGUCGAGAUUAAAUAAAAAAGAGUUUAAAAAACCCAAUUCCAAACCCUAGCCGCUAUAUUUUUUUUUUUAUUUAAACCACUUGUCCUCCUUUAGUUUCUUUCGCUGUUCUUCUCCGUGGGAUGAAAGGUAUGUUAGAAAAGUUUCAUGUAGUGUUUUUAUUUUGGUUGCUAAAAUAUUUCUUAGAUCUUUUAUUCUUUUUUUGUCUAAAUGUUCAAUUUUAUUUUCUUUUCAGAAACUUUAUGAAAAAUUGGAAUUGGUAAAUUUACUUUAGAUAUAUCAAAACCUUAGUGGUGGCCGAAAAAAAAAAUGGCGUCUUUGAUACUCCGCCGCUCGAUUUAUCGGAGUGCCGGCAUCGCCAGAUCUUGUUGUAGUUGGAUUUGUGGUCGGCCAGUGAGCACCGAAGCAGUUGUGGGAAGAAUAUCAUCGUCAUCACCAACUAGGCCGGUCGCGCCAUGGAUGAUGAUCGAAGACGGGGGCUUGGAAGAACACGGACUCGACAACAUGGUGUACAACUUUUACAACCUGGCUGAUAAGCAAGUCAUAAGUGUUGACAAAAAAAGAGGGAAAGACGGGAUGGUGAUCGGUUCUUCGCACGGUUGGCUAGCUCUAAUGAAGUGGCGACGCAGUUCGUACAAAUGGCGACGCAUGCGCGAUCUUUGCGGCAUCGAUAUGUUUCUCUACAAUCCCCUCACUCACCGCCACGUAAAUCUGCCGCCACUAUCCAUCCCGAAACACAAAUUCCGGAAAGGCCAGGGUUGUCCGGUAAAGCUCAUCCUCUCAUCCCCUCCGGACGAAGACGAAGACGGCAAAUGCCGUGCGGUUAUGUUUUUCGGUAACGAACAUAGGCUGGCCUACUGCUGCCCCGGACGCAGUAAGGAGUGGAUUCCCUUGGGCGAUCUCUUCCACGACAAUGAAGGCAGGAUUCCGUGGAUGUACCAGGACAUCAUCUAUUCACACACGAAGCAAUCGUUGUUCUGCAUGACCGUAUGCAGCGACUUCGAGAGUUGGGAUCUGCGGGACCCGCACUCUCCGAUAAUGAACUGGAAGUUGUUGAAUCAUGACAUGCCGCUCUUCGCUGCGGCGGAUAACCGCUGCCCUCGUUGCGGCAAGGGAAACGCUGAUAGGCUCAAAUCAUCAUCUUUCGAGUUAUUCAAAUAUCUUGUCUUUGACGAGCGGUCGGAUCGGCUCUUUGUUGUGUCGCGACGUGUUAAGAUACAUCGGGGCCCAAACGGUUAUCACGAUUAUAGUUUUCCGUACCAGACCGUUGGUUUCGUUGUCGACCAGAUCAUUGUUCUUCCUGGUGGCAACGAUGGAGAGAAGAAGAAAGAGCUGAGGCGCAUGGAUGGUAACUUGGAUGGUAUGUCGUUCUUCAUCGGUGCGAAAGGCCAUGGAUUCGUCGUCGUGCCAAAUGAAGAUAAUUAUAACGGUCAUGUCGAGCCCAAUUGCAUCUAUUUCACGGACUCGCAUCAACUAACUCCACGGCCUUGGAGUAAAAAGAAAGUGUCGUGCGGCGGCCACGAUAUCGGCAUCUUUAAUUACGAAAACUCGACUUUCUCGUCAUGCUACUAUCCUCGUGAUCUCGAAAGUGCUAGAAGGAUGAACCCUGCACCAACCUGGUUCACCCCAUCAUCCUCUUUCCUUUCUUCUGUUGCCUAAGUAAUAAUUUAAUUUCAUCCUGCUUUUAUUUAUUAUUUUUUAAUUAUAAUACUUUAAUCUCAUCCUAGCUUUUAUUUAUUUAUUUAAUUAUAAUACUCGAAUUUUAAGGUAUCCCUAAAUAUCAAAUAUUAUUUUUAUUUAUUAUUUUUUUCAAAGCCUUUGAUUAUACUUUAAAAACUUAGCGCUCUCUCUCUCUCUAUCCAGAAUUCAACAUUGAUUCUUCGGACAAAGUCGCUCCAAUUCUUCUUCUCCCUUUUGCACCUCAAUUAUAUUUCACAUUUCCCGUCAAUUUUUUAGGGUUUGGUUGCCUUCGACGCGGCCGCUAAUAUAAAGCGGCCGAGCUGGGAUGAGUCGGGGACCCGAUCGUCUCAGUCAAAGCACACCAUGAUGGUAAACAUGUUAAUAGAAGUCCCACCAUGAUUAAUAGAAACAUGUUAAUUCUUAUAAAAAAAAAAUUACAUCAAUAAUGAUUUGUGUCCAUGCAAUGAAUUGGUCUAUCUAUGUUUUUUCUAGCUUCAGCAAAAAAAUUCACUAAACCAUCACAUACUUAAUCUAGCUUCAAGAAAAAAAUUCACUGAACCAUCACAUAAUUAAACUAUAGGGAAGAUAAAAUUAAACUAUAGGGAUGAUAAACAUGUUAGAGUAUAUUAUAUUAUGGAACUCUUUUAAUAUUAGAAUUCUAUUAUGACUAUGCUAUCUAAAUUAGUAUGAUACACCUAAAUGGACCACAUUGGGCCAUUUACAUUAUGUAACCAUGUGGGUCGAAAUAUUGGGCCCAGAGCGCACCAGAUAAAAGAGUCGAGCUAUUCUCCUAAGGGCCUCUAUGGGCCCACUACAUAUAAUGGUAUUACUAAAACACCCAAUCAGAGUCCUAAUCUAGAAAAAUACUAGAUUAGUACUCUAAUUAGGUUUCUAUAAUUAGUUAAGUAUAAAUAACACUUCAAUCUGAGGAAAAACGUACGUUCUACCAAUUCUCUCGAAUUCUAUUGUUGUGGUGCUCUCUAUCCUAUCUUCUGUGCUAGCAUCUAACUUGAGUGUCGGAGGGGUUUCCGCCGAAUCAUCCCCCGACUUAGUUCACGUGUUUUGGUUUUACGGGUUUGGUAGUCAAGUCUUCCUUUCUGCGUGGUUGGAUCAUCUACUCGCGUGCAAGAAUCCUACCCCGUGUUUCCCUCAAAUCUAUCAAGGCGAUCCACGCAUUAUCAUUAUGGCGUCGUCUGUGGGAAUGCCAACUAGGUCAUCGCGACGUAGACAAGGUGAUCUGGAUAUUCACACAACCGCUACAUCUGCCGCAUUGAUGAGGAAUCUCCCACCCCUACACCCCCCCCCCCCCUAGGAGGAGGCCGACCACUGUUGAAUAACGUCGCUCCUCUUCCACAAGAUAACAUCGAUGCCCUUCCUCCACGACAUAACACCGGCAGCGCCAUGAAAUGUCUCAAUCAACUGCCGGUGAAGUUAAUCGACUCUUUCGGACAACUCACCGAUCGCUUUCUCAUUCAGUUUCCCAUCUAUAAAGUGUACGCGAAAACCACAACCCAUUUAUUCUCCAUUGUCCAGAAAGAAUGAGAGUCGAUACUUCACUAUGUUCAAAGUUUCGUACAAACAGUCCAUGAAGUACCAAACAAUGGCAAUGAGGUAGCGACGGGCUUCAUCUAGCAAAACCUAAGGCACUCCAGGUUCAAAGAAUCGAUAGCUGGUAGACCACCUGUCAGGCUGGAGGAACUGUUGCAGCGUGCCAAAAAGUAUGUACGCAUCGAGGAAACAUCCGGACUUGGAACGCACAAAAGGAAGAGGGAGGACGACCGGCUCGAUAACAAAAGGAGAGAAGAUAAGCACACAACCCCAACUGUGAAUUACCCCCGAUUCACCCCCUUAAACACCCACCUUCGCUAGGUCCUUUUAGUGGCGGAGGAAAAGGGAUUGGUGGAACCCCCACACCCUCUGAAUCACAACUCCAAAAGGAUGAAAUUCGAGAAGUACUGUCGGUUCCACAAAGACAAGGGGCACACCAUAGAGAAAUGUUUCCAACUCCAGGUGGCCAUCAAGAAAAUAAUCAAGCAAGGACAUCUAGGAGAGUUCUUAGAUAGGACGCAGAUGAGGAACAAAUGAGACAAUCCACGAAAGGAUAAACGAACGAUUCACAUAAAUACAUAAUCGAACAUAUAGAUCCAUGUGAUUCCAUAACGAGGAUAACUUAUAUAUAUAUAUAUAUAUAUAUAUAUAUAUAUAUAUAUAUAUAUAUUAAUUUUUAUUACUUGAGAUUAAUGUAUGUUAAUUGAUUAUGGAAUCACAUGGAUCUAUAUGUUCGAUUAUGUAUUUAUGUGAAUCGUUCGUUGAGCAUGUUUAUUAUUUGAUUUAAUUUCGCGAGCAUGCUAUGAUGAUUUAAUUUAUGUUAUUUAAGUUUAUUAUAUAUGCGAGUAUGUUUGUUGGUGAUUGGAAGAGAAAAGGUACUCAAUUGAUUGUAAUUAUUGUGCACAUGUUUGUUUAUAUAAAAUGGUUUCUAUAUAAUAAAAUAAUUUUUGUUUUCUGUUGUGUACACGUGCCCGAUCCCCAACAGUAAUCAGGAACGAAGAGUGCAAUAUCCUAAUACGCAUGCCCGUCGAUGGAGCAAAGUUGGAUGCCGUCGAAGAAUUAAAAGCAGUGAAAUUAAUCCGGGGAGAUAAAGCUAGGUCAGUUUGAAUUGGGACGGACCUAGACCCUGACACCGAAGAGCAGUUCGUAGAAUACCUCCGUCAAAACUCCGAUAUCUUCGCAUGGAAGGCUGAAGACCUCAUGGGCAUCCCACCUGAAGUGGCACUCCACCAACUGAACGUCCAUCCUAGAGCAAAGCCGAUAGAGCAACGAAAACAGUCCUUCGGUCUAGAGAGAAAUAAACACAUCAAAAAGGAGGUGGAUAAGCUCUUGUCCGCGGGGCACAUCCGCCCAGUCCGAUACCUGGAAUGGCUCUCUAACGUAGUGCUGGUCUCCAAGUCAGGAGGAAAGUGGAGGUUGUGCGUAGACUUCACCGAUUUAAACAAAGCAUGCCCUUGGGACCCUUUCCCUCUACCAAGGGUUGAUCACCUGGUGGACUCCACUUCCGGGUGCGAGAUCCUUAGUUUCCUUGACGCUUACCAGGGCUACAAUCAAAUCAGGUUAGCCCCCGAAGACCAAGAGAAGGCCAGUUUCGUCACUGAUCAAGGAAUCUACGCUUAUCAGGUCAUUCCCUUUGGAUUGAAGAACGCCGGAGCCACUUACCAACGCUUGGUGAAUAAAAUAUUCGCGGACUUGAUAAGGAAAAACAUGGAAGUGUAUAUUGACGACAUGUUCGUCAAAAGCACGCGAACAUUGGGGCACAUUGGAGACCUAUAACAGUGCUUCGCCAUCUUGAGAAAAUAUAGGAUAAAGCUCAACCCACUCAAAUGUUCGUUUGGAGUUAGAGGAGGUAAAUUCCUCGGUUACAUGAUUUCACAAAGAGGAAUAGAAGCCAACCCGGCGAAAAUAGAAGCAAUAACUUCUAUGACUCCCCUGCGGUUCAUCAAGCAAAUUCAACAACUUAACUGAUGCCUCGCUACCCUGAACCAUUUCAUAUCCGGGUUGGCAGAUAAGGGACUCUCAUUCUUUAAAGUACUGAGGGGAGGCAAAAAGUUCAAAUGGACUGAGGACUGUCAACAUGUUUUGGAAGAGCUAAAACGUUACCUCGCCUCGCCCUCUCUACUCACAAAGCCUUCUCCAAGGGAUGUCCUACUGCUCUACUUAGCAGUCUCACACGAAGCCAUUAGAGCAGUCAUAGAUCGAGAAAGGGAAAGAGGUCACCAACACAUCUAUUACGUAGGUUGCGCCCUUCAAGGAGCAGAGCAACGCCACUCAAACAUGGAAAAACUCACCCUAGCCCUAAUCACCGCCGCACGAAAAUUGAAACCAUAUUUUCAGGUUCAUCAAAUAGUAGUACUCACCAACUACCCCCUGAAAUAAGUCCUUAGGAGCCUAGAAACAUCGGGAAGGCUGGCGAAAUGGGCCAUCAAGCUGAGUGAAUAUGGAGUCGAGUUUUGCAGUUGACCUGCCACCAAAGCCCAGAAUCUACCAGACUUCAUAGUGGAAAUAACGAGCUACGAUUCCAGAACUGCACUGCCAACAUGGACUAUCAAUGUAGAUGGAUCAGCCACUAGUUCUGGCGGGGGAGCCGGAAUUGUCAUAGUUACACCCCAAGGCGACGAACUCGAGUACGUCCUGAGGUUCGAUUCCUAAUCUCGAACAACAAGGCUGAGUAUGAAGCCCUCAUAGCUGGAAUCAAGCUAGCUACAUCAGCAGGAGCUUGUUAAUCAGGUACUGGGCACCUACGAGGCUAAGGAGGAAACAAUGUCUAAGUACCUGGCCAUUACCAUUAUGCUAUUAUCAAAGGUAGAAAGCUACGAAGUUAAACAAGUACCACGAGCUAGCAAUGUGCUGGCCGACAAGCUCACCAAGUUAGCAAGUUCCAUGACCAGCAUCGGCAGUAGAAGAAUCACCAUCCUGACCUCGCCAAAACCGGAGAUAGAAGAGGAUAAAGGCCAAGUGCAAUGCAAUGAGGAAGAGCCCAGCUGGAUUGACCCUAUAACGCAAUACUUAAAAUCUGGGGCCCUCCCCCACCAGCUGAAUGAGGCUCAAAAAUUGAGAAUAAGGACCUCACGCUUUAUAAACAUCGAUGGUCAAUUCUAUAAACAUGGCUUCUCACUCCCAUACUUGAAGUGCCUUCCCCCAACCAAGGCCUACCACGCCCUUCGAGAGAUUCAUGAAGGAAUUUGCCGCAACCACUUGAGUGGCCGAUCCCUAGCUCUCAAAGCUCUAAGACAAGGUUACUACUGGCCUACCAUGAAAAACAAUGUAAGGAAUCUAGUCAAGCGCUGUAGAGCAUGUCAGGAACAUGCCAACAUUCAACACCAACCGGGGGAACUGAUGCAGCCAGUAGACUGUCCGGUCCCGUUCGCCCAAUGGGAUAUGGAUCUGGUUGGAACUUUCCCACAAGCCACGGGCCAAAGGAAACAUUUGAUAGUGGCCACCGAUUAUUUUACCAAGUGGGUCGGGGCAGAGCCAUUAGCGCUAAUCAGGGAGGAAGAUGUAAUCAAGUUCCUAUGGAAAAAUGUGGUGUGUCAGUUUGGGAUACCCAGAGUCCUAAUCUCCAACAGCGGCAUCCGAUUCUUCGGGGAGAAAGUUUGGGGAUGGUGUCAAAAUCUAUCAAUUAAACAUUUCUUUACAUUCGUGGCUAAUCCCCAAGCCAAUGUGUAACACCCCGCGUUUCUGAUACCCGGUUUCCGUAUUUUCCCUCUCGUCUCCUUUGCAUGAACAUAUGUUGUACGUGUGAAUUCAAUUAGUUGCUUUUAAAUUUGCUUUAUUUUCUAUUUAUGUGAAAUUAUGUGAACUAAUGUGCAUUAUAUGUCGACAUGAAUAUUUUUGAUUUUAUUCUCUAUUUGUGCAACUAAAACGUAUUUCAUGUGUUUAAUAUAAUUGAACACGUGAAAUUAUGUGAUCUACGUGGAUUUAGUUUUCGUAACAUAAGAAUUUAUUUUCUCACACUAGAAAGUUUAUAUGUUUAAUUGAUAGUAAUUUCCUCUCUUUAAAUUGGCUAUGAUUGUAUGUGAUGCAUGCAUACACUUAUUCCAUGUGCAUUUCCACUUGGAUUUUCAUUUAGUAUUUUAUUUAAAGAUAACUUAAUUGAAAUUGUCAAGAAGUCCCUCUAGAUUAUUUCAAGUUUAUCCUAAUUGCAAAAAGACCCCUCUUCAUACUUACUCAUUAAGAAUAGAAGCCUCUCCAAUUCUAUAAAUAGAACCCAAGCUUCAAUUGUUUACUCAUCCUUUCAUAUUUUCUUCUACUCAUCCCAAAGUUCAAGAUCAAAAUCUCUUCCUCUCUUCUUCCUUAGUUUCGAAACUUGUAGUGUGGUAAAGCUCAAAAACUCUUUUCAUUUCAAUAAAAGACGUUCUUCAAAAAGAAGUAGAGUUUCAAGUAUAUACAAAGCCCUUCAAAUUCUCAAAGACCCUAAGGUAAGAAUCAUGGACUUCUUGCUACAUCAAGAUAACAUCAAUAGUAUUUCCUUCUCUUAUCUUUUGAGAAACUCCCCUUCUUGAUUGUUUGAAGUAAUCGAAAGUUUUAUAAAAGAAAAUGCUCAUAGUAUGUUAUAUUAUAUGUUUAGUCUCAUGCAUGUUAAGAUCCAUGCUUGAAUCCUUGAUCUUUGAUGAGAAAAAUGAUGAUGAUGAUUGAUAUGUUUAAUUUUAUGUUUAAAGCGUUGCAUGUGAGAAUCUAACUCUUGAUUCUUGAUUCUUGAAAGAAAAUAGGAAAUUGGUGAGGAAACCAAAAAUUUGAUGAUUAUAUGCUAUGAAAUUAAUUAUCUUGAUGUUUAUAAUGAUUGCAUGUUAAGAUGUACUUAUUAUGAUUAUAUGUUUUAAGGUUUGGAUUUGAGGUAUGUAAGAUUAUUGAGUCUACAAUCUUGAAAUAGAUGGUUAUAUGUAAAAUUUACAGAUUCAUAGGUACGGGGUUUAACCCAUGUUUCACCCACAAUUUUAUUUAUGAAAACUACGAAAUUUUAUAUGAAGAUAGAUCCCUCUGUUAUGGUCAUAUUGAUAUGUGGCGUGUAAUGUUUGGAGUAGAAAUAAAUAAGUUAUAAUUUAUUUACCGAAACUGUACAAAACCAGAGUCAGUUUAGAAUAAGUAAUGAAAUCUAAUGUUUUCCUAUUUCGAAUUAAGUGAUUCUACUUGAAACAGAACCCCAACUUAGAGAACUCAUUUGAGAUAAUAUUUGGCAGUGUUUGAUACAGUAGAUCAUUUAUAGGAAAUGUUUGAAGACUGCACUACUGUACUAUUGUACUAUUUUACUUAUUUAUCCUAAUUUCCUAAGGAUUUUCUAAAACUGCUUAUCUGGGGUAGAUAAGACUCCUAAUAGUAUAUGGAGUUAAGCUCUCAAAAGGUUUGGAUGAAUCUGGAAAGCAAAAUGAAUUUUUAAAGUCACUCCCUCCAUUCAGAUUUCAAAACUGUACCCCCUUAGAAAUUUAUUUAUAUCUUUUAUUCGGAUGAUCAUUUUUAUAAAUUGUUUCAUAGCGGUUUUAAAGACAUAUAAAUGAGUAGGUUGUAAAAAAUUUCAAAGGCUUUUUAUCUGUGGUUCAAGAGAAAUGAUUUUUCAAAGUUAGGAUUCCAAAACUGUUUGAUUUUCUUAAGAUGAGUAUUUUUAUCAAAGUAUGAUUUGUGAUCAUUGUUCUAAUAUCCGAGGUAGGAAAGAUAGGUUAGUAAUGAAGGUGAAAACUCUAAGUUAUGGCCUAAUGAUCUAAGUUUAGGUAUCAUGUUGCAUGUCCGAAGAAAGAAUUAUAGUUUACUAGCCUAGACCGGUGUUAUGAAUCAAGUGCAAGAUUUAGGAAAAUGAUUAAUUGAUUUCUAUGAUAAGUUAGAAUACUUGAUUGUUUUCAUAUAUUAUGAUAUGUGGAACUUUUGAAGUAAAGGUGUAUGUAUUAAGUGAUUAGAGUGAAGUAAUGCCGUAUGUGAUAAUUUUCAUAAUUCAUGAUAUGGGUGAUAUUGAUGUGCUACGAAUGACAUGGUUAAAUAAAUAUGUGAUUAUAAUAUGGUUAAAGUUGAAUAAUGCCCUUCUUGGUGCUACUAUAUGAUAUUAAAUGUUUAUGUGUACUUAUGAAAUUAAAUGUGAAAGUAAAAGUGUUGUGUUCUAUAUGAUUAUGUGUUCAAUGGUUUGAUUAAAGAUGUGAAGUAUAAUUGUUGUGGUACUUGUUACUUUUAUGCUUGUUUAUGUGAAAGUAAACAUAGAUAGAUCAUGUAAGCUUCAUGUGAUUCAUUAGUAAGUCUAAGAUACAUAAAUCACGAUUUUUCAAAGUUAAAAAUGUUUGAAAAUUGGUUGUGGAUCUAGGUGAAUAAGUAUGAGAUACGGGGGGCUGGUAUUCCGUUAGUGGUUGAUAGUUGGGGUCCACAUAGGGAUUUGUCCACAUAGGGACUGAUUCACAUAGGAAUCAUGAUUAUAAACCACUAACUUGGCUAUAGUAAAGUUAUAGCCGUGAUUAUAGUAACGUUAUAGAUCACAAGCUCCAAAAUACACGGCUUAUUGGCGAACUCCACGAUUGUUUUUCCAAACAGGCCCAAUGUUUUCUCAUGAAAAGUUUUGAAAGUCUAAAGUCUCAUGUUCAUGCAUAUUGCAUAUUAAAGUAAGGAAAAGAAGGGUGUUAAGUACCCGACUUUUGCAUAUUAAAGUAAUGAAAAGAAGGGUAUUAAGUACUUGACUUUUGAAAGAAUAUGAAAGGAUGUUAAGUAUCCUUGAAAGGUUUAAAGGAAAGGUAAAGGAUCGUAAGUUUAUUAUGUGUUCGUGUAUGCCUAUAUAUAUAUAUAUAUAUAUAUAUAUAUAUGUCUCUCUAUGUGUGUGUGUGUGUGUGUGUGUGUGUGUGUGUGUGUGUGUGUGUGUAUAAAUUAUGUGUAAAGACUUUUUCAAAACCUUGUUAUUACUUCCGGAUUCUUACUGAAUCUUUUUAAAGGCUCAUACAGAUGUUAUCUUGGUGUAGGUAACUCAUGACCCGAAUCCGAGGAGCAAAGUUGAACCAAGUUCGGGGAAAGCCGAGGGAUCGAGCCGUAUGGAAUUUAUGUGGAUAUUAAUAAACUUCCGCUUUGGUACUUAAAUCUUAUUAGUGGAUUGUAAUCCGUAGUACUUGAAUAUGUUAUCGGGAAAUGAUUUGAACUCUUAUUUAUAAUAUAAUGUUUUCCGACUAUUCUUGUUAUUUUCUAAUGUUGAUUUCUUAGGAGCUCCACCACAACCCGAAUUCAUUACUCGGAACAAGAAAAUUGUUAAAGGAAAAUGUGGCACCGAAUAAAGAGAGAAUAUUUUUGACUAAAUCUAUGAAGUGUUCGACUUCAAAGUUUUAUUUUUUUUAAGAAAGAAUUUUAUCGAACUAAAAUUGAAGCGAAACACUUCAAGUAUUUUCAAAAUUAGAGAAAACUUUACCACCUUUCUCUAAAAUUUGUCUCGAAAAACAAAACCGUAUUUUUAAAAGGUCUUCCGCUGCAACUUAAUAGAAAAAUAUUUAUACCAUUUUCCGGUAUAGAGUGUAAAGUAAACGGGGUGCUACACAAUGGCCAAGCUGAAGUAACCAAACCGCACUAUACUACAACACUUCAAAACUCGACUAGGAAAUGCCAAGGACAGAUGGGUCGACGAGCUACCAAGUGUUCUAUGGGCGUAUCGAACAACCCCGAGAACCACCACGGAAGAGUCCCCAUUCAACUUAGCUUUCAGAGCAGAAGUUGUGGCUCCCGCCGAGAUAGGAGAACCUGUUAGAGUAGGUGACCAACAAGCCAACUUGUGGCUGUGGUCUUUCCUUUUAUCUUGUAAUAAAACAAUCGUUUUUCGUUCGUAAUAAUAAAAUACUUCAUUUGGCAUUCUAUAUCUCUUAUCCCAUGCAAGCAGCAUAGAUAUAGUCCUAACGAGUUACUCUAUUACUGUGAGUUGAUCUAGUAGAAUCGUGAGAUAACUCAGCAAUGUAAUGUAACUGUUAAACCUUGUUCCUAGUCGAUGGGUUACGCCAAUAAUGAGGAUACCGGCCUUUCCCUUUUGAGACUAGCACUUAGUGUAUGUGUACUGCGUCUCAUCGGUCCUCGGUGUUGUGACAUCGGCAUACUUGAGUGGGUGCUCAUAUUAGAUGAGUUCACUGAACUCCCUCGCCCUAGAAAUCUAUAAGUGGUUCUCAUUCAUCGAGAAAUAGGAUUAAGAUAUAGUUGUACACCAUUAGUCCUUAAGACCCAGACAUCACCGUGACUUCACUAGAGGGCCGAUUGUAUCGUGACCUGUCCCUGAGUCCCACAACGGACCACUCCAAGGGCCAACGUUCGUGCAAUCCGAAAUCUAGUGUGAAGUCUGUGCAUUGUAGUAGGGGAUUCGAGCGCUUGAGUAGUCAUGGAUGUCCUGUGUGCUCUGACGGUUUAUAAUCCAAGGAAUCUCUGGCCAGAGUUGAUAGUGGGGUGAUUAGGGAAAUGUGUUUCCCUAAGUCGCACACGAACGGAUUUAUAAUACCUAGAACGUUCGCACGGUUAAUGAACUUUAUAAGAGGUCUCGGUGAACCAAUGCCUCUAGUUCAAUCGGGACAUGUGUUGCGAAGGGAUCGUACUGUACGCUAACUAUAUCAUAAGGUUCUUGCAGGCACUUCACUUGUAUCUAGGGAAUCAUGAUACGUAGUUGCUAGACGCCAAUCUUGAUUCGUUGGGCACCGAUUUGAUGGGGGAUUAGGUAAAAUGAGUUUUACUCUAAUCGGGACUCUUGGGAGGAGUUCGUAUACGAACAAUGUGUUGUUCGAAUCAGAAAGAGUUGUGAGCCCACGGCUAGCAUACACCUGAACCAUUGAGGGUCACACUUCUCGUGUAAUAUAGAUCCUUGAUAACAACAAGCAUAGAUUAAUGUGUUAAUCUUUGAACGAUUGGUUGUCGAUAUGAUUGAAUCCAAGAUUCGUAAUUGUGGAUUGCGAAUCGGAAUAAACGUAGAGAAAGAGAGACAUGCGGAAUUUAGUGAACUUUCUAAAUUGGGAAGUUUCCCGAUUUAGCAAGUCCACUGAAGUGGAAGUUUCCAAUUUUGGAAAUUGGAAAUUUCGAAGAGGCACUCGUAUCGACGAGGACUUUGAGCUCGUCACAAAUAUAAUACAUCAGUGGGUCAAGCCCAAUGACUUAAACCCACUAGGGUUGAAAACCCUAAGUAUAAAUAGACCUCAAACAAGAGUUUGAGAUCAGAUUUUUUGCACCAAACCCUAGCCGCCCAAACCCUAGCCGCUCAUCCCCUUCGGCCGUUGCUGCCCCGCCGCGCCACCGCCGAUCACCACCGGAAAACCGCCGGUUUUCUCCUCUCGUCUCCUUCGUUUUAUUCUUGUUGUUUAUCUAACUCGUUUACAUCUAGUGUUGUAGUUCGAGUGGGUCGAAAAUACGAGGUGAAACCUAAAUGGAGAGGAGCUGCUGCCCCGACGAAUCCACGCACCGCCGCUGCACCGCCGCACGCGCUGCUACGCCGUCCACGCGCCGCCACUGCUGCUGCCACGCGCCGCCGUUCGUCGCUUGCUGGAUCAGCUUGCUCCAGCCGUGAGUUUCAGCCCCGAGGAUUGGUAAUUUGCAGCUUGUACGUGAUUGGUUCUAGGUUUCGAUUCGUCGAAAUCUCACGCUACAAGAGGUAAAUAAAUCGAAACUUUCGUAAAUUAAUUCGAUCAUGUUUGUAUGAAUUAUAAUUUAUGAUUAUGAGUAAUAUGUGAUUACGUGUUUCGAUUUUAUUGAAUGAUGAACAAGCAUGUUUCGUAAUUUUCGGUUUUACGUGUUUUCAAUUAAAUCGAUAAUUACCAUAUGUAUGGCGGAAGCGUUAAGGUACGUUGACUAUGUGAUUAGUUUAUGCAUGUAAUCGAAACUAGUUCGAUCUAAAAUUUUAAAUUCCGCUGCGUAUACAUGCACGAUCCCCAACAAAACCAUCUUGGAGAAUCACCAACUACUCUCUAGUCAACAAUGAAUAGCCAUGAGAGUCCGCCUUGAUUGGAUUGAAGAAGUUCGGGAAACAGCCUCCACCCGCAGGGAAAUAGUCAACACAUGAGCUUAUCGACUACAACAUCCAGACCAUCAAGUACCAAGGACCUGGAACGUAGCCAAUCUCAAGCAAUUCUACGUUUGAAGGGGGAGCCUACGAAAGAACCCGCCAUCCUACUCAUAGGAAAGUCCCAGCAAGGACAACUUUCUCCAGCUAGUUUAGUAUUUAUUUCCCAAGCAACCCCUUCGCCACUUCGGCGUUAAUAAAACACGUUGCUACUUCGACAUUAAUAAAGCACUUUGCUAUUUUGACAUUAAUAAAGCACUUCACUAUUUCAACUUUCGACAUUAAUAAAAGCACUCCGCUAUUUCUACACGUAUACUUAGCAAACAACGCCAAAAUGCCAAAACCCAUGGAGUUAAAAUCUACUCGCUAAGCUUACAAGAGUUUGGCCAACUCAGCUUCAGCAAAGUAGAACACUCAAUGGGUCAAUGACAUCUAACUACGGGUGCCUGGCCUCAUAAACGAGUUAGAUCACAAAGACUAUAUUGCGAGUGCAGGUCCACCCUUACAUAUCAAAACUCGGGAGGCUGAUCACCUCCUCGAGUACACCAAACUUUUUCUACCCCAGUAUGGAAGAACAAGCUAUCUAUAAACAUAGGCAGAACAAGAAGCAACACGAUAAAGCAGGAGGAUCCAACAAGAAAUAAUGUUAGAGUGCGAUAGAAAAGAGAAAAGCGAACACCAACCAACACAAGAGGUUCUUCUACAACGAAGAAGUGGGCAUACCCAACAAACUAAUAAAAAAUGAGCAAAAGCAACGCCUAAUGUAGAACAUCACCUUUUAAGGAUAUAAAGCAUCAGAGCUCCAAUCUCCUCGCCAAUCACACCGGCACCACCUCCUAGUGUGUCCUCAACCUGAUCCUCCUCAUCUGAAUCAACAUAAAUACCUAUCUCCUCAUCCGAGUCCAAGAUGUUAGGCUCCAUACCAAGGAUAAUGCCCCCGUCCACCUUCUUGGUACCUCUCACAUAAGCUCGACAUUGACGGACCAAGAGAGUAUAAAGCGUAACCGUUUUCUCCUCCACAAUAUCUACAAACUCACGGCUGGCUCGGAACUUCGCCACUGCGGCACUUUCAACUGAGUUCGUAUAAGCCACCCCCUGCUCGGAGGCUAAAAAGCCUUGACCACUAGUCUUCUCCACAGAGUAUAUACCCACCAACUCAUCAUAAUGAGGUUGGAGCCUCGCAUUCUUCAACCUCUCGGCCUCCAGAUCUCACCUCACGGCCUCAAAAUCAGACAAGAUAUCUCGGGAGGCCAAAUCCGAAGUCAAUGCCUCAAACUGCUCUCGAAGACUCCUCUCCACGCUAGAGGACUGGGUACCCCCCUCCAUAAGACUCCUCCAUAAAGCGGUAGCCUAAAAAAAUAAAAUAAUAAUAAUAAUAAUAAUAAUAAUAAUAAUAAUAAUAAUAAUAAUAAUAAUAAUAAUAAUAAUAAUAAUAAUAAUAAUAAUAAUAAUAAUAAUAAUAAUAAUAAUAAUAAUAAUAAUAAUAAUAAUAAUAAUAAUAAUAAUAAUAAUAAUAAUAAUAAUAAUAAUAAUAAUAAUAAUAAUAAUAAUAAUAAUAAUAUUAAUAAUAAUAAUAAUAAUAAUAAUAAUAAUAAUAAUAAUAAUAAUAAUAAUAAUAAUAAUAAUAAUAAUAAUAAUAAUAAUAAAUUUCCAAGUGCAUCGAUAGGUAAUACACGAAGACGAGCAUAGUUCACACUAACCCGACAUAGUGCAUCAAGGACGUCAUCCUAGCCAACACAAUGUAGUUACUGCCCAAGUCCCAAAAGGUCUCCACACCACUACGGCUGUCACCAUACUCAAACAUAUGUUUGCCCACAUCCGGUCGAAUGGGCUCCGUUGACGUACCCUUUAAACGAUGGCGCUUCGAACAAAUGCUACGCUCCUCGUCCCAGGGAUCAAUCGAGUCACCCAUCACACUGGAGGAGGCCACAAGUCAGUCACGAAUCUCACUACCGCCCACUGUCCCUGAACGGCUGUCUGACCCCCUAAUCCGAGGACCAUUAGUACGAGUGGAUCUAUGCUCGUCCACAUCCACGCUAGGUAGGCGCCCUCCUUGACUCCUCGAAGCGGGAGCCCCACACCUCUAAUUCGCAUCCCUUGUCUUGGUGCGCUGGCGGUUUGAAGUGAAAUCGACCACAUCAUCUGCAAAGUAAGAUAAAGAAGGGUUAGCCAACAUCAUAAAAGUGGCAGACAUAAAGCACGUAAAGCAAAACACAGCAACCCAAGCAGUCAAUAUACUUCGAGGGUUAAACUCCUCCUCAAACAGGUUUGUCCUCGCACACAAUCCUUGCAACGUUUUGCACAGACCGUAACUUUUGCACCGAGGAUUCCAGACCAUAGGAACUACUCAAGUGGGAUCCCUUACAUAGAAAAAUUUGUGCUUCCAAUCAACCCAAUUUGACUUAAGGGUACUAAGAAACCUACACCCCAGGCGGGGAUGGCAACAGAAGAGGGGCCUCAAAUGCCCUAUGAAGAGUGAAGAGGGUACGGAACAAGGGCGACCCAAUGGAUAACUCCAACUCAACAGCUCUGUGGUAAAAACCAACGAAUGAAAGUACGAAAUUUGAACUUAGCUGGCUAAAACUGAUGUCGUACUCCUCACAGAUCCUCAAGAACGUCGGGUGAGGCAGAAUGCUACAACCAGUAGAUAUUUAAGCAGUAAACAUGGUGAAGUAAUUGAGGGGGAGGGGGGGGGGGGGCAUAUCAUCUCCGAUCUCCAGUAGGCACCAUCAACUUUAUAUGCCUCGGUAUUCCAAGCGAAGCUUGUAUCCCGUCUAUGUCCCUUUGGGACAGCUGACUCUUGAAGUCAAGAAGGUGCAAAUUGAGGGGUUUCUUCUCUUGUUUUUUCUUCCUCGAUCCACUAGGCACUUUUCGUUUAUCACUUGCCCCACCCUCACCCUCACCCUCACCCUCAAUUGGAUCCGCAUCAUCACUCUCCCCCUCACUCCUAGCUUCACUAUCCGCCCCAUCGAAAUCUCUAUACCCACUCAACGAGCUAGGAAAUGACACUACACUACUACGCGGAGCACCCAAUUCUACGUUACUAGCACGGCGAAAAAGACAUCUCCACUACCGACACCAGAAGCUCCACCUCUCGCUGGCUGCGCAAAAACGGUCCCAAAGCCAACACCACUGGCGCCGCCAUCGCCACCCCCACUCGGUAAUGGCGCUCCUCCCACAACACCUAAUAUGGCGCUGCCAACGCCUCCCCCACUCGCUGGUGGCGUUAACCUUAGAUGCUAUACUGCGUCUCCACCGCCACUCAACCCCGAAGAGGGUCCUCCGCCCCCAUUUCCAUGAAUUUUGAUCCGGAUUUUUUUUAUCUCUCCGUGAACACUCAAGACAAAUUGGAUGGAGAAGAAUUCUAGUGAGAGAAAAAAUGCACAUUUCCAAGCUACAAAAAUAAAAAUUAAAAGUGAGGAUAUGAUGCUUACCCAUUCUGUGUAAAGAUUCACUUUAUUAGAGAAAGAGGAUUUUCCAAAACCUGCACGAAGAAAAUGAAGGGUUUUCUACAGUUGACCACCAACUUAUACCCUUCGCGCAAGCUCCGACUACACGUCACAUUCAGUACUCUCGAAGCGACUCGAGUUCCCCGACUCGUCCGAGAGUGGGGGGCUUAAUGAUACAUCUAAAUGGGCCACAUUGGACCAUUUAUUUUAUGUAACCAUGUGGGCCAAAAAAUUGGGCCUCGGAGCCCGCCAAAUAAAAGACUUGAGCCAUUCUCUUAACUGGGCCUCUAUGGACCCACUACAUAUAAUCAUAUUAAUAAAAAACCUAAGCGGAGUCCUAAUCUUGAAAAAUACAAGAUUAGUACUCUAAUUAGGAGUCUACUAACACCUCAAUCUGAGGAAAAAAUACGUUCUAACAAUUCUCUCGAAUCCUAUUGUUGUAGUGCUCUCAACCCUAUCUCCUGUGCUAGCAUCUGACUUGAGCGUCGGAGGGGUUUCCGCCGGAUCAACCCCUGACUUAGUUCACGUGUUUUGGUUUUACGAGUUUGAUAGUCAAGUCUUCUUUUCUGUAGUCGGAUCAUCUACUCGCGCACAAGAAAUCUACCCUGUGUUCCUGUCAAAUUUAUCAAGGUGAUCCACGCAUCAUCAUAGUAUAAUUCAAUUACCUAGAUUAGUUAUCAUUCAAUUAUCCAGAUUAAUAUAUUACCUUAUAAUCUUUAUACUAUAUAUAAUCAAUGCAAAUCAACCCAUAGAUUAUGGAAGUUAUCCAUUACUUCUGAAUUCCAGUAAAACAAAAUUUUGAAACUCAAAUAGCAACCUAAUUUGAAAUUUUCAAUCACCCUAUAAAAAAUAAAAUUUAAAAUUCCAAUCAACCCAAAUAAGCAUAUUUACUAUUUACCACAAAAAAGUUCAUUAAAAAUUAAUGAAUUAAAGCUUUUAAUUAAAACUUCAUUAGUUGUAUCUUGCCAUGAAUCCCGCUCCAAAAGGUGUUCCCGCCGCUCUUACCUAGACGCAAAAAAAAAAAAAAAAAAAGGUCACUUAUUUGUUUGGGGUCAUUAGCAAUAAGCCCCUCAUAUAGCUAAAAAAUGGUAAUGUGUCCACCUCUUAAAUCUUUCUUUACGAUAAUCCCUAAAAAUUGUAUUCCCAAUACUACCCUUCGGUCAAUUAGCAUAAUUUGUCUCAACUAUUCAUUUUUUUUCUCUUUCCAUAACAACAAUCUAAUUCCUAAAAAUUUGCUAUCAAAUAAAAAAAAAAAAACAAAUUGAUUUUUUUCAUGUUUAUUAUUUCGGAUUUAUUUCGUAUUUUUUUACUAUUUUUUAUUUAUUUUUUAUUUUUUUUAAUACUUUUUUAAUAAAAGUAUUUUUCAAAUUUUUUUUAAAACAAAAAAAAAAUGAAUUUUUUUUCUCAACUUAUUUACUACGCCGAGUAUAACUAUAGUCGACUAUAUGUGACUAUAUCAAAUGUAGUCGUAUUAUUUAUUUAUAUUGCAGUUUUUUACAUUUUCAAUUUAAAAAUUCGAUUUUAUAGUGUUGUAUGUAGCACCCCCCCGCGGGUCGGGCUAUAAAUCGAACCGGUUUUAUCGGAAUACUUUAUUUAGAUAGCGGAAGCAAAAGGAUCUCUUUGAAAUUUUAGAAACUUCCGAGUCGGACCAAAAUGUAAUUACUAAAAAUCUCUUUUUGGGACAAACUUUUGGAAACCUUAAGAAUUUCGAAAACUUCUUAGGGUUAUUUUGGUCGUUUAAAUUUUUCGUUUCGAAAUAACUUUGGAAAGGGAGAUUAUUAUUCGAGUGCUACAUUUAUCUAACUAUAGGUUUCAUUUUUGGUUCGAUAAGAAAUCAGAGUUUAAAAAGCAUUUGGCGAGUAAGGAUUUUCGGGUAAGAAAUGCAAUUAUUAAAAUAAGCGGACCAACUAUAAUAAUAUCAAAUAAGGCCCAUACUAAAAUAAGAGUUUAAUUCCCAUAGUGAGGAAAUACUAGACGUUUAGAGAAACGAAAAUACGGAAAUCGUUUUAAGUUUACAACACCAAACGAAAAUUAGCAUAAUUUAUAGACCCCUCGUACGACCAUCAAAAGCUUCGGCCAAGACUCCGAUCCACUACUCGGUCCAUUCCGGCGAUGGAUUACUACUACCUGCAAUCAAAGAAAUAUCUUUAUGAGCUAUUAAGCCCUGUAAGAAAUCCGAAUAGAUUACGAGGUUUUAAAAUAUGGUUUUACGUAUUUAUAUACUAUAUACACAUAAACAUCACAUCUUACCAUUCGUCGGCAAACGAACACACACACAAACACUCAAUUUCAUUUAAGCACAUAAAUCGAUUUAAAUACUGAAAAUUACCAAUUUACCCUUUUUCGUGCAAAUGCAUGAAUGAAAACAUUUUAUGUUGUUCGGAUCCGUGAAAAAUUAACUUCUUUACUUGGAUGAUAAGCAUAUUAUUCUGAGCUCGUUCUUUUGGUGGAAUUAAACCACCCCUUUAUAUAUAGUAACUAUGGUCAGAAUACUGGCCCCCCAUACCUUUCGUAAAAUGAAAUUUCUUUUUUACGAACACAAAAAUCACCAUGAGACUCUAAUAUGAAAAUGAACACUUUACGACAUCACAAAUAUCAAUCAACGAAUCUACGAACACAAUACAAUUAUUCACAUAAAUAUACACAUAUACACGACAAUCACACACAUAUUAUACACACACAUAUAUAUAACCACUUAAGCAUAGCACAUAAUUCAGAAAAAUAUUAUAGCAUCAUAUUAUGUAUCUAUAUAUCAUAAAUCACACACACAACAGCACAAACACGGCACACACCCAUACACACAUAGACAUGCAGCCCCAAAACACACUUCAAUUAGCAUUAAAUUAUCAAACCAUGCCCUUAAAGCACCAACAUUUUUAUCUUUUCAUUAAUGGGAGUUCUCCCACUUUUAUUCAUUAAAUGAAUUAAAAAUUCUUACAGCCCCUUAACUUAAUUCAGCUGCAGAUUUUAACCAUAAAUUUAUAUUCUCACAAUUAAUACUCAAGGCAUAAUGUUUAAAACACAAAAGUUCCAUUUAUGACACAUGCACAACCAAUAUUUCAGCAAAUGGCCUCUAAAAAUUCUCACAUUUUAUUAUAGGCUGCCUAACGGAAUAAAUAAAUAGAUGUAAAAAAUGUUUGCAGUUUCCUCAAAAACCGAAUUUAUAAAAAUUAAAAUACUCAACAAGUAGUGUUGAAGCCAAAAAGUGAUUUUUCCAACAAAUAUUAAUUCCAAACUAUGGCCGAAUAGAAAAUUACAAAAUUCCACUUACUCCUACUGAGAUUUUGAAGGUGAAAACAUUUUUCAUGCUGAAACUUCAAGAAAUUGCAGAUUAGCCCUAAAGAUUCAUAGAUCUACACAUGCAACCCCAAAAAUUCUUGAAAACUCAUUUUCUUUUUCCAAAAUUCCCAAAAUUCGAAAUAUUAAAUCAUUAACCACAAAAAUACUUAGAUUCACAGAUUAUAACACGGAUUAGACAUGCAAGAACACAAAUAUCAAGAUUAGCACAAGAUUUCGGAUUUUACACAAAAAGCCCUAAUUUCGAAAAGUGAGGAAAUCUUUUAAGUAGUUUUGAAAAUCCUUUUCCAUACUAUGAUACCCUUUAAUUGCAGCAAGAAAUUCGAGAUUUCUUACCUAACAAAAGAGUGUUGGCCGAAGAAAAACCUUCAAAAGAAAAGAGGGUUUUUAGAGGAAGAAAAGAAGGAAGAAGAAAAUGAAGAAAACGAAGAUACAUGUUACCUCCUUCAAGAAGUGGCUCCAAAAUUGAACCAAGCUAGUUUAAUGGAGAAGGUAAGAGCUUUGAUAUCAAGUUGGGAGGAGUUUUGAUCUCCCAUAAGAGGGCAAGUGUUUUUUAUGGUGUUCUUCGCAUAUUCAAGGGUGAAAUUUAUAUAGGGGAUUUGCAUCUUGACUUCUCUAUUUAUCUUGAGGAAAAAAUGAGGUGGUGGCCGAUGGAGGUGGUGGUGCUUCGGUGGUGAUGGUGAAGGAGAGACAAGUGUGGAGUGAGGUGGAGAGAGAAGAAGAAGGAAUGGUGUCUCUUGAGAUGAUUAAUCCAUAUUGAGUGUUGGAUUAGUGUUAAUCAUCACAUUUGGCCAAGUGUACAAGCAUGCUUCUUUUUCUAAUUUUAUUAUCUAAUAAAAAUAUCACUAACCUCUCUCAUACACAAAAACCGAACACACACACACACACACACACUCAUAUAUAUAUAUAUAUAUAUAUAUAUAUAUAUAUAUAUAUAUAUAUAUAUAUAUAUAUAUAUAUAUAUAGCACCCCCCUCGGGUCGGGCGAUAAAUCGAACCGGUUUAUCGGAAAACUUUAUUUAGAUAGCGGAAGCAAAAGGGAUCUCUUUGUAAUUUUUAAAACUUUCGAGUAGGACCAAAAUGUAAUUUCUAAAAAUCUCUUUUUGGGUCAUUUGAAAAGUUUUGGAAACCUUGAAAAUUGCGAAAACUUUUUUAGGGUGAUUUGGUCGUUUAAUUUUUUUGUUUCGAAUUAACUUUGGAAGGGAGAUUAUUUUCGAGUGCUACGUUUAUGUAACUAUAGGUUCAAAUUUGGGUUCGAGAAGAAAUCAGAGUUUAAAGGUGUUUGGUGAAUAGGGAUUUUCGAGUAAGAAAUGCAAUUAUCAAAAUAAGCGGACCAACUAUGUUAUUAUCAAAAUAAGGCCCGUACUAGGAUAAGAGUUUAAUUCCCAUAACAAGGGAAUAUCAGAGUUUAAGGGAAACGGAAAUACGGAAAUUGUUUUUUUGUUUACAUCACCAAAACAAAACAAGCAUAAUUUAUAAACCCCUCGUACGACCAUCCAAAAGCUUCGGCCAAGACUCCGAUCCACUACUCUGUCCAUUUCGGUGCGGGAUUACUACUACUACUUGCAAUCAAAGAAGUAUCUAUAUGAGCUAUUAAGCCCAGUAAGAAAUCCCAAAUGGCGUCGGAUCCUCUUUGGGUCUUUGGAAACCCUUGAACGAAAUCCAUUGUGACAGCUUCCCACUUCCAUUAUGUAAUUAGAUUGGAUUGCAGUAGACCUCCGGGUCUUUGGUGUUCUGCUUUGACUUGUUGGCAAACUAGACAUUCGGCGACGAAUUGGGCAAUUUAUCUUUUCAUUCUGGGCCACCAGUAGAGUUUCUUCAGAUCUUGGUACAUCUUGGUUGCUCCGGGAUUGCAAGUAUACACGGUCUGAUGGGCUUCGGUUAGGAUUAGUUAGCGAAUCUUGGAGUCGUUAGGUACAUAAACGCGGCUUUGGAAUCGAAAAAUUUCUUCAUCAGAGACUCGGAAAUUUGGAUUGGAUUCGAUGUUGUCGCGAACUUUGAGAACUUGGGGAUCGGUUUGUUGAGCGGUCUUGAUUGCUUCUGUCAGAUUUGGCUGAACGAUGAGGGCGUUGAUUGAUUUGAGGCUAAGAGCGUCUGCCACGACAUUUGCUUUACCUGGGUGAUAGAGUAUUUCGCAGUCGUUGUCCUUGACUAGUUCGAGCCUUCUUCUUUGCCUCAUAUUUAAUUCCUUCCGAGUGAAAAAAGUACUUAAGGCUCUUGUUAUCGGUGUAGAUGGUGCACUUUUCGCCAUAAAGGUAGUGUCGCCAGAUUUUGAGUGCGAAGACGACGGCGGCUAAUUCGAUAUCAUGGGUCGGGUAGUUCCGUUCGUACUCCUUGAGUUGUCGAGAGGCGUAGGCCAUAAUUUUUCCAUUCUGCAUGAGUACGGCUCCUAACCCUAGCUUCGAGGCGUCGCUGUAGACUAUGAAUACUCCAGUUCUUUUCGGUAGUGCUAGAAUUGGGGCAGAGGUGAGUCGAUUCUUGAGUCCGGUGAAGCUAGCGUCGCAUUUUGGGGUCCAUUGGUAUUUGGUGUCCUUCCCAGUGAGUCUAGUGAGUGGCGAGGCGAGUUUCGAGAAAUCUUGUACGAAUUUGCGGUAGUAACCGGCUAGACCGAGGAAACUCCUUAUCUCUUUUGCAUUCUUCGGAAUUGACCAGUUGGAAACUGCUUCUAUCUUGCUGGGGUCGACGGAGAUUCCACUUGCUGAGACGAUGUGGCCAAGAAAAGAGACACUGGAUAGCCAGAACUCACACUUGCUGAAUUUGGCGUACAGCUGAUGAGAUCGAAGAGUUUGGAGAACGGUACGGAGGUGAGAGGAAUGAUCUUCUUCGUUCUUGGAGUAAAUGAGAAUAUCAUCGAUGAAGACGAUUACAAAUUGGUCUAGAUACGGGUGAAAGACUCGGUUCAUGAGGUCCAUAAAUGCGGCGGGGGCAUUAGUUAGACCGAAACGCAUGACGAUGAAUUCGUAGUGGCCAUAUCUCGUCCGGAAGGCGGUUUUCGGAAUGUCGGACUCUUUGAUUUUGAGUUGGUGAUAUCCGGAUCGGAGAUCAAUUUUGGAAAAAAACAGAAGAACCUUGGAGUUGGUCGCAGAUCGUCAAUUCGGGGAAGAGGGUACUUAUUCUUGAUAGUGAUUUUGUUGAGCUCUCGGUAAUCGAUACAAAGACGAAGGGAUCCGUCUUUCUUCUUGACAAACAGCACUGGGGCUCCCCAUGGUGAGUGACUAGGUCGAACGUAACCCUCGUCGAGCAGCUCUUGGGUCUGAUCUUUCAACUCUUUCAAUUCAAGUGGGGCCAUGCGAUAUGGGGCUUUGGAAAUUGGUGCGGCUCCGGGAAUUAGAUCAAUUUCGAACUCAAUUUCUCGGUCGGGUGGAAGUCCGGGAAUAUCGUCGGGAAAUACAUCGGGAAAUUCUUGUACUGUUCGGACAUCGGACAGUUGAGGUUUAGUGUUGGGUUCAGGAUUCACAACAUCUACUAGAUAGCCGAAAUGCCCUUCAUGAAUGAGUUUGACGGCUUUUAUGGCUGGGAUAAUUGGAAUCGAAGUUUUGGCUUGGCUUUGGAAUUUUAGGAUUUGGCUAAUUGGAAGAGGAAAAAUAACUGUUUUCGGGGCACAGUCAAUUUGGGCUUUAUAUUCGGUUAACCAAUCCAUUCCUAGAAUGAUCUUAAAAUUGCGGAUCGGUAGGACGAUGAGGUCGAAAUUCAUAGGUUGUGAAUGAACUCGGAUUGAACAAUUGGUCACCACUAGGUUUGAGAUCAUUUCUUCGCCAGAGGGGAUGAGUAUACUAUAGUCGUGAUUCAAGUGACUCGGUUUAAUCUUAAGGCUUUCUAAUCAUAUUCUCCGAUAUGAAAGAGUGAGUAGAAUCGGAAUCAAUUAAGGCAUAGAUGGGUUCGUCGAAAAUAUAUAUAGUACCUGCUAUCAUUGAGGGAUCUUGCUCAAUCUGCUCCUUUGUCAUAGCAAACACACGUCAUUGGGCACGAUUGGGAGCGUUCGGACAAUCCCUUGUUAUGUGUCCGGUCUUUCUACAUCUGAAGCACGUGUUCGUCCCUUGUACACAAGCUCCAAAGUGUGAUUUCCCGCAUUGUGAGCAAGUUGGUUUGGCCGGCUGCGGGAGUCCAAAUUGAUUCGAUGGUUGGUUUCGGUUGCCCUUGAAUUUGUGGUUGCCGAAGUUAGCCUUCUUCCAUGGGCGUUGACUCGUGCCUUGAGAUCGACGGUUCUGUUGGAUCUCAUUUUCAUCUGGGGCUGCCAUCAGGGCUUUGUCCACUAGUUGUCUGAAAGUCGAGGCGUCGGACAUACGGAUAUCUCGUCUGAUAUCAAGUUGUAGGCCACGGAUGAAGUGAUUCUUUUUCUCUUCGGGGUCUCGAGCGAUGAAUGGGGCGUAGAGACAGCCACGUUCGAAGCGACGGAUGUACUCGAGCAUCGGCAGUUCACCUUGACGAAGUUCUAGAAAUUCCUUCAGUUUGUGGGCACGUACGUCUUUGGAGAAAUAUUUUUCGAAGAAUUGUAGUUUGAAGUCGAUCCAUUGUAUAGUGUCGAGGUCGACUCCCUCCUUGACUCCUUCCCACUAGUGACGAGCUUCGUUUCGGAGUAGGAAUAGAGAACAAUGUACACGAUCACGAUCGAUCAUUUGCAUGUAGUCGUAGAUCACUUAUAGGGAUUUGACCCAUUCUUCGGCUAUUGUCGGAUCGGUUCCACCAUUAAAUUCGGAGGGGUUCAUUUUGAGGAAUCGUUCGUAAAUGGCGUGAGGUGCUGCUUGAGGAGGAGGCGGAGGAGGAUGGUUUCGUCGGAGGAGUUGGUCAAUUUGUCUUUGGUGGUUUUGGGCUUGUUCUCGGAUAAGGUUCGAGAGGUUAUGAAUGGUUUGGUUAAGGUCGGGUGGUUUAUUAGUGGGAGUGCCUUGAGAACUCCGGGUUAGUCGCCUUGCCAUAAUUUCUAUGACCUAUUACGCAAUUUAUAAAUAAAGCGCAUAAAUAAAUAAAACAUAAAAUACACAUAACGUUACCGAAUGGACGAGUUAUCGUGUCUCGUUAGUCUUCAAGCCCGACUUUCGGAUCGUACGAGUUUUCUAUAAACAAUGCUCUGAUACCACCGUAUGUAGCACCCCCCAUCGGGUCGGGCGAUAAAUCGAACCGGUUUUAUCGGAAUACUUUAUUUAGAUAGCGGAAGCAAAAGGAUCUCUUUGAAAUUUUAGAAACUUUCGAGUAGGACCAAAAUGUCAUUACUAAAAAUCUCUUUUUGGGACAUUUGAAAACUUUUGGAAAUCUUAAGAAUUUCGAAAACUUCUUAGGGUUAUUUUGGUCGUCUAAAUUUUUCGUUUCGAAAUAACUUUGCAAAGGGAGAUUAUUAUUCGAGCGCUACAUUUAUCUAACUAUAGGUUUCAUUUUUGGUUCGAUAAGAAAUCAGAGUUUAAAAAGCAUUUGGCGAGUAAGGAUUUUCAGGUAAGAAAUGCAAUUAUUAAAAUAAGCGGACCAACUAUAAUAAUAUCAAAAUAAGGCCCAUACUAAAAUACGAGUUCAAUUCCCCUAGUGAGGAAAUACUAGAGUUUUAGAGAAACGAGAAUACGGAAAUCGUUUUAAGUUUAUAUCACCAAACGAAAAUUUGCAUAAUUUAUAGACCCCUCGUACGACCAUCAAAAGCUUCGGCCAAGACUCCGAUCCACUACUAGGUCCAUUCCGGUGAGUGAUUACUACUACAUGCAAUCAAAGAAGUAUCUAUAUGAGCUAUUAAGCCCUGUAAGAAAUCCGAAUGGAUUACGAGGUUUUAAAAUAUGGUUUUACGUAUUUAUAUACUAUAUGCACAUAAACAUCACAUCUUAUCAAUCGUCGGCAAACGAACACACACACAAACACUCAAUUUCAUUUAAGCACAUAAUUUGACUUAAAUACUGAAAAUUACCAAUUUACCCUUUUUCGUGGAUAUGCAUGAAUGAAAACAUUUUAUGUUGUUCGGAUCCGUGAAAAAUUAACUUCUUUACUUGGAUGAUAAGCAUAUUAUUAUGAGCCCUUUCUUUUGGUGGAAUUAAACCACCCAUUUAUCUAUAGUAACUAUGGUUGGAAUACCGGCCCCCCGUAUCCCGAACUAUCCAACCCAAGCAUUUCAUUAACCUUUCCUUUCGUAAAAUGAAAUUUAUUUUUAUGCAUGACCAUGAGACUCUAAUAUGAAAAUGACCACUUUACGACAUCACAAAUAUCAAUCAACGAAUCUACGAACACAAUACAAUUAUUCACAUAAAUAUACACAUAUACACGGCAAUCACACACAUAUUAUACACACACACACACACAUAUAUAUAUAUAAUCACUUAAGCAUAGCACAUAAUUCAGAAAAUUAUUAUAGCAUCAUAUUAUGUAUCUAUAUAUCAUAAAUCACACACACAACAACACACACACGGCAUACACACAUACACACAUAAACAUGCAGCCCCAAAACCCACUUCAAUUAGCAUUAAAUUAUCAAAGCAUGCCCUUAAAGCACCAACAUUUUUAUCUUUUCACUAAUGGGAUUUCUCCCACUUUUAUUCAUUAAAUGAAUUAAAAAUUCUUACAGCCCCUUAACAUAGUUCACAUUCUCACAAUUAAUACUCAAGGGAUAAUGAUUAAAACACAAAAGUUCCAUUUAUGACACAUGCACAACCAAUUUUUCGAAAUAAUAGCAAAUGGCAUCUAGAAAUUCUUAAAUUUAAAUAUUGGCUGCCUAACUGACUAACUGAACAGAUGCAAAAGUAAUUUUGCAUUUUCCUCAAAAAUCGAAUUUAUUAAAACACAAAAGUUCCAUUUAUGACACAUGCACAACCAAUAUUUCGAAAUAAUAGCAAAUGGCAUCUAGAAAUUCUCAAAUUUAAAUAUAGGCUGCCUAACUGACUAACUGAACAGAUGCAAAAGUAAUUUUGCAUUUUCCUCAAAAAUCGAAUUUAUAAAAAUUAAAUUACUCAACAAGUAGUGUUGAAGCCAAAAAGUGAUUUUUCCAACAAAUAUUAAUUCAAAACUGUGGCCGAAUAGAAACUAACAAAAUUCCACUUACUCCUAUUGAGAUUUUGAAGUUAAAAACAUUUUUCAUGCGGAAACUUCAAGAAAUUGCAGAUUAGCCCUAAAGAUUCAUAGAUCUACACAUGCAACCCCAAAAAUUCUUGAAAACUCAUUUUCUUUUUCCAAAAUUCCCGAAAUUCGAAAUAUUAAAUCUUUAACCACAAAAUACUUAGAUUCAUAGAUUAUAACAUGGAUUAGACAUGCAAUAAGGCAAAUAUCAAGAUUAGCACAAGAUGACGGAUUUUACACAAAAAACCCUAAUUUUCGAAAAGUGAGGAAAUCUUUUAAGUAGUUUUGAAAAUCCUUUUCCAUAUGAUACCCUUCAAUUGCUGCAAGAAAUUCGAGAUUUCUUACCUAAAAAAAGAGUGUUGGCCGAAGAAAAACCUUCAAAAUAAAAGAGGGUUUUUAGAUGAAGAAAAGAAGGAAGUAGAAAAUGAAGAAAACGAAGAUACAGUGUGACCUCCUUCAAGAAGUGGCUCCAAAAUUGAACCAAGCUAGUUUAAUGGAGAAGGUAAGAUCUUUGAUAUCAAGCUGGGAGGAGUUUUGAUCUCCCAUAAGAGGGCAAGUGUUUUUGAUGGUGUUAUUGGCAUAUUCAAUGGUGAAACUUAUAUAGGGAAUUUUAAUCUUGAUUUCUCUAUUUUUUUGAGGAAAAAAUGAGGUGGUGGCCGAUGGAGGUGGUGGUGCUUUGGUGGUGAUGGUGAAGGAGAGACAAAUGUCAAGUGAGGUGGAGGGAGAAGAAGAAGGAAGGGUGUCUCUUGAGAUGACUAAUCCACAUUGAGUGUCGGAUUAGUGUAAAUCAUCACAUUUGGCCAAGUGUACAAGCAUACUUCUUUCUAAUUUUAUUAUCUAAUAAAAAUAUCACUAAUCUCUCUCAUACACACAAAAACCGAACACACACACACAGGGGCGAGUCCACCCUUGGGCAAGGGUGGACUCAAGCCCACUCUCAUUUUAUUAUUUCCCCCCCUAUAUUAUACCAUAUUUCUAUUUAGCCCACCCAAAUUUUAUUUACUAGCCCACCCAAAAUUUCAUUUAAUGCAAAAGAAGCCCCAUAUUUUAUUAAUUAGCCUACCCAAAAUUUAAAUUAAUACAAAAAAGUCCCAAAUUUUAUUAAUUAGCCCCCCCAAAAUCCAAAUUAAUACAAAAAAACUCUAAAAUUUGUUUUUUCUUCUUUUUUUUUCUCGUUUCUCCUUUUCCUAUUUUCAAAAAAAUCCUAAAAAAAUCUCGGGGGCGCUGCCCCCGAACCCCCGAAAAUUGAAGCCCCCCAUGUACUGAAAUUAAGUUAGUGAGGUAAAUAAAUUCCUAAUAAUUCUUACGUGAGAAUUUUCGGAUUAUGGAAUUUCGGUUAGGGAUUAGGGUUUCGAAAAUGUGGGGUGUUACAUUGUACAAUCAUGUUAACCAAAUUAUAUAAAACAACGAAGAUUGCCUAUUUCUUAAUUAAAAAAUUCGAAUAUGAUUUUAGUCAAUUUAAUGUUGCUACUGCUAGUUUAGAUGUGGAGAGAGAGAGAGAGAGAGAGAGAGAGAGAGAGAGAGAGAGAGAGAGAGAGAGAGAGAGAGAGAGAAAUCGAAAAAUACAGAAAUAGAGAUAGAAAUAUAACGAAAGAGAGAGACGGGGAGUCGACUACAACGGCGGUGGCGAUGGACAUAUCUGAAAAAAACAAACUGAGAAAUCGAUAGAGAUAACGAAAAAGAGAAAAAAAAAAAAACCUUACCUGGAGACGAAAGAGGCGGUGACGGCAACGAGCGGCGACGAUGGUGGUGUAGAGAUCUAUGUGAAGACGAUGGUGGUGUAAAGAGAGAAAGAAAUCGAGAGUGAUAACGAGCAAGAGAGAAAUAUAUUUAUGUGGAGACGAAGGAGGAAGCGACCAAGGCAAUGAGCGGCGGCGGCGCGGAGGCUGCGGCAACGGCAGUGGAGGAAGGUUGGAAUUUUCGGAGAGAGUUGAGGGAGGUGGAGAGGUGGAUAAGAUGAAAGUGAUAGAGGUGUGCAAAUAAUUAGGGUUAUAGUAAUUGAGGGUAUAUUUGUCUUUUCACACUAGUAGAGGGGGUCUCACUUAUUAAGAAUGAAAUUCGGUGUAGGAAAAGUCUUUAAAAGUCAAUAGGGUUUAGUUCAAAAUAUUUUUCAUUUGAGGGAUGUAUUGCAUAUUUCACCUUUUUUUUUUUCUGAAAAAGUAAAUACCAAAAAAAUUGCAUUUGCUAUCGUGGGACUAGGGGUGGUAAAAGAGCCGAGCCGACUUGUGAGCUCGAUGAGCGCUCGAUAAAAGCUUAAACUUGGAAUUGAGUAUUUCGUGCUCGAGCUCGCAAGCUCGAGCUUUCUGACAAGUCGAGCUGGAGCCAAUUUUUAGAUGUUCAUGAGAGCCGGCUCGCGUGCCUUAUUUAUUAUUUAUUAUUUUUUUAUUGUUUUUUAUAUAUUAUUUUUUAUUAAUAAUGUAUAAUAAUGUAAAAUAUUACAGAAAUAAAUAAAACUAAAAAUUAAUAUUAAAAAAAUAUUUAAUUACAAUUUAUUGUUUAUUUUGGGGAUAAUUACACUUUUAGUCCCUAUACUUUACCACUUAUUCGUUUUUCGUCCCUAAACAAGUUGGAGUAACAUUAUCCAUCCCUAAACAUGCCAUUUUUCUGCUAUUUCCGUCCCUCCGUCAAUUUGGCUGGUUAGUUUGGACGGAAAAUAGCAUGUGCUUCGCACAUGAUACGUAAGAGCCAACCCCUCUUCAAUUUCAGAUUGCAUCUUCUUUCGAACAUAAUCCUUCUUUUCCAAAUUGCUAAUUUCUUUAAUAUCACACCCCUUUGGACUCAUAAAUAGCCUCGAUACAAAAAUCUGAUGCAAUGCAAUUUUUUUCCAUCAUACAAAAAUCUGAUGCAAUGCAAUUUCUACUUUGAAUUAAUAUAUUUUGAUUUGUUGAAUGAAAUUUAUAAUAUGUUAAGCUACUCAAAAAGAAUUCUUUGUUUUGUUACCUAUUGAGGAUUUGCACGAUUUGCAAUUCUAUAAACUUUAAUUUAGAUUGUCUACCCUUAUUAGUCAUUAUCUCCCCAACUGACUUUAACUACUCAUUUAAACAAAAAAAAAUGUCAUGGCCGGUGUAGGGGAUAUUAAAAAAACUGAUGUAGUUGCAUGUCUUGUAUAUUCAUUAAUCCACGCGCACAUAUUGAAAAAGGUUAUUUCACUGUAUGUUUUGAGUUCAAAUAUGAAAAUUUCAUGCAAAUUCGAAAUAAAUAUUAUUCAGCCGACAAUUGUAUCGUUUACAGUCUAUUCUGGUCAGAAUUUCCUCUUAAUUAGGUAUGGGUCUCUUGCAUGGUGGUGGUUCGUUUCCAAAGUUGAAAUGGGUAUUUUGGGAAUGUGCAUGGUGGCUCGUUUUCUCUAGCAAAGUUUAGAGAUGAGUUUUGCUGGGUGCCAAUGCAUGGGUAAUUUGAGUUAAUAAUAUGAGUUGGUUUCACUAAGCAUAUCAACAACAGCAUACACGUGAGUGGCCACGUGGAUUAAUCGUCCAUGUCAGCAUAUAUUGAGAUUUUCAGGUCCACGUCAGAUUUCCAUCCAAAGUAACAGCAAGAAUUAACGGCAGGACGGAAACUGCUAAAAAAUGGCAUGUUUAGGGACGAAUAAUGUCACUCCAACUUGUAAAGGGACGAAAAACGAAUAAGUGGUAAAAUAUAAGGACGAAAAAUGUAAUUAUCCCUUUAUUUUGCAAUUCUUUUUUAAAAUAAUUUUGAAUAAUAAUAAAAUAAUAAUAAAAAAUAUUUGAAAAAAAAAAAAAGAAAACCAAAAAAAUAAGUUUGGGGUCAAGCUCGACAAAAUGGACACAAGCUCGAACUCGAGCCAAAAAAUUAAGAACUCGACGAGCUCGAGCUCGGACCUGCCAAAAGAGGCGAGCUCGGCUCGUUCACACACCUACGUGGGACCCGUGAUUUUCACUAUCAACUCCAUUGGUCCAGAUUACUAGAAUUGUACAUUCGACACCAUUGUUCCUUAGAUUAAAAGUUGUCCAUCAAUAUCUUGAUGCCCUCUUCCACCACCACCACCACCAGGGGCGGAACAUGGGGGGGGGGGGGGGGGGGGGGGGGAUUAAAAAAAAUAUUUUUUGGUUCCCAAUCUUGUGUAAAUAUAAGUUUUAACCCUUCAUUUUUUUCUCUAUUUUAUGUAAAUUUAUAUACUUUUCCAUAUUUAUUAUUACAACAUAAAAUUAUUGUUAAAAUCAUCCCUUUUUGUAAUAUCCCACAUUUUCAAAACCCUAAAACCCGAAUUUAAUCCUCCUAACUCAAAUAUCCUUGUGUGAUAUUAUUAUGUGAAAGUCAACUUUUUAGUCAAGAAAAACAUUUUUUAGAUUUUUAUUUAUCAAAAAAUUCAAAACAUUUUAAAACUAUAAAAUAAUUUCAUAAACUUGAAACUUGAUCACUUAAGAGUUAUAAUUUAAUUUUAGAAUUUUUGGAAGUCCUUUACUAUUGUUAGAAUCCGAGAGGAUUCUGACUUUAUUUUUCCGCACGUGUGAAAAACAUGUGUCUAAAGCUGGGGAAGUUUCCUUAAUGCUUGAAACUCUUAUUUUGUCAUUAAUUUAUUUUAAUUGUGUGAGUCAUGUAUUAACAAGGAAUUUCCUUGACAAAGACUUUCCUUAUCACACAAUUCCUUUUCCUUACGUAAGAUUGAAACUAACCUAAUGGGCUCUAAUCUUUUGUAGGACUCUUCUAUUCAACCAAUGAAGUAUAAAUAUAGGAGCACCAGCGUGUUGUAACGUUGUCCUUUUUGUGAGAGAGAAAAAUAAUUUUCUACUCUUUUUACGUUGCUGCUCCUGAUAUUUGAUCUUUUUCGAGAAGAGAAAUUUAUUCAAAGGUUUGCUUCUUUCACGUGAAAAGAAGAUCGGUUCUUUGGGAGGAGAGCUUAGAAGAUCUCGGGAGGAGGUCGAUCCGCCGACUGAGGAAUUCGGCGUUGAAGGGUUUCCAACCGUGCGGAACAAGGGACGUGCUGCAAAGUCAAGAUUGAUAAUUCAGCGUAGUAUACAAGAACGGCAUCAACAAAGAGUGAGUCUUUGUAUUUUGAUUAAGUCCUAUUAUUGUAUUCGUAAAACUAAGAAAAAUAGUAAAUUUCAUUUGCAGGUCCCCGUGGAUGUAGGAUACAAUUGUAUCCAAACCACUUUAAAACUUGUGUCUUUUUAUUACUAUUUCAUUAACUGUUGCAACUCUAUGUAAAACAUUAAAACAAUAUCUAAAACUGAAUAUGGAAUUCAUCCGACACAAAUAUAUAAUUAAUUUGCACGAAAUAAUUCUAACAACUAUUAUUUCAAAAUUUAAUGGUUUAUGUGCAAUUUAUGUUGUUCUUGUGAUUUAAUUGUUACUUCUUGGCAUGGUGUGCUAUAAUGAUGAAUCAUGGGAUUAUACACUUUAAUUUACAGCAGGAACAUGUUUAAUAUGUUGUUGGAAUUUCUUGAGGUGAGUUAAAUGUCUAAAUGUGACAAGAAACUCAUUAAAAGUUUGAAAAGAAGUGCCUUUGCUUUACAAGCAUGAUUUGGCUAAUUAAUAUAUGUGUUGAUGAUGAUGGUUGCAUGGUAUGUGUGUGUCUAUGGUGUGUAUAGGUACGUGCACCGCGUGUGUGCAGUGUGUGUGUGUGAUUGAGAUACAUGAACGGUUAUUUAAUCAGUCUAUAUCAUGAUAGGUGAAUUAUAGAUGCUUAUGUAGUUAUGUGAUAAUUGUGAUAUUUAAGUGUUAAUUGCACGAGAUGUCCAUUUAGGAAGUCUAGCAUUCAUGUACUUCACGAGCUGUUGAAAGUUUGAACAAUUAACGAAAUACUUGGCUGAAUAAACAACGGAUACGGUUGGCCGGUAUCCAACUAGGUUAAGAAGGGUGGUUUGAAUCCACCAAGAACGGCUCGUAACGGUUUAUUGUCCGAGUAUGGAGAUUAAUAGUUCACGAAUCGGAUAAAACGAAAAAUAUUUUUACACAAUUUUCAUGCAAGGGCGUUUUAGGCAUUUUUGCAUAACAAUGUGUUUUACGUGAAAAUAAUGUGGUCUGUGACUUGUGUAAUUAUUCGAAUAUUAAGUUGUGCUUGGAUGAUGAAUGAAGGUGAUUAAAGUGAUGUGUAUAUAUAUAUAUAUAUAUAUAUAUAUAUAUAUAUAUAUAUAUAUAUAUAUAUAUAUAUAUAUAUAUAUAUAUAUAUAAAACCUAUUUCUAAAGUUCGAUAAUUACUCGAAUUUCUUACUGGGCUUUAUGGCUCAUAUAGAUAACUUUUGAUUGUAGGUAAUAGUAGUAGCAAUCCUUCAAUCCGUAGGAAUGGAUCGAGUAGCGUGUCGAGGUCUUUCCCGGGUUUCUUUGGACGUUCGUACGAGGGGUUCUAUAAGCGAUUCAUAAUUAUAUACAUUUUGGUGAUGUAUUAUAUAAAGACAAUUUCCUUCUCGUUUAUUUUGGUUACCGUAUUCCUCACUAGAGGAAUCAACUCUUUGGGUACAGAUAUUAUUUUGAAUCUUAUUCUAGAUCCGUUUAUAAUAAUAAAAUAGCAAUAAUAAAAUAGCAAGUUUUAUUUAUGUCUUUAAUUCUCACCAAAAAUAUUUCUAAAACUCUGAUUUCUAGUUCGAACCGAUAAUAAAAAGAUUUUUGAAUAGUGUAGCACUCGAAUAAAUUCCUUCUUUAAAAUGUUAUUUCAAAACAAGAAUUUGAACCGACUGGAAUCCUUCAAGACAAAUUUUUCGAAAAUGAUAAUGGUUUUGCACUAAAAAAUAUGGAUUUUAAAUGGCAGCAGUUUCGCUAAGUUUUAAAUUCACUACGAGGUCCAAAAUGCGUCUGCUAAAUAAGUGUAAUUCCGAUAAACCGGUUCGAUUUAUCGCCUAUAUGAGAGCAUGGUUUAUAGAAACUCGUAUGAACUUCACGGGCUUAAAGACUAUUCGAGACGUGAAACUCCACCCAUUGGGUAAUUAUGUGAAUUUAAUACCUUACGCGACCAGGGCGCUUCUCCCAAUGAACCCCAAGACCACAGCCUAACCAUUCUUAAUCUUUCACACUUUAUCCGAGAACAAGCCCAAAACCACCAACGUCAAUUCGAACAACUUCUCCAAUGUAACCAACCUCAAAUUAACGCGCCUCAAACUAUAUAUGAACGAUUCCUUAGAAUGAAUCCCACUGAAGUCGAUGGUGGUAUCGAUCCAGCCGUAGCCGAAGAAUGGAUCAAGUCUCUCGAAGUAAUUUACGACUAUAUGCAAAUGGCCAACCGUGAUCGAGUGCAUUGCGCCAUAUUCCUACUCCGGAAUGAGGCUCGUCAUUGGUGGGAAGGGAUCAAAGAAGGGACAAAUCUCAAAAAUCUUCAAUGGUCCGAAUUCAAAGUCCAAUUGUUCGAAAAAUAUUUCUCGAAAGAUUUACGAGCUCACAAACUCAAAGAAUCCCUCGAACUCCGUCAAGGAGACUUACCAAUGAUCGAAUACAUCCGUCGUUUCGAGCGUGGCUGCCUUUACGCACCAUUCAUUGCUCGAGACGCCGAGGAAAAGAAUAAUCAUUUCAUCCGUGGUUUACAACCCGAGAUCCGUAGAGAUAUCUGUAUGUGCGAAGAUUCAACUUUGCAACAAUUAGUGGACAAGGUCCUCAUGGCUGCCCAAGACAAGCAAGAAUUUUAAUUUCUAGAAUGUAAUUGAUUAUGUCAUUUAAUUCAAUUAUUUUUACCAACUAUCUUCUGAUAUUUUUUCUAUACCCUGAACUUUUAACAUUCAAAUAACAAUAAACAACUACAACAAUAAACAACAACUAAUAAAUUAAAUUAAGAAAAGAGUUUCACAACUUAAAAUAACAAACAAUAAACAACUAUUAAAAUAAAAUUAAGAAAACAGUUUCAAAUUAAAAUAAGAGUCUACAAAUAACUUAAAAUAAACAAAGUUUCACAAAAGAGUCUACAAAUAACUUAAAAUAACAAUAAAGAACAAUUAGUAAAUUAAAUUAAGACAAUAGUUUUAGAAAUUAAAAUAAAAGUCUAGGCAUCAUCCUCAUCAUCCUCAUCCUCGACGAUCCUCAUCCUCAUCCUCCUCCUCAUACUCCUCCUCAUACUCAUUCCUUCUCCCUUAGUUCUCGCAGACAGAUUAUAUUACACACUCCAAGACAUACACAAGCUUUGUCCUUGAACUUUUGAUUUUCUUGAUGAAUCUCGUAUAAUUAAUUUCAAAAAAACACAUUUAAUAUCCAUUUCGGAUGAUGGGAUUUCGGGUUUCCAAUUUAGAUUUUCUUUUGUAUUUGUUUCUCUGUUGGUGAUGUCAGGCAGGGUAUAUUGAUCACAUUUGCUAACUAUGUAAAUUAAUACAAGUAGCCCAUUCAUGUUUACAUUCUUUUCAAUUAUUUCUACCAUUCUAUACUCCAACUUACCAUUCUAACAACAAUAAACAAAACUAUUAAAAUAAAAUUAAGACUUAAAAUAAGAGUCUACAAAUAACUUGAAAUAACAAUAAACAACAACCUACUAUAUCAAAUUAAGCUAAGAGUUUCAGAAAUUAAAAUAAUUUCAGAAAUUGAAAUAAAAGUCUACACAUCAUCCUCGAUGAUCCUCAUCCUCAAUGAUCAUCCCCAUCCUCCUCCUCCUCCUCCUCCUCCUCCUCCUCCUCCUCCUCGUACUCGUACUCGUCCUCGUCCUCGUCCUCGUCCUCAUCCUCAUCCUCAUCCUCAUCCUCACCGUGGCGGCUUAUUUCAUGGUUCGUUAGAUUAUGUCUAUUCUCGAAAGUUUCGUUGCACACGAGGCAAGAAAAAUAGCCUACAAAAUCAAAACAUUAGUAAUUAAAAUUAAGAAAAAAAUCAAUGAAUAAAAAUAUCCGUAAACAGAAUUUUCUAUCGAACAAAUUAGCUAGCAUGCAUCUCGGUAUAUAGUAAAAUUAAUAGCAGCAAGUAUUUUCUGAAAAAUGCAAAAAUGCCCUUUAAAUUAUAAAAACCCUAAAUAGUCAACAAUCUGAAUUACGUUUAAGAGAUUACCUGGGCACGAAUCCCCCUCAGUCGGCUCCUCCUCAGUCGUCGGCUCCUCCUCACUCGGCUGCUCCUCCUCCUCCUGUGUCGUAUCCUCAUCCGCCGGCUUCGGGUCGGACCCGGGCGGAACCGGAUCAGAGGAAGCCGAAAGGGUGCGGCUCCCGCUGCUGCUACUACCUAGAACGCAUCAAAUAAAAAUAAUAAUUAAGUAGAAAUAUAAACAACUUUUUUAUAGAUAUUACUUUCUUACUUUUUUUGGGAAAACAAUUAAUAGCAAAAAGGGGGGUUUUGUCAAAGCUCCUAACCCGAAAAAGAAUAAAAAUAAAAUAAAAUAAAAAUAAAUAACUUAUUUAUAUUAAAAAAAAUUACUUUUUUUUUUGGAAUAGAAUUAAUACCAAAAAGGAAUAUUUGGCAAAUUUCGAAACUCGAAAAAAAAAUAUAUAAAAUAAAUAAAGAACUCAUUAAUUAAUUAGUUGGCCUUUUACUUUCUUUUCCUUUUUUUUUAGAAAAAAAAAAUAAUACCAAAAGAAGUUCUUAUACUAUUAAAUAAUUUACCAACUGAUCUUAAUGCUUUUGUCAAAGCUCGAAUCCCGAAAAUUUUCGACAUAGUGAAAAGAGAGCGAGAGAGAGGAGAAUAGCAAAUAGUAAAAAUGCAGCUUAAUAAAAUUCACAUGAGUAUGGAGUUUCACUUGUCAUGAAUAAUAAAGUUUUUAGUGUGAGAACCCCAAAAAUAAUAUUGUUCUAAAGUUUUAUUAGAAAGAGAUAAUCAGAGCGUUGAAUUUAUGUCAUUAAAAAUGAUAACAAUAAUGUUAUAAUAUAUUCUAAAGUCUUAUCAAAUAUUACAACAACUAUACAUUUCUUAAUCCAGUUUUGAAAUAGUGUUAUAGUUGAAGUUAUUUAGAUGUCUUCUAAUAAAAUAAUAUAUAUAUAUAUAUAUAUAUAUAUAUAUAUAUAUAUAUAUAUAUAUAUAUAUAUAUAUAUAUAUAUAUAUAUAUAUAUAUAUUAAUUUUGGUUGAGUGUAACAAAUUUAAAAUAAAUAACUAGGUUUUGCAAUGUAAUUUCCAAAAUUAUUCUACAACAUUAAUAAAAAGCUCUAAUAAACAUAUUCUACUAUGUGUUUAGAAGGCUAAAAUUAAUAUUUCCAUGUUAUGUAUUGUUAGGUUAUUUUAAUAAAAAUAAUAUAUUUUAUAAUAAUGGCUUGACCACUUUUAUGAGGUCAUUUCGACCACUAUGUUGAAACCUCAAAAAACAUUAUUUCAGAGGCUACCUAUACGCCCCAUUCAUCGCUCGAGAUGUCGAGGAGAAAAACAACCAUUUUAUUCGCGGUCUCCAACCCAAAAUCCGUAGAGACAUUCGUAUGUCUGACGCCUCGACUUUCCGCCAACUUGUAGACAAAGCGCUCAUGGCUGCCCAAGACGAGGGAGAAAUUCAAAACAAAAGCGGACCGCCACCGAAUUUCCAACGCCCAUGGGAAAAGAACAACUUUGGCAACCGCCCAUUCCGAGGGAAAGUAACGCAACCCCUUCGCAAAUCAACCGGACCACCACCACCGCCGCCAAGGCCAACCUGCCCAAGGUGUGGAAAGAGUCACUUCGGAGAAUGCAUACAAGGAACGAGGAAUUGCUUCCGAUUCCAUCAGCCCGGACACAUGGUAAAAGACUGUCCAAAACCUCCACCGAACGUCCCCGGUCGAGUGUUCGCCAUGACUCUAGAACAAAUCGAGCAAGACCCGUCUAUGAUAGCAGGUACCACAUUUACCCUCGAAGAACCAAUAUAUGCUCUAAUCGAUUUCGGCUCUACUCAGUCCUUUAUAUCAAAAGACAUAAUUGCUCACUUAAAUCUCGAACCGAAUCGACUAAAUUACGAAUACCUAAUUCUCAUUCCCUUUGGCAAAGAAAUGUGCUCCAAUCUAGUCAUAAUCAAUUGCCCAAUCAAAGUUCACACCCAACCCAUGAAUUUCGAUUUAAUCCUCCUACCAAUCCAAAACAUCAAAGUUGUACUAGGCAUGGACUGGUUAACCAAAUUCAAAGCCCAAAUCGAUUGUGCCUAAAAAACGGUUAUAAACCCUUCCGAACGGCGAAACCCUAAAAUUCCGAAGUCAACCAAAAACCUCGAUUCCAAUCAUCUCCGCGAUCAAAGCAGUCAAACUUAUUCACAAGGGUCAUUCCGGCUACUUAGUGGAUAUUCUGAAAUCUGAAUCCGAUCCCAAAGCCCAAAUUUCCGAAAUUCGAGUUGUCGAAGAAUUCCCCGAUGUGUUUCCCAAUGACAUUCCUGGACUUCUACCCGAUCGAGAAAUUGAGUUUGAAAUCAACCUCAUCCCCGAAGCUACGCCAAUUUCCAAAGCCCCGUACCGUAUGGCCCCGAUGGAAUUAAAGGAGCUGAAGGACCAAGUUCAAGAAUUGCUCGACAAGGGUUAUGUUCGACCCAACCAUUCCCCGUGGGGCGCACUGGUUUUCUUUGUCAAAAAGAAAGACGGAUCCCUUCGCCUUUCCAUCGAUCACCGUGAACUCAACAAAAUCACAAUCAAGAAUAAAUACCCUCUUCCUCGAAUCGAUGAUCUUUUCGACCAACUCCAAGGCUCAUCGGUCAUCUCUAAAAUCGACCUUAGAUCCGGUUACCACCAACUCAAAAUCAAAGAAUCCGAUAUUCCCAAAACAUCUUUCAGAACCCGGUAUGGCCACUACGAAUUCGUUGUCAUGCCCUUCGGUCUAACCAACGCACCCCCAGCUUUCAUGGACCUUAUGAACCGAGUCUUUCAUCAAUACUUGGACAAGUUCGUAAUUAUAUUGUCUUCAUCGACGACAUUCUCAUCUACUCCAAAACCCAAAAAUAACAUAUGGCACACCUUCGCACCGUACUCCAAUCUCUCCGAUCGCAUCAGCUAUAAGCCAAAUUCAGCAAAUGCGAAUUCUGGCUAUCAAGUGUGGCUUUCCUUGGUCACAUUGUUUCAGAAAAAGGAAUCUCCGUCGAUCCUAGCAAGAUAGAAGCGGUGUCAAAUCGGCCAAUUCCGAAGAAUACAAAGGAAAUCCGAAGCUUCCUUGGACUAGCCGGUUACUACCGCAAAUUUUUUAGAGAUUUCUCGAAGCUUGCCUCUCCACUCACCCGAUUAACUCGAAAAGACGUCAAGUACUAAUGGACGCCCGAAUGCGACGCCAGUUUCACCGAAUUAAAGACUCGACUCACCUCGGCAACAAUUUUCGCACUACCAGAGAAAUUCGGAGAAUUCAUAGUCUACAGCGACGCCUCGAAAUUAAGAUUAUGCGCCGUAUGUUGGGGAUCGUGCAUGUAUACGCAGCGGAAUUUAAAAAUUUUAUAUCGAACUAGUUUCGAUCACAUGCAUAAACUAAUCACAUAGUCAACGUACCUUAACGCUUCCGCCAUACAUAUGGUAAUUUUCGAUUUAAUUGAAAAAUACAUAAAACCGAAAAACACGAAACAUGAUUAUUCAUCAUUCAAUGAAAUCGAAACACGUAAUCAUAUAUUACACACAAUCAUAAAUUAUAAUUCAUACAAAAAACAUGCUCGAAUUAAUUUACGAAAGUUUCGAUUCAUCUACCUCUUGUAGCGUGCGAUUUCGACGAAUCGAAAUCCUAGAACGAGUCACGUACAAGCUGCUAAUUACCAAUCCACGGGGCAGCAACUCACGGCUGGACCAAGCUGAUCCAGCAGGCGACGAACGGCGGUGAACGGCAGCAGCAGCGGCGGCGCGUGGCAGCGGCAGCGGCGGCGCGUGAGCGGCGUAUCGGCGCGUGCGGCGGUGCGUGGAUUCGUCGGGGCAGCAGCUCCUCUCCAAUUAGGUUUCACCUCGUAUUUUCGACCCACUCGAACUACAGCACUAGAUGUAAACGAGUUAGAUAACAACACGAAUAAAACGAGGGAGAAAGAAGAGAAAACCGGCGGUGUUUCCGGCGGUGGUCGGCGGUGGCGCGCCGGGGCAGGGACGGCCGAAGAGGGGAGCGGCUAGGGCUUGAGCGGCUAGGGUUUUGUGCUAAAAAAUCUGAUCUCAAAACUCUUUUUGAGGUCUAUUUAUACUUAGGGUUUUCAACCCUAGUGGGCUUAAGUCAUUGGGCUUGACCCACUGAUGCAUUAAGCCCAUUCCCUCGUCGGCCUCGUUUCUAACAAACGAUCGUUCACAAAAUUAUAACAAAAUUAUAUUUGUGACGAGCUCAAAGUCCUCGUCGAUACGAGUGCCUCUUCGAAAUUUCCAAUUUCCAAAAUUGGAAACUUCCACUUCAGUGGACUUGCUAAAUCGGGAAACUUCCCAAUUUAGAAAGUUCACUAAAUUCCGCAUGUCUCUCUUUCUCUACGUUUAUUCCAAUUCGCAAUCCACAAUUACGAAUCUUGGAUUCAAUCAUAUUGACAUCCAAUCGUUCAAAGAUUAACACAUUAAUCUAUGUUUGUUGUUAUCAAGGAUCUAUAUUACACGAAAAGUGUGACCCUCAAUGGUUCAGGUGUAUGCUAGCCGUGGGCUCACAACUCUUUGUGAUUCGAACAACACAUUGUUCUUAUACGAACUCCUCCCAAGAGUCCCGAUUAGAGUAAAACUCAUUUUACCUAAUCCCGAUCAAAUCGGUGCCCAACGAAUCAAGAUUGGCGUCUAGCAACUACGCAUCAUGAUUCCCUAGAUACAAAUGAAGUGCCUGCAAGAACCUUAUGAUAUAGUUAGCGUACAGUACGAUCCCUUCGUAGCACAUGUCCCGAUUGAACUAGAGGCAUUGGUUCACCGAGACCUCUUAUAAAGUUCAAUAACCGUGCGAACGUUCUAGGUAUUAUAAAUCCGUUCGUGUGCGACUUAGGGAAACACAUUUCCCUAAUCACCCCACUAUCAACUCUGGCCAGAGAUUCCAUGGAUUAUAAACCGUCAGAACACACAGGACAUCCAUGACUACUCAAGCGCUCGAAUCCCCUACUACAAUACACAGACUUCACACUAGAUUUCGGAUUGCACGAAUGUUGGCCCUUGGUGUGGUCCGCGGUGGGACUCAGGGACAGGUCACGAUACAAUCGGUCCUCUAGUGAAGUCACGGUGAUGUCUGGGUCUUAAGGACUAAUGGUGUACAACUAUAUCUUAGAAACCUAUUACUCGAUGAAUGAGAACCACUUAUAGAUUUCUAGGGCGAGGGAGUUCAGUGAACUCAUCCAGUAUGAGCACCCACUCAAGUAUGCCGAUGUCACAACACCGAGGACUGAUGAGACGCAGUACACAUACACUAAGUGCUAGUCUCAAAAGGGAAAGGCCGGUAUCCUCAUUAUUGGCGUAACCCAUCGACUAGGAACAAGGUUUAACAGUUACAUUACAUUGCUGAGUUAUCUCACGAUUCUACUAGAUCAACUCACAGUAAUAGAGUAACUCGUUAGGACUAUAUCUAUGCUGCUUGCAUGGGAUAACAGAUAUAGAAUGCCAAAUAAGAUAUUUUAUUAUUACGAACGAAAAACGAUUGUUUUAUUACAAGGAAAAGAGAAAGACCACAGCCACAAGUUGGCUUGUUGGUCACCUACUCUAACAAUCUCCCACUUGACCUAAAGCCAACUACUCAUAAAUCUAAGUCCCAUCGACUCUCGAUGUUUCUCGUGGACUGAUCCUGACAAUGGCUUGCUAAAGGGAUCUGCAAUAUUGUCCUCCGAGGUGACUCUGUCUAGCUUGACUUCACCUCUCUCUAUGAUCUCUCGGAUCACAUGGUAUUUUCUCAACACGUGCUUCGACUUCUGAUGAGCUCUUGGUUCCUUAGCUUGCGCUACGGCUCCGUUGUUAUCGCAGUACAGCCGUACUGGAUCGCUAGCGUUCGGAAAUACACCCAACUCUUGGAUGGAUUUCCUAAUCCAUGACCCUUCCUUUGAAGCAUCUGAUGCUGCAAUAUAUUCAGCCUCGGUGGUGGAAUCAGCCGUCGUGCCUUGUUUGGAACUCUUCCAACACACGGCACCCCCGUUGACUUUGAAUAUAUACCCCGAAUUUGACUUUGAGUCAUCCACGUCCGAUUGAAAACUAGAAUCCGUGAAGCCUUCUAAUUUCAACUCGGUAUCCCCAUAGACCAAAAACAAAUCUCGAGUUCUUCGCAAGUACUUGAGAAUGUCCUUCACAGCCUUCCAAUGGGCUAGGCCGGGGUCGGACUGAUAUCUGCUUGUGACGCUCACAGCAUACGCAAUAUCAGGUCGUGUACACAGCAUGCCAUACAUUAUGCUUCCUAUAGCGGAUGCAUAAGGUGUCCUUUUCAUCUCCUCGAUUUCCAUUUGCGUUUGUGGACGCAUGGAUUUCGAGAGACGAACCCCAUGGGACAUUGGCAAGAAUCCCUUCUUGGAUUCUUCCAUGCUAAACCGUUUAAGAACGGUGUCUUUGUACAUGGAUUGGGACAAGCCAAGCAAUCUCCUCGAUCUAUCUCUAUAGAUCCGUAUUCCUAAUACGUAGGAUGCUUCUCCCAAAUCCUUCAUCGAGAAACGUGUGGAUAACCAUACUUUAGUUGACUGCAACAUCCCUACAUCAUUCCCAAUGAGUAGUAUGUCAUCAACAUAAAGUACAAGGAAAGUCACUGCACUCCCACUAACCUUCUUGUAGACACAAGGUUCCUCCGGGUUUUUCACAAAUUCAAACUCUUUGAUAGUUGUGUCGAACCUUUUGUUCCAACUACGGGAUGCUUGUUUCAAUCCAUAAAUGGAUCGCUGGAGUUUGCAAACCUUUUGCUCAUCUCCAGAAGAUAUGAAGCCUUCCGGCUGCGCCAUGUAAAUUUCUUCCUCAAUGUCCCCAUUAAGGAAAGCGGUCUUCACAUCCAUUUGCCAUAUCUCGUAGUCAUACCACGCAGAAAUGGCCAGCAAAAUCCUAAUGGACUUAAGCAUAGCAACUGGAGAGAAGGUUUCCUCAUAGUCAACUCCUUGCUUUUGAGUAUAACCCUUCGCUACCAAUCUAGCCUUGUAGGUCGAUACCUUUCCAUCUACUCCAAUUUUCUUCUUAUAGAUCCACUUGCAGCCUAUGGGAACAAUUCCCUCGGGUGGAUCUACCAAGGUCCAUACCUUGUUGGAGUACAUAGAGUCCAUUUCGGAUUUCAUGGCAUUUAGCCAAUGUCCCUUGUCUGUAUCCGAUACAGCUUCGUUGAAAGUUCUAGGAUCACAUCCUUGGUCAACUUCAUCAACGAGGAAUAACCUAUCGGGCGCUCUUCGAACUCUUUCGGAUCUACGCAGCGACGGUUCAGGAGGUAUGUUAGUGGUUUGUUGAAUUGGUUCAUUAUCUGAUUGUUGUGCUUGAACUUCAGAUUGUGGUUCUCGAACUUCUUCGAGAUCAACUACACUGCCCUUUCUAUCCGAUAGAAAUUCCUUCUCAAGGAACACGGCAUUUCUCGAGACGAACACCUUUGCCUCGGAAACAUAGUAGAAUUCGUAUCCCAUGGAAUCCUCGGGAUACCCCACAAAAUAGCAUAGGUCGGAUUUUCCAUCCAACUUAUCUCCCACUAGCCGCUUCACGUAAGCGGGACAACCCCAUAUCCUAAUAUGUUUAAACGUGGGUUUCUUGGAGUGCCAAAGUUCAUAAGGUGUUGAGUUAACUGCUUUGGUAUUAACCCUAUUCAGCAAAUACACGGCAGUUAGGAGUGCAUGACCCCACAGGUAUGCCGGUAGCUCGGUGAACCCCAUCAUAGAUCGAACCAUGUCUAACAGUGUUCGAUUCCGACGUUCGGAAACUCCAUUAAGUUGAGGAGUUCCAGGAGGAGUCCAUUGAGACAGAAUCCCAUUCUCUUUAAGAUAGUCUAUAAACUCAGUACUUAAGUAUUCACCACCACGAUCGGAUCGUAGUUUCUUAAUACGUCUACCGAGUUGGUUUUCUACUUGGUGUCUAAAAUCUUUGAACUUUUCAAAAGUUUCAGACUUAUACUUCAUUAAGUACACGAAACCAUACCUAGAAUAAUCAUCGGUAAAGGUAACGAAGUAGUUAAAACCACCCCUAGCACUAACGCUUAGUGGACCACACACGUCUGAAUGGAUCAAAUCCAAAAGACCCUCGGCCCGUUCCAUCUUCCCUUUGAAGGGAGUCUUGGUCAUUUUUCCUUUAAGGCAGGAUUCACAAGUUUGAAGUGAUUUAACGUCCUCCAAGGAGAACAUUCAUUCACUAACAAACUUGUUCAUCCUUCUCAAGGAAAUGUGACCUAGUCGAGCGUGCCAAAGUUGUGCGGGGUUAAGACUCAUAUCUUUUCGUUUUGCUGAUAUAAUGUUAAUAGGUAUUUCACUUGGAUUCAGUUCAUAUAAGUUGUUUAUAAGUUGUCCCUUACAAAUCAUAUUUUGUUCCUUUUGUAUAAUGCAAAUCGAAUUUCCAAAAACAAAAGUAAAACCUUCAUUAUCCAAAACAGGAAUAGAAAUAAGGUUUCGAAUAAGUGACGGAACAAAUAAACAAUUGUUCAAAACAAUGGAAGAACUAGAAUCCAAAACAGAAAGAUAAAUUGUCCCAAUGGCUUCAGCAGCAACCCUUGCUCCGUUGCCCAUUCUUAGGUAGGUCUCACCCACAUUAAGCCUCCUACUUCUUGUCAUGAGCUGCAAAUCAUUACAAAGAUGUGAGCCACAACCAGUAUCCAAUACCCAAGCAGAAGAUUUAACGGACAAAUUAACUUCAACUAAAUACGUACCCUUUUCAGAACGUUUCUGAUCGAGGCCAAUGGCCCUUCUUUCCACAAUGAUGGCAAGCGUCAUCAACUUGCUUGGUGACCUUGUCAUUCUUCACUCCGCUCGACUCGCCCUUCUCAAGUUUCUUGCUCGGGCCGAAACUCCUUUCUUUCCUUUUCUUCUGGAAAGAACCUUUCUUUGCAGAAGGAGCAACUAGGAGAACAUAUUUCUCCUUCUUGAUUGUGGACUCAUAGCUGACCAACAUGUUCAACAACUCAUCCAAUGGUGGAUCGAGCUUGUUCAUGUUGAAGUUCACUAUGAACGAUUCAUACGAACUAGGAAGGGACAGUAGGAUCAAAUCCACCGAGAGCUCGGCCGGGAGGGUGACAUCAAGGCUCACCAGCUUCUCAAGGAGAGUGAUCAUCUUGAGACCGUGCUCGUGGACCGAAGCCCCUUCACGCAGCCUCAUGGUGAUCAACUCCUUGGUAGCUGAGUACCUCGAUGCUCUAGUAUUCUCACUGUACAUGCUUUCAAGAUGAUGCUUGAUAUCGUAAGCAUGCACGUGAGACUCAUACUUCCUCGCGAGCUCCGGCACCAUGGAUGCUAGCAUGUAGCACCUCGCAUGGAGGUCGUCCUUCUUCCAUGCCUCGAAAGUGGCAGUCUCGUCAGCAGUAGCAGUCGCAGGAAGAGCAGCGGGGGGACGUUCAUUGAGCACAUAGAGACGGUCCUCAACUUGGAGCACAAGUUUCAGAUUUCGAAGCCAAUCCAAAUAGUUUGGACCGGUGAGUUUGUUUUGGUCGAGGAUUGAGGAAAGGGGAUGUUUGGACAUGGUUGCUGAGAAAAUUUGAAGAAGACAAUAAUUAGAGUUUAGUUCGUAAUAAUCGUUACAAUUAAAAUUUUGGACUUUUGUGUUUUAAUUGUUCUCCCACUAAUUUUAUCGAAUUCCACCACCCUCUAGCAGACAAUCGAGAAAACUUAUUUUUCUUUAAUGGGCUUUAGGUCCAAUAGCGCUAAUGUAACCCGUAGUUAAUCUAUCUCGAUUACAUAAGCCUAAAGGUAGAGUACUAUCAAUCACAUCACUAUGUGACCCUAAAGAUUUAUUUACCUCACACUUGAUAAUGACCUAAGUUAAUCUAGCGAAUAUCAAAAUCUUCGUGUGUCAAGUCUAGCCUACCAAUAUGAGAUGUCAUAGAUCCAAUUAUAUCAAACUAAUGCAAUCCCUAGUUAAUCUAGCCGACCACAUUAAUCCAACAUAAUUUUAUCUAUGACCGUAUCUCCAUCUAAUGUCAAUUAAAUUACAGCUUAUCCCACAAUAGCACUCCCCGCUAACACGGCUUACUGCACUAUUAUGAGAGGCUACACAUAAUUUAAUUGUUGGUAGAAGGAAAGAAAAAUUCAACAAUUUGAUUUUUCUUUAUAGCUUGAUAAUUAUUCUUGAUUAAGAAUGAGGGAUUUUAUUUAUUAAAUCUUAUUAGCUCAUCGGAAGUUUUAGGUUAUGAUCGUUUGUGAUUCCUACAACUAUGUUCUCUAGGUAUGUGGAAACGCAUAUGGGUCCUAAGAGAGACAUACGAUCAUCAUCGUACUUAAUCACAAUUAUUCAUCUCAUGAAUUAAUAAAUUAAUACGAUUAAUUGCAAAUACAAUUAACGGACUCCCUUCAUUCAUAAAUCAUUCAAAUAAGAAUGAAGUCCAUUAAUUAUUUGCCAUCCAAUUUGUGUUCCAUUAAUUAAACUAAUUUAACGAUUAAAUUAAAUAAUUAAUCCAACACUAUUCUUUGAAUUCAAAUUAAAUUAAUGGAUCAAUUAUCUAAUUGGGUUUAAUUGAUAAAUAAUUUCAAAAAUUAAAAAUCAAUUAAUUUUAAUAUUAAUUCUCAGAAAAUCGAAUAAAUUUUUUUUUUUUUUUUUUUUUUUUUUUACAUUUUCUGAAAUAUUCAAAAUAUUUAAUUAACAUUAAACCACCCAAUUUGAUAACACCAAAAAUUCAACAAUUCAACAAAUCGAAGCAUGCUUUCGAAAGCGAUAAACACGUUGACAAAUAAACGAUUAACCCGUGGCUCUGAUACCACUGUUGGGGAUCGUGCAUGUAUACGCAGCGGAAUUUAAAAUUUUUAUAUCGAACUAGUUUCGAUCACAUGCAUAAACUAAUCACAUAGUCAACGUACCUUAACGCUUCCGCCAUACAUAUGGUAAUUUUCGAUUUAAUUGAAAAAUACAUAAAACCGAAAAACACGAAACAUGCUUAUUCAUCAUUCAAUGAAAUCGAAACACGUAAUCAUAUAUUACACACAAUCAUAAAUUAUAAUUCAUACAAAAAACAUGCUCGAAUUAAUUUACGAAAGUUUCGAUUCAUCUACCUCUUGUAGCGUGCGAUUUCGACGAAUCGAAAUCCUAGAACGAGUCACGUACAAGCUGCUAAUUACCAAUCCACGGGGCAGCAACUCACGGCUGGACCAAGCUGAUCCAGCAGGCGACGAACGGCGGUGAACGGCAGCAGCAGCGGCGGCGCGUGGCAGCGGCAGCGGCGGCGCGUGAGCGGCGUAUCGGCGCGUGCGGCGGUGCGUGGAUUCGUCGGGGCAGCAGCUCCUCUCCAAUUAGGUUUCACCUCGUAUUUUCGACCCACUCGAACUACAGCACUAGAUGUAAACGAGUUAGAUAACAACACGAAUAAAACGAGGGAGAAAGAAGAGAAAACCGGCGGUGUUUCCGGCGGUGGUCGGCGGUGGCGCGCCGGGGCAGGGACGGCCGAAGAGGGGAGCGGCUAGGGCUUGAGCGGCUAGGGUUUUGUGCUGAAAAAUCUGAUCUCAAAACUCUUUUUGAGGUCUAUUUAUACUUAGGGUUUUCAACCCUAGUGGGCUUAAGUCAUUGGGCUUGACCCACUGAUGCAUUAAGCCCAUUCCCUCGUCGGCCUCGUUUCUAACAAACGAUCGUUCACAAAAUUAUAACAAAAUUAUAUUUAUGACGAGCUCAAAGUCCUCGUCGAUACGAGUGCCUCUUCGAAAUUUCCAAUUUCCAAAAUUGGAAACUUCCACUUCAGUGGACUUGCUAAAUCGGGAAACUUCCCAAUUUAGAAAGUUCACUAAAUUCCGCAUGUCUCUCUUUCUCUACGUUUAUUCCAAUUCGCAAUCCACAAUUACGAAUCUUGGAUUCAAUCAUAUUGACAUCCAAUCGUUCAAAGAUUAACACAUUAAUCUAUGUUUGUUGUUAUCAAGGAUCUAUAUUACACGAGAAGUGUGACCCUCAAUGGUUCAGGUGUAUGCUAGCCGUGGGCUCACAACUCUUUGUGAUUCGAACAACACAUUGUUCUUAUACGAACUCCUCCCAAGAGUCCCGAUUAGAGUAAAACUCAUUUUACCUAAUCCCGAUCAAAUCGGUGCCCAACGAAUCAAGAUUGGCGUCUAGCAACUACGCAUCAUGAUUCCCUAGAUACAAAUGAAGUGCCUGCAAGAACCUUAUGAUAUAGUUAGCGUACAGUACGAUCCCUUCGUAGCACAUGUCCCGAUUGAACUAGAGGCAUUGGUUCACCGAGACCUCUUAUAAAGUUCAAUAACCGUGCGAACGUUCUAGGUAUUAUAAAUCCGUUCGUGUGCGACUUAGGGAAACACAUUUCCCUAAUCACCCCACUAUCAACUCUGGCCAGAGAUUCCAUGGAUUAUAAACCGUCAGAACACACAGGACAUCCAUGACUACUCAAGCGCUCGAAUCCCCUACUACAAUGCACAGACUUCACACUAGAUUUCGGAUUGCACGAACGUUGGCCCUUGGAGUGGUCCGCGGUGGGACUCAGGGACAGGUCACGAUACAAUCGGUCCUCUAGUGAAGUCACGGUGAUGUCUGGGUCUUAAGGACUAAUGGUGUACAACUAUAUCUUAGAAACCUAUUACUCGAUGAAUGAGAACCACUUAUAGAUUUCUAGGGCGAGGGAGUUCAGUGAACUCAUCCAGUAUGAGCACCCACUCAAGUAUGCCGAUGUCACAACACCGAGGACUGAUGAGACGCAGUACACAUACACUAAGUGCUAGUCUCAAAAGGGAAAGGCCGGUAUCCUCAUUAUUGGCGUAACCCAUCGACUAGGAACAAGGUUUAACAGUUACAUUACAUUGCUGAGUUAUCUCACGAUUCUACUAGAUCAACUCACAGUAAUAGAGUAACUUGUUAGGACUAUAUCUAUGCUGCUUGCAUGGGAUAACAGAUAUAGAAUGCCAAAUAAGAUAUUUUAUUAUUACGAACGAAAAACGAUUGUUUUAUUACAAGGAAAAGAGAAAGACCACAGCCACAAGUUGGCUUGUUGGUCACCUACUCUAACACCGUACUCAUGCAAAAUGGGAAAAUCAUUACCUACGCCUCACGACAACUCAAAGAGUACGAACGCAAUUAUCCAACGCACGACCUCGAAUUAGCCGCCGUCGUUUUCACACUCAAGAUCUGGCGACACUAUUUCUAUGGUGAAAAAUGUACUAUCUACACCGAUCACAAGAGUCUUAAAUACUUCUUCACUCAGAAGAAUUUGAACAUGAGGCAACAUAGAUGGCUCGAACUAGUCAAAAAUUACGACUGCGAGAUACUCUACCACCCCGGCAAAGCAAAUGGGGACGCCGACGCACUUAGACGCAAAUCAAUCAACACCCUCAUAGUCCAACCUAACUUGGGAGAAUCAAUCAAAUCCGCCCAACAAAAUGAUCCGCAAAUUCUCAAAAUUCGCAAUAACCUCGAACCCAAUUCAGAAUUCUGAAUCACCGAAGAAGGUCUCAUCCGAUUUCAAAAUCGCAUCUACGUCCCCGACGAUCCAAAUGUUCGCCGACUAAUCUUAACUGAAGCUCACCAAACCACGUACACUUGCCACUCCGGAGAAACCAAGAUGUACCAAGAUCUUAAAAAUCUCUACUAGUGGCCUGGAACGAAGAAAGAUGUGGGCCGAUUCGUCGUCGAAUGCCUGGUGUGCCAGCAAGUCAAAGCGGAACAUCAAAGGCCCGAAGGUCUACUUCAAUCAAAGCUAAUUCCGGAAUGGAAAUGGGAAGCUGUUACGAUGGACAUCGUGCAAGGAUUUCCGAAGACCCCAAGGGGAUCCGACGCCAUUUGGGUGAUCGUUGACCGACUGACCAAAAUGGCUCAUUUCCUUCCGGUCCGAAUGACCUUCAGUUUAGAGAAGCUGACCGAACUAUACGUGUGAAAUAGUCCGACUCCACGGCGUCCCCAUCUCCAUUAUCUCCAACCCAGACCCUCGAUUUACGUCAAAAUUCUGGAAAAGAUUACACGAAAUCCUCGGAAUGCGGUUAAACUUUAGCACCGCCUAUCACCCCCAAACUGAUGGCCAAUCCGAACCAACUAUCAAAACCCUAGAAGACCUUCUCCGCGCUUGUAUUCUCGACUUUGGAAGAAAUUGAGAAUCCCGCCUCCCACUAAUCGAAUUCGCGUACAACAAUAGUUUUCACAUCAAUUGGAAUGGCACUCUACGAAGCUCUUUACGGCCGCAAGUGUAGGUCCCCGUUUCAUUGGGACAAAAUUGACGAAAGAAAAUUCCUUGGUCCCGACCUAGUCCAACAAACCGUCGAAAUAAUAAAAAAUAUUCGAGAGAAAAUGCGAAUCGCCCAAGAUCGGCAACAAAGCUAUGCCAACACUCGAAGGAGAGACCUCGAAUUCGUUGUUGGAGACUUCGUAUUCUUAAAAAUGGCGCCUUUCAAAGGAGUUAUGCGAUUUGGGAAAAAGGGAAAAUUAGCACCGCGAUUUAUUGGUCCAUUUGAAAUUAUAGACAAAAUUGGUACUCGAGCCUACCGACUAGCCUUACCACCCAAUUCAUCAAACUUUCACAAUGUCUUUCAUGUUUCCAUGCUUCGGAAGUACAUUCGCAAUCCAGACCACGUAUUGAAAACCGAACCAAUCAAACUAAACCCUAAUCUUUCCUACGAAAAGACACCUUCCCAAAUACUUGAUUCCAAAACCAAAACCCUUCGAAACCCGAAAUUAAUAUUCCUAACUCGAAAACCCUAAAACCCGAAACCCGAAAUUAAUAUUCCUAACACCCCACCUUCCCAAAACCCUACAACCCGAUAUUAAUAUUCCUAACUCGAGAAUCCUUAGGUGAUAUUAUUACGUGAUAUCAAUUAUAUGACUUACGUGAAUAAUUACAUGCAUUAUUUAAUUAUUUGAAAUAUGGUGAUUACAUGAAAUUCAUUUGUGAAAUUCGUGAGUAUAUGUGAAUUACGUAAAUCUAAUUAUGUGGCUUAUGUGAAUAAUUACAUGUCUUACUUGGUAGAUUACUUUUAUAUGUUCGAAAUUUGGUGACUUAUGUGAAUUGUAUUUUAUGAUAUAGUACUACAGUGUGAUUAUAUAAUAUACGUCCAUACGUACACUACAUGCAUACAUAUAUACAUUUUAAUGCAUAUAUAUAUAUAUAUAUAUAUAUAUAUAUAUAUAUAUAUGUGUGUAUAUAUGUGUGUGUGUGUGUGUGUGUGUAUGUAUAUAUAUAUAUAUAUAUAUAUAGCUAUAUCUCUAGAUAUAUAUCUAUGAAUAUAUCUAUAUCUAUAUCUCGCCAUAUAUACAUAGAUAAAGAUACAUCUAUAGACAUAUAUCUAUACACAAAUAAAUAGACGUCUUCUCUUUUUUCUCUCGAAACCACCACCUCGACCGCCCGCCCUCUCUUCAUCCACCUCUACAUCUANNNNNNNNNNNNNNNNNNNNNNNNNNNNNNNNNNNNNNNNNNNNNNNNNNNNNNNNNNNNNNNNNNNNNNNNNNNNNNNNNNNNNNNNNNNNNNNNNNNNACAUAUAUAUAUAUAUAUAUAUAUAUAUAUAUAUACAUAUAUAUAUAUAUAUAUAUAUAUAUAUAUAUAUAUAUAUAUAUAUAUAUAUGUGUGUGUGUGUGUGUGUGUGUGUGUGUGUGUGAGACAGUGCAAGUUGUGCUUUAUUUUAAGUAAAUCAAUUAAGGAAUUUUGCAUGCCUUUUCACUUGGUAUUUAGCCAUGAUUAGCACUUAUCCUACAGUCCACCUUAAAUAGUAAGAUGAAGAGACAUCAUUCAUCUUUUUUCUUUCAACUACUUAUUUGUCGUCUCCUCCUCUCUCCACCGAAGCCACCACCUCCACCGCCGGCCUCCUCUUCUUCCACCUCUACUUCAAAUUUUCAAGAAAUCCCAAAAUAAAAAAUGAAGGUCGCCUAUUUAACCCUUGAUUUAGAUUACACGUAAAACACCAUCAAGACUUCUUGCCUACUCAUGGCAGAUAAUAACGUAUCCCUCUUAGAAGCUCACACCAUCUCCUUCACAAUCAAAGUUGCUUGGAUAGACUUCGGUAUUUGAAAGCUCUCCCCUUCGGUUGUUUUUCCUUUCUCUGGUUAUUAGGUAAGAAAUUUCGAUUUCUUGCUGGAAUUAAAGGGUUUCAAUAGUAUCAAAAUGGUUUUCAAAAUUUCUUAUAAGAUUUGGAGAGAUUUCGAGAAAAUUAGGGCUUUUUGGGGAAUAAUGGAAAAGAUAUGUUGAGUGUUGAUUUCUUGUUCUUGCAUGCAUCAUUUGUGUUGGUAGUGGGUAGAUACAAGUUUUAUUGGCCGAAAGAAUUGAAAAUUUCGGAUUUCAAAAAGGGGUUGCAAGAAAAAUGAAUUUUUGAACUUUUAUGGGGUUGCAUGUGUAGAUCUAAAGAUUUUUGGGUAAAAUCCGUAAUUUUUAAGAAGUCAGUCCUAAAUAUGUUUUCAAAUCUGUUUUUCAGCAUUUAUAGAACAAAAAUUUCGGAUUUAAAGAGGUUGUGCAAGAAAGAUUGAUUUUUGAACUUCUAGUGGUCUUGCAUGUAUAGAUCUAGAAAUUUGGGUUAAAAUAUGUAAUUUUUGAAAUUUCUGCCUAUAGUAACUUUUUAACUUUGUCUUAUGUGUUUAUUGAAUUAACAUCUCAGACUGUUAGGGGUUUUUCAUGAAAAAAUGGAUUUUCAACUUUUAGUUGCAUGUGUAAAUCUUGAAACUUUGGGGUCAAAACUGUAAUUUCUGAAAAAUCUGUCAUUUCUAAAUUUUGGAAUCUGUUUCCCAGCAAGUAUUAAAUGGUGAAAAAUUUUUCUUUUUAAAGGUAUCAAAGUAAUUAAGGUUAUAUUAGAGUUUUGGAUUUUAAAAGAAAAAAGAGAUUUUUCUAGUUUUUAAUUCCAAGAAAAUUCGAAACUUUAUGAAAAUUUAAAAUAGUUUCAGAACUAAAACUUGGAUCAGUUAGGAGCUAUAGACUUUAAUUUGGGAAUUGUUGGAAUUGGUUUGCUAUUAUUUCAAAAUUAGAACAUUGUGCAUGUCAUUUAUUAUGUUUUGUGCUUUAAUUUCCAUGUCUUUGAAUUAAUAAUUAUGAGUGAUGAAAUUUGGGAUUGUGUACCUUAAUUUGCUGCAUGGAUGUAUUUAAUUACUGCUGGAAUUAAAUUAUUGCCUAGAAGUGGUAAUAAGUUGAUUAAAUGAAAGAUGAAAAGGGAUGCUUGAUUUACAAGCAAGGUUUGAAUAUUGAAUGGUGGUGUAUUAAUGUGUUGGCUAGGGGUGGAAAUCGGACGGAUCGGAUCGGAUUUGGGUGUUUCGGAAAAUUUCCGAUUUUUUUCGGAAGUCCAAAACGACUUCCGAUUCCGAUUCCGAUUUUUUCGGAAUUCAAAAAGUGAUUCCGAUUCCGAUUUUUUCGGAAUUUUCGGAAAUUUUCGGAAAUCUUCAUUUUCGGAAUUUUUCGGAAAAAAAAUGAGCACCAACACAGUAGCAAAACAGAACAUACUCACACAAAAACAAAAACACACCACAGAUAAAAUUAGAUUAAAUUUGAAUCAAUUAAAUUAGAUUUAUUCUAAAAGUACCCGAUAGAGAGAGCGGCUUUGCUGGUGGUCGUCGGAGAGCCGGGAGGCGCUGGUGGUGGUGGUCUUCGGAGAGCCGGGAAGCGCUGGUGGUGGUGGUCUUCGGAGAGCCGGGAGGCCUGGUUGCGAUGGUGGUGGUUGGAGAAUCGGGAGGCGCAAGUGGUGGUGGUCGUCGGAGAAUUGGGAGGCGCUGCUGGUGGUGGUGGUCGUCGGAGAGCCGAGAUGCGCUAGUGGUGGUGGUCGUCGGAGAACCGGGAGGCAGUGGUGGUGGUGGUCGUCGGAGAAGGCGCUGGUGGUGGUGGGGGAGAAAGAAAGGUAGGAUUGCUGAGAGAGAGAGAGUCGGGAAAUUAGGGUUUCAAAGUAAUUUUAAUAAAUU